rnacentral:lncRNA from 1 species
UGACAAUACCAAUUGUUGGUAAACCAUACCUAAAAGCUUGCAAUAAAGUCAUUUUGGAAUUUUCGUGGAUGUCGUUUUUGCAAGGUGGGACUAGCAAUCUAGGUGGACCACAAAGUGCAUAAUUAUUCAUGAAUGAUGUGCUAGAAAAGUUUGAAAAACAUCCUUCGAUGGGAAUUUCCCCUUCAAGUCUAUUGAAAGACACAUUAAAAUACUUUAGAUAUAAAAGCUUUUCCAAAGACUUGGGAAUGACACCAGAGAGAUUGUUAUUGCAUAUAUCCAAGAAUUCCAAACUAAUCAAACCACCAAACGAUUCAGGGAUAUGACCAUGUAGUAUAUUAUUUGAUAAAUCCAAUGAAACCAAAGUUUUAAGACCCCCAAAUGUAGAUAAGAUAUCGCCCGUGAGAAUAUUCCUUGAUAAAUUUAGUUUCAGCAGACUUCUCAAAUCACCGACAUCAAGAGCAUGUGAAUUGUUAAGGUAAUUUGAUGAUAAAUCUACUUCUAAUAUAUCUUUAAGAUUCCACAGAGUCGAGGGUAUUGCAGAACUCAAUUUGUUGGAUUCUAUGUAAAGAUAUCUCAAAGAAGUAAUAUUACCCAAACAAGAGGGUAUGGAUCCAUACAACUUGUUCAACCCUAAAAACAAGUUGUAUAGUCUUUCCAAAUCACAAAGGCUUUUUGAGAUAGGCCCUUCUAAUUUAUUAGAGAAAAGACCCAGACCUUGGAGAUUUCUCAGUCCUCCUAUUGAUGUUGGAAUAAAUCCACUUAAUUUAUUAUAGCCAAGUUCAAAAACCAACAUGUUGCUUAAGUUACCUACUUCCAUUGGAAUAUUACCUUCAAGCUCACAAUGGUCAGCAUAAAAGCGUUGCAAGGAUGUCGAAAGGUUCCCAAUAUAAGUAGGAAGAACGCCACUCAGUGGAUUUCCUGAAACAACUAUUUUUCUCAAAUGCUUGCAAUUUGCCAAAGAAGAAAGAAAGGUCCACUCAUGAUCAGCAGGUCCUGUGAUCAAAUUAUUGUUCAUGAUUUGGAGCCGUUCAAGGUGUCUUAAGUUGCCAAGCGUUUUAGGGAUUGGGCCAGAGAAUAAGUUAUCUACCAAGUCUAGAAACUUAAGCAUGGAAACAUUGGAGAUUGAGUUGGGAAUGUUUCCGCUAAGUUUAUUUCCCCUCAAUAUAAGAUACUCAAGCUUUAGAGCAUUGGUCAUGGAUGGUAAAUUACCUGUAAAAUUACGUCUUUUAGUAUACAUAUUCAUUGAAUACCAAAUUCACAAAAUAUAUAAUACACUAAAAUACAUCUUUAAAAUAAAAAACUGUAAAACUUUAUAUCAAAUAAAAAUAAAAUUUUGGCAUGGAAAAAUGUGAUCAAAUCAAUUUUAACAAUGGCAUAUAAUAAGAAUUUUUGAGUAGUAAUUAGUCCAUUGUGAUUUGUAUAAAAAAAAAAUUAAACCAUUCCAUGCUUGUAAGUUGUAAAAAUUGCAUGUUAUAAUUUAUAAAUUCUGUACUCCAAACUAAAAAUGAACUCCUCACUAUUCUUAGCCCAAGUCUUGCAUUGAAAUCAUCAUUAUCAAAUUUACAAAAUAUAUAAUACACUAAUAAUUUUUUUAAAAUAUUGUAAAACUUUAAAUCAAAUAAAAAUAAAACUUUGGCAUGAGAAUGUGACAUCUAAUCAAUCUUGACACAGAAUAAGAAAUUAUGAAUAAUAAUUAAUUAUGAUUUGGAAAAUAAAAAUUUUAAAUCAUUCUGUAUGAGUAUUCGGUUUAAUGGUAAACUUGCAUCAAUACAAGUCUAAGAAAUCAAAAUAAUAUAACAUCAAUAAAAUUAUUUCAAAUAUAAUAUUGUUCUAAAGGUUAGAUGUUGGUUUAGCCCUUAAAGUUGUAUUUGAUUAUUAUUUUGGUACUUAAAAAUUUAUUUGUACCAAUUUGAUACUUAAAGUUGGAAUCAUUAAUCACGUGGUACAAAAAUUUUAUUAUGCAAAAUUAAAAAAAUUAAAAAUUUAGAAAGUUUUUCUAAUAAUGUAGGAAAUGUUUUUAAAAAUUAUAAAAUAAGAAAGAAAAUCGUACAUGAACAAAAAAAUGGACAUAGAAAAUACAAAAAUAUUGAAAAUUAUAAUAAUAUAAUUUUAAAAAUGAUUUUUAAAAAAAAAGAGAAAAUAGGACAAAAAAAUCAGAAAAACUUAAAAAGAAUCAACAAACCCUGGAGAAGGUGAGCUAUGGAAUUGAUAAGAUCAAUUAGAAAAUGGUUUCGAGCUUUCUGCUUAGUUAAAUCAAGUAAAUUAAAAUGCCAAAAAAGAGAAAGGAAAACCCCAAAGGUGGAAAUACGAUAUGAAGAUUAAAAGCGAAGGAAGUUUAAAGUCCAAGCUAUAUUCUAUAAGUUCCAAUUAAAAAUUUUGGUUUUAAAAUAUUUGUGUUAAUGUUACAUUUUGAAAAAUAAAAUAACCUUAAUAUCAAUGUAACCAAAAAAAAUUAUAACGGACCUAAAUUUAGUAAAUAAUUUUAACCGUGCUGACAACUCAUUAAAAUUCACAUUGUUAUUUUUUUAGAAUAAAUCAUUAAAUUAAUAAAAUACAUGUUAAGGGUUAAGAUGUUUGUUUCAAAUACAAUAUUGAUAUAAGGGUUAAAUGUAACAAAAAACAAUUAUAAUGAAUCUGAAUUCAAUGAAAAGAUUUAACGGUGCUAACAAUUCUUUAAAAUUCAUAUAUUCAUUUUGUUUUAAAUAAAAUAUUUUAGCGAAAUUAAACUUUUUUAUAAAAAAAUUUAAUACCUUCCAGAUUAUUUAACGCCAAAUAUAAUUCUUCGAGUUGUGUCAAAUUCCCGAUACUUCUUGGAAUGAUCCCCGUAAAUUUAUUAAUGGACAAUGACAAAAUUCUGAGGUUGUUGCAUUUGCCUAUACUUGAUGGAAUGUUACCAGAUAAUUCAUUCGAAUUCAUGGAAAGCCAUUCAAGCUGGGGAAGAUGUUGACACAUAUCAUUAGGCAAACUAUCUGAUAGGCUAGUGCUGGAGAGAUGAAUAGCUUGCAGAGAAGAAAUGUUGAAGAUAGAAGAUGGAAUCGGACCUGUAAGACCUUUAAUUGCUUGAACAUUAAGCAUUUCCAAACUAAGAAGAUUACCAAUUUCCUCCGGAAUUUGACCUGCAAAUUAACGUAGUUGAAAAAUCAAGGUGUUAAAGCUAACUAUUUUGUAAGUGUAAAUCAAAGAGGCUUUUUUUUUUGGUUAUGAAAUAAUAUGGAUUUGUUAGAUUCUAAUCAUAUUUAAGUAUAUUAGUUCAGCUAAUUAAGUAUUUUUCCUUGAAAGAAAUGUUUUUUUUUUUGUAUUUAUAUUACAAAUCUUUUUUUUUUAAUUUAAAAACAAAAGGGGCAAAAUGUGUUUAAGUUAAAUGCAUCAAGGAAAAUGCAUACCUUCUAGGUUAUUCACCCCCAAAUAUAAUUCUUUGAGUCGUGUCAGAUUUCCAAUACUUUUUGGAAUGAUACCCAUAAAUUGAUUACUGGACAACGCCAAAAUUUGAAGGUUGUUGCAUUUGCCUAUACUUGAUGGAAUGUUUCCAGAUAAUUCAUUCCGACUCAAGUAAAGCUCUUCAAGCUUGGGAAAAUGUUGACACAUAUCAUUAGGCAAACUACCUGAUAGACUAUUGCUGAAGAGAUUAAUUAUCUUUAGGGAAGAAAUCUUGAAGAUGGAAGAUGGAACUUGGCCAGAUAAUUGAUUGAAUCGCAAGUUCAAGAUCUCUAGAUUGAACAUGUUGACAAGUGUUUGAGGGAUUCUGCCUGUAAAAGUAUUAUUUGUCAUUUGCAACCUUUGAACUCUGUGUAAGUUCCCAAGCCAUGAUGGAAUUUCCCCAUUAAGACUGUUAAAGCUUAAUUGUAAGAUCUUCAAACGAUGCAAUUGACCCAAUUCUUUAGGUAGCAGGCCAUAGAAAUUGUUGCGACUCAAGUCGAGAGAGAGUAGAAAUGAAAGAUUUCCAAGGUAUGGAGGGAUCGUACCCCUAAGAUUCAUGCUUGUUAGAUUCAAAGCUAUAACUCUUUCAUGGAUGAUGCCACAAGAAACACCAAUCCACCUGCAAACAGAGGUAGAGGCCGUCCAAUUGUUUGCCAAGACAUUUUGAGGAUCGGCAAGGAGAUCCUUAAACUCGAGAAGUGCAAACUGAUCAGAGUUGAGAUUCCUGGCUGUCAUAGCCAAGCAAAGUACGGAACAUGAUAUGAAUAAAGCUAAACGAAGAUGAAAGCAAGUGUUGUAGUUCAUGAUUGGAAGACGAAAUAAGGCAAGAAAAUAAAAAAGUAGGAAAAGGGAAGUUGAAAUGAUAAAAUAGCCCAGAGAGCAUGCUUUAAUAUGUUUCAACCCUCGCAUACUUCUCCCACAUUAAAUUCACUCGGCGGGGGCCCGCGGGGGGCGGGGGGGGGGGUUACAACAUUAAUCCAGAUUUUACUUUUUGAUUGGUAUCAUAAGUCUGCUUCACAUACAAAGAAAAUAUAAUUUCUCCUAAAUUUUCUUCACAUUACUCCACAUAAUCCAUAAAAAGAACUUAAUAAAAUAUAAUUUUUUAAUUACUAUAUAUUCUUUUAUUUUUUUUCACAAUAAUAAACUGGUUAAAAUAUGCUAUUCAUCCCUGUACUUUUCAUAAUUUGAGAUUUAGUCCAUGUACUUUAAAAGUUUAAAAAUCCAAUCCUCCUAAUUUUUCAAUUUAAAAAUUUUAGUCCAAUCAUUAUCAUUGUCGGUAAUUCCGUUAAAAUUUGUUAACUUAACAUGUUUAUUUUCUAUCAUAUGCAACGUCAUAUGAAGACAGCCUAAUCAACAUAUAUACCAAGUUGACAGAUUUUGACAGAAAAUACUAAUAGUGUUAAUGGUAGGACCGAAUUAUUUAAAUAAGAAAAGUAAGAGGAGUUAUUUUUUAACCUUUUAAGUAUAAUGACUAAAUUUUAAAUGUUGUCCAAGUACAAGCAUUAACAGCAUAUUUUGACCUAAAAUUUUUUAAAACUUUUAAAAUAGAAUAAUGUUAAAAUAUGCUAAUACUGCUUAUACUUUCAUAAAAUUUGAGAUUUGGUCAUUGUACUUAAAAAGUUAAAAAUUAAGCCCUACCAUCUUUGUUUAAAAAGCUUAGUCCUAUCAUUAACAUUGUUACUAUUAUUUUGUCAAAAUUUGUCAACUUGACAUAUUAAUUAGGUUUCCCUUAUAUGACGUGGUAUAUGAUUGACAAGUAAUAAACAUGUUACGUUAACAAAUUUUGACAAAAAAAAACUACCAAUAAUAAUAAUGAUGGAACUAAAAUUUUAAAAUUGAAAAUUGUAAGGUAUUGAAUUUAUAACUUUUAAAGUAUAUUGACUAAAUCUUAAAUUUUAUAGAAAUACAGGGACUAACAACAUAUUUUAGACACAUAAUAAUAUAUAUAAUUUUCAAUUAAAACUGCAUUGGACUUAAUUGGGUAAGGGUUAAUAUAUUAAUCGGUAUAUGAGUUUCACACUUUUUUUUUAUAAUGUUGUAUUUUUUUUUUUGUUUUUGUUCAAUGUAAUUCAUGUAUUUGGUAAAAAAAAUUACAUAUUUUGGUACUUAAAGAUAACAAUGUUAACUUAUUAGUGUUUGAUCUAAAUUUUAGAGUUGAUUUAAUGAACAUUAAUAUCUAAUAUUAUUAGUUAACUAUGAAUUUUCGUCAAAUCAAAUUAAAACCUAACUCGUAUAUCGUAUAUCAUAUAUAUAUAUAAUAUAACAAGGUACAUAUAAUAAAUUUACAACAAGUGACUCUCUCUUUUUUUUUUUUUAUAUUUAUUAGUUUUUGAUUAUCCAUUAAAUUUUUUUUGUUCUAAUAAAAUUAAAUUAUAGAAUACCAUUAAAAUUCUAAAUAAAAAUAAUUUAUCCGUUAAAAAAUUCCCUAAAAUUUAAAACUAUUGUUAUAAAUAUAUAAUUAAAUUAUACAGAAUUUUAUUUUUUAAAAAUAUUGCUAAAAAGUUAAAAGGGAAAGAGAAAAUUUUAAAAAAAUAAAUAUUCUUUAAUUAGUUAAUUAAAAAAAUCAAUAGUACUUAGAAAAUAUCAAAUUGAAAUAUUAGAUUUUAUAAAAUUUCAUAAUUCAAAAAAAUUAUAUGACAAUGUUUAAAAAUUUUAUUAAAAAGUUUUAAAUUUUAUAUAAUUUUUUAUUAAAAACCUUUAAUAUUUAUAUUUAAUUUUAAAAAUAAACAAAUACUACAAAAAACUUUUUAAACACUAAAUUAAAUAUUAGUUAAUUAGUCAUUUGAUUUUUUUAAUAUUUAUAUGUAUCUUAAAUUUUUUAUAUUUACUAUUAAAAAUUUUAAAAACAAAAUUUAAUACUAUUAAAAACAUUAUUAAAAAAUUAAAAAUAUAUAUGAAAUUUAAAAUUGUCUAAAACAUUUUUUUAAAAAAUUAAAUACUAUAUAAAAUAUUUAAAAUUGUUUAAAAUUUUCUAACCCUAAAAAAUCAAUAAAAUAUUUUUCUCUAAAAAAUCAAUAAAAAAAUGUUUUUUAAGUGCAGUUCGAUUUCAGAAGAAAUAUUUCAUUUAUUAAAGCAUAAAGCUUUAAAAAUGUUAACUCCAUUAAACAACAAAUGAUAUUUUUUAAAACCAUAAAUAUUGACUUUAUUUCAAAUUGACCUUAUGUGAUUUUUUAAUAGUUUUUUUUUACUAAGCUUUACAUCAAUAUACUUGAUUUAUUUGUUGUUAUUAUUAUUUGUUUUUCCAUGACUAUGAUAUUAUAAUUUAAAAAAACUGAAAAGAGAUAAAUAUUAUAAACCCAUUAUUAGACUAUAAUCAUAAAUAUGUCUAUUAUCAUUCGAUAAAAAAAAUUAACAAGUGUUUAGUGCAGUGACAAUGCACAUAGCACUCUUAAUGAAAGAAUGAGAUUCGAACUUUUGAGAUGACAUUAUUGAAAGGAAUAAUCACAAAUUCCAGACAUGAACCGUAAAAUAGACAUGAAGUACCAUAAUAAAAACAUAUGUAUAGUAUCAAACUAGUAAUCCAUGCCAAACCUUAAAUUAACAAAAUUUACCAUGCACCCGUGUACACUAUUUAUAUAUAUAUAUAUACACACUAGAUUUAUUCUUGAUACACAUGUUUAUUAUAUUUAAAAUUUAAAAUAUAUGGCUGCCUGAGUUUUAGUUGAGUUAGGAUUGAAAUUAUUGUCAAUGCAAAAGGACAUAGGUCCAAUUGUGCUCAAAUGUAUUUUAUUUUCCAAUUUAAGGGUUAGGGAGGGGUUAUCGAUAGUAAAUUAUAUUAAUUUUUUAAAUAAUUAAAAAGGAUUUUGUAACACCCUGACCCGACCUAGGAGUUUCGGCUAAGUCGAAGGCAUUACAUUCGAUCACCGACGUGAUCCUAUAAAGUCAUUCUUUUUACUUGAGUUGAUUUGCAAGGAAAUCGCUCUUGUUUUUAGAAAACAUUACUCAUUAAUUUAAACUGACUUUACCUGGUAAUUUAGAGUUUUUAUCAAAACAUUUUAAGUGUUUAUAAAGUAGCGAAAAACUUUCAAGGUAAUGGUUUUCUAAAUCGAAAGGUAUACAAAUAUCAUAGUAAAAACCAAAAUGUCAUGCUUAAAAUAAAUAAGCUAUACAAUCCCAAAAAUGAAAUGAUUAAGGAAAUAUUUAAUGCAACUUUUAAAGAAAAGCAGAAAAAAGCUACUAAUCCAAGGUUCCUCCGAUGCCUUUUCGAGUACUAGAUCUUUACACUACAUGAGAGGUAAGGAAAAAGGGGAAUGAGCUUACAACAGUUCAUUAUGAGACUAACUGUAAACCAUUAUAUAUAAUUAUUCAAAGAGUGAAGUAUUUAAUUCAUAGAAUAAUAGCAUGGUAAACAUAAUGUAAAGAACAUUCAAUAUAUCAAUACAUGUAUAGUUUAUAUUCAUGAUGCAAUGCCAUUAAUGUUUUAAUUUCUCACACGUCCAUCUUAACUGCCCUCGAGUAUUGCUCGACACUCCAAAAACCCACUUCAAUAACUGAUCAUCUUGGGGUUGAUUUUUGAUGACAAUGGUUGUUCACUUGACAUUCAUGACGAUGUCUUUUACUACAAUAACUUACCAUCCCGGUUUGGUUCGGUUUUGAUGGUGUUUUAAACUAUUAUCCCGUCUUAUCCGAUUUAGAUGGCUUUUUACUACAAUAAUAUAUCAUCUCGAUUGUCUCGGUUUGGUAUAUUUUAGCCUACCAUCCCAACUUAUCUGCUUUUGAUGACAUUACCGCCUACGUCGUGCAGUAUUGACUUUUAGUGUAGACUUAAUUUGGCACUGUCUCCUACGGAACUCCUUCGUCCUCCAUACCCAAUUUCAUGUAAUUAUGCACAUAUUCGUAGAAUGUUUAUGUUCUUUUUUUAUCAUCAAUCGAGGUUAUACUUAUCAUGCAUAUUCAAUAUCUCAUACAAACAUUUAAUGGCAUGUACUCAUGCAUUCAUAUCAAUUUUGUAAUAGCCCAAUUUUGACCCUAAUCAGAACAGUGGUUUUGGGACCACAAAUCUGAGUCUGAAAAAUAUUUUAAUAUUAUUUUCUGUGUUAAUUAUGUGUGAAUUUAUAUGUGUGAAAGUUUUGUGAAUUUAUUUCAUUGUUUGUGUGCUUAAUUUGAGAAAAUGGCUUAAUCGCAUAAAAUGAAAAUUUAAUGGUUAAAUAUGAAAGUGCCUAUUUGUUGUUGUCUUUAUAAUUUAGAGGUUUUAUGAUGCAAUUAGCCCACUAUGUAAGUUAGUGGGUGGCAAAAGACUAAUGUAACCUUAAUACAUAUAUGUGUUUUGUUUAUUAAUAUAAAGGGUAAUUUAGGAACCUAAUAAUAAUGAUAAUAUAUGUUAAAAUAAAACAAAAAAAAUGGAAGCCAUUAUCAUCUAUUCUCACUUGCCGAAAGUAAAGAAAUAAAAAGGGAGAAACCUAGCUGAAUUCAGCCAUUGUUGAAAGCUUGAUUAAGGUUUGUUCUUUGUUCGGUUUUUGAUAAUUUUUACGUUUUUGUAAUCGUUGCUUCGUGUUCUUUAAAACCCAUGCUUCAAUUUUGUGAAUUGGUGAUGAUUUUCAAAUAUGCCAUUGAUAAAUUCAUGAGUUUUGUGAUAGUUGAAGGUGAAAUAUGAAAUAUGAAAUAUAUGUGUUAGAUUAACAUAGUUUGUUUUUGACUUUUUGAUGAAUUUGAGUAAAUUGGACUAAAUUGUGAAAAUAAAAUUGUGGGGGACUAAAAUGUGAAAUAAAUAAACUAUAUGGAUUUGUAUGGACUAGGGUGAUAUUCGGCCUAAGCAUAGUUUGUGUAAAUUUUGUGUAUUUUGUGUUUUAUACAAUAGGGACUAAAUUGCAUAAAGUUGAAAAUGUUAGGGGCAAAAUGGUAAUUUGCCCAUUUUUGUGUUUUUGGAUUAAAUUGAAUGAAUGUGUGAUUAAAUUAGUUAAAUUUGAACUUAUUUAGAUCAAGAACCAAAGAAAAUGGAAUUAGAUCGGGGGAAGUCGAAAGUAGUCAAUUAGUCGAUUUCGUCCGUCAAUAUCCAAGGUAAGUCGAUAAGCAUUUAAAUGUUGUUAAAUUCGAGAAUAUACAAAUGAUAUGUGAUAAACUGAAUUAUUUGAAUUGAUAUAUGCUUUGGCCGAAUGUUAACAUUGAGAUAGGGAUUAUGUUUCAAGUUCGAUUCGAUUGAUAAUCAAUAUUUGAAAGCCCCGUACGAACCCUAGGAAUAGAUAGGAUACAUAUGUCAUGACAUAGGAUCUCCGAUAUGUGUUUUUUUGUGUAAGACCACGUUUGGGACGUUGGCAUCGAUUUAUGUUUUCGUGUAAGACCACGUCUGGGACGUUGGCAUCGAUUUUUGUUUUCGUGUAAGACCCUAUUUGGGAUAGUGGCAUCGAUCUGUGAUUACAUGUAAGACCACAUCUAGGGCACUGGCAUUGUACGAGCCUUCUGACUAUCUGUGUAUCCUUUUUAAUUUCGAGCAGUUCAAUAGACAAUGUUAAGUGAAAACCGGAUGUGAAAUUGAAUUACAUGUUCAGGUAUGUGUUAGUUAAAUGUAUAUAUGGAAACAAGGUAAGUUGUUUCCUUGGAAUUAUUUAAGGUAUAUGAAUAUAAAUUUUGAAUUAACAUGUUUGGACAUAUAUAUAUAUGAUUUGGGCUAUGGUGUUAAUUAUGAUGUCAAAGGUGAAAGAUUAAUAUGUAUUUAUGAAAGGUUACAUUCGGCUAUAUAACUUGUAUAUGUGAUCAAAGUAUGACCUUGUAGUAAAUGAUAUCUUUAUAUUGUCAAUUAUGUGAAUUUAACCUUAAUAGUUAAAUGUUACUGGCCAUGAUUAAUAUGCAUGCUUAUGCUUAUGACUUACUAAGCUUUAAAUAGCUUACUGUGUGUGUGUAUUUGUUUACCUCUAUUUUAUGGAUUUUGAAGCCGUUACGAGCUCGGGGAUCAUCAGCAAAGCCUAUCACACUAUCGAUAGUUUCUUUUGGUAUUUUAGUAAGUAAACUUUGAGUAUAUGGCAUGUAUAGCAUAGCUAGAAUGUUGAUUUUGGAACAAUUAUAUGUAUAUGUAAUUAAUAGCCAUGCAAAAAAUGGCUUAUCUUCUUUUGAUGGAGUUUAUGCUUAUGCAUAUUUGAUUACGGUAUAAGCUUGUGAUAGGUAAAUAAAUGUGAUGCAUAUGGAUUUGGACUUGUUGAUUUGGCUAUGAGAAUAGUUAUUUGUUCGAAUGUGCAUGGAUUAGAUGUUAUUAAAUUGAAUGUGUAUAGGUUUGCUUAUGUUUUUGAUUAGUUUUGAAUCAUGUACAUAUAAAUAGCCAUAUGAAUAUGGCCUAACCCCCAUACUUGUGUUCGGUUUGUUUAGCAAUGGUUUAUUCAUUUUAGUUAAGUUUGGUCUUUAUGCUUUUGAUAAAUUUUGUUGAAAUGAUGUUUAGGAUUAUGCAUAUUCGGCUAUAAUAUGAGUUCAGGUUAGGCAUCAUGUUUCAUAGUUUAAGUGCAUAAUUUGCUUGUUAUAUAUGUAUAUUUAUGAUAUGUUUAGUAUGUUCAUCUAUGGUGAUUUGAUAUGAUAUAACUUAAGUAAAUUAGGUUUGAGUAAUGAAUGUAUUAAUUUGGUGUGUAUUCGGCUUUGUACUUAACUCAUUUUGGAUGGUAGGAUACAUGGUUUAAGAUGUAACAAAAUUUAUGAAUUUGUAUGCCCUGGGCUGAAAUUUAUGUGUUAAGUGAUACCUUGUAUAUUCAUAAGUAUAUGCUAUCAAAUUUAGUAUGUUUAGUCUCAUAAUUUGUUAUUCAAGUUAUAUAUAUGUUUUGGUGAAUUUCAUGAAGAUAUAAAUAGACUAUGGUUUGAGAGUUAUACAAUGACCGAAUAUGCUUUAAUUAGUUUUGUAGUGAUAAUGAAACAUGGAUAUUCGGAAAUGGUUAAUGGUAUAUAUAUAAAUAUAUGUGCAAGUUGGUAAAUGGAUAAAAUGCAUGUUUUUGGUUCUUUGAAAUGUUCAAUAUUGUAUAUGUUAUCUUUGAUCUUAGCCUUUAAGUUUUAAGUUAUGAUUUCUUUAAAAUGAUAAGAGUAAGUAUAUUCUUAAGUAUCAAGGUAUUUAUUAAAUUAUCAUUAUAUGUUUGAAUAAGCAUAGUGUACCUUCAUUUAGUUGUAAUGGCAAAAUGUGCAUUUUUAUUAUGCUUGAAUGGUUAGUAUAUGUACUUUGGAUUGAUUUUUAAGCAUGCAAAUUUGGUAUACUUGAUUUGUUUCAUUUAGUAUAUGUUUUUAAAAAUAAUAAUAAUACUAAUAAUAAAAUUAUAUAUAUAGUGCAUUAUUCGGUUUUGUAUUAUUAUAAAGGUUUCAUAUGUUAUGUUAAACUUGAAAUAUGUGUUAUGUUCGGUAAUGUCUCGUAACCCCAAUCUGACGACGGACACGGGUUAAAGGUGUUACGAAUUUCACAUAUACAAUCUUUUCAUGCAACAAGAACUUGUAACAAUAUAUUUAUAUUAGAUUCCUUAACAUGCUUACUCGGCUAGCACAUACAUAACUGGUUCAUACAUACACAUAUAAUUUGUGCGAGUUAAAAAAAAUAAAGUGUCACAUGUACAAGAUUUUUAUGUGAUUUAAUAGGCCUAGUUAUCUAGCACAUGUACCGGUUUGCAUAUAGGCUCGCAUGUACCUGAGGUUCACACAACAUGUAGGCUCACAUGUCCCUAGGGUUCGCAUAUUAAUUAUCUAGGGUUCGUAUAAUUAGCAUAAGAGGUUGCAUGUAUACAAUGUUAGCGUAAUAUUCCCUUAAGUGUUCAUGUAAUAAACAUAUAGGGUUUGCAUAUAUAACAUCCAGGGUUCGCAUGUAAACACAUAUAGGGUUUUUACAGUACAAAAUAUAGUGUUCGCAUAGUACAACAAUUCAUAGGGUUUGGCUAACAUGGUUCAAAUAUGAUGCAUACAGGGUUCACAUAUCAUGUCUCACUUAUGACGCAUACAAGGUUCACAUAUUACAAUCCAUAGGCUCCGCAUAACAUAAUCCUAAGGUUUGCAUGUAACAAGUUCAUAUGUCAUAACCUAAGGUUCACAUGUAAUAAACUAUAGUGUUCGCACAUAGGCUCGCACAUAUAGGGGGUUUGCACAUAUAGGUUCACACACAAGAGUUCCAACACCUAGUUGUCGUACAUAGGGGUUUCCACGUAUAGGUUCGCACAUAGGGGUUCACAUGGGGGUUCACAGACAUGUACCAAUGAUUCACUAUGUCACACUAUAAAAAUAGGGGUUCUCGAACUCUGUCAUACUAUAUAAUGUGAGGGCUCACAUACUACGUCCUUUUAUAUAACAUGGGUGUUCGCAUACUAUGUCAUACUAAAACAUAUAGGGUUCGCAUCUUUGCACUAAGGGAUGGCACAUAUAUUCCUCGUAAGGGUUCGCUUAAGGGUUCCAUGCAAGGCUCACAUAUAUGGGUUCACAUGAAAGAAAUUACUUGCUUUUAAUUUAACAAUUAAUGCAACACCUCAUACCCGGUCUAGAAGUUAUGACCCGAAUGUGAAGGUGACAUUGAUAAUUUUAAAACUUUAACUCUUUGCUAUUGUAACACAUCUUAUUUUGAAAAAUGAAUAUUCGGAAAAUGAAUAGUCAAAAAAUAAUAAUUUUUAGUUAAACCUUUCGUGCAAUCCUUAGAAGAUCUCACGCUCUAAAACACUUAAUUUAUAGUAAAAUCACAUAAUCAUUUUCUUAGUUUAGCAGUGGAAAAAUUUUCAAAGUUUUAGUUUGAAAACCGAAUUUUAAUUUGUUAACUAGUAUGAUUUUUUAGUUUUAAGUUAAAAAUACCAAAAAAAACCAAAAGAAAAACCAAAAACGAAGUCUAAAAAUAGAUUAAUAGCCCAAAAAUCUAGAAAAAGUUAAUAACAGAAAGCACCAUAAUAAAUUAAACAAGAAAAAUAAUCUAAGCUCCCGCACGUCGUCCGAUCCUAAAUUAGCUAAUUACCUGAAAAGGGUAAAUACAGAAGGGUGAGCUAUAAAUCUCAGUGUGUAACUAAACUCAAAUAGAGAACAAAAAUAACACAAUAAUCAGAUCAUAGAAUUGCAAAGAACUUAAUAACAAUCAAUUGAGCAAAACUCAAAACGCAUGCUUAUGCCAAUGCGAUAUUUUUCAGAAAAACAUAAUGCAAUUUUUUAGAAAACUUCCUACCCAACUUCGCUACACACCAAAAUAGAGUUCCCCAAAACUUAUCCAUCCAAAAACAAACCAACAGAUAAUUGUAGACAAUGCCACCAGAGUUGUAGUUAAAACUGCCAGAUUGGAUAUAUGUGGUCAAGCCACUGUAAUGUAACCAAGCUGCCAGAAUAGAUAUAUGUGGUCGAGCCACUAUAAUUAUAGACAAGUUGCCAGUCAGAAAUGUGAUUAAACCACUGGAUAGUGCAAAUCAUUAAACUGUCAAAACUUCCUCCUUACCAUAAUAUCCCAAACCCCAUGCAAUGUGUGUAACUCCCCGAAAAUAUGAACUCUCGAUUUGUUAAUUUAUGUCAUAAUUAAGUGUUUAUCUCAAUGGUUAAGGGCUUGAGGAUGUGUUUGAGGUCUUGGGUUCGAGUCUCUCUAGGAGCUUUGAGAGUUAUUUAUUUAUUUAUUCUAAAUGAUCUUUUGGGCUGUUCAAUUAGUAGAAUUUGGGUAAAAGUGGAAGACUGGGAACUUAGUUGGAUAAGAAUUGGGUUUGUUAGGAUGUUGGGGAUAUUGUUUUUCUUUUUCCCUUUAUUUUAUUUUACUAUAUUUUUUAACCCAUUUUUCUUUUAAGUUUUGAAUUUAAAAAGAAAAUACAAAAUAAAAAUCCCAAUUAUUACUCCACUAUUCACGUUCCACUUUUAUUCCCAAUUUCUGUAAUACCCAAAAAAAUUACUACAGUAAAAAGUAAGUUAAUAUCCUUGAUAUAGUAAAAUAAAGAAAUAAAGUGAUAAAAAGGGUAAUUUUGAGUUAUUUCAACAUUGGGAAGUAUAUUAUGACAUAUUAAUUCAAGAAAGGAUUAAAUCGCAAAAGUAAAAAAAGUUUUGUUGCCCAAGAGUAAAUACUCAAAAUUUAAGGGGUUAAAGUGUAAAUAUAAAAAAGUUGAACGACCAAUAGUGCACAUAUUUUAAGGGUGGAAUGAUCUAGAAACUAAGGAAAAUAAGAGAAAGUAAUGGGAAAUAUUAUAAAGAAAAUGAAUAAGGGAGUUAUAAACUUAGUAAUCAACAUCUUGCAUUAAAAUAGUUUUGGACAGCAGCAGUAGUCUAACUUUGAAAAUUCACAAAAAAUUGUAGGAAUCGAAUUAGAGAAUUAAUAGAAUAUAAAAUUAAAGAUUAUUGAGUCUAGUUUCUUAUAGAAGAAACUGUGUAAGUAAUAGAAUUUUAAAUCAUGAGAUAUGAUAAAUGUUGUGAGACAAUGUCAGAAUGAUUUCGGGUUCACCUGUUCUGACUUUGGAAAAUCAUCAAAAAUUAGAGAAAAAUAAUUAGGGGCUUAAAUUUAUCCUUAAUGAGUCUAUUUUGAAUAGAAACAAAUGGUAACAUCAUAUGAAUCCUGUACGAGGAGAUAAUUAAUUUUUAGUGAAGAAGGGUCAAAACUGUCAAACAGCAGAAUAAGGAUGACUUUAAAGAAUAAACUGUACUUGUUAGCUAAACCAAAAAUUCUUAAAAUUUUAUGGUAAGAAUAUAUGUGAGUCUAGUUUCGGAUAAAAUUAACGGAUCUCAAUUCGGAGUUCUGUAGCUUAAGAUAUAAUUAGUUUAGUGACCAUGACUCAAGUGAAUAGCUUGUUAUGAGUAAACAAGUAAAUAGUGGUAUUAUGUAUAUAUCAAGGAUAUGGAAUGGAGUGGAGGAGGAGGAAAAAAAUAUGUGUGAAUAUUUAGCUAAUAUGAGAUUAUUUUAAAAAAGCAAAUUUCCAUGUUUUAGGCUCAGGUACUAAAUUGAAUAAAAGUAAAACUUUAGGGAUAAUUUUGUAAAAAUGUCAAAAAUGAUCAAAUUGAAGUAAAUGAAUUGUUUUACUUUCUAUAUUAAUGUAUGGAAAUAAAUUAUAAAUAUCAAGUGGGUUUAGAACGUUAAUUUUAUUGUAUGAUGAAUUUAUAAAUAAUUUCAGUUUUGAACAAUAAUUGAUAUAAAUUAAUUGAAAUUGUUCUGAAAAAUUCGGUAAUACUCUAUAACCCUGUUUCGACGAUGGGCAUGGGUUAGGGGUGUUACAAUUUCCUUUCAAACAUGGUUUUCAUAUUGUACAGGAAGAUUUUGCUAAAAAAAAGUAUUCUUUUGUUUUUUCUUUUUUCCUCUCUAAACUUCUUGGCUUUCUUGAUCUUGGUCUCUUGGGUUACCAAAUUUCUAUAGUGCAUGCCUAAUUGAAUCAUUUGCAACUCAAAUCUGGUGUAAGUGCUAUCAAUUUCAUUCAUUCUAUGAUUGAAUUUUUAUGUCGUUAUCUUUGUCUAAGUUGGGAUUUUACUAGUUCUAUUUGCUUCGAUUUUCGUUGUUAAUCGUGUGGGAUUCUCUAGGUGAAGGUUGCAAACCAGGUUAUCCACUAAUGAAUUGAGGCUUGUUAGGGUACUAUCGUCACAUUAGGGUAAGUGAUUAAUGUUGUUUUUGGGUUGUAAGUUGCCGAAAUAGUUGGUUAGUGUCGAAUUCUUCAAUUGAUCGAUUUGGGUUGAUUAGAUUUUAGCUAAUAAUUCGUGUAAUUUAUCGAUUUAAGUAUUGUAUUGCGUGAUUAUUGAUUCUACGUCGGUUUUUCACUAGGUGUAUAACAAAACACACGAAAAAUAGCUAACCGUGAAAGUUAAAAAAUUGCUCAGUCGACGCCACACGGCUGUGUGCCAAGCCAUAUGGUAGGUCGUGUGUGACACAUAGCCAUGUGACAGAUCGUGUGCUAGACUAUAUGGGACACACGGUCUAGGCUAUUUGGGUCGUACAGGGCUAUGUGGGCCACAUGGGCUAGCCAGUUGGGCCAUGUGGGCCCAAAAUUUAGGAUUUUUCCCUAGGGCUAAAUACAUCACCUUGAUUGACUGUGGGCCUUCCGUAGGGUCGGUAUGUGAUUAAAUGUAUUGUAACAUAUGAAAUAUGGUCAUCUAGUAGUGUAAAUUAUGUUGUCUGUAAGUAUUUUUGAGAUGUCAUGUGAUAAGUAAACUCGAAAAUUGUUAUGUAUGUGAUUUGUAUCUUAUAUGUCAUGCAUAUAAAACUGUAGCAAGUAAGGAUUCUACUCUGAUUAUGUCUUUUUUCGGGAUGGGCUAUACUAUGUGUAGGAAGUGUUUCUGUGAAUGGUGAUACUCACCCAUUAUACUGGCAACAAGGUUGCAAAUAUUCUAUUAGUGUCUUAAUGACACUAAGUGAUGUGUAGGGUUGGAUCGGUGUUUCAUACCCCAUAUGGUGUGUUGGGAUGGUCAGAGAUGGUGUGUAGCGGAUGAGGGUAGGAAAUCUAUCUGUAUCUGUCUAAUAUUAAUUAUCUGUUUAAGAUAUUUGUUGCACACUGAGUUUCAAAAACUCAUUUUCUAUUUGAUUGUUAUUUUCAGGUAACCCUUAGACUUAGGCGGAUCGGUGCAUUCAGGAACUCGGUUAAUCAUUAUUUUUUAAAAUUUGACUUAUUUAAAUUUGGGUUUUAGAGUUAUGUAAAUUUUGGACUUUCUAGACAUUUUGGACUGUUUGGGUUUAGAACUUUACUUUCAUAUUUUACUUAAUAACGUUUAAAUGUUUAAUCGACAAUGUUCACUUUUCUGCAAAAUUAAUGGUUUUCAAACAACAAACAGUGUUUUCCAAAAUAUCACUUUUUAAGGAGUCUCCGCUACAAAAUUAUAAGUUUUUAGAAAAUGUAAUCAAACAAAAUUUUCAAUAAUAAAAUUUGGAUAAGAUAUAUUUUCGAAUAAUCUGAGUUUUUAAGAGUUUAUGACUAUUAUCAAGAUUUAAGAAAACUAAAAUUUUCAAUCAAAUUACGUAACACAUUAUGAUCUUGUUAUAACGUCUAAGCCAGGUUUGGAGUGUUAAAAUGUGACAUGGCAUGCAUAUAUAGAAUCAGAAUGAAAAGCAUGUAGGACAUGCAGUCGUACAAUAAUAAAGAUCAGAAGGCAUGGCAUUUGCGGAAUAGAUGUAUCACAAAUUCAACAUAAGCAAAUCAGAUUUGCCAUAACGUCACAUGCAUGGUCAUAUAGUAAAUUCAGAGAUAUACAAUACAUCAUAUAGAUACACAACAUAGCAAAAUGGAAACAUGUCAUCAAAAUUGAUAGAAAACAGAUCAUACAUAUAUAAUUCUUAUACCUUAAGCACAUCACAUCAAAAGCAUAUUAACAAAUAACUUAUUUUUUAGUCUUAUUAAGCAGUAUGGACCCUACAAAGAGUCUAAUUACAAACCAAAGAUCAAAAUGGCCCUAGGUGACAAUUUUCCAAAAAAUGGGGCCACACACCUAUUUGGCCCACACGACCCAAAUAGCUCUGACCGUUUGAUCCAUACAGCCAUGUGACAUCGACAAUGAGUUUUUCAGCAUUGCGUCAUUUUCUAUUUUUCAGGUUUUUCAUUACACACCUGAUCAUUUUUCGAUGUAAAUCCAACCACUAGAAUUCCAGAACCUAAAACAAGCAUUUAAGUGAUCAAUUUCAAUAAUGAAACACUAAUUCCAAAAACCAACUUGGCCACAACCGCUAACAUUAAACCUUAAUAAAAUGGAAACUAGCCUUCCGAUGUUCAAUCACUUACCCAAAACAGAAAUAGUAGCCUAAAAUAGUGCCUAAGUUGUCAAAAAGAUGUGGUACGCACCACUCUCUUCUCUUAUCAGAAACCAAAAUAAUUAAUAAUCGGAUAAUACAAACUACUAUAUCCCUAAUCAACAAGUGGAAAGAACUAGUUAAUCUUACCUUUAAGGAACACCCUUGCAAGACUUACUCGUCAGAAAAUAAAUGAUAGAGAAAUGACAAUAGAUUAGCAAAUACUGAUAUCAACAUUUUGGGUAGCCAACAAAGGAGAAAAGAGAGAACAACCAAAUUAGAAAAUGGGAAAAAAAUGGAAAAGAGAGACGAUAGAAAGUGUGAGGGAUUUUAGGAGAAUUUUUGGGAAAUUUAAAAUAAUAAAAAUAAACUACCCACUUCCCUCACUCAAAGAAAAAAAAUUCAAACCUAAAACCUCUCACACACAAGCACAACACUUAACCAUUGAACCAAAUUAAAUCACUUAACAUAAUUUUCACAACCUCAAUUCAAAAGCCGAACAUAACCCCUCUUGGUUUCACUGACUUGGUUUUCAGAUUAUGACAAUUAAUUGCAUAUAAUGACUUAAGUUUAGACCCCACACCUGAUUUGAAAACACCAAACCUUAGUUUUUGAGAGGAGAUUGACGAUCUACUUGAAGAGGGAUUGAUUUUGAAAACUUUGACUCAUUUUGCUUUGAGAGUUGAUUUGAAGAGAAAAGAGCUUGAGGGUGCUUUUCUUAAAAGUUUGCUAGAUAAAAUUCUAGGGUUUGCAUAAAAUUGAUUAUUUAUAAAACAUAUUUUUCCUUAAUUGAAAUAGGUUUUCCUAAUUCAUGUAAAAUUAGAAAAAAAAUUUAAAAUAAGGACUAAAUUGAAAAAAAUUGGGCUGGGCUAAUUUGAAAAUUUGACACUUUUGUGGGAUAAAAACAAAAAAUAUAUAUUGGUUGAAUACACACAAGGAAUUAUGAACUUGUCACCUAUAGGUAGACUAAGGCCUUACCACUAAACCAACAGACUCAUUCUUACUAUCUUUUAACACAAAUAAAAUUUAAGGCAUACUAAAGGCUUGUUUAGCAUUACUGUGAAGAAGCACUUUUGGCUUAAAAAGCACUUUUGAGAGAAAAGUUAUUCUAAACAAGUAAUUUUUGGCUAAGAUUUUUGACUUUUCAAAAGCACUUUUGGCCAAGUGGAGAAGUUAAAAUUUUUAGCUUUUCUUCCCCCAAGAGCACUUUUGAGUGCUUAAUUACUAUUCCAUCCCUCCAAGAACACAUUUUAAAAUAAAAUAAUAUAAAUGUGUUAAUAUUUAAUUACAAAUAUUUAAUGGUUUUAUUUAAAUAUUUAAAAUAUAGUUUAUUCUAAUUAAAUUUUAUAAAUAAUUAAUAUUUAUUACUUAAAAACAUUUAAAAUUUAUAUUUCAUAUAUUAAAAUAUUAAAAAAAUUGUAAUAAAUUAUUUUUUAUAUUCUUACUAAAAUAUCAUAAUAUUAAUUAAUUUUAAUAUUAUUUAAAUGCAUAUUUAUUACUUUAUAAUAUCAUGUCUAAAAUUGACAUUUUAUUUCUCAAAAGUACUUUUUGACAUUAAUACUAAACACUUAAAUCUUAAACUAAACUUCUCAAAGAUACUUUUCCACCACACUUUUUAAAAGCACUUUCCAAAAUCAAUGCUCAACUAUCUCAAACUCUCUUACCUUAUACUUUAAAAGAGAAAAAAAGAUUUUAAAUUUUAUCCCUAUUUCUUUUAACCCAAUUUUUAGGAUGUCAAACAUUUAUAAAUAAAAUAAGAAAAAGGAAAAAAAAGCAUCUACAUAUUGAUGGGUUUUUUUCAUUAGGAGACUUUAUUUUUAUCGCAGGUAAAAGUUUUUAUGGAGAGGAUCAUGUAAAAUUAUGAUUUUCUGUGUUUUCUUCUUUGCUGACUUUUUUAAUGUCAUUUUCUAUCAUGAAAGAAACUUAAAGAUUCACUAUGUAUUUCUCAACCACUAUGAAAUUACUUGACUAUGGGGGUAGAAUUUUCUCACCAAUUUUCUAACAUGAGAUUUUUUGAAUGAGACAAAUAUUCAAUUUUAACACAAACAUAUAUUUAGGGUUAUAGUUUAGUUAUUGAGAGCGUUUCCCAUAAUUAGUCACCCCUAUUUGUGAGUGAUUAGGGGAUAAAAGCUUAAACAUUUCUAGAUCACAUUGCAUUUAAGACGUGUGUUUGGAGUUAUAUGAUAUUUUAACAUAGACUGGCUUUUCUAUAAAGAGUCCUUGCUUUACUUUGGGGGGAUUCUUCCAUUUAGCGUGGUCGUUGUUAUUACUCACCAACAAUUAUUGUACUGUCAUCCUUAUUCCUACCCCACCUACAGAGAAGUUUCAUUCGAAGAUGUCCUUUUUUCUUUUAAUAUUUUUUAUAUUUUCAUGGAUAUGAGGAGAUACUCAAUAUUAUUAUAUUAUGAAAUUUUAAUUCACUCAAAAAGUAAGUGUUUUAUUUCAAGGGAUUAAUAUUAGCUCUCUCUUUUUUAAAUUUUGAAUUUUUUUUACAACUGCUUAAUUAACAAUGUAUGGUGUUAUAGGGGUGUUUUAACCUUUCCUAUGUAUAAUCGACUCCUGAACCUUUUUUCCUUUAGAAUUCAAUGCAUACCUCAAAUUUGUCUUUUUAAAAGAUUUUUAAAAUCUCUUUAUAAAAGAUGAUCACACUUAACAAAAAUGAUCCUGACCACUUUUCUUUAAUAAAAUAUUAUGUUUUUGCAAAGACCAAAAUUUUCAUAUUUUUCAAGAAUUCCUCAAUCUAAUUUUCUUUUUGAAUUUUUAUUUUCAAGAGGAAAAUGAUCCCUACAAUUAAUAUUUAUUUUCUUCAUUUUUAAAUUUUUUUUAAGGGAGAUGAAUAAUGGAAUGAUAAUUUUUAGUUAAGGUAAAGUAAAUUUAAUUAUGUACAACCUUCAACUAUUAAUUUUUUCAAUUUAAUUACAUAAUUUUUUAAAACUAACACUCUUUUAUUAGUUGUCACUAGUUGAGGGACGAAAAGUUGAUUUAGAUUUUUUUAUUGACCUAAUAACAAAUUUAAAUAUUCAAAGUUUACUUAUUCUAUCAAUUUAAUGCUAAAUUUAAAAAAUUCAACAAAUCCUAUCAAAAAACAAUUGGACCCUCUCUCACUCUUAGCAAUACACACUAUCAUACAUGACACAUCACCAUCUUCAACUCACCCGACCAUUGACACCGCUAACAAUCUCCACUCUACUUUUUUUUAAUGAAAAUUAAUGAAAAUAUAUAAAUAAUCACUCAACUAUAAGUGUAUUUAUAGUUUAGUCAUUUAAAUUUAAAAUUUUAAUUACAGUAUAAAAAUAAUUAUCUAACCAUUCGAUUUAUUCUAUUUUAAUCUAACUUUUCCACAAUUGUACAUCUCUGGGUGGGCACAAAAACUUGUACAUUUCUUGAUGACAUUUAAUUCAAUUGCAUUUAGGAUCACAUAAUUUUCUUUCAUCCUUUUCAUUAAUAAACUGUUUCAAAAACAAUACCACGUCGACAAUAAAUUUGCUAUUACACAUUCAAUUUUUGGACGUGUCGUUGAAAUAUUAAUUUCACUUAAGCUAUUGACAGACUUUUCAGUUUUUAGUCUCUUUCCGUAGAAAAAUUCAUAACAAUCAGUCAAAUAGAAUUGAGUAUACAUGAUUAUACCAAUGCGGUAUUUUUCAAAAAAUUUUAAUGCAGAUUUUUCAGAAAACGUCCUACCCAAAUCCUCUACACGCUUGAAUAGAGUUCUCCAGAACUUAUCCAUAAAAAAAAAACACACCAAUUGAGUCAUCUCAGGUUGCCCAAGAAUUGAUGACUCGCCACCAUGGGAUGCCCGACAACGAUGGCUUAUCACUAUGCAAUUAAACUGUUAGAUCAGAUAAUUGUGGUCAAGCCAUUGAAUUGCAUCUCAACUGCCAAAACAAAAAUAUGUGGUGAAGCCACUAUAUUCCAUCCAAGCUGCCAAAUAAAAAUAUGUGGAUAAACCAUUAGAUAGUGCAGACCAUUAAACUGCCAAAACUUCCUCCCUUCCAUAUUAUCCCAACCCCAUGCAAUGUGACAUAGCAUGCAUUUACAGAAUCAAAGCGGCAAGCAUAUAAGACAUGUAGUCGUACCGUAAUAGAAUUUAGAAAGCAUGGCAUUCCACUCUUUUACAGAACAGAUGUAUCACAAAUUCAACAUAAGCAAAUUGGUAUGCUAUAAAGUCACAUGCAUGAUCACAUAGCAAAAUCAGAAACAUAAAAAUAACGUAACCAAACCUUAUAUAAUCAUAUACAAACAUAACAAUGCAAAUCAUGCUACUAGAUUCAUUAGAAAAUAGUUCAUGCACACGAAUUUCACAUACCUUAUUCAUAUCACCUACAAUAUCAAAUUAUCAGAUAUUACAUUUUCAAAGUCAGUUUUACACUGUACGAACCUACAAAGUGGCUAAACAUGAUUCAUGAAUCAAAACGAGCCUAAACGAAAUUUUUUAGAAAAUGGGCCAACAUGGCCCAAUUAGCCUAGGCCGUAUGGCGUCGACUGUCCAAGUUUCGACUUUCAGCAGUUCAUUAUUUUUUGAGUUUUUCGAUAUACACCUUACUAUUUUCCGAAGCAAAAUCAUGGCAAGAAUUCCAAAACCUAAAAUCCAUAUUCAACCCACUCAAAUUAUCAAUGAAACCCAAUACUAAAUCGUUAAACAACCAAAAUUGCUACCAAUAAACCUUAUCAAACCAAGAAUCAACCUUUUGGCAUCUGACUACUUACCCAGAAUAGUAGCAGCAGUACUAAAAAUCUCUCAAUUCAUCGGAAGACUAUUUGUUACAGAAACAUCACCUAAACCAAAGAUUUCAGAGUAAUCAAAAUCGCGUCACACAAAGAAGGAAACAAAUUAACCCCAAAAUUGUGAAACUCAACAAAGUACGAAUCUUUUCACAUAUUCCUUACCACCAACCGUCAAGAUUGCUCAAAAACCACUAAUGACACUGACCUUCGCAAGGUUAAAUUGAAACCAAAAGGCAACUAAAGAUGGAACAAAGGUUGUUAUAAAAAAAAUAUUAACAAAGACUUAUUGGAGCAAAAAUGGUGAAAAAUCAAGAAUAGGGAGAUUGGAAAAAAAAUAAUGAAACGACAAAGAGAAGGAGCGGGAAAGUGACGGCAGUUUGCGGAGAGAUUUUGGGUAAAUAAAAAGUAACUCACCACUCAACCCAUUAAAUCUGAUUACCCUCUAAACAGAUUCCCUUAGCAUUUAAAUUCAACCCAAAUACCACUACUUGGGCAGCAUAGUGUAAGGAAAUAAAAAUAUUUCUACUUUGCACACAUGAGGUCUUGAACACGAAACCUUAGGGUAAUUUGAAGCCUUACCACUAAAUUAGUAGGCUCAUCCUUGAAAUUAAUUGAACGAAAAUAUUACUUAUGUCAGAUGAUCAGGGAUAGAGGUUAAGACCAAAGAUGACAAAAAUUCAAAGGAAAGAUUUAAACCUAGAACCUCACACACACAAGCAUAACACCUAUCCACUGAACCAUAUUUACUCCAUUGACAUAAUUUUCACAAUAUUAACUAAAAAUUCAGAAUAUGGUUACUCUUGGUUUCACUUACCCAGUUUCUUCUAACCCAAUUUUUGUGAUGUGACAACUCUCCCCUCCUUAAAAGAAUUUCAUCCUCGAAAUUCUUGCCGUGACACCAUACACUUAACUACAAAAUCUAAAAUUCCCUAGUCCAAACCUACCACCAGGCUAUCAUUGUACAACUCUAAUCUCCAUUCAAGUCCGAUCCAAACAAUAUUUCAGAGGAAUUUCCUAUUCACUACCUCGGAUUACCUUAAUAAGCUUUCCACAGAAACAUCACUAAUGAUCCUGUAAUAGGCCCAAUUUGUCCGGGCCCGCAUGCAUAAACCAAAUAAAAGAAUAAAUAAAGGCCAACAAUUCCAAAGUCCAUUUACAUUUGUCCAAAAGACCCAAAUUACAUCAGCCCAAAUACUAGAACCUAGCCCAAAUACAAUUUGACCCAAAACAAGCCUUCAGAAACCCUAGUAGCAGCACACGACCCCUAGCGCCGCAGCGGCCAGAAUUUCCUCCGCGCGAGUUGCGCCUUCACACGCGUGUGCACCUCCGUCCAUUGAUCCAGGCUGGCCUCCAAAUCUGCAAACAAACAAAAACAACAGAAAAGGCAACAAAAAUACGAGAAAAAGGGGAUAACAGAUUGGAUUUUGGAGGCAUUUUAUUUUGAGUUUUUCUGUAAUUCUGGCUAUAAAAAGCCAAUACGAAUACUGUAAGAGGGACGGAAGGAAAUAAAAGAAAUACUAAAAAUACAGAGGAAUUAGAAGGUGAAUCGCGUCUUUUUUUUUAUCUAUUCUCUGUUUCUUUACUUUUGAUUGUGUUUUACAAACAAAAUUAGAAAAGGAGGAAGGGGUUUUACCUUUGAAUCUUCGCCGUUGAAGCCCACACUCGCUUCGCUCCAAUCGGGAGCCUGGCGAAGGGCUAAGACCCGAAGCGCCUUUGAACGGUAGGCAAGUGGCGAUUUAGGGCGAAUGAUGAAACCCUAGCAGAGGGUGUUCUGCUUUCUUUUUAUUUAUUUUUCCUGUUGCAAGAAUGGUUUUUAGGAAAAAAAUUGUUUUAAAUAACAGUGGUGAAACGGCGCCGUUUAGGUGGUCAUGACCCGCGCAGUGACCCGACCUAGAGGGGAGGAUCCGCACGUUCUGGCUGAAGGUGAAAUUUGCGCAAUUGGUCCCUCCCUUUUGUAACGCGCUUCAAUCAAAUCUGUUUUGUUUUUUUUAAAUUGGACCACAUAUUUAAUUUUUUGUUUCAAUUUGGCCCAUCGCUGCGCAGCAUUUUGGAAGGCGGGGAUAAUUUCCUUUUUGGUCUUCCACUGUUGUGCUCGCAUUCAAUUUAGUCCUGUCUUCAAAUUUAUUUCAAAUCCACCCCACUUUUUUUCUUUUUAAUUCAAGCUAGUCCAUUUUUAGUUAUUUUUAUUAUUAUUUUUUAUGAUAUUAUCAUUAUACCAUUAUUAUUAUUACAUUAUUUACUAUCAUUAUUACUAUUGUACUUUCUAUACAUAUACAUACGCAUAUUUUAUAUAUAAUAUAUUCAUAUUUUUAACAUAGAUAUAUUUUUUUGAGCUUUUAUAAAUAUGCAUAUAUUUGAUAUAUACAUUUUUUUUAUUUUCCUAAUUUUUAUAUACUUUAUAUUUUAUCUAAUACAUAUACGUUUUAUAAUACACUUUCCGCAUUUUAUAAUUUAAAAUACACAUACGUUUUUUAAUAUUUUUAUGUACAUGUUUUUUAAAAAUCAUUAUAAAUAUUUUUAUUAUUUACAUAUUCUAUUAUUUUAUAUACAUAUUGUACAUAUAUACGUAUUUAAAUAUAUACGAAUGCGAAUUUUCAUGAUUUACCAAUACACUUAUACAUUUUUAUUUUUUAAAUAUAUAUAUACAUAUAUAUACUUUUUAUUUUAUUUUCACGAUUUUCAAAUACAUACCUGCAUUUUUUAUUAGUUUUUGAUUGAUACGUUCUAUUCCAUCUUUAUAUGCAUCAUUGUAUAUGUGUGUUAAAUAUAUGUGUACACAUGUUUGCAAAUUUACUUAUUGUACUUGUAUAUAUAUAUUCUAUAAAUAUUUAUUCAUAUAUGUUUUAAAUUGAGGUAUUUGUUUCAUAUUGUACAUUAACUUUUUAACAUACCUUUUAGGAAAUUUAUAUUUUGGUUUCAUCGAAACAUCAAAAUCAUUUUCUCUUGAUUUAAAGGUUUUUUUUUGAAAUAAAAGCAAUAUUCAAAGUUUGGGAUUUUCGAGGAAAUUGAGCCCUAACGUAUUGGGUUCCGAUUUUCUUUGUUAAUCUUAAAUAGCUGAGAGUAUUCUUUAUUCAAAAUGCAUGAGUAUAAAACUUGUCAUCGAGAAUUCAAUAUGUUGUGUCCUAACGUAUUGGAUGUGACACGUUGAUUUCUCGAGAUAAAGAUUUCUUUUUUAAAAAAAUAAAAUGAUAAAGGAAAUAUUGAAUGUUUGGGAUUUUAGGAAAUUGUGCCCUAACGUAUUGGGCUGCGAUUUCUUCAUAAAUUUUAAACAAUUAAAUAUUUUCUUAAGUUUUAUUACAUGAGUUUUUUUGGACCAACUCGUCUUGAAAAGAAUAAAAUAUUGCGCCCUAACGCAUUGGGUGUGAUAUUUACCUUUUUCAAAAUGAGAAAGUCUUAAUAAAUAAUUUAAUUUAACUAAGGAUCAUAUUUAUUAACUCUCGACAUUAAGACACUAAUUAAUCAAUUUGGUACCAAAUUUUGGGCAUUACGAGGGUGCUAAUCCUUCCUCGUACGUAACUGACCCCCGAACCUGUUUUUCUAAAACUCAUAGACCAAAAUCAUUUUAGGUUAUCCAAUCACACCUCAAUAAAAGAUUGGUGGCGACUCCCAAUUUUUGUUUUUUUUUUAAGUGGAGAACUAAAUUUUUGUUUUUUUUCUAAAAAUAAAAAAAUGGUUUCGACAGCUUGGCGACUCCACUGAGGACCUUUUUAAAAAAAAGAGUCGAGCCACAAAGUUGAUUAAUUCUUCUCUUAUGGUCAAAAAUUUCAUUUUUUUAAAUUCAUGGUAUCCUGUUGCAUUCAUUAUUUCUUGCUUAAUGGAUUUAAGUAUUGUUCGCAUUACACAUUACAUGAGUGGAAUAAUUUUACCCUUUUAAGUGGGAGCGAGAAACUAGUCCUUCGUGAGGUUUUCACCUCCGUGCAGGGUAGUGGACCUCUUCCGGAAUACAUCCGUACCGUACCAAUGUCUUCGUGAGAUUUUCAUCUCCGUGCAGCCAUAGGGAAAUGUAUUCCCCUGAACUGAACUUGGUCCAUAUGAGCCUAUAAUGGGUGACGAUUGAGGAAUCUGCUAGUUCGGGUACCUUUACUUUAGAACCAAAUCGCAUAUAAUGAACCUUAGGAACUUGCCCUAGGUAGAACUAUGCCAAACCCCUAGAGGUAACCCGAGUAGAUACUUUAUUUAUUUGCUUUUACUUUGUACUAACUUGUUUUUUAUGUUGUUUUUAUUAUGAUUGCAUUGCAUUUGCAUCUUAAAAAAGAGGUGUUGAUUCACGUUCAGUUGCUAAAUAGAGAGCUUGUCAUAAGAAAAUGGGUUUCUUGAUAAAGUGGGUGACAAUAUGGUUGUUCAAAUAGGGUCCAAGAACACGUGAUAAAAGAAGGAUGAUAAUUUAAUAGAGGACUACACGACUAUGGCUCCGUUGCCCAAGGAUUUAAGAUGACAAAGAUUAUUUGAGAGCUGCUGAACCUUCUUAAAGAGAAGCCAACGAGUAUCACGAGGAUGAGCGAGAAAUAAGUUACGGCCUGAAUCGAGCAAAAAGGAGAUAGAAGAGACGCUUUUUGAAGAGUUAGUGAGAUUUAUCUUAACGUUCGAAUGAAGAAGAGGAUUGAAUAUCUCCGCCUAUGAGGGCAAAGCCGUAUAAAUAUCCAUUUAUGUAAAGAGAUUUAUUUUCUAGUAAAGUUUUCUAAAUGGAAUUGAAUCAGAAUCAACAUCUUUUUAUGCAUUCAUUACAUGCAUUCACAUUGCAUGACAUCAUAAACAUUAAAGUCUACUAAAAGAGCCUAAUCGAUUAAAAUCAUUCCUCAGUUAAUCUGGAAGCCAACCAGCCUACUAAACACCACUACGAUACUCGAUCAAAAACUAAGGACAUGGAUCAAAUGAUGGAAAGGCUAGAACAGGUCUAAAAGGAAAUGCAGGAGAAGCUUCAACAGCAAAUGAAUGAGCAGCAAAAAAUGAUAGACAAAAUGAUGAAAUCUCAAGGGAGUAUGAUGGCUCAGUUAACUCAAUGGUUGAACAAGGGAGCUGAUAAAGGAAAAGGCUCUGUGCUCAAUGUUGAAGAAGGUGACAAUGAGGGACCAGGCUUGACCCCUCAGCAUGGGCAGACCCAAGUAGAGGUAUAUCCACACAAAUCCUCUGUCACUAUCAAGCCUCAGCAGUUUCAAGUCAGUGCUAUAACACCAAUGAAUUUUCAAGCUAGAUCAGACCCUAACCCCAGAGAUGACCUUGUUAAUCCUGAUAUCCCUGACUUUGACGAAACAGCUGAAAAAGAGAAAAUGAAUGGUGAAUUGCCAAAACAGCUCAAAGAAAAGUAUAAAUGGCUGGAGGAAAAACUUAGAGCGAUGGGAAGUACUGAGGGCUACCAUGGAAUUGACGCUAAAGAAUUGAGCUUGGUUCCGGAUUUAGUACUCCCUUAUAAAUUCAAAAUGCCUGAGUUUGAGAAGUACAAUGGAACUAGUAGCCCCGAAGCUCAUAUUACCAUGUUUUGUAGGCGGAUGACUGGGUAUGUUAAUAAUGACCAACUGCUGAUACAUUGUUUCCAGGAUAGCCUCGCAGGGGCAGCAUCCAAGUGGUACAACCAACUGAGCCGUACCAAGAUUAAUUCAUGGAGAGAUUUAGCACAGGCAUAUAUAAAGCAGUACAAUCAUGUAACUGACAUGGUACCUGAUAGAAUCACUCUACAGAACAUGGAAAAGAAGCCUAGUGAAAGUUUUAGGCAGUACGCACAGAGUUGGAGAGAGGUUGCUGUCCAAGUCUAGCCAUCUCUUCUAGAAAGAGAAAUGACAAUGCUAUUCAUAAAUAUAUUGAAAGCUCCGUUCAUCACACAUAUGUUAGGGAGUGCAACAAAAAGCUUUUCUGACAUAAUCAUGAAUGGUGAAAUGAUUGAAAGCACCAUAAAGAGCGGAAAGAUUGAUGCUGGAGGAAAUAACAGAAGGAAAGCCUCAAAAGAAAAGGAAAAUGAGGUGAACAGCGUGAAUACGUACGGAAAAUCGAUUGCUAAUCAACAGGAUUCAUCAAGGCAAGAAUUAGGUGUGAAGCCAGGUACUGAAAAGCUCCAGUUCACGCCUAUUCCAAUGUCGUACAAGGAGCUGUAUCAAAGCUUAUUCAAUGCGCAUGUUGUUUCUCCUUUACAUGUGAAGCCUCCAUAGCCCCCGUAUCCCAAAUGGUAUGAUGCAAGUGCACAAUGUGAUUAUCAUGUAGGAAUUACGGGGCAUUCUAUAGAAAAUUGCAUUACCUUUGAAAAAGUGGUUGAAAGGCUUAUCAGUAUGGGCGUUGUCAAAUUUGGCGAUUCAUCUAGUGUAGAAAAUCUGCUACCCAAUCACAUUUGAUAAUGGGGGUGAAUGAGAUGUAUGAAGAAAUGUUGAGAGGCGUUCACAUUAAUGCCAUUUUUGAAGACACAAUUUACAAGGGUCCUUGGAGAUAUUCGCCCUUAUCAACUUAGAGGUGUCCUAAGUAAUUGAACUGCGGAAGAAAUCUCUGUAGUUUUUAGAGCUUAUUUAGAGUAAUGUUCAGAACAAUUUUGUUGUUUUUAGCCUAAAAAUGAUAAAAAUUCCUUUGCGAAAUAGGCUCAUGUCUAAACGUCAUUAUUCUAAUAAAAUACAUCUUUGCAUUCAUUUUUGAGCCAAUAUUUUUUCAUUCUUUUUGAAAUAAUUAUUCUUUCAUUCUUUUGGAUUUUCUUCCACAUCAUUCUUUCAUUCAUAAUUAUAUUGUACAAAUAAUUAUUCGUAAAUUCACACAUUCUUUUUAUAUAUUCUUUUGCGCUUACUAUGGGUCCCCAAAUAUCAAUAACAUGAGUGACGCUGCUACUGACUCAGAAUCUUCUUCUGAGCGAGACAUGUGUUUAGAGGGAUCUCAUGACUUUGAAGAUGACAUAGAUCGUAGCCUAUUUCUGUACCUGUUAAGGAUGGUAGAACAAGUCGAGAAACGGAUCUUACCCUACAAAGAAUCACUGGGAUACAUAACUUCUCUUUAUGUGGGGCAUGAAGGUUAUUUGGUCAAUCUAGCCAAAAGAGUCUGACGAUCAUCGAUUCAUCUUUGUGGUCAUCAAUUACUUUACUAAAUGGGUGGAAGCUGCUUCAUAUGUCAAUGUCACAAAGUCGACAGUUAGCAAAUUCGUGAAGAAUCAGUAUGGAACGCCAAAAGGAUCACAUCUGACAAUGUACUAAAUUUGAACAACAGCACAAUAUCAAAAGUUUGCAAUCUGUUCAUGAUUAAUGCCAUAUCGCCAAAAAAAAAUCUAUACCGGGGCAAAGUUUUUCUCUUGGGUCCAUCGCGGUUUUGUCUAUUAAAGAUAAGAUUCUUUCUCUCUGAGUUUUUGGAUCCAAUUCCGAUUGAAGAUGAAUGUUCAAAGUUAUCCAUCAUAAUCAAAUGCGCCAAAAGCAAAUGAUGCGAGCUCACAAAAAGGUCCGCUUUAGAGAAUUCCUCGAGAGGGACCUGGUAUUGAAGAAGACCCUUCCCAUGCAAAAAGAACUUUAUCCCAAGCUGGGAAGGACCUUAUGUAGAAGGCCUUAUUUAGAAAAGUGUCAAUUUUGAUCAGAAGGGAUAACAAGGGCAUGCCUAAUCCUAUGAGUUCAGAUUAAAUCAAAAAAUAUUUCAAAAUAAUAGCAAAGAAAAAGAAAAAAACAAAGAAAAAGAAAAAAGGAGAGGACAAGGUGAAAAUCUGCAAAAGACGCCUUGAGACCAAAGGUGGAUUUGAGUUAAAAACCCGAAAAGGGCGGCUCAAAUAUUGAUCAGAAUGGGGCAUGAAGUGAUGAGAGCAACUUAAAUUUUGAUCAGAUUGGGGCAUAUGAUGAUAUUGCUAUACUUGAACCAAUAGGAAAGGGUAGGCGACAUCUUGGGGCAUCGACAAAGCGCUGUAGAUCUCCUAAACUCAUGUCAAACUCAGAAUGGUCUUCAAAAAAUUUGUACAGAGAAGCUCAAGCUACGAUAUCUGGGGCACCCAAUUUUCAAACUAUUUAUGUUGAAUUUGUUGUUAUGGGAAUACUUCAUUCUUUUCCAAGAUACACAUUCCCAAUCAAUUUCUUUGUUAUCCUUCUUUACUAUUUUUGAUAAUUUAUUCCUUUUGAGCUAUGCUCAGAACUAACUUUAUUCUUAUCCAUUGUUAUGACAUUUUUGCAAGCAUGUUGCAUUGGAAUAAUGAUUAAUGGACUAAUAAAACUUCCACAAGGGAGGUUUUGCAUAUUACUCUAGAAGUUUCUAAAUAAUACAGGAACCUGAAACAGGACUAUUGUUUAGAAAGCACCAAGUUUAAAGGUUGGAAAUCUGAGAAGGAAGAGUCUAAAUUAAGACUUUCUCUUGGGAUUUUAUUGUCAAAAACAUUGAUUGAACAACAUGACAAGAUGUUAGUUUGGUGACAAAGCUUAAAUGAAGAAGCAAGUAAUGAUCACCAGACAAUAGGAAGAGGUUACCUCAGAGAAGAGAGUCUUUAUUUGAGCAUGAGUCUUUGGUACAACGCCUUGGGAAUGGUGUAAAGGACCAGAAAGAUUUAGAUCCUGUAUCCUUGAAUUGUUAUAGGAAAUGAUUAAGGAAAAGCCACAUAUUUUUACCAUUGGAUUACAGUGGGAGAAUGAUGGUACAAAUUUUGCACCCCAAUGGAUUAAACUUGGAGGUUCACAGUGAGGGGCAACCUAGCUAAAUGUUUCUUCAGAAAAGCCAGCCAAGUAAGAAGGUGUUGUAGCACGUCAGUCACAAAGCCUUAAUAAACUUCGAGUAAUGACAACCUAAGCGGGAUCAUUCUCGAAAAAAAUAAAAUUUUGCAUUCAUGCAAACACCAUUCACACAUGUCUAGUUAGGAGUAUUUGAUGCUUUUUAUCAUGCCAUCCUAAUCAUUAGGCAUAAUUAGGUUCAUUAUACAGGUCAUGUUCCCCAAAGAACAAAUCAGUGAAAAUAGCAGAUCUUACCUUCCUGCAUCGACAGCAAAGUAGAUCAAAAACAAAGCUUUGCCUUCCUCAGUUGUAGUGGAGCAGGUUAAAGAUAGCAGAUCUUGCCUUCCUGCAUUGACAGUGGAGUAGAUCGAAGAUGGAGGAUUUUACCUCCCUGUGGUUAUAGUGGAGUACAUUGAAGCCAGUAAUUCUACUUCCCUGGGAAACAGUAGAAUAGAUUGAAGAUUUCAGAUCUUAUCUCCCUAAGCAGUAGUGGAGCAGAUCGAAGAUGGUGGAUUUUACCUCCCUAUGGUUACAGCGGAGUACAUUGAAGCCAGUAAUUCUAUUUCCCUGGGCAACAGUGGAAUAGAUUGAAGAUUUCAGAUCUUAUCUCCCUAAGCAGUAGUGGAGCAGAUCGAAGAUGGUGGAUUUUAGCUCCCUGUGGUUACAGUGGAGUACAUUAAAGCCAGUAAUUCUACUUCCCUGGGCAACAGUGUAAUAGAUUGAAGAUUUCAGAUCUUAUCUCCCUAAGUAGUAGUGGAGCAGAUCGAAGAUGGCAGAUUUUACCUCCCUGUGGUUACAGUGGAGUACAUUGAAGCCAGUAAUUCUACUUCCCUGGGCAAGAGUGGAAUAGAUUGAAGAUUUCAGAUCUUAUCUCCCUAAACAGUAGCAGAGCAGAUCGAAGAUGGCAGAUUUUACCUCCCUGUGGUUACAGUGGAGUACAUUGAAGCCAGUAAUUCUACUUCCCUGGGCAACAGUGGAAUAGAUUGAAGAUUUCAGAUCUUAUCUCCCUAAGCAGUAGCGGAGCAGAUCGAAGAUGGCAGAUUUUACCUCCCUGUGGUUACACUGGAGUACAUUGAAGCCAGUAAUUCUACUUCCUUGGGCAACAGUGGAAUAGAUUGAAGAUUUCAGAUCUUAUCUCCCUAAGCAGUAGCGGAGUAGAUCAAAGAUGGUAGAUUUUACCUCCCUGUGGUUAUAGUGGAGUACAUUAAAGCCAGUAAUUCUACUUCCCUGGACAAUAGUGGAAUAGAUUGAAGAUUUCAGAUCUUAUCUCCCAAGAAAUAGCGGAGCAGAUCAAAGAUGGUAGAUUUUACCUCCCUGUGGUUACAGCGGAGUACAUAGAAGCCAGUAAUUCUACUUCACUGGGCAAUAGUGGAAUAGAUUGAAGAUUGUGAAUCCUAUCUCCCUUGUCAAUAGUGGAAUAGGUUGAAGAUUGAGAAUCCUAUCUCCCUGGUCAGCAGUGGAAUAGGUUGAAAGUAAACAAAUCCUAUCUCCCUAAAGUUAUAGUGGAGCGGAUUAAAAUGAUGGAUCUUAUCUCUUUGAAAUUACAGUAGAGCAGAUCGCAUCAAAUCCAUCUUUAUGCUGCAGUAGAUCAAGUUGAAGCUAUAAGUCUUAUCUCCCUGAAUUUGCAGUGGAGCAGAUUAAAAAUAGCAAAUUUUGAGAAACUACAAUGUACAAAUCCUAUCUCCUUGACAUUGCAGUGGAGUAGAAGAUGCAAUAGGAGAGAAUGAGGCUACUUGAAGAAGAAGAGUACCAAGAUCCAGCACAACCGGGCAAAAUUGAGCAUUUUUAAGUCUUUGCUCUGUUCCCACUAUGCGACAACGAGCAAAGAGGGGCAGCUGUAAUAGGCCCAAAUUGCCCGGGCCCGCAUGUAUAAACCAAAUAAAAUAAUAAAUAAAGGCCAACAAUUCCAAAGUCCAUUUACAUUUGUCCAAAAGACCCAAAUUACAUCAGCCCAAAUACAAUGUAACCCAAAACAAGCCUUCAGAAACCCUAGUAGCAGCACACGACCCCUAGCGCCGCAGCGGCCAGAAUUUCCUCUGCGGGAGUUGGCCUUCACGCGCGUGUGCACCUCCGUCCGUUGCUCCAGGCUGGCCUCCAAAUCUGCAAACAAACAGAAACAGCAGAAAAAGGCAACAAAAAUACGAGAAAAGGGGGAUAACAGAUUGGAUUUUGGAGGCAUUUUAUUUUGAUUUUUUCUGUAAUUCUGGCUAUAAAAAGCCAAUACGAAUAUUGUAAGAGGGACCGAAGGAAAUAAAAGAAAUACUGAAAAUACAGAGGAAUUGGAAGGUGAAUCGCGUCUUUUUUUGAUCUAAUCUCUGUUUCUUUACUUUUGAUUAUGUUUUACAAACAAAAUUAGAAAAUGAGGAAGGGGUUUUACCUUUGAAGCUUCGCCGUUGAAGCCCACACUCGCUUCGCUCCAAUUAGGAGCCUGGUGAAGGGCUGAGACCCGAAGAGCCUUUGAACGGCAGGCAAGUGGCGAUUUAGGGCGAAUAAUGAAACCCUAGCAGAGGGUGUUCUGCUUUCUUUUUAUUUUUAUUUCCUGCUGCAAAAAUGGUUCUUAGGAAGAAAAUCGUUUUAAAUAACAGUGGUGAAACGGCGCCGUUUAGGUGGUCAUGACCCGCGCGGUGACCUGACCCGGAGGGGAGGAUCCGCGCGUUCUGGCUGAAGGGGAAAUUUGCGCAAUUGGUCCCUCCCUUUUGUAACGCGCUUCAAUCAAACCUGUUUUGUUUUUUUUAAAUUGGACCGCAUAUUUAAUUUUUUGUUUCAAUUUGGCCCAUCGCUGCACAGCAUUUUGGAAGGCGGGGAUAAUUUCCUUUUGGUCCUCCACUGUUGUGCUCGCAUUCAAUUUAGUCCUGUCUUCAAAUUUAUUUCAAAUCCGCCCCACUUUUUUCGUUUUAAUUCAAUUUAGUCCAUUUUUAGUUAUUUUUAUUAUUAUUUUUUUAUGAUAUUGUCAUUAUACCAUUAUUAUUAUUACAUUAUUUACUAUCAUUAUUACUAUUGUACUUUCUAUACAUAUACAUACGCAUAUUUUAUAUAUAAUAUAUUCAUAUUUUUAACAUAGAUAUAUUUUUUUGAGCUUUUAUAAAUAUGCAUAUAUUUUAUAUAUACAUAUUUUUUUUAUUUUCCUAAUUUUUAUAUACUUUAUAUUUUAUCUAAUACAUAUACGUUUUAUAAUACACUUUCCGCAUUUUAUAAUUUAAAAUACACAUACGUUUUUUAAUAUUUUUAUGUACAUGUUUUUUAAAAAUCAUUAUAAAUAUUUUUAUUAUUUACAUAUUCUAUUAUUUUAUAUACAUAUUGUACAUAUAUACGUAUUUAAAUAUAUACGAAUGCAAAUUUUCAUGAUUUACCAAUACACUUAUACAUUUUUAUUUUUUAAAUAUAUAUAUACAUAUAUAUACUUUUUAUUUUAUUUUCACGAUUUUCAAAUACAUACCUGCAUUUUUUAUUAGUUUUUGAUUGAUAUGUUCCAUUCCAUCUUUAUAUGCAUCAUUGUAUAUGUGUGUUAAAUAUAUGUGUACACAUGUAUGCAAAUUUACUUACUGUACUUGUAUAUGUAUAUUCUGUAAAUAUUUAUUCAUAUAUGUUUUAAAUUGAGGUAUUUGUUUCAUAUUGUACAUUAACUUUUUAACAUACCUUUUAGGAAAUUUAUAUUUUGGUUUCAUCGAAACAUCAAAAUCAUUUAUCUUGAUUUAAAGGUUUUUUUUGAAAUAAAAGCAAUAUUCAAAGUUUGGGAUUUUCGAGGAAAUUGAGCCCUAACGUAUUGGGUUCCGAUUUUCUUUGUUAAUCUUAAAUAGCUGAGAGUAUUCUUUAUUCAAAAUGCAUGAGUAUAAAACUUGUCAUCGGGAAUUCAAUAUGUUGUGUCCUAACGUAUUGGAUGUGACACGUUGAUUUCUCGAGAUAAAGAUUUCUUUUUAAAAAAAAUAAAAUGAUAAAGGAAAUAUUGAAUGUUUGGGAUUUUAGGAAAUUGUGCCCUAACGUAUUGGGCCGCGAUUUCUUCAUAAAUUUUAAAAAAUUAAAUAUUUUCUUAAGUUUUAUUACACAAGUUUUUUUGGACCAACUCGUCUUGAAAAUAAUAAAAUAUUGUGCCCUAACGCAUUGGGUGUGAUAUUUUCCUUUUUCAAAAUGAGAAAGUCUUAAUAAAUAAUUUAAUUUAACUAAGGAUCAUAUUUAUUAACUCUCGACAUUAAGACACUAAUUAAUCAAUUUGGUAUCAAAUUUUGGGCAUUACGAGGGUGCUAAUCCUUCCUCGUACGUAACUGACUCCCAAACCUAUUUUUCUAAAACUCGUAGUCCAAAAUCAAUUUAGGUGAUCCAAUCACACCUCAAUAAAAGAUUGGUGGCGACUCCCAAUUUUUGUUUUUUUAAGUCGACAACUAAAUUUUUAUUUUUUUCCAAAAAAAAAAAUUGUUUAAACAAAUCCUUUACCCCAGACUCUAAAAAACAUCACUUACCAGAAAAUACUGGUACAAACAAUUCUUAUCAAUGCACAGUACAUUUGGAACAUAUCAUAAAAGUACCUGUAUCAUUGUCAGAUGCAUCACGGCUCGCUUGAUACCUAGUUGCAUAUCCCCAUCUCGGAUUUUGUUUCUAUGCCGAAGCUUGUACCUAACUAAAAUAGUGUCGUGAGUAAUCCCAAACUCGAUACUCAACAGACCCACAUAUGAAACACGCUCCCAUUUUCCUCCAACAAUCGUCCGAAUGGUGCCUAUCACAGUAAGUACAAAUCAGAACCUCAACCGCAUUCACAAUUGCCUCACCCCGUUGAAGCCUGUCUAUUUUAGCCCGUUUCCUUGGUCAUGGAUUCAAGUAAAUAGAACCAUCACUCAUCUUAUUUCGCACUUUAUUCAUUACUUAUUCUCUCCCUCUGAGCAAUUACUCUCUACCGCUAACUUGACUUGAUACGCUUGAGGUCACUCAAUCACAGACUCUUGUCCCAUAUAUCCAAAUUGAGUUCCAUCGACCCUUUGCAAAUCUCUAAACACCUCUUGGAACACUGAAACAUCCCCUACUUCUAAACUGCCCUCAGAUUUGGGCGUCAUAGUAAACUUAUUUAUUUUCAAAUUGGGCUUACUGCCCUGAGAAGAGAACUUGGAUAGAGUCACCCGGCUAUGUCCACCACGCCCUCGCACAUCAUGACCUCGAGUACUUAUUAUACUAAUCUAGAGUUUGAGAAAUUUUAUGAAUUAGUUUAGGUUUAUUAAAAAUCAUAAGUCUAGAGUUUUAUCAAAGUUUCUUACAUAAUUACCAUAGUCUUUAGCUAGAGUAGAGUAAUCCUAGCACUAAAGUUUUGCUAGUUUGUCUAGUAUAGCUAAAGUAAAGAUACUUACAGGAUUGACGAUGUAGUUUUGGAUUCUCUUUUUAUAGAAUCAAAUAUAAAAAUAAUCAAAAUCUAGAUACCCAUUUUAGAAACCCAAAGUAUCAAAAUUAAUCAGAAAUUCAAUUUAUUUAAAGCAUAUUUAAUGGAGAUUUUUGAACCCAAAAAUCACAGCUCGAGUUUUGUUACCUUGCUCUGAUACCAGUAAAUGUAACAUCCCAAACUUGGCCUAGACGUUAUGGCCAAAUCUGGAAGGUUACAUCUGUACGAAAAAAAUUAUUUUUCCAAAGUGUGUUUUGUUACGAAAUUGAAAACCAAAGUUUAUGUAAGUUCGUCAUGAUUCCCCGAUAGGAAAAUUUGUAAAUUGUCAAAACGUAAAUGUGAACAUAUUAAUUAUUAACUUAAAAAAAACCUAGCCUUAUACAAUCAAAAUGCUAAAAUCAUUUGCUUUGUAAAACUUGUAAUUUUGACUAAAAUUUUUGCAACGACAAUUCCAAACUAAUAUUCAUAAAUUGUAAUUUCGUCAAGUAAAAAAGUUUUAUUUAGCUGAUUGGGCAUAUUUUAAAUUUACGUUAUUAAAUUUUGUAAAAUCUCAAUUCAUAUUUUUGUGGCAAAAAAAUCUUGGCUCGUAUAAUUUUGAAAACUCAACAUUGAUUGUUGAGUAACACAAAACAUACUGAACAAAAAACUUUAACUAAGCCAAAGAAACCCAAAGCAAAAUUAAAUUUGAGAAAUUAAACCAAAACCAAAAGUCCAGUAAAUCCAUUUAUUAACCAGAGUAAACCAUUUAAUUAGAGAAUCAAUUCGAGCUUCCGCACACUGCCCGAUUCUAACUUAUCGAUUAUCUAAAACAUCAGAAAUAAAACAAAUGGGUGAGCUAUAAAGCUUAGUGCAUAACUAAAACUCAAGCCGAGAUCACACACAAUACAAUAUACAAAUCAUAAAAUCAUAGGAAAUUUCAUAACAAUCAGUCAAACAGAAUUGAGCAUACAUGAUUAUGCCAAUGCGGUAGUUUUCAAAAAAUCAUAAUGCAAAUUUUUUCAGAAAACAUCCUACCCAACACCACUACACACCCGAAUAUAGUUCCCCAGAACUCGUCCAUCUAAAAACACACCAAUUAAGUCAUCUCAGGUUGCCCGAAAACGAUGACCUACCACCUCGAGUUAGUCGGCAAUGAUGACUUAUCAAUAUGCAGUUAAACUACCAUAUCAUAUAUUUGUGGUCAAGUGAUUGUAUUGCGGCUUAGCUGCCAGAUCAAAGGUUCCUAGUGUAGUCCCUAACAUUAUCAGGUGUUCUCGGCUCAGUCCUUUGGACGUUAAACAAAUAGAUUUGGAUAUCCAAUUAAUCAUAAAUUGCCAGGUGGUAUAUGCUGAAGUCACGAUAACAUCAUCAUCAAGAAAAAGCCAAAAAAAGCUUUAAAAAAUAUCAUAAAAUUCAAAUAAACUUAUAUAAAAUUAACUACAUUAUAAAUAUAUAAUUGUUCAAAAAAAUAAAAAUUCUUAUUUUUUUUUAAAUUUGUAAAAAAUAAUAAAAUUAUUAGAAAUUGUUAAAUAUUGUAAAACCAUUAUAAAAAUUAUUAGAAUCAUAAAAGACGGUAAAAAAUAAAAAGUUAAAAUACUAGUAAAAAUUGUCUAACUUGAAAUAAAGUAUACAUUUGGUAAUCAAAUUUAAAAUAUGGAAAAUUUGAUAUUAAAAAUGUAUAUAGUAAUACAAUCAAUUUUUAUAAAAAAAUAUUUUAAAAUAUUUUAAUAAAAAUCGAAUAAAUUUUAUAUCAAUUUUUUAAUAUUUUAAAAUACAUCAAUUUUUAGUACUUUACCAACGUUACUGGCAGCAAGUUUUUUUGACUCGAGUCCUUAUUUUUUGUCUUAAGUAGCUUCCUGCAUCUACCAUUUUGCACAUGGUUUUUCUAUUUUAUACCAAAGCUCUUUAGAAUAGUUAAACAUUCGACAAUAGUUCUUAAGAUAUUAGUUUAGAGACAAAUAAUUAUCUUGAGAUAGUAAAAAAAAUGAAAUAAUUAAAUAUAUUAUUUACUAGAAAUAAUAUUAUUUUUCAUUAUUUAAAUUAUUUGAGAAAAAAUUUAUUCAAGUUUAUCACGUAAAAGAUCUACCAAUUAUAAAUUCUGAUUAGUUGAACCAUAAGACAAUUGUUCUAGGUAGUAUCCUUCCAAGAGACAAUUAUCACAUGUUUAAACUCUAGUCAAUGUGAUUUAUAAAAUUUUAAAAAUAUUAAAAUAUCUAAUAUAUUUUUGAAAUUUAUGUAAUUUUUUAUAUUUUACAUAGUUUUUUUUGUAUUUUUUAAUUUUAGAUUUUUUCUAUUUUUAAAUAAUUUUGAUAAUUUUGUAAUUUUUCUUUUAUAAUUUUUGUCAUUUUUGAAGAUUUUUAAGGGUUUUUGUUGAUAAUGUCAUUAUGAUAUCAUCGUACGACAUGUGGUAGUAUAUGAUUGGUUGAAUAUCCCAAUGAAUUUUUUAUUGUCCAAUGAACUAAACUGAAAAUGUUUAAUAACAUUAGGGGCUGAAGUGGAUAAAAAUAUUUUAAAGACUAAAGUUAAAAAAGUGAUAUACUUGAGGGACACAGGAUCAACAUUUUCUAAAAGAUGGAAGUGUUUUUCAAUUUUUAAGGGAAUAGAAUUUUUUUGAGUGAAUAUAGAUUUGUGAGGGAGUAGUAAUAUUAUUAUUAGAGACAAGGCAUUUGAUUUUUAUAUAACUUUUUUAAUUAAGUCAAUAUCACUCAUUGAGUAAAACCCAACAUAUUAAGCACAUUAUUAUACUAAUUUAGAUUAAUAGGAAUGAUCAAAUUUACAAUUAAGGAUUAUAAAUUUAUUUAAUUCCAAUCUUCUACCUUUUUUUUAAGUUAUAAGAAUGGUUUUGCCUUAUAUUUUCUCCAAAUUGAGAUUUAAUUUAUAAUUUUAAUUUUGAUAUAAUUUAGUUUCUCAAUUUUUAUAAUACAAUUAAUUAGUUUAAAUACUUUAUUUUAAUCAAAAUGAUUAUAUUAAUUUUAAAGCAUUGUUAUCACUAUUAAAAUUCUUUACUAACAAUUAUUUAAAAUUAAGGUCUAUUGCUUUUGUUUUAGCUUACAUAUAGAUGUUUACAAUAUAAAAUUCUUUGUAAUUUUCAAUACAUAUUGCUUAAAUAAAUAGAAAAAGGAGUUUUAAUAAUGCACAACCAAAUAAUUUUUAUUGAUGUUAUAUUAUUUUGAUUUCUUAGACCUGUAUAUAGGGAAAAUAAAGUACUAUUGCCAUUUAAUCACUUUAAAACAAUUUUAAUGGGCUCUAGUCAUGCAAGAUUACCAUUAAAUUGAAUACUCAUAUAGAAGGAUUUAAUAUUUUUGUUUCUCAAAUCACAACUAAUAGUUAUUCAUAAUUUCUUAUUCAGUGUCAUUUUUAAGAUUGAUUAGAUGACAAAUUUUCAUGCCAAAGUUUUAUUUUUAUUUGAUUUAAAGUUUUACAAUAUUUAAAAAAUUAUAUAUUUUGUAAAUUUGAUAUUCAAUCAAUUUUAGAUGAUUUCAACCCAAGGCCUGAGCUAAGAAUAGUUUUAGUUUGGAGUACAAUAUAUAUACUAAAAGAUGCAAUUUUUACAAAUAACUUACAAAUCUAUGAUUAAAUCAAAUACUGGUAUGAAAUGGUUUAAUUAUUUGAUCAUAUUUUUCCAUGCUAAAAUUUUAUUUUUAUUUGAUUUAAAAUUUUACAAACUUUAUAUUGUGAAUUUGGUGUGCAAUGAAUAUGUGUACUAAAAGAUGUAAUUUUACAGGUAAUUUAUCACCCAUCACCAGUGCUGCAAAGCUUGAGAUUCUUUUAUUGUGGGGAAAUAAACUUAGCGGAAACAUUCCCAACUCUAUCUCCAAUGCUUCCAUGCUUAAGAAACUAGACUUGGCAGAUAAUUUAUUCUGUGGCCACAUCCCUAAAACGCUUGACAACUUAAGACACCUUGAAUGGUUCCAAAUUUCAAAUAAUAAUUUGAUCAGAGGACCUGCUACUGAUCAUGAGUGGACCUUUCUUUCUUCUUUGGCAAAUUGCAAGCAUUUGAGAAUAAUAGAUGUUUCAAGAAAUCCAUUGAGUGACGUUCUUCCAACUUAUAUCGGGAACUUUUCAAAAUCCCUUCAAUACUUUUAUGCCUCAAUUGUGAGAUUACAGACAAUAUUCCUAUGUAAAUAGGUAGCUUAAGCAACCUAUUGCUUUUACAACUUGGCUAUAAUAAAUUAAGCGGAUUUAUUCCAACACCAGUAGGAGGACUGCGAAUUUGCAAGGCUUACAACUUUCCUCUAAUAAAUUAGAGGGGCCUAUAUCAGAAAGCCUUUGUGGUUUGGAGAGAUUAUACUACUUGUAUUUAGGGCUGAUGGAUCCAUACCGUCUUGUUUGGGUAAUAUUUCUUCUUUGAGAUAUCUUUACUUAGAUUCCAACACACUGAGUUCUACAAUACCCUCAACUUUGUGGAAUCUUAAAGAUAUCUUAGAAAUAGAUUUAUCAUCAAACCAUCUUUACAAUUCACAUGCCAUUGAUGUUGGAGAUUUCAAAAGUCUACUAAAACUAAAUUUAUCAAGAAAUUUUAUCACUGGCGAUAUCUUAUCCACAUAUAGGGGUCUUCAAACUUUGAUUUCAAUAGAUUUAUUAAAUAAAAUACUACAUGGUCAUAUCCCUAGAUCAUUAGGUGGUUUGAUUAGUUUGGAAUUCUUGAAUUUAUGCAAUAACAAUCUCUCUGGAGCCAUUCCCAAAUCUUUGGAAAAGCUUUUAGAUCUAAAGUAUUUUAUUGUGUCUUUCAAUAGACUUGAAAGGGAAAUUCCCACCGAAGGAUGUUUUUCAAACUUUUCUAGCACAUCAUUCAUGAAGAAUUUUGCACUUUGUGGUCCACCUAGAUUGCUAGUCCCACCUUGAAAAAAUGACAUCCAAGAAAACUCCCAAAUGAAUAUAUUGCAUGCUUUAAGGUAUGGUUUACCAACAAUUGGUAUUGUCGCAGUGCUAAUACUCUUAACUAUUAUGUAUAGAAGAUGCCAAAGUAGGAGUACAACUCUACCAAUUCAGGAUGAUUUGUUGUCUUUGAAAACGUUGAGAAGAAUUUCACAUGCUGAACUUUCACAAGCAACUAAUGGAUUUGAGGAAAACAAUAUGCUUGGUUCAAGGAGUUUUGGAUAUGUAUAUAAAGAGAGAUUUUCAGAUGGAAUGGAAGUUGCAAUAAAAGUUUUCAAUUUGCAAACAGAAGAAGCAUUUAGGAGUUUUUACAUUGAUUGUGAUGCUAUGCGUAAUAUAGAUCAUCGUAAUAUUGUGAAGGUCACUACUUGCUGCUCAAGUGUUGACUUCAAAGCCUUGGUGCUUGAUUACAUGUCUAAUGGAAAUAUUGAGAAAUGGUUAUAUUAUUAAAACUAUUUCCUUGAUAUCAUACAAAGGGUUGACAUAAUGAUAGACGUUGCGGCAGCUAUAGAACAUCUCCACAACGGGCAUCCAACACCUAUAAUUCAUUGUGACUUAAAACCAAGCAAUAUUUUACUAGAUGAAGACAUAGUUGCACAUGUGGGAGAUUUUGGCGUUGCCAAAUUGUUGGGAGAAUGUGAUGUAAUGAAGCAGACCAUGACUCUUGCAACAAUCGGGUAUAUGGCACUAGGUGAAUUCUUUUAUUUUUGUAUGAUUAUUUUUCUAAUAUGCAUUUUAUAUUUUGUUUCAUGUGUAUGUGGAUAUAUAUUUGAAUAAUCAUUUUAGAAAUAACUAAAGAUUAAUGAUGCACUAAUUUUACUUGAAAUGCAAAAUUUGGAUCAACGGGAAUUGUUUCUAUAAAAUGUGACGUCUAUAGUUAUGAGAUUGUCCUUAUACAAACUUUCACAAAGAAAAAGUCAACUGAUAAUCUUUUUGCUGAAGAAGUGACUAUAAAGCAUUGGAUGGAAAGUUCAUUGCCAAAGGAGCAUGAAAAUCCCCAAAACCUAAAUUCUUUCCUUCUAGCAAUGAAGAGAUGGUGAGGGGAAGGGGACAAAAUCACGUCAAACGAAAAGAAAAAGAAAAGAAAAAGAACAAAAUUAAAUUUGACGUGAAAAUUGUUUUAAUACUUUUAAUUUGAGUUGGAAAAGGUUAAUGACGUGGCAUAAAAUAAUUGGAUAGGACCAUAUUUGAGGUAGUGGGAAAGGUCCAUGAAACAAAUUUUCUAUGUUAUCAAAUAUAUGAAUGAUAGUUAUUGGGAUCAAACUAAUGAUUUUGAGGAUGAUAAUGGUUAAUUUGGUGCUGAGGGUGGAAAAGAAACAAAUAAUUCAUUAUAUGUAAUAUAAUUAUGCAAUUCAAGUAAUAUAUAGUAAGUUUCAUACAAGGUUCAAAGGCAAUUAAAUGACUUGUAAGUUUGUUGAAUUUCUUUAAAACGCCCAAAGGCAAUUGAACAUUUACAAAAUAGUCUCUAAAUACUAUAGACACAAAUCAAAUCCAUGGGAGCAUUACAGUUGGUUAAAUUGAUUAAAUUGAGUAUUGGCAGAAAUUCCAUCAUAGGAAAUAUUGGCAAAAUCGUGUAUUGAAUUAGAAAAACAACAUAAUCCAUGAAACAUAGAUAGCCCAAUACAAAUGUCAUCGAGACAAAAAGUCUUUUUGUUUUAUAGCACAUGAUAGUAAAGCAUGCGAAGUUUCAUUUUCUUAUUGGCCUUCUUUAGUUUUCCUUGAUCAUCAACCACUAGCCAAAAACACAAUUAGAUUAGAUUAUAAAUGAAAUAUUCAAUUAUGAUAAAAUUAAAUAGAAAACGCCCUAAAUAACUCUAAAUAAAUGAAAAGUAGCAAAUUACCUGGUGAGACAAACUAGCUCAAUUAAAACCAUUGUGUUAGACUUGUCUAUGCAUUAAACAAUCUAAAAGGAAAUGAAGAAAAAGACUCAGAAAACACUUGAAAAUUGACAAAAUUUAUAUUCCAUUGACUGGUUAAACUAUGAUCACCCAUAACAGACCUUGUAUUUGAGUUUUUGUUGAGGGAGAUCAAGUCCUUCAAAAUAUGUCUUCUGAGUGCUGUUUGCUAGGUAAUCGCUGCUACCCUUAACAACUAAAGAUAUUAAUGUCCCCAUGUCAAGAUUUUAUCUCAGCCUUUACGGAAUAAUCAUGGAGAUUACAAGUGCAAGGAUUCAAACCACCAACCAAUGCAUAUGUAGCAUUUACCUUGGAUCCAUCUCCAUGAACCCACAAGGUUCUUCGUGGAAUCAAGAGACAAAACCCCAACACAAGAAUAAUACCAUCUAUUGAGGGUCCGUUAACACAACAAAUGAAAUUCAUACAUUUUUUUAAUCAAAGUAAAUAUCAUAUAUAAUUGGGGGAAAGCAACAAUAAAAUCCUUAGCAAAAGAUUAAAACACAGUUAUAUCGUAAAUGACAUAAGAAACCAAGAAAAUCCAAUCUAACAAAGAAAAUAACUUGAUACUCCAAAGCUACCAUAUACCGUAAUUCAUGGGAAGGUCUGAUGCUUAGUUUAUUGGUUUCCAUCUUGAUUUUGCAAAAGAUGUUUGAAUUCUGAAGAGAGCAAAUGAUUGAGCGAAAGAAAAAAAAAUAAGAAAAAAAAAUGAUUGAGCAAAUGAUUUUGCAGUCUCCUCGGUAGUGGUAUAAAAAUUUUGACUCCUUCAUGUUGAGUACUAUUUUUUCUCGAAUUAAGUAUGACAGUUAUGUUUACCUAUAAUGUCUUGAUGGUGGUUCUUUUAUAUAUUUGUUUCUUUAUGUUGAUGAUAUGUUAAUUGCAACUAAAAAUCCAUUUGAAAUUGAUCGUUUUAGAUCAUGCUUAGCUCUAAGUUCGAUAUAAAGGAUUUACGUGCAGCAAAGAAAAUUUUGGGGAUGGAAAAUUUGAGAGAUAGACAUUUUGGGAAAUUAUUUUUAUCGCAAUAAAAGUACAUCAUGAAGAUACCCAAGUGAUUCGAGAUGCAAGAUUAAAAACUGGUAAGUAAACCUUUAACUGCACACUUUAAACUCUCAAUUUCAGAUUCCCCACAGCAUGAAGAAGAUGAAAGGUACAUGUCAAAAGUACCUUAUUCAAGCACAGUUAGGAGUUUGAUGUAUGCAAUGGUAUGCACUCGUUCCAAUAUUUCAUAUUUUGUUAGUGUUGUUAGUCGAUACAUGGCCAAUCUCAGUACACUGACAUGUAGUUAACUAGAUUUUUAAAUAUUUGUGGGGUACUUCUAACAUGUGCUUAGAUUUCGAAAGAAAUCAAAAGGGUUUAGUCGGAUAUAUUGAUUCAGAUCAUGCAAGAGACUUAGAUCGAAAAAGGUCUCUCAUAAGUUACCUAUUUACUUUUGGGAAUUGUGUUGUUAGUUGGAAAGCUACACUACAAUCUAUAGUGGCUUUGUUAACCAUCGAAGUAGAAUACAUGGAAAUUAUUGAAUCAGUAAAAGAAGCAAUUUGGUUAAAUGACCUAUUUAAUGAACUAGUAAGUUAAAAAGGGGCAACUGUCGUAUAUGAUGAUAGUCAAAGUGUUAUUCAUCUCACCAAAGAUCAAAUGAUCAUGAAAGAAUGAAGCAAAUAGACAUUCGUUAUCACUUUGUUCAAUAGGCGAUAAUUUAAGGAAUGCUCAGAUUUUUAAAAUUGACACAAAAAAUAAUCCGACCGACAUAUUAACAAAAAGUCUUCCAAUUUCAAAGUCCAAGCAUUACUUGGACUUGGUAAGUAUUUGACGAAGAUUCAAGUAGGCCCGUAACAAGGCUUGGAAAAAGAGUUAAGUCAAAUACGAGUUAAGGUGGAGAUUUGUGGAGUUAUGCCUCACAUUUUUGGAUCAAACAGUGUGUGAUGUCGCAACGAGGAAGUGUUCUUCGUCUCAACAAACAGUUGACGUCACGACGAGAAGAGAGCUUUUGUCUUGAUGACACGAUGACCCUUCGUCUUGACAACACAAUGCCACAUCACGACGUGGCGACAUGUACCUCAAGUUUUUCGGCUUUCUUCUCCUAGUUAAACUCUAUUUUUAGUUUUCCAUUUAAACUUUGAUUAACCUAGGGUUGUUGUACUCAUAUAUACUACGAAUUUCAGCUUAUAAAUAGGCAUUAGUUACUCUAUGUUUUAUAUAACAAAAAUAUUUAAAUUGAAAGAAUUAUGUUCUUUGUUUUGUAAGGUUUAUUCUUGCGGGGCCUUUGGGUUUUCCUUUAACUCUCUCUAUCUUUUAUACUCUCCUUUAUUAUAGUGAAAUCUCCUUUUGCCUAUGGUUUUUUAUCCUCUUUUGAGGAGCUUUUCCACGUAAAAUUUGUGUGUUUGAUCUUUUAGAUAUUAUUUUUUUCACUUGUUCGUUGCAUACACGGGUUAAUUUUGAACAAAAUAUUUCACAUAUUAGUUAGUUUGUCUUUAAAUCUACUUCUUGGCAACUUAUUUUGGAUCAAUUUUUGCAUGUCCGUGAAAUAACCAAGAAUUUAGUGUUUGUUAGUAAAUUUGCUAGAGAUAAUUUGGUGUUUUUCGUGUUUUAUCCCACUCAUUUCUUUAUUAAGGAUGAGACUAUCGGUGAGGUUCUUCUUUGAGGUCUUGAAAAAGAUGGAUUGUGUACAAUUCUUACUGAUGAGUGCUAUCAUGAAGUUGUUUCUGAUUGCAGGUCUCUGUUACCUUUGGCAUCCACUCAACAAGUUUAUUAUACUCACACUAGCGAUCUUGAAGAUCAAUCUCGUGUUUCAAAAUACUAGUUGUGACAUUAAUGUCUCGACCAUCCAGCUAAACGUGUCUAGAGCGUGGUCUUAUCCUCUUGUAAUAAAAUUAUUCAUGAGAAUCAUGAAUGUUCUUUUUUGUACUGCUACCAUGUUGGCAAAAUUCAUAAAUUAUUUUUUCUUCAUCAAACGUUGAGUAUCAGAAACUCAGUUUACAGAAACAAGGUUUCGAGACCACUUUUUUUGAUAACUACUGAAAAUCGGGUCGUUACAAAAAAUACAAAAGAAGAAAAAACAUGUUUAGACAAGCCAAGAGCCUUUGGCUUUGCUCCAACAAUAGGAGACAUAAGAGUUGUGUUAUCAAAUAGAUGAAUGCCAAUCAUUGCGAUCAAACCAGUGAUUUUGAUGAUGUUAAUGGUUAUUUUGGUGGAGAGGUAGGAAAUUAAUCAUUAUAUAUAAUAUAAUUAUGCAAUUCAAGCCCUAUAUUGUAUGUUCACACAUAAAAAUUUCAUGGGAGGUCCAAAGUCAAUUAAAUGACUUGUAUGCUUGCUAAAAAUUUUUGAAAGGACCAAAGGCAAUUGAACAUUCAUAAAAUAGUCUCCAAAUACUAUAAAGACAAAUAAAAUCCACAUGAGCAUUAGAGUUGAUUAAGCUGCGCAUUAGCAGAACUUCCAUCAUAGGAAAUAUUACUUGGCACUUGGUAGUAUAUAUGUAGACUUUGACUUUGCAUUCAAUAUUGGCAAAAUCACCUCUUGAGUUAGAAAAACAACAUAAUCCAUGAAACAUUGAUAGCCCAAUACAAAUUUCAUGUAGAAAAAAGUCUUUGUUUUGUAGCGCAUAAUAGUAAAGCAUGCGAAGUUUUAUUCUUCUUAUUGGCCUCCUUUAGUUUUCCUUGAUCAACAACCACUAGCCAAAAACACAAUUAGAUUAGAUUAUAAAUGAUACCUUCAAUUAUGAUAAUAUUAAAUAGAACACACCCUAAAUAAAUCUAAAUAAAUGGAAAGUAGCAAAUUACCUGGCAAGGCAAGGUAGCUCAGUUAAGACCAAUGUGUUAGAAUUGUCCCUGCAUUGAACAAUUUAGAAGAAAAUGAAAAGAAACACUCAGAAAACUCUUGAAAACAGAUUAAACUUAUAUGUCAUUGCUUGGAUAAACUAUGAUUACCCAUAACAGACCUUGUAUUUGACUUUUUGUUAAGGGAGAUCAACUCUUCAAGAGAAGUCUUCUAAGUGUUAUCUGCCAGGUAGUUAACGUUGCCCUCAACAACAAAAGGUAUUGUCCCCAUGUCGAGAUUUUAUUCCUAGCCUCUAUAGAAAAAUCAUGAAGAAUAUGUGCUAAGGGAUUCACACCACCAACUAAUGUAUAUGUAACAUUUUCCUUGCAAUCAUCUCCGUAAACCCAUAGAAAUCUUUGUGGAAUCAAGAGACAAAACCCUAACACAAGAAUAAUACCAUUUGUUGAAGAGUCUGUCAAAAUAAUAAAUGAAAUUUAAAUACAUAGUUUUUUUAAUGAAAGAAAAUAACUUAUUUAAUUAGAGAAAAACAACAAAAGAUCCAACAAUAAAGUCCUUAGCAAAAGAUUAAAACAAAAUUAUACCGUAAUGAAAUAAGAAACUAAGAAAACCAAAUCUAACAAAGAAAAUAACUUGAUGUCCCAAAGCUACCAUAAACCGUAAUUCAUGGGAAGGCCUGCUACUCAUUUUAUUGGUUUCCAUCUUGAUUUUGCAAAUAAGUUUGAAUUCCGAAGAGAGCAAAUGAUUGAGCAAAAGAAAGAAAAUUAGUUUAUUAUUUUUCACUAUUUAUAAGACAAUCUUCAAGGAGACUGAUACCGACAUAUUUGAUAUCUAUAAUUAAACUGCUAGAAUAGAUUAAAAAUGUUGAUAAAAUUAAGUGUGAAUUAAUAACCACAAGUGUACUCAUUACUCACCAUCUUUGUUAAACAUGUUUGAUGUUGUUUAGCAACCUCUGUUUGAUCUUCUUUAGCUCAACCACAACAUCUUUCAUAUCUUUUCUUUCUUCUGGUAAUUCAGUUGAACAAUUCAAAGCCAACUCCAUGAUGGAUGAAAUACAAUUUGCUUUAACAAUAAAGAACUCAUCCUCUCUUUUUAAUAAAUCAACAUCUGCAAUUUCUACCGCUCCUUUAGGCAAUGAACUUUCCAUCCAAUGCCUUAUAGUCCUUUCUUCAGCAAAAAAAUUAUCAGUUGGCUUCUUCUUUGUGAAAGUUUCUAUAAGGACAAUCCCAUAACUAUAGACGUCACAUUUUACAGAAACAAUUCCUGCAGAUCCAAAUUCUGCAUUUCAAGUAGAAUUAGAGCAUCGUCAAUCCUUAAUUAUUUCUAAAGUGAUUAUUCAAAUAUAUAUCCACCUACGCAUGAAACAAAAAUAUAAAAUGCAAAUUAGAAAAAUAAUAAUACAAAAAUAAAAAAUUCACCUGGUGCCAUAUACCCAAUAGUUGCAAGAGUCAUGGUAUGCUUCAUUAAGUCACCUUCUCUCAACAAUUUGGCAAUGCCAAAAUCUCCCACAUGUGCAACCAUGUCUUCAUCUAGUAAAAUAUUGUUUGGUUUUAAGUCACAAUGAAUUAUAGGUGUUGGAUGUCCAUUGUGGAGAUGUUCUAUAGCUGAUGCAACAUCAAUCAUUAUGUCAACCCUUUGUAUGAUAUCGAGGAAAUGGUUUUUAGAAUGUAACCAAUUCUCAAGAUUUCCGUUAGACAUGUAAUCAAGCACCAAGGCUUUGAAGUCAACACUUGAGCAGCAGGUAAUGACCUUCACAAUAUUACGAUGAACUAUAUUACGCAUAGCAUCACAUUCAAUGUCAAAACUCCUAAAUGCUCCCUCUGUUUUCAAAUUGAAAACUUUUAUUGCAACUUCCAUUCCAUCUGGAAGCCUCCCUUUAUAUACAUAUCCAAAACUCCCUGAACCAAGCAUAUUUCUUUCCUCAAAUCCAUUAGUUGCUCGUGAAAGUUCAGCAUGUGAAAUUCUUCUCGGUGUUUUCAAAGACAACAAAUCAUCUUUAAUUGGUAGAGUUGUACUCCUUCUUUGGCAUCUUCUAUACAUAAUAGUUAACACUAUUAGUAGUACGACAACACCAAUUGUUGGUAAACCAUACCUUAAAGCAUGCAAUAUAAUCAUUUCAGAGUUUCCGUGGAUGUCGUUUUUGCAAGGUGGGACUAGCAAUCUAGGUGGACCACAAAGUGCAUAAUUCUUCAUGAAUGAUGUGCUAGAAAAGUUUGAAAAACUUCCUUCAGUAGGAAUUUCCCCUUCAAAUCUAUUGAAAGACACAUUAAAAUACUUUAGAUGUAAAAGCUUUUCCAACGAUUUGGAAAUGACUCCAGAGAGGUUGUUCUUACAUAAAUCCAGGGAUUCCAAAUUAAUCAAACCACCAAAUGAUUCAGGGAUAUGACCAUGUAGUUUAUUAUUUGAUAAAUCUAAUGUAACCAAAGUUUGAAGACUCCCAAAUGUGGAUAAAAUAUCGCCCAUGAGAAGAUUCCUUGAUAAAUUUAGUUUCCCUAGACUCCUCAAAUUUCCAACAUCAAUAGCAUGAGAAUUGUGAAGAUGGUUUGAUGAUAAAUCUAUUUCUAAGAUAUCUUUAAGAUUCCACAAAGUUGAGGGUAUUGCCGAACUCAAUUUGUUGGAAUUUAAGUAAAGAUAUCCCAAAGAAGUAAUAUUACCCAGACAAGAGGUUAUAGAUCCGUACAGCUUAUUCAACCCUAAAAACAAUUUGUAUAGACUCUCCAAAUCACAAAGGCUCUCUGAGAUAGGCCCUUCUAAUUUAUUAGAGGAAAGAUCUAGACCUUGGAGUUUUCGCAGUCCUCUUAUUGAUGUUGGAAUAAAUCCACUUAACUUAUUAUAGUCAAGUUCUAAACGCAACAUGUUGCUUAAGUUACCUAUUUCCAAUGGAAUAUUGCCCAUAAUCUCACAAUCAGAGGCCACAAAGUCUCGAAGGGAGUUUGAAAGGUUCCCGAUAUAAGUAGGAAGAACACCACUCAAUGGAUUUCCUGACACAAUUAUUCUUUUCAGAUGCUUGCAAUUCGCCAAAGAAUAAAGAAAGGUCCAGUCAUGAUCAAUAGCAGAUCCUGCAAUCAAAUUAUUGUUUUGGAUAUGAAGGCAUUCAAGGUAUCUUAAGUUGCCAAGCAUUUUAGGGAUUGGGCCAGAAAAUAAGUUAUUUCCCAAGUCUAGUUGCUUAAGCAUGGAAACAUUGGAGAUAGAGUUGGGAAUGUUUCCGCUAAGUUUAUUUCCCCACAAUAAAAGAUUCUCAAGCUUUGGAGCAUUGGUAAUGGGUGGUAAAUUACCUGUAAAAUAGCAUCAUACAUUAAAAAUGAACUCCUAAGUAUUGUUAGCCCAAGCCUUGUGUUGAAAUCAUCUUUACUUUCUAGAUUUAAAAUUGAUUGAAUAUCAAAUUUAAAAAUAUAUAAUACAUUAAUAAUUUUUUUAAAAUAUUGUAAAUCUUUAAAUCAAAGAAAAAUAAAAGUUUAAGAUGAAAAUGUGGCAUCUAAUCAAUAUUCCUUUAUUUUCCUUAUAUAAAACUUUUCUCUAUUUUUUAAUUAAUAUGUAUUGAAAAUAAAAAAAAAGAAUUUUAUAUUGCGCAGCUCAUUAAAAAAUUAAAAAAAUCAGAUUUUUUUUAUAAAAAUGUAAGAAAUGUUUUAAAAAAUUUAAAAAUAAGAAAAAAUACAUAAACCGUAAAAUAAAUAUAAAGAAUACUAAAAAAAUGUAAAAAAAAAUUCUCAGCUCUAUAAUAGUGCAGUUUUUAGAAAAUAAAAUGCAAAAAGAAAACCCGAAAAAAUAGGGAAAAUCAGAAAAACUUAAAAAGAAUCAACAAACUGCGAAGAAGGUGAGUUGUGGACUGAAAAGAUCAAUUUGAAAAAGGUUUCGGGCUUUCGGCUUAAUUAAAUAAAGUAAAUUAAAAUGCCAAAAAGCAGAGAAAGAAAAAUACUAUUCAUUGUUAAAGUCCAAGUUGGUAUAAUUAAUAUCUAAGUUUCGUGUUGGAUUAAUUAUUUAUUUUUUAAUUAAAUUAUAUUGUAAAUUUUAAAAGCUAGAAUUUACUUAAAAUUUUUGAACUCUUCAUGUGUUAGAAAUUUAAUUUCUGUACUUCUAUCUUUUAGAAUUUAGUCCCUUUAUUCUUUGAAUUUAAUUAAAAUUUUAAGUUCAUUUGUUAAUAAUGUUAAAUAGUUUUUGUAUUGGUAUGACAUUUUGAAAAGCUAAAAUGAAAAUGGAAAAAAUAAUAUAAAAUAUUUACAAAAUUAUUAAAAUUUUUAAAAAUAGAAAAAAUCUAAAAUUAUAAAAAUUAAAAGAAUAUACUAAAAAAUUAAAAAUAUAUUAGAUAUUUUAACAUUUUUGAAAUUUUUUAAAUGGCAAGAGUUUGAACAUGUGAUCAUUGUGUCUUGGAAGGAUACCACCUAUAACAAUUGUUUUUUUAAUUCAAUUAAUCAAAAUUUAUAAUUGGUACAUCUUAUUAGGUGAUAAAUUUGGAUUAGUCUUUUAUUUUCAAUUUAUUUAAAUAAUAAAAAUAAUAUUAUGUAAAAUAAAUAAUAUUUUAAAUUAUUCCAAAUAUUUUUUACUAGUUGAAGAUAGAUUGUUUGUCUCUAAACCAAUAUCUUAAGAACUAUUGUUGAAUGUUUGACUAUUCUAAAGAAUUUUGGUACAAAACAGAAAAAGCAUGUGCACGAAGGUGGAUGAAGAAAGCUUGCUCUAGAUAUUAAAUAGGGAGUCAAAUCAAAUAAACACGUUACUAGUAACACUAGUAAAACGCUAAAACUUGAUGUAGUUUAAAAUAUUAAAAUGUUGAUAUAAGAAUUUAUUAAAUAUUUUUUUAUAAAAAUUGGUUGUAUUAUAAAAAAACAGUUAUAAUAUCAAAUUUUUAAUAUUUUAAAUGUGAUUAACGAAUGUAUACUUUAUUUCAAGAUACACAAUUUUUACUAGUUUUUAAAAUUUUUUAUUUUUUAUAAUUUUUAACAAUUUCUAAUAAUUUUUAUAGUUUUUAAUAAUUUUAUUUUUUUACAAUUUUUUAAAAAAAUUAAAAAAUUUGUAAUUUUUAAAAAUUUAUAGAUUUAUAAUUUAGUUACUUUUUUAUAAUUUUAUUUGAAUAUAUAUAUAUAUAUAUAUAUAUUUAAAAUUUUUGGUUUCUUUUUUCUAAAUGAUGAUGCCAUCGUGACGUCGGGACGUGUAUCACAUGGCAAUUUAUGAUUGGUUGGAUAUCCCAACCAAAUUUUUUAAGGACCAAAGGAUUGUGUCGGAAACACCUGGUUAUGUUGGGGACUAUAUUAGAAAUGUUUGAUAAUGUUAGGGACUAAAAUGAGUCAAAAGACUUUAAGGACCAAAGUGAGAAAAGCAGCAUACUUUAGAGACUAAAGUGUGCAUUAAGCCUUUAAAAAUAUAUCUAUAAUAUAUAUAAAUUUAUGAGUUUUGAGAAGCUUUUGAUAUGAUAAUUAUAUAGUCUUUGUUGUUUAUUAUAUUACUGAUAUUUUAAACAUUUUUUAUUAUUUAUCAAAUUUAUAAAUAAGAAUUUUGGUUUUACUAAAAUAUUUGAUUAAAUAUAUUUAUGAAAAAUUUAGCAUCCUUAUAAAUAAAAAUUUCCAUUCUAUUAAAAAAAUUAUUAAAAAAUUUAUAUAAUAAAAAUUUAAAAUUCAUAUUGAAUUACUUUAUAUGUAAAUUAUUACUAGAAAUUCUAUCAUAAGUAUAUGCGUGUAAGAACAACGUGUUUCGAAAACAUAUUUGUGUUUUAAAAUAAUAUACAAUAAGUAAUCAAAUCACUGAUUAAUACUAAUAAUAAAUGACAUAUGUAAGAUAUUAAAAUAAAAAAUUGAUUAAAUUGCAAGUAAAACGAAAUUUAAACAUAUGAAUACGUCAUAUUAAUAAUACUAAUUGAAUACAAUUAUUUAUUAUGGUGUUGUUGUCAAUACUAAGUUGGGGUCUAGUUAAAUUGUGACAACUUUUAAUCAACAACAUUAAUGUAUAUAAUUCAUGGAGGUAAUAAAGUGUGCAUAAUAAUAAUAAAAUGUAUAAAAAAUUUAAAAUAAAAUUUUGGUUUUACGUAUUGAUGUGGGUUUAAAUCUCACCAUAAACAUUUUUAUUUUGUUUUUUUAAAUAAAAACUGAAGUACCCUCAAACAAUAUAACUUAUUUUAAAUAAGAAAUGAUAUUUUUGCAAUUUUUCUAACCGAGUUGAUACUCUAUUGACUUAUGACACCAACUCAACCAAAAGCUUAAAUAAUAUUAUAGUUGUUCAUUACUUUAAUUUUAAAGAGCAAAUUUUAAUUAUUUAUAUAACAAAUAACUUUAUAAUUCAUAUAUAAAUUUUAUAAGUAAUAUAUUUAUAUAUUUAUAUAUUUUAAUCAAAUUUAUUAUAUUUUUAUUAAGUAUAUAUCAUCUACAAAUUUUUAAGAUCAAUUUAUUGCCUAUCAAGAAAAGAAAAAAUUGAAAUUACAAAUAUAUCGAUUUUUAUAUUUUGUACGGAUGCUUUCAUGAUGAUAAAAAAAAUUUAUUAGCACUGUUUUUGAAUUAACAAAAAUAAAUUAUAUUUUUUAACUAUAUUUUGAACUAUAUUACUAUUUUUUAAUUACAUAAACUAAAAUUAUAUUAGAUAUUAAAUAUGGUGCAUAUGCUUUAAUUAUGACUUGAAAUUUUAUUAUUAUAUUUGAAAUAUUAAAUAAAUUAAUAUUUUAAUUAGAUUCAACCAUUUGAAUAAUAAAUUAAAAAUAAUAAUCAUAAUAAUUUAAACUUAAUUAAAAAUUAAAUGGUUAAAAUCAAGUGUCAAUCUAUAUAAAUGGGAAUUAAAAAUUUUAAGAUAAAUCAAUUCAUAUAAAACUUAUUGUUUAUUAUGAAAUUAAAAUGAUAAAGUAAUGACGAAAAAAGAAGAAACAAAUUAAACAGAAUGCAUUUUGGACUUUGGAAAAAAACAAAGUGAAACACAUACCUUCUAAACUGUUGUCAUUUAGAUAUAUUCCUUGGAGCAUAGUUGAAUUAAAAAUACUUUUUGGAAUCAGCCCACUGAAUUGAUUUGCUGCUAAAUCCAAAAUCUGAAGCUUGUAACAUUCACCCAUACGUGAUGGAAUAUUACCAGAUAAUUCAUUAUGUUCCAAGACAAGCCAUUCAAGCAUGGGACAAUGGUGACACAAACCAUUAGGUAAACUACUUGAUAGACUAUUGUUGGAGAGAAAAAUAGUCUUUAGAGAAGAAAUGUUGAAGAUUGGAGUCGGAAUCUGACCUGCAGACAUAAUCGAAAAAUCAAGGUGUUAAAACUGCCUAUUUUGUUAGCAUAAAUUACAGAGGUUUUCUUUUUCUGUUCUACAGUAAUUUGGAGAUGUUAGAUUUUAAUAUAAUUAAGCAUAUUUUUUUUAUCAAAUUAACUAUUUUGCUUUGAAUGAAAUAAAAAAAUCUCACUUCUGUAAUCCAUUACAAAUCAAACUCUUUUAUAAAAAAAAAUACUUUAAACUAAAGAAACCAAAGAAAUUCAGUACCUUCUAGGUUAUUCAUCUCCAAAUGUAAUUCUUCGAGUCGUGUCAGAUUUCCAAUACCUCUUGGAAUGAUCCCCGUAAAUUUAUUAUAGGACAAUGCCAAAAUUUGAAGGUUGUUGCAUUUGCCAAUACGUGAUGGAACGUUUCCAGAUAAUUCAUUCCGACUCAAGUAAAGCACUUCAAGCUUGGGUAAACGUUGACACAUAUCAUUAGGCAAACUACCUGAUAGGCUAUUGCUGAAGAGAGUAAUAAUCUUCAGGGAAGAAAUCCUGAAGAUUGAAUAUGGAACCUGGCCAGAUAAUUGAUUGAAUUGCAAGUUCAAGACCUCUAGAUUGGACAUGUUAACAAGUGUUUGAGGGAUUGUGCCUGUAAAGUUAUUGUUUUCCAUUUCCAGCCUUUGAACUCUUUGUAAGUUCCCAAGCCAUGCUGGGAUUUCCCCAUUAAGACUGUUGUAGCUUAACUGAAUGAUCCUCAAACGAUGCAAUUGGCCCAAUUCUUUAGGCAGAUAGCCAGAUAAAUUGUUGCUACUCAAGUCGAGAGAAAGUAGAAAUGAAAGAUUUCCAAGGUGUGGAGGGAUAGUACCCCUAAGAUUCAUGCUUGUAAGAUUCAAAGCUAUAACUCUUUUAUGGAUGAUGCCACAGGAAACACCAAUCCAAUUGCAAACAGAGGUAGAGGCCGUCCAAUUGUUUGCCAAGACAUUUUGAGGAUCGGCAAUGCGAUCCUUAAACUCGAGAAGCACAAACUGAUCGGAGUUGAGAUUCCUGGUUGUCAUAGCCAAGCAAACUACGGAACAUGGUAUGAAUAAACCUAAAAGAAGAUGGAAGCAAGUGUUGUAAUUCAUUAUUGCAAGACGAAAUGAGCCAAGAAAAUAAAAAAGUAGGGAAAGGGAACUUGAAUUGAUAAAGGGAAAAGUUGGAUGAUGAAGAAAAGCACUAAGGGCAUGCUUUAAUAUGCUUUAAUAUGAUGGAGACAACUACAAGCACUAAUAACAUAUUUUCACCUAAUAAAUUAUAAAAAAAUUAAAACAAAAUAAGGUUAAAAUUUUAACAUAUCUGUUAGAUAAAAUUUAAGAUUUAAUUAUUAAACUUGACAACUUAAAAAUUAAAUCUUAUUGUUUGAAUUUAAAAAUUUUAGUCCUACCAUAAAUAUUGUGAGCGUUUUUUUUUUAAUCAAAUUUUGUCAAGUUGACUUAUUAAUUAGGUUUCCCUCAUAUGAUGUGGUAUAUGAUUGAUAAAAAUAAACAUGUUAAGUUGAUAUAUUUUGACAAAAAACUACCAACGAUGAUAAUGAUUGGAUUAAAAUUUUUAAAUUAAAAAUUGUAGGGAUUAAAUUUAUAACUUUUAAAGUAUAAAGACUGAAUCUCAAAUUUUAUAGAAAUAUAGGGGCUAACAACAUUUUUUAGCCACCAAAUAAUAUCUACAAUUUUCACUUAAAACUACAUUGGACUUAAUUGGCUAAGGGUUAACAUAUCAAUUGAUUUAUGAGUUUCACACUUUUUUUUAUAAUGUUGUACUCUUGGUUUUUGUGCAAUGUGAUACACGUAUUUGGUAAAAAGUUAUAUAUUUUAAUACUUAAAAGAAAUUUUAGAGUUGAUUUAAUGGACAUUAAUUGUUAAUAUUAUUUUGAUAUUUAUAUGUAUUUUCAUUUUUAUAAAUACUAUUAAAAAUAUAUAUUUUUUAAAAUGAAUGCUAUUUAAAAACAUUAUUAAAAAAUAAUAUAUUAUAUGAAAGUUAAAAUGAUCUAAAAACAUAUUUUAAAAAUUUAAAUACUUUAUACAAUAUUUAAAACUGUUUAAAAAUUUCUAAACCCUAAAAAUCAAUAAAAUAUAAUUUUUCUAAAAAUUUAAAAAGAUAUAUAUUUAAAAUUUUAUAUGAAAUUUAAAUGAUUUUAACAGUAAUAUAUUUUAAAAAUGGUAGUAAUGUUAUAAACUUGAAAGAUUUUGUAAUUUAAUUACAUACAUUUUUAUAAAAAAAAUUUCUAACAUAUCAUUAUUUGCAUCUUGUUACAUUAAAGAAUUGAAGAUAUAUUUGAGUAGUUAGCCUUUUUUAGAGAACUAUACUUAGACAAUGCAGAUUAUUGAACUGUAUUAUAUCACUUGUUCAAGUAUUUAUUUAUAAAAUAAAAUAAUUAUAGCCUCUUAUAUUAACUGCAUGUAUCUAUUUUGCAUCUUUUAUUAUAAUAUGAUUUAAUAAUUAUAAUAUUUUUAUAGAAUAAUAUGCUUUAAAAUUUUUUUUACUCUUUAUAAAAUUUAUAAUAAACUUACAAAAUUAUUUAAUGAUAUUUAAUUAUCAACGGAAAAAUUAUAUCAUAUAUGUAAUAGGUCAAUUUAGCUCGGGCUCACAAAAAAAAUAAACCCAAAAUAAUAAAAUAAAGUCCAAGUCCAGUCCAAAAUUAUAUCAUUUGGCCCAAUCAGGAUGGCCCAUUACUUGAAAAGGUUGAAGGUCUAUCUACAAACUUGAUGCAUAUGGAAACAUAAUCUUCAAGGAUAUGCAAUCUUAGAUAUGAUAUGCAAUCUUAGAAGAUAUGAUUUUGUAAUCUUAGAGAAUUAAUUUGUAGAUACCCUUUAAUCUUAGCCGUUGAUGUAAUUGAUCUAUACCGUUGAAUUUGGGGAGGCUCAACUAUAUAUGAGGCCUUUCCCUUCAUUGUAAAACACUUCAUUGUAAAACACUUGAGUUUGGAGCAAUAAUAAUUCUUAAGAUCAUUCACUCAAAUUUCUACCUCUCUUGCGUCCUUAUUUUCUGUGGCUUGUUCUUAUUUUGUUCUUUGUUCAUCUUCUUUUCUUUUUAAGUUGCUUUCAUUUGAGUUGGAUUUUGGUGGAGGAAUUUCGUUGAGUCUUCAUGUUGUGAGAGUUAGCCUGACUUAAGCGUUUUUUAACCUUUUUUUAUUUAUCCAUUUAAUUUUUUAAUCAUUAAUUAUUCUUUUACUUUUAUUCAUUUAUUUAUCCAUCAACUUUCUUAUUUACAUAUUGUUCAUUCAUUUAACCAUUCUUAUCAUUCUUUUAUUUUCUUCCAUUAAUUAUAUAUUUUAUUUGUUUUUCAAAUUGCCCUUUUUUUAUCAAAGUUUUUAUGCAUCGUUUUAAUAUUGCGUCAAUUUUCCCCAAUUUUAAAAAAGAAAACUUUUAAAAAUAAGGCAAUAUUCGGUCUUUGGAGCUUUGAGAAAAUCGUGCCCUAACUUACUGGGUUUCAAUUUUUUUUCCACAUAACCGAAUAUCCUUUUUAAACUUUAAUGCAUGAGACAAGCUUAGUUUUGAGGGUUAAAAUGUCGUAUCCUAACUUACUGGAUGUGACAUCUUAUUACUUCGAGACAAAGAGGUCUUAACAUCAAUUCGAUUUAUUCAGGUUUUUAAAGAGGAUUGUAUUUUAAAAUCUUUUCAAAUUUUCGAUAUUAGGAAGUUAAUUAAUCAAUUAGGUACCAAUUUUUGGGCGUUACGAGGGUGCUAAUCCUUCGUCGUGCGUAACUGACUCCUGAGCUCGUUUUCUCGAAUUUUGUAGACCAAAAUUAUUAUUUUAAUAAAUCAAAAUGUUUUAUUAAAAUGAUUAAUCUCAAGGUGACCCGAUCACACCUCGAAAAAAGAUUGGUGGCGACUACAUUUUCGUUUUAAAAGUCGACCCCGUUUUUUAAAAUAAAAAAAUGGUUUCGACAGCUUGGUGACUCCUCUGAGGAUUGGUUUUGAGAGAGUAUCCACAAAUUGAUUAAUUUUUGUCUUUUUGUCGAAAAAUUAAAUUUUGUUUUAAAUUCACGAUUUAUCCUUUUGCAUUUUAUCUAUUAUUUUCAUGGUUUUAACCAUAGUGUCGUCCAAAUCUGUCAAUGUGUAUCUACAUUUUGCAUUGCAUUGGUUGGUCAAUUUUACCCCUCUAAGUGUGAGUGAGAAACUAGUUCUUCGUGAGGUUUUCACCUCCGUGCAGGAUAGUGGAUCACUUUCAGAAUACAUUUGUACCUAUGUCUUCGUGAGAUUUUCAUCUCCGUGCGGCCAUAGGGAAAUGUAUCCCCCUGAACUGAACUCGGUCUAUAUGAACCUAUAAUGGGUGAGGAUCAAGGAAUCUACUGGUUUGGAUACCUUUACCUUAGAAGCCAAACCUCAUAUAAUGAACUCUAGGAACUCACCUUAGGUAGAAUUACGUUGACCCUUAGUAGCUACCCGAGUAGGUGCUUGAUCAUUUCCUGUUUGUUUUUUAAUACCUGAUACUAACUUGUUGUGUUUCAUUUUGAUUGCAUGACAUUUUGACUGCACAACAUUUUGACUGCAUGACAUGCUCAUCAUAUGCAUAAAAAAGGUGUCGAUUCACAUUCAAUUACUAAAUAGAGAGCUUGCCAUGGAAAAUGAAUUUCUUGAUAAAAUGGAGGAUAAUACGACUCUCCUAAUAUGUUCUGAGAAAGCACAACGUGAGAAAGAUGAUAGACUGACAAAAGAGCAUACGACUUUGCUUUGUUGCGUGAGGAUACAAGUUGGUAAAAGUCAUCAAUAUCCCGACCCUUUUCUUAAAAGAAGCUAACAAGUAUCACGAUGAUGAGUGAGUAAUGAGUCGUGGCCCAGUUCGAGCAAAAAGAGCCAGUGAAGCAUCCGUUGGAAAAUUCGAAAGAUUUAUUUUAACAUUCGGAUGAAGAAAAAGGAUCGAUGUCCUCGCUUGGAGCAUGAGGGCAAAGCCGUAUAUAUAUCUGUUUUAUGUAAAGAAUUUUGUUUUCUAGUAAAGUUUUCUAAAUGGAAUUGAAUCAGAAUUGACACCUUUUUGCAUUCAUUUCAUGCAUUUGCAUUACAUGCAUUAAAGUCCACUAAAAGAGCCUAACUGAUCAAAAUUAUCUCAGUUAACCUGAAAACCAACCAACCAACCAAACACUGUUACGGUACUCGAGCAAGAACUAAAGACAUGGACCAGAGAUUGGAAAAACUUUAACAGUUCCAAAAGGAAAUGCAAGACUGACUUCAGCUACAAGUGCAAGAGCGGUUAGAUAAAAUUCAGCAAGAUAUGAUGGAAAAGAUGCUGGAGUCCCAAAGAAACGUGAUGACUUAAUUGACUCAAUUGUUGGCUGGGGAAACGAUAAGGGAAAGGGUCCUAUGGCUAAUACUGAAGAAGGAGAUGAUGAUGAACCUCUCUAUCCUCCAAGCUUCACUCCUCCACAUGUGCAGACCCAAGCUGAGAUGUACCCACACAAAUCCUCUGUCACAAUCAGGCCUCAGCAGUUUCAGGCUGGUGCAUCAAUGCUAAUGAACUUCCAAGUCAGAUCAGGCUCUAACCCUAGAGAGAACGCUAAUAAUCCUUCUAUCCCUGAUUUCGAUGAAGUGGCUGAAAAAUAAAAAAUAAAAGAGGAAUUACCAAAAUAGUUAGAGGAAAUGUGUAAAUGGCUUGAGGAAAAAUUUAGGGCAAUGGAAAGCACUGAGAACUACCAUGGGAUUAAUGCUAAAGACCUGAGCUUAGUCCUGGAUUUGGUACUCCCCUACAAGUUCAAAAUGCCAGAAUUUGAAAAAUACAAUGGGACCAAUUGCCCUGAAGUUCAUAUUACCAUGUUUUGUAGGCGGAUGGAUGGAUAUGUUAACAACGACCAACUGCUAAUACAUUGCUUCGAAGAUAGCCUCGCAGGGGCAGCAUCUAAGUGGUACAAUCAAUUGAGCCGUACCAGGAUUAGUUCAUGAAGGGAUUUAGCACAAGCAUUCAUAAAGCAGUACAGUCAUGUAACAGAUAUGGGUCCUAAUAGAAUCACCCUACAAAACAUGGGAAAGGAGCCAAACAAAAGUUUUAGGCAAUAUGCACAAAGGUGGAGGGAGGUUGCCGUCCAAGUUCAGCCACUACUCCUGGAAAAAGAAACUACGAUGCUCUUUAUUAACACACUAAAAGUCUUGUUCAUCACGCACAUGUUAGGAAGUGCCACAAAAAGUUUCUCAAAUAUAAUCAUGAAUGGCGAAAUGAUUGAAAAUGCCAUUAGAGGUGGAAGAAUAAACGAAGGAGAGAGUAACAAGAAGUCAGCCUCAGGGAGAAAAGAAAAUGAGGUGAAUAACACAGGUUACUCAAGAUCAGUUACUGUAAGCCAGCCAAGAAAGAUGGUUGCUAGUCAGCAAGCUCCAUCAAGGCAAGAUCUCGACACAAAGACUGAGAAGUUCCAGUUUACACCAUCUCAAUAUCGUAUAGGGAACUGUAUCAGAGUUUGUUUGAUGCACACGUUGUUUCUCCUUUUCACGUGAAACCUCUACAACCCCCAUACCCCAAAUGGUAUGAUGCAAGCGCCCAGUGUGAAUACCAUGCAGGAAUUACAGGGCACUCGAUAGAAAAUUGCACUGGCUUCAAAAAGCUAGUUGAAAGAUUCAUCAAUAUGGGCAUCGUCAAGUUCGAUGACUCAUCUAAUGCAAAAAAUUUGCUACCCAAUCAUAUGGAUAAUGGGGUGAAUGUGAUGUAUGAAGAAGUGUUGGGAAACAUUCACAUCAAUGCCAUAUAUGAAGACACAUUUGAAAAGGGGCCUUGUUAGAUAUCCACCCUUAUAAACUUGGGAGUGUUCUAAACAAUUGGACUGCAGAAGAAAUCCCUGUAGUAUUUAGAGCUUACUUAGAGUAAUAUUCAAAACACACUUGUUGCUUUAAAGCCUAGAGGCAAUAAGAACCCUGUUAUGAAAUAGGCUUGUGUUUAAAAUCUUUAUUUCAAUAAAAUGCAUCUUUUUGAGCAAACAUUCAUUCAUUCUUUUCAUUUAUAUAUUCUUUUUUUCCUUGGACUCUUUUAAAUAUUAUUUUAUUCUUCAUUCAUACAAAUAAUUGUCCUUAGACUUAUUUAUUCUAUAGAAUCAACCUUUGUACCUACAAUAAGUCUUCAAAUAUCAACAACAUGAGUGAUAUUGCUAUUGACUUAAAAUCUCCUUUCGAGUAAGAUAUGUGUCAGGGGAAUCUUAGGACUUUGAAUAUGACUGAGAUUGUAACCUAUCUCAUGAUUUGUUAAGAAUGGUAGAAAAAGAUGAAAAAUAGAUCCUACCUUACAAAAGUCAGUGGAUAGUGAGCGUAGGAGAAGAGAAAGAGAUUAGAGUUUGUCCAUCGAAAUAAAGCGAAACAUCACUAAAUUACUCCAAGAAUUCAAAAAUCUUUUCGCACGAUCAUACCAAGAUAUGUCUAGCUUACUAAGAAGUAUGGAUGCUGUUAAGGCUAAAAGGUCUAUAAAUGUGUCAGAAGAACACCUACUAAUGGUUUUACGAUAGCCACGUUAAUCACGAGGUUUCAGUACUGCUGGUCCACCAUAGAAGGGGAUCACAUCAGUUAUACCAUAAAUACCAAUUUGAGGAAGAUAAAACCUAUGUGCCUCUUCCAUUUCUUCACAAAUUUUCCAUAUGUAGGGCAUGGAUGUGAUUGGGCUAAUCUCGUCAAAAGUUUUUAGUCAAGAUCGAUUCAUCUUUGUGGUCUUCGAUUAUUUCGCUAAGAGGGUCGAAAUAGCUUUAUAUCCCAAUGUUACAAGGUCAAAGUCAUUAAAUUCUAAUUUCAAAAAAAAAGAAAAAGAUCCGACGCCGAUAAAGAAUGCCAAAAAGGACAAUGUCAAAAGUUUGUAGUCUAUUCAAAGAUUAGAUGCCAUAGGCAACCAAAAAAUAAAAAUAAAACAAGGAUUGUGGGAAAGAUGACCGAGACUUGUAAAGAUUGGUAUAAAGAAGUUACCAUCUACGCUCACCAAAUUCGACCAGGACCUUUCCUUGGGCAACACCUGGCCCAUUGGUUUGUGUAAUGUUGAACCCAAUCAAAGAAAAAAGGGUUAAAAGCUAUCCAUUACAGUCAGAUGAUGCGAGCUUACAACAAAGAGGUUCAUCUUAGAGAAUUCCAUGAGGGGGACCUAAUGUUAAAAAAGAUCCUUCUUAUAGAAAAGGAUUUUAAAGGAAAGUGGGUUCCAAAUUGGGAAGGGCCUUGUGUUGUAAAGAAGGCCUAUUUUGGAGGAGUAUUUUUAUUGACCGAGAUGGAUGCCAAAGACUUGCCCAAUUUAGUGAAUUCAAAUUCAGUCAGGAAGUAUUUUACCUGAAAGGGGAGAAGCCAAGGUGAAAACCUACAAAGGGCGCCUUGAGAAAAAAAUAAAAAAUCAAAAAAAAAGAGAAGAAAGAAAAAGAGGAGAGGCCAAGGCGAAAACCCGCAAAGGGCGCUUUGAGACCAAAGGGGUUUUGAGUUGAAACCUGAAAAGGGCAGCUUAAAUUUUGAACGAAAAUGGGGCAUGUGGUAGUCUUGCUAUGCCUGAAUUAACAAUAAGGAAGUAUGCUACAUCUUAGGGCAUUGACAAAGUACUCCAGAUCCCCUAAACACAUAUUAAGCUCAAAAUGGUCCUCAAAAAGUUCAUACAGAGAAGUUUAGGCUACAAUAUCUACGGCACCUAGUUUUCCAUCUUACCCAUUUUUGAAUUUGCUAUCUUUGAUUACCUUAUUCUUUUCAAGAUACGCCCCAAUCAAUUUCUUUUUAUUGCCUUGGUUAUCUUUGAUUAAUUUAAUUAUUUUGAGCUAUGCUCCUAAUUAAUUUUCUUCUUGUCCAUUAUUAUAAUAUUUUUUAAGCAUUUUAUAUUGAAAUAAUGAUUAAUGGACUAAUAAUACUUUCAUAAAAAGAGUUUUGCAUAUUACUCUGGAAGCUUCUAAAUAAUACGAGAAUUUGAAAUAGGACUAUUGUUUAGAACUCACUAAGCUUAAGGGUUGGAAAUAUUGAAAGAUGAUUAUCUCUUUGAAUAUUUUUGUUGAACAAAAAGACAAGACAUUUCGUCGGUGAUAUCAUCUCGACAAAUAACGAGCAAUGUCAACUCAAAUGUAAAAGGGGAUCAUUUUCGGGAAAAGAAAAAUGAUACUCUACAUUCAUGAAAAUUUCAAGCAUAUACAUUUGGUCAUUACACCCAGGGAAUGGUGUAACAGAUCAAUUUGACUGAAAAUGAUACAAAUUCUAUACCUCUGGGUGGCAGCAGGAUGGAUGGAAGAAACCAAAUAUUAUUCUUUUGAAGUUGCAGUGGGAGAUAAAAACUUUAUGUCCCAGACGGUACAGUGGAAGAGACUCUGAAAUUACAACAGGGCAAGCUUGUUGAGCAGAAUGUGAUUGUUUCUUCGAGUUUUCUAUUGAAAAAUACCAGUUGAAUAAGAUAGGAGUGUAAUAUGUCAGUGAUAAGACUCCUAAUGAAAAACAAAUGAUGACACCCUAAGCAUUAAAAAAGAGAUCAUUCUCAUUUUGCAUUCAUAGAUCAUUCAUAGCAUAUCUAAUUAAGAGCAUUUGACUUAUUUCAAUCAUGGCAUCCUAAUCAUUCAGCAUUAGCACAGACCCAUUCUAUAGGUUAUGUCCUCUAGAGGAUGAUGUAGUAAGGUAGAUUGAAGCUAUCAGUCUUGCCUCACUGAGUUUGCAGCAAAGCAUAUUGAAAGCAGCAGAUCUUGUCUUACUGUACUGGCAGUGAAGUAGAUCGAAAACAUCAGCCUUGCCUUUCUGAGUUUGCAGUGGAGUAGGUUGAAGAUUGUAGAUCCUGUCUCCCUAAGCAGUAGUGGAGUAGAUCAAAGACGGCGAAUCUUAUCUAUCCAAGGUAGUAGGGAAGCAAAUCUAAGCCACCAGUCCUAUCUCCCUGAGUAAUAGUGGAGUAGGUUGAAGAUUGUAAAUCCUGUCUCCCUAAGCAAUAGUAGAGCAAAUAAAAGAUGGCGAAUCUUAUUUUCCCAAGGUAGUAAGGAAGCAGAUUUAAGCCAUCAAUCCUAUCUCCCUGAGUAGCAGUGGAGUAGGUUAAAGAUAUAGAUCCUGUCUCCCUAAGCAGUAGUAGAGCAGAUUGAAGACGGUAAAUCUUAUCUUCUCGAGAUAGUAGGAAGCAGAUUUAAGCCACUAGUCUUAUCUCCCUAAGCAGUAGUGGAGUAGGUUGAAGAUUGUAUAUUCUAUCUCCCUAAGCAGUAGUAGAGCAGAUCAAAGACGGCAAGUCUUAUCUUUCCGAGGUAGUGAGGAAGCAGAUUUAAGCCACCAGCCUUAUCUCCCUGAAGUUGCAACGGAGCAGAAUGAAGAUAACAAAUCUUAUUUCCCUGAAGUUGCAGUGGAACAGAUUAAAGCUAUAAUCACAGAUUUAAUCUCUUUGAGGUUGCAGUAGAGUAGAUUAUGGCGAAUCUUAUCCUCCUAAAGUUGCAGUGGAGUAGAUUAAAGCCAAUAAUCCUAUCUCCCUAAAGUUAUAGUAGAGCGGAUUGAAACCACUAAUCCUAUCUCCCUGAAGUUGCAGUGGAGUGGAUUAAAGACACAAGUCUUAUCUCCUUGGCAUUAUAGUGGAAUAGAUUAAAGCUAAAGGUAGCAAAUCUUGUUCCCCUGGUGUUGUAGCAAUGCAGAUUAAAGUUGAAGGUAGCGAAUCUUAUCUCCUUGGCGUUAAGACUGAAGGAAGCAAAUCUUAUUUCCCUGGCAUUGCAGUGGAACAGAUUAAAGCUAAAGGUAGCGAAUCUUGUUUCCCUUGCAUUGUAGUGGAAUAGAUUAAAGCUGAAAUGGAGCAGAUUAAAGCUGAAGGUAGCAAAUCCUAUCUUUUUGGAGUUACAGUGGAACAGAUUAAAACUAAAGGUAGUGAAUCUUGUUUCCUUGGCGUUACAGUGGAGUAGAUUCAAGCUGAAGGUAGCCAAUCUUAUCUUUCUAGCGUUAAAGUUGUAGAAAGCAAGUCUUAUCCCCCUAAAGUUGCAGUGAGGCAGACUGAAGAUGACAAAUCUUAUCUCCCUAAAUUUGCAGUGGAGCAGAUUAAAGCCAAUAAUCCUAUCUCCCUAAAGUUGCAGUGGAGUGGAUUAAAAUUAGGUCUUAUCUCCCUGAAGUUGCAGUGGAGCAAACUGAAUAAACCAAUCUUAUCUCCCUGAAGUUGCAGUGGAGCAGAUUGAAGAAACCAAUUCUAUCUCCCUAAAGUUGCAAUGGAGCGGAUUAAAAUGAUGGAUCUUAUCUCUCUAAAGUUGCAGUAGAGCAGAUCACGUCAGGUCUUAUCUCCCUGAAGUUGCAGUGGAGCAUAUUGAAUAAACCAAUCUUAUCUCCCUGAAGUUGUAGUGGAGCAGAUUGAAGUUAUAAAUCCUGUCUCCUUGAAGUUGCAGCAGGACGGAUUAAAAUGAUAGAUCUUAUCUCUCUGAAGUUGCGGUAGAGUAGAUCGUAUCAAACCUUAUUUCCUAGAUAUUACAAUGAAACAAGUUGAAGCUACAAGUUUUAUCUCCCUGAAGUUAUAGUGGAGCAAACUGAAGAUAACAAAUGUUCCCUCAAAGAGCUACAAAUCCUAUCUCCUUGAUGUUAUAAUGGAGUGGAUUGAAGCACUAAUUCCUAUGCCCCUGAAGAUGCAGUGGGAUGGAAUGAGACUACUUGAAGAAGACGAGCACUCAAAGAAGUCAGAACUCGGCAAGACCGAGAAAAAUUGGCCCUUUUGUAGUCUUUGCUCCAUUCUCGUUACACGACAACGAGCAAAGAGGGACACUGUAAUAGGCCAAUUUAGCCCGGGCUCACAAAAAAAACCAAAAUAAUAAAACAAAGUCCAAGUCCAGUCCAAAAUUAUAUCAUUUGGCCCAAUCGAGAUGGCCCAUUACUUGAAAAGGUUGAAGGUCUAUCUACAAGCUUGACGCAUAUGGAAACAUAAUCUUUAAGGAUAUGUAAUCUUAGAUAUGAUAUGCAAUCUUAGAAGAUAUGAUUUUGUUUUAAUUUGUAGAUACCCUUUAAUCUUAGCCGUUGAUGUAAUUGAUUUGUACCGUUGAAUUUGGGGAGGCUCAACUAUAAAUAGAGGCCUCUCCCUUCAUUGUAAAACACUUGAGUUUGGAGCAAUAAUAAUUCUUAAGAGCAUUCACUCAAAUUUCUCCCUCUCUUGCGUUCUUAUUUUUUGAGGCUAGUUCUUAUUUUGUUCUUUGUUCAUCUUCUUUUCUUUUUAAGUUGCUUUCAUUUUUAGUUGGACUUUGGUGGAGGAAUUUCGUUGAGUCUUCAUAUUGUGAGAGUUAGGCUGACUUAAGUGUUUUUUUUAACUUUAUUUAUUUAUUCAUUUAAUUUUUUAAUCAUUAAUUAUUCUUUUACUUUAAUUCAUUUAUUUAUCCAUGAACUUUCUUAUUUACAUAUUGUUCAUUCAUUUAACCAUUCUUAUCAUUCUUUUAUUUUCUUCCAUUAAUUAUAUACUUUAUUUGUUUUUCAUAUUGCCCUUUUUUUUAAUCAAAGUUUUUAUGCAUCGUUUUAAUAUUGCGUCAAUUUUCCCCAAUUUUAAAAAAGAAAACUUUUAAAAAUAAGGCAAUAUUCUGUACUUUGGAGCUUUGAGAAAAUCGUGCCCUAACUUAUUGGCUUUCAAUUUUUUUUCCACAUAACCUGAAUAUCCUUUUUAAACUUUAAUGCAUGAGACAAGCUUAGUUUCGAGGGUUAAAAUGUUGUAUCCUAACUUACUGGAUGUGACAUCUUAUUACUUCGAGACAAGGAGGUCUUAACAUCAAAUUCAAUUUAUUCAGGUUUUUAAAGAGGAUCGUAUUUUAAAAUCUUUUCAAAUUUUUGACAUUAGGACGUUAAUUAAUCAAUUAGGUACCAAUUUUUGGGCGUUACGAGGGUGCUAAUACUUCGUCGUGCGUAACCGACUCCCGAGCCCGUUUUCUCGAAUUUUGUAGACCAAAAUUAUUAUUUUAAGAAAUCAAAAUGUUUUAUUAAAAUGAUUAAUCUCAAAGUGACCCAAUCACACCUCGAAAAAAGAUUGGUGACGACUCCAUUUUCGUUUUAAAAGUCGAUCCCAUUUUUCAAAAUAAAAAAAAUGGUUUCGACAAUAUAUAUUUUGUAUAUAUUAAGAUUUUGAAUCCUUAAUUAUAUAUCUAUAUAUUAUAAUAAUUUUAUAAUAUUAUAAAUAUAUUAUAUCAUAAAUAUUCUUUCAAAUAUUUUUUAAUGUUUAAUAAUAAGUUAAUUUAUAAAAUAUUCUUUCAAUAAAUUAACGUGAUGAGAUCGUUAGGUGCUUGGAUUUGGUGAUGGGGGAUGAAGAGAAAAGGGAUGGAAGUGAAGACAUAUGUUCAGAAAUGGAAACGGUUAGCAAGGGAAGCCGCCAUGAAAGGUGGCUCUAUGGAUAUGAACCUUCAAGCUUUUGUGGAUGAUGUUACUCAAAGGUUGUUGCAAGUAAAUUCAAAAAUGUUUUUUUUAAUUAAUUUUUUGUUAAAAAAUAUUUUUUAUUUUUCAUGUGGCAUGCCACAUUAUUAUACUAUCAUGUGAUUUCUGUCCGUAAGAUUAGUCAAAUCAACGGAUAAAUUGUUCAACUCACAAUUUUUGUUAAAUGAAGAGGUCAAUUAAUUUUUUUGGAAUCAUUGAGAACUCAAUUGGUGCAGUUUUUUCAUAAAGGCUAAAUUAAUUAUUUAAUUUGUUACUGUUGAGGGCUAUAGCAAUAAAAAAAUUUGAGGUAAAAUGAAAAAAAUUGUUAAAACUAAACUUGUGAUUAUGCCUAAUUUUAUCACAUUCUCCUUCGUUGGUAUUUAUGAUUUAGAAAAUUUUACAAAUAUAUUAUUUUUUAAGAAAUUAUAAGAAGAUUACAAAAAUUCCAAAAAUAUAUAAAAAAAGCUAAGAAAAACCUAGAAAUAAAAAAAAAAUCAUGUUUUUACAAAUUGGGAAAUACCUAAAUUUGUUUUCACCAAUUAAGAAAUUAAAAAAAUUGUUGAGAAAUAUCUUUUUCGAAAUAUCAUAAUUGCAUUUAAGACCUCAUGAUUAUCUUUUAUAAUUUCAGGCUUAUCAACUAUUUUGAAAACAACAAAACGUCUUACACCAAAACACAAAAAAAAAACGUCGACAUAUCACUUUAGCAUUGACUUACUUUUCUACUGUUAGUCUUCUCCAACAAGUUAAAUACUUCAAUUUUAACAACAUUGACAGGUCUUUGGGGUAGGGUCGAGCAAAACUCAAUAGAAACAGAUGAUAUAGGUUGAGUUGGCUCGGUCAAGCCCAUGUCCCUAGCUAUACGCCCCUCGUAAAAUCAAUUUUAAAAUUAAUUAUAAUAGUUUAAGCGAAUUGAUUAUUGAGUAAUGAAAUACUUAAUUCAACCAAUUGAUGUAAUCAAAUUAUAAUAAAUAUAUAUUUACUUUUAUGGUAUCCUUCAUCUCCUUUUUAGAGUUUGUGGGAAUAUUUUUUUUAAGCUUCGAAUUUAUUUUCUUAUUUAUGAGUACAAUGUGUCUUACAAUUACAUCUGCAGUUUAUAUUUUUUAUUUGAAAACAAAUAUUAUAAUAUAUGAAAACCCCAUAUAUAUAUAUAUAUAUAACCAAAUUUUGUCACACCCAUUUUAUGUUAAAAAUAUUUUCUUUUAAAUCGAGUAUAGGUUGGGUGGUAAAGUACUUAUAUUUUAAUACUAGUAAAUACAUGUUCAAUCUUUAGAUUUAUAAUUUAUAAUUCUUUUAACUGAAGAUGAUAUACAAGUAUGAAAAGACAAAAGUGACAUAGUAAUAAUAUUAAUUAUAAAUUUUAUAAUUUCAUGAUUGAGUUGAUGACGUAGUUGAAGGUAGCACUAACUCUAAAACACUUAAAUAUAGUAAUAGCUUAAAAAUGAGGGGCUUCUGGUAAAUACAUUACUGAGUUGGUAACCUGAUUGAGAGUAACACCAACUCAAUAAAACUCUUAAAUAUUGACUGCAAAUCCUAUCACACACUCAUGUGUAUGAAAACCACAAAUUUAGAAUGCAAAAAUGUGUUUAAAAAUAACAUACAAUAAAGAAUGAAAUUUAUGAUUUGAAACUAAUUAAUAAUAACACAUGAAAUAUGUACGAUAUCAAAAUGAAAAAAUAAAAGAUUAAAUUGUGCAUAAAACAAAAUUUUAUCCUAUUACAUCAAUAAAGUUAUAUUUAUUACCCUCGCCAAUUGUUUGUCAUUAAGAACAUUAAAGUAUCCUUGAAUGAUAUAACUUAUUCUAAUUAGAGUUGAUUGGUUGGCUUGGAUACCAACUCAGUCAGGGGCUUAAAAUUAUUAAAAUAUUAAUAUUUUAAAGAGAAAUUAAUAUUAUUAUAUGUGUAUUUUCACCUUUUCAUACUUUUAUAUAAUCUUCAAGUAAAACGAUUGAAAAAUAUUAUUUGAGAAUCAAACAAAAGACUAAAAAAUUCAUAUAGAAAAUGCUUGCAACUCCACUAAUAAUCAUUUGCCGAUGUAUUUUUGGUAAAAGACCUCUCCAAUCCCUCUUAAUUUCACAAUUGCACAAAUUACUCCCUCUCAAAAAAUUGGAGCAAUUUAAUCCCUAUCAAUUUUGAAAGUGAGUAAAUAAGGACAAUUAAUUAUGGUAUUAAAUUCUUCCAUCAAUCGUAGAUAAUUUUGAUUGGUAUAGUUAUAAAUUUAGCCUUCAAUGUUUAUAUAUUUUGUCAUUUUUGCCUUAAUUUUUAAAAAAUAUUCAAGAAAUUCAACCUCAACAUUUACAUAUUUACACAAACAUUGCAGGAAAUUUUUGUUAAACUAAGACCAAAUUGCAAAGUGUGCAAAUUUUGAAGGCUAAAUUUAUUAAUAUACCAACAAAAACCAUGUACAUUUUAUGGAAAAUUAACGUCCUGAUUAAUUAUUCUUAGUUGCUCACUUUCAAAAUUAAUAGGGACUAAAUUGCUCUGAAUUUUUUUAGGGUGACCAAUUUCCUCAAUUUGGAAAUUGAGAGAGACUAUUGAGAUCUUUCACAUAUUUUUUUUAUAAAUAUAUUUUUUAAUAUAAAAUAUACUUGUUCACCCACAUCAUGUGUAUGGUAAAAUAUUUUUAUUGUUGAUUGAGUUGGUGUCAAAAAUUAACUUGACACCAACUCAAGAUUAAUAAUAACAAUAUGAUAAAUAAUUUCUUUAUUUAAUAUUCUUAAUUUAACAUAUUGAUGUAAAUUUUAAGACAUGUAUGUCUUGUAGAAUUGUGCUUAUACUUUUUGAGUAUUGAGUCAGUUUUCCACAUUUGUGGGUCUCUAUUUGAGCAACACAAUUUCAACAUUUCUUCAUCUCGCUUAAUCCAAAUGCAUUUAGGAUUUUUUUAUAUCAUUGUUUCAAAAACGAUAAAAAAAUACGUCGACAUUGAAUUUGCUAUUUCACAUUCAAUUUCUGGAGAAGUAGAAUUUUCUAACUUAUUUUCCAUCAACUUCACUUCAAUUUUCAAUCACAAUCAAUUGCUUUCAAGAGCACCACAUCUUUUUGGAUGAAACAAACCUCUCAAUAUUAAGAUAAACGGGUCUUUAGGGCUAUUAAUUGAGGGCCUUUUCCACAAUUGCCAUCGUUAUUUGCGGGUGAUUCGGGGAUAAUAACAUCAACAUUUCUGUAUCACAUUUAAUUCAAUUCCACAUUGAACUUUUAAUUUUUAAAUAGAUGAUUGGGUUACAACAAUGGUUUGAAGUGAAGAUAUUUCAAAAGAAGGCAAAUAUAUCACUUUUUUGAGGGGUCUUUGGAGUUAUAUGUGACUUUAGCAUUGACUGACUUUUUUACAAUUAAUCUUUUAUAAUAAGGUAAAUAUAUCAAUUUUAAUAACAUCGACAUGUUUUUUAGUAGGGUCGAGCAAAAUCCAAUUAAAACCUUUCAUCACUGCAAAAAUGAAAUAAUAGAAAUGAAAGACUAGCCAUUGUAUGAGAUCUAUAAUUGAACUGUCAACGAAAUUGGGAGAAAUUUUAAAAUUUUAUGAAAUUUUAAAAUUAAACUGUCAAUAAUAUAAAAUUGCCUGAGUGACUUGGGAUAAGAGGUUGAACAUUGCUGGAUCACAUUACAUUUAAGAUGGGUCUUUAAGGUUAUACUUUAGUUAUUGAGAACAUUUUCCACAAUUUGCCAUCGUUAUUUGUGGGGUAUGUGGUUGAACACUUCUGGAACACAUUGCAUUUAGGACGGGUAUCAUUCAUAGACUGACUUUUCUAUAAUUAGUCCUUGCUUUACUUUAGGUGGAUUCUUCCAACUAGUCCAAGAAUUAUUGUACAGUUACAAUUAAUCUUUUUAAAUGAGACAAACAUUUCAAAUUUGUCGUUACUAUUUGUGAGUGAUUUUGGGGUAAGAAGUUUAACACUUCUGGAUGUCUUAUAGAAUUGUGAUUAUACUUUUUGAGUAUUGACUCAGUUUUCCACAAUUGUGGGUAUCUACUUGAGCAAAACAAUUUCAACAUUUCUUCAUCUCGUUUGAUCCAAAUGCAUUUAUGCAUUUCUUAUAUCAUUGAAUUUGCUGUUUCACAUUCAAAUUUUGGACAAGUAGAAUUUUCUAACCUAUUUUCCGUCAACUUCACUUGAAUUUUCAAUCACAAUCAAUUGCAUUCAAGAGCACCACAUCCUUUUGGAUAAAACAAAACUUUCAAUUUUAAGGUAAACGGGUCUUUAGGGUUAUACGAGGGCCUUUCCACAAUUGCCAUCAUUAUUUGCGGGUGAUUUGGGGAUAAUAACUUGAACAUUUCUGGAUCACAUUUAAUUCAAUUUUUAAAUUUUAGAGAGAUGUUUGGGUUACAACAAUUUCCAUCAUUAUGUUUAAUAUAACAUUUGGGAGGAAAAGGAGCAAAAAAAAUGAGUGAAAAUCAGAAAAUGGGGGCAAAGUAUAGGACCCACAUGAGCUGACCUAUUCCACUUGACUAUGGGACGACAUCAAUUUCGUAGAUUUGCACUUUGACCUGCUAAAAAAUACGAAUUUUAGGCUUUUCUGGCAUUCUAAGAUAUAUAUAUAUGACAAAAAUAAGAAGAUAUAAGAGAACCUUCCUAGAAUAUUCAAGAAAACAACUCCAAAGACACUACUAAAGCCGACUCUGAACCAGAUUUUCAUUAAGAUGGAAGAUUCCUAAUUGAUUUCUUAAGAGAUUAUCAUGAGUUUCUUUAUUCCUUUCAGUUAUACUACCCUUUGGAUGUUUUUAUUUUUAAUCAUGAACUAAUUUUCUAAAUACCUAAGAGAGAUGAACCCUAUGAUAGAUUGUGACACCCCAAAGCCGACCGAGACAGACCGACCCGAAUUCGAAACAUUACAUUAGCCACCUAAGUGACUUUCUAGCUAACAACCAGCCAAGACACACCCUAACCUUAUUGUACAAGCCUAAUUUUGACCAAGACUAAACCAAAUAAAUUAACAGUCCAUAAGAGUCCAAAUUACAACUAUCCUGAUACGACCCAAAUUAAAAACAACAACCCAAGCCCAAACCUAACCCUAGUAGCCCAAAGCCCACAAGCUAAAAAAUCUUAGCAGAAAAAACAAAGUUGCUAACCCUAGGCGCUGCGCCUGGGUCCUCUACCAUUGACCGUAUGCCUCUAUCAUCGCGUCUCACAGCCUCUGCCACGCCUCUGCUACCUGCAAGAAACCAACAAAGCACAAAACGACAACAGCAAUAGGGGCCAAAUCAAAAAAUAAUAAAAAAAUAGAUCAUGAAUCGCUUAGAUCGGCUAUAAAGGCCAAAAUAUUAACCUUGUAAUGCUUCUUCUUUUUUUUGACGAACAUUAGAAAAAUAAAAAAUAGAAAACAAGUAUCAAAGGUAGAUUUUUUUCAUUUUCAAAUUCACAUUUCUUUUCCCUGUGUAUUUUCUUUUCUUCUAUUUUUUUUACAUACAACUAGUAAGAACAAAGAAAGAGAAAGAAAAACCUCACCUAGAAUAGCCCCUCAAGUCCGGUCGUCGGAGGCCCUUUUCCCGUUGUCGGAAUUAGACCUAAAAGGGGGGCUAGGGGUGCCCUCUCCUGGUUUUUUAGGCCAAAGAAGGUUGGAUCUUUGAGCGCACUGGAAAUCGGGGUUGAAACGCCUCUUUUGCGCAACGUCGGCCAUCGGUCACGGUGGCGCUACGGCGGCACUUACGGCCGAAACCCUAGGCCGAGCGGGGUGGGGGUUUGAGAGAGGGAGAGAGCUCAAAAGCUCUCUGAAUUUUUUUAAAAAAAAUGGGAUGAAACUGAUUUUCUUUGGGUUUUUUAUUUUAUUUUAUCCUAAGUAUGAAACGCCUCCGUUUUGGACUUAAGUAGCCAUGGCCAAAACGACGCCGUUUUACAUCGUUUCCCCCAUACCCGCGCGCGCGACCCGACCCGCCAGGGGAUCCGCACGUUUUGACUCUAAGGGGAUAUUUGCGCAAUCUGCCCCUACGCUUUUUCGACGUAUUCAAUUCUGGUUUAUUAUUAUUUUUAUUUUAGCCAUGUAUUUUUGCUUCCGAUUCAAGUUGGUCCUUAGACCAUGUGUUGUUCCACGGUUAAAACGCCGCGCUUUAGGACUGGGGAAUAUUUCCCUGAAAGUCCCUCGCUCUUUGAGCGCGUUUCAUUUUGGUCCCGAGCCACCCCUUUUAUUUAUUUGCAAUUUAGACCGCGAGUUCUAAUCCGAUUUCAAUUUAAUCCUUAUUCCAUAUAAUUAUUUUAUUUUCUUUUUCUUUAAAAAUUAAUUUUUUUUAUUUUUAAAAAGGAGCUCUUCUAUUAUUAUUAUUUAUUUUAAGUUAUACAUAUAUUAUUUAUUCUAAAUGUUUUGCCUAAUAUUUACUUAAUUUUUUUAUUCUAUUAUUUGUUUAACAACUAUAUGUAUAUAUUGUCUCUUAGAAUUUAUAUAUAUAUAUAUAUUUAUAUAUAUAUAUUAUUUUAAUAAAAAUAAAGAAUACUGUUUUUAAUUAUUUUAAACUAUCUUAGUAUUUUUUUUUUCAUUUUAAAGCUUUAUAUUGCUUGUUUGAGACAUUUUGCCAUACAUUUCGAGUUAAUCUCAUAAGUUAUUCGUCUUAUACUAUUACCUACGUAAAAUUGUUCUUUAUUAUUUCGUUUCGUUUGCUUGGACUAUUAAUAUUGAUAUGUUAAAAUGUUGCACAUGGUGUGAUUAUUAUCAUUACGUACGUUGUAAUUAGUUUAUUUGUUUUCGCAUUAUUGCCAUUAUGUGUAUUAUUUCGUUUACUCGUAUUUCCAUGCUAUGGCAAUUCAUUCGUAUAUCAUGUUGUUCAAAAAUUAUUUCACCAUAUUAUAAAUUGUCACCCCAUCGACGCAACCUUUUUGUUCACGCAUUAUUUCAAACAUUACAUUUUUUACCCAAACAUGCAAAAAUGAAAAUUUCAAAUAAGGCAAUAUUUUGUGUAUUGGCGAUUCGAGAAAUUGUAUCCUAACUUAUGGGGUUUUGGCCUUUCUCGUUAAAACUAAUAGCAAAAUACCCUUUUUAAAAUAUCAAAAAAUGACGAAAGGAAUCUAAAUAAGGCAAUAUUUCGUGUUUAGAAAUUCAAGAAAACGUACCCUAAUGUGCUGGGUUUCGAUUCUUUCGUUUGACCAAAUAGCCAAAUAUUCUCUUAAAAUUUCAAAGUAUGGGUUUUGGAACCAUAAGGUGAUCUUGGGUUCGAGGGUUUAAAGUAUUGUAUCCUAACGUGCUGGAUGUGAUUUUUUUCUAAACAAGAGAAUCCUAAAUUCCAACCCAUGUUAUUCGAGUUUUUUUUUAUGAUAGUAUUUUUAAAAACUCUUCAAAGUUUUCAAUCUUCGACAUUAAGACACUAAUUAAUCAACUAGGUACCAAUUUUUUGGCGUUUCGAGGGUGCUAAUCCUUCCUCGUACGUAAUCGACUCCCGAACCUAUUUUUCUGAAUUUCGUAGACCAAAAGCAUUGUUUUAAUAAAUCCAAAUCAUUUAUUAAACACAAUCGUUUUACGAGGUGACCCGAUCACACCUCAUCAAAAAAGAUUGGUGGAGACUCCCGUGUUCGUUUUCGUUUUUCAAAAUUAAAGUCGACCCUCGUUUUACAAAAAAUGGUGUCAACACUUAUAACACCUCAAUCUUAUUUAAUUAUUAUUUAUUUAUUAAUGGCAAAGUAAAUUAUGAGCCAAUUUUGAACUUUUCCUAGGUAAUUUAACCUAAGGGCAUUUAUGUCAUUUUACUAAAAUAAUUUCUGUAAUUUUUAUUAUUCGGCUAUAUAAAGCCAUUGGUGAUACUAUAAAAAAGAAUUACGGAGAUACUAUAAAAAAGGAUUACGGAUUCGAAAGAAAAGAAAAAAAAUCAAAUAGCAUUAUAUUUUUAAGGUGGUUUCCGAUUUCUACUUCUUUUUUCUUUUUCCUUUGAUUUGUUUUUAUUUGCUGAUUAAAAGAUAAAAAAGGGGGAAGUUCUUACUUACAUAUUGCGCCGCCGGAGCCUUCAUCCCUUUUGUUUCAAGUUGGAAUGGGGUGGGCAAUGGUCGAAUCGAAAACAGCACAUAGAGGGUAGAUUUUAAGGUUUCUUUGGUUAGAUUUUUUUUUUAAAAAAUGGAGUGUCUACUAAUAUUUAGGGUUUAUGUUGACUUAUAUAUGGCGUAUGAAACGACGUCAUUUCAUGCCAUUUCAGUGGUUUCAAAACGGCGUCAUAUAGGACCGAGAUCUGUGCGGUGACCUGACCCGAGGGAAGGAUCCGCACGUUUUGUCGCGAUGGUCUAUUUUUACAUUAGGUCCCUUCGUUUUUUAUUAUUAUAAUGCAGUUUUUUUAUAUAUUUUUAAUUUGUACUCCUUGAUUUGUUUUAAUUUCAAUUAGGUCCAUAAUCGAACGACGUCGUUUUGGAGGGCAGGGAUUAAUUUCCCUUUUGGUCUCUCUUUGUUAUUCGCGCGUUCGAUAUGGUCCUUUUCUUUUUAUUUAUUUUAAAUUUGCCCCUAAAUUUCUGUUUUAAUUCCAAAUUAGUAACCUAUUUUGUUAUUUUUGCUAUUAAAUUAAUUACUUUAAUAUUAAUUUAUCAUUAUUACUAUUAUUACUAUCAUUAUUGUUAUUAUUAUUAGUAGUAGUAGUAGUAUUUAUAUAUAUAUAUAUAUAUCUAACUUUUUUUAUAUACAUAAUUUUAUUCUAUUAUAUACUAUUAUUUAGUUUUUUUUAUACUAUUAUCAUAUAUUAUUAUUUAAGUUUGUAAUGUAUUUUUUUUAUAUUAAUCCAAUAUAAUAUAUAUAUUUUCCAUUUUUUAUUUUAUAAUAUAUUUUUUAAAUUCACCUAUAUAUAUUUCUAUGCUUUAAAAGAUUUAUACGAUAAUGUCCUUAUAUAAUACUAUUUUAUAUAUAUGUAUACACAAUUUAUAUUAAAUUAUUUUCAUUAUAUGUACAUAUAUGACAUAUGAUAGAUUUCAUUUUUUUUCACUUAUUUUCAUAAAUAAUUUAUUUCUUUUAAAAAGCCUACUCUAUUAUGUUUUAUUUAUUUCUGCUUUUUACAUGUAUUAUUAUAUAUGUAUACUAUUAUUUAUAUCAAGUUUUUCACUCCAUGUGUAUUACAUAUUCUAAAUUAAUAUAUAUUAUUUUAUAUAUUUUAAUUUUCUUCUUAUAUAAUAUUUGCUUCAAAAUUCAUCUAAAUACUAUUAUUUUAUGUAGUGUUUAUUUUUUACUCUAUCUUGAUUACAUUUCAUACUUAUAUAUAUGUAUAUUGUUCAUUUUUAAACUUUUUGUACGUAUAGUUUAUUGAUUAUAAUUUCUUCUCUCUUUUUUUUAGUGUAUCUUUAAAAAUUGAUUAGUAAUUCACUUAAAUUUUGAAUGUUGAAUGAUUGAGAUUGUUGCCUUGCUUGUUAGUAUUUGUCUAUUGGUUAUUUGUUAUUCAUUAGUGUAUGUUAUUUACAAAUUAUCCUUUACGUUGUACGUUGUCAUUUAUUCGCAUUACAUUCGUUUAAAAGGUUGCAUUUGAUUAAAAUAAUAAAAUUGUUUACCCAUAAAAUUUUCAAGAUACUUGGUAUCCAAGAUUCUUGAGAAGAUUGUGCCCUAACUUACUCGGCUUCAAUUUUCCUCAUUGGAUUGAGGUAACCGGGUAUCUCUUUUUCGAUUAAAACAUAAAAAUUCAAAUCAAAACUUAUCUCGAGGAUUCAAAACGUUGUGUCCUAACUCAUUGGAUAUGACAUUUUGUUAUCUUGAGAUGAGGUUUUUUUUAAUAAAGGCAAACUCACAUGUUGUCGUCGGAACUUCAAAGAAUCGUACCCUAACUUACGGGGUUUUGAUUUCCUUAUUGAAGCAAGAUGACCAAAUUUUUUAGUUUUUGAAAUAAUAAAUUUCAAUAAAGAUUUUUUAAAAGGAGAAUCACUUUUUUAAUCUUUUUUUGACAUUCGACCUUAAGACAUUAAAUAAUCAAUUAGGUACCAAUUUUGGGCGUUACGAGGGUGCUAACCCUUCCUCGUACGCAAUCGACUCUCGAACUCAUUUUUUCUGAAACUCAUAGACCAAAAUCGUUUUCAAGGUGAUUCGAUCACACCUCAAUAAAAGAUCGGUGACAACUCCAAUUUUCAUUUUUAAGUCGACAACUAACUUUUGUUUUCAAAAAGUGGUUUCGACAGCUUGUCAACUCCACUGGGGAUUGAUUUUAAGAGUCGAGCCAUAAAUUGAUUAAUUUUUGUCUUAUGGUCGAAAAAUCAAAUUUUGUUUUUAAAUUCACGAUUCUCCUUUGCAUUUAUUGUUUUCAUCAUGGUAUUGUUGCUUGGUUGGUCUAAGUCUGUUAAUGUAUUUGCAUCGUGCAUUACACGAGUUGGACGAUUUUACCCUUCUAAGUGGGAGUGAGAAACUAUUCCUUUGUGAGGUUUUCACCUCCGCAUAGGAUAGUGGAUCUCUUUCGGGAUACAUCCGUACCUAUGUCUUCGUAAUAUUUUCAUCUCCAUGUAGCCAUAGGGAAAUGUAUUCCCUUAAACCGAACUCAGUUCGCAUGAGCCUAUAAUUGGUGAGGAUCGAGGAAUCUACUGGUUUGGGUACCUUUGCACUAGAAGCCAAACCGUACAUUGUGAACCUUAGGAACUUGCCCUAGGUAGAACUAUGUCAAACCCUAGUAGAUACCCAAAUAGGUGCUUUAUUAUUUCUUGUUUGAAUUGAAUUUUAUUUUUAUACAUGAUACUAACUUGUGUUUUGUUUUGAUUGCAUGGCAUUUUGACUACAUGGCAUUUCAUUAUAAAAGGCGUUGAUUCAUAUUCGGUUACUAGAUAGAAAGCUUAUCAUGGAAAAAGGGUUUCUUGAUAAGGUGAAGGAUAAUGCGGCUGUCCGAACUUGGUCUGAAACAACAUAGCGAGAAACAUUUCAUGGAAAAAGGGUUUCUUGAUAAGGUGGGUUUCUUGAACAUUUCUGGAUCACAUUUAAUUCAAUAUUUAAAUUUUAGAGAGAUGUUUGGGUUACAACAAUUGCAUCAUUAUGUUUAAUAGAACAUUUGAUAGGAAAAGGAGCAAAAAAAUGAGUGAAAACCGAAAAAUGAGGGCAAACUAUAGGACCCACACGGGCUGACCUAUUCCACUUGACUGUGUGACCCACACGGUCGUGUGGCAAACCACGUCAAUUUCAUUGAUUUGCACUUUUAACUGAGAAAAAUACGAAUUUUAGGUUUUUCGGGCAUUCUAAGAUGUAUAUAUGACAAAAUUAAGAAGAUAGGACCUUCCUAGAAUAUUCAAGAAAGCAACUCCAAAGACACCACUAAAGCCGACUCUGAAGCAGAUUUUCAUUAAGAUGGAAGAUUUCUAUUCGAUUUCUUAGGAGAUUAUCAUGAGUUUCUUUAUUUCUUUCAAUUAUAAUGCCCUUUUGAUGUUUUUAUUUUUAAUCAAGAUUAAUGAUAACAAUAUCAUAAAUAAUUUAUUUAUUUAAUAUUCUUAAUCUAACAUAUUGAUGUAAAUUUUAAAUUGACAUUAUUUGAUUCUUUUUAAUAUAUAUUGCUAAGCUUUACAUUAAUAUUUGUUGGUUAUUAUUAUUAUUAUUAUUAUUUAAACAUUAAUCAUGUUUAAAUGCGUUUCAUCCUCCAAUUUAAGAGUUGGAGAGAAUUUUCAAUAGUUAAAUUAUAUCAGUUUUUAUCUAUUUAAAAAUUAUUUAUAAAUAAUAUAAGUAGAAAUUAAAUUUAAAAAAAAUACAUAUUCAUAUUCUAUCGGCUUUUUCAUUAUUAGAGUUUUUCCUCACAGGUAAAAGUAUUUAUGGACAGGAUGGCGUAAUAUUAUGACUUGAAAAGUUUUAAACCCUUCAACACUGCAAAAAUGAAAUAAUAGAAAUGAAAGACUAGCCAUUGUAUGAAAUUUAUAAUUGAACUGUAAACAAAAUUAAACUGUCAAUAAUAGAAAAUUGCCUGAGUGACUUGGGAUAAGAGGUUGAACAUUUAUGGAUCACAUUGCAUUUAAGAGGGGUCUUUGGAGUUAUAUGAUACUUUAACAUAGACAUAGACUUUUCUAUAAUUAGUCACUGCUUUACUAUGGGUGAAUUCUUCCAACUAGCAUGAUAGUUGAUGUUACUCUCCAAGAAUUAUUGUAGCCUCCUCUUCCAACUAGCGUAGAGUUAUCUUUAUUCCUACCCCACGCUGGCAACAAACCACUGCUCAAAUUAAUUUGAAGAUAUCUCUUUUCGAAUCCAUGAGUUUUGUUUUCCUUUUUGUAAAAUAGAUAUCAAGAGAUACCAAAAAUUAUUUUACUAACAAAUUUUAAUUCACUCAAAAAGUAAGUGUUUUAUUUCAAGGGAUCACAAUUAAACAUUAGAUUUCUCAUUUUUUAAUUUUAAUUCAUUUAAGAAAGCUGAUGUAACACAUUAGUGACAUCAUUCCAAACAAAGUUUUAGGUCAAAAUUUUCAUCUAGUCCUUGUAAUUGUUUUUAGGUGAAUUUCAUUAUUAUUCUUUUAUUUUCUUUGGCUUAAAUACACAUUUACCCCUAAUUUUAUCACACUCUCCUUAAUUGGUAUUUAUGGUAUAGAAAAUUUUACAAAUAUAUAUAUAUAUUAAGCAAUUAUAAGAAGAUUACAAAAAUUCCAAAAUAAUAUAAAAAAGCUAAGAAAAACCUUGAAAUUCAAAAAAAAAAUCAUGUUUUUACAAAUUGGGAAGUACCUAAAUUUGUUUUCAUCAAUUAAGAAAUUAAAAAAAUUGUUGAGAAAUAUCUUUUUAGAAAUAUCAUAAUUGCAUUCAAGACCUCAUGAUUAUCUUUUAUAAUUUCAGGCUUAUCAACUAUUUUGAAAACAAAGAAAUGUCAUACACCAGAAAAAUAAACAAAAACAAAAACGUCGACAUAUCACUUUAGCAUUGACUUACGUUUCUACUGUUAGUCUUCUCCAACAAGUUAAAUAUUUCAAUUUUAACAACAUUGACAGGUCUUUGGGGUAGGGUCUAGCAAAACUCAAUAGAAACGGAUGAUACAGUUUGAGUUGGCUCGGUCAAGCCCAUGUCCCUAGCAAUACGGCCCUGGUAAAAUCAAUUUUAAAGUUAAUUAUAAUAGUUUAAGCGAACUGAUUAUUGAGUAAUGAAAUACUUAAUUCAAACAAUUGAUGUAAUCAAAUUAUAAUAAAUAUAUAUUUACUUUUAUGGGUUCCUUCAUCUCCUUUUUAGAGUUUGUGGCAAUAUUUUUUUUAAGCUUCAAAUUUAUAUUUUUUUUAUUUAUAAGUACAAUCUGUCUUACAAUUACAUCUGUAGUUUAUAUUUUUUAUUUGAAAACAUAUAUUAUAAUAUAUAUAUAUAAAACCAAAUUUGGUCACACCCAUUUUAUGUUAAAAAUAUUUUCUUUUAAAUUGAGUAUAGGUUGGGUGGUAAAGUACUUAUAUUUUAAUACUAGUAAAUACGUGUUCAAUCUUUAGAUUUAUAAUUUAUAAUUCUUUUAAUUAAAGAUGAUAUGCAAGUAUGAAAAGACAAAAGUGACACAGUAAUAAUAUUAAUUAUAAAUUUUAUAAUUUCAUAAUUAAGUUGAUGACGUGGUUGAAGGUGGCACUAACUCUAAAACACUUAAAUAUAAUAAUACCUUAAAAAUGAGGGGCAUUUGGUAAAUACAUUUCUGAGUUGGUGACCUGAUUGAGGGUCACACCAACUCAAUAAAACUCUUAAAUAUUGACUACAAAUCCUAUCACACACUUAUGUGUAUGAAAACCACAAAUUUAGAAUGCAAAGAUGUGUUUAAAAAUAACAUUUAAUAAAGAAUAAAAUUUAUGGUUUGAAACUAAUUAAUAAUAACACAUGAAAUAUAUACGAUAUCAAAAUGAAAAAAUAAAAGAUUAAAUUGUCCAUAAAACAAAUUUUUUUCCUAUUACAUCAAUAAAGUUAUAUUUAUUACCCUCGCCAAUUGUUUGUCAUUAAGAACAUUAAAGUAUCAUUGAAUGAUAUAACUUAUUCUAAAUAGAGUUGAUGUAUGCUUGGCUUGGGAUACCAACUCAGUCAGGGGCUUAAGAUUAUUAAAAUAUUCUUAUUUUAAAGGGAAAUUAAUAUUAUUAUAAGUGUAUUUUCACCUUUUCAUACUUUGAUAUAAUCUUCAAGUAAAACGAUUGAAAAAUAUUAUUUGAAAACAUAAGACUAAAAAAAUUCAUAUAGAAAACGCUUACCACUCCACUAAUAAUCAUUUGUCAAUGUAUUUUUGGUACCUCUCCAAUCCCUCUUAAUUUCACAAUUGCGCAAAUUAGUCCCUCUCAAAAAAAUUGGAGCAAUUUAAUCUCUAUCAAUUUUGAAAGUGAGUAACUAAGGAUAAUUAAUUAUGGUGUUAAAUUCUUCCAUCAAUUGUACAUAAUUUUGAUUGGUAUAGUAAUAAAUUUAGCCUUCAAUGUUUAUAUAUUUUUGUCAUUUUGGCCUUAAUUUUUAAAAAAAAUUCAAGAAAUUCAACCUCAACAUUUACAUAUUUACACAAACGUUGCGGGAAAAUUUUGUUAAAGUAAGACCAGCUAAAUUUAUUAUUAUAUCUGUAGGGCCCAAUUUUUGCCCGGCCCGUUAAACAAAUAAAACCCAAAAAUACAAGCCCAAUAACCCUAAACUUUGCCCAACUAGCAACCUCCAUACCCCAAACCCUAGUGGCAGCUUCCAGCAACUCCAGCCGCCGCACGAUGCGGGCCAGAAUCCUCCCUACGCGCGAUUUGCGCCUCCACGGGCGUGCGCACUCCCCAACAGUGCCUAUACCUGCGAGAAAAAACUGGAAAAUGGCAGAAAAUGCAGCAAUAACAGAAAAUAUUUCUUUGAUUUUGUAUUUUUUUUGUUAUUAUUUAUUUUUUAUUUUCGGUUAUAUAUAAACCGAUUUGUAAAGAGAAUGGGGGGAUUUUUUCAGUUUAAAGGAUACAAAAUAGAGAAAAAGAACAGAUCGAACUUGUUUUUUUUAAAGGUUUUUUUUUCGUUUUAUUUUGCAGUGUCUAUUGUUUUUAUUUCCAUUUUUUUAUUUUAUUUUAUUUUCAUUUUAUUUUAUUUAGAAUAACAAAGAAAAAGAAAAAGAAAACUUACCUAAGUUGAGGUCGAAAUCGGUGCCGGAAUUCGGACCGACUGAAUCGCCUGAGAGGCGGUGCGAGGAUGCUAGGGAUGAAACCCUAGCAGAGCAAAGGGAGCCUUUUUUUUAUUUUUUUCUUUUCAAUCUGAUUACAGUGGUUUUGAAAGGAAAAUUUUAUUUUAAAUAACGUUCAAAACGGCGCCGUUUUCCCAGGCUUGACCCGCACGGUGACCUGACCCGAAGGGGAGGAUCCGCGCGUUUGGCUUCAAAAGGGAAAUUGCGCAUUUAGCCCCUGCCUUUUGCAAUGCGCUUCAAUCAAGCCCCUUUUGUUUUUUUUUAAAUUUAGGCCGCAUAUUUCAUUUUUGUUUCAUUUGGGUCCCUCGCUGCGCAACGCAUUGGAAGGACGGGAUAAUUUCCCUUUUGGUCCUCCACUCUUGCGCGCGAAUUCAAUGUGGUCCUGUUUUAUUUUACUUCAAAUUUACCCCUUUUUUUCCUUUUUAGUUCAAUUUAAUCCUUUUAUUUUAAACUGUUGUAUUUUUUUUAUUUAUGUUAUACUAAUUUAUUAUUUUUAUUUUUAUUAUCAUUAUUAUAUCUACCUAUGUACACGCACAUGCGUUUCUUAUCAUAUCUAUGUAUAUACUGUAUAUAUAUUUAAAUGUUUUAUAUGCAUAUGUUAUAUUCAUUAUUAUUAUUAUUUUAUAACAAACAUGCAUUGUUUUUUUAUGAUACAUAUACAUACGCAUGGCUUUUAUAAUAUAUAUAUAUAUGCAUUCUUUUAUACAGUAUACAUAUACCUCUAUAUAUUUUAUACAUUUUUUUUAUUUUCUAACUUUUACAUAUAUAAAUAAACUUUUAUAUUUUAGUUUUUUAUAAAUACGUAUGUACAUAUGUUUUCUUUUACAUUUUCUUUACGACAUACUUAUACAUUUUCUGUAAAUAUAUAUACAUAUGCAUAUUUUGAUAUUUUUAUCUUCACAAUUUUCACGUAUACAUACACAUGUUUUGCAUGCAUAUUCUUAGAAAUUAUUGUAAGCUUGUUGUAUAUAUUUCUUUACCUUCCUUUUUAUAAGUACACUUGUAUUUACGUGUUAAAUGCAUGCUCAUACAUAUUUUCAAGCUUACUUGUAUAUUGUGCUCAUAUAUAUUUUGUAAAUAUGUAUUCAUAUACAUUCUAAAUUAAAGUUUUUGCUUCAUAUUAUACAUUAACUUUCGAUAUACCCUUUUUGAAAAUAUAUUUUGGUUUUAACCGUACGACAAACUUAUUUUCCUGAUUCGAAGGUGUUUUUUUUUUUUGAAUAAAAGUAUUAUUUAAAGUUUGGGAUUUUCGAGGGAAAUUGAGCCCUAACGUAUUGGGUUCUGGUUUUCUUUGUCAAUCUUAAAUGACCGAGAAUAUUCUUUAUUCAAAAUGCAUGAGCAUAAAAAUCAUUUUUGGGAACUUAACUUGUCGUGCCCUAACGUAUUGGGUGUAGCCUGUUACUUUCUUGAAAUGAAGAUUUUCGCAUAAAAUAAAAGUGAUAUUCAAAGUUUGGGGAUUAUGAGGAAUUGUACCCUAACGUAUUGGGACUCGAUUUCUUUACAUGACUUGAACAAUUGAUUAUCCUUUUUCAAAAUUCAUCAUUUGAGUUGAUUUUAAAAUCUUUUUAACCUUCGACACUAAGACAUUAAAUGAUCAAUUUGGUACCGAAUUUGGGCACUACGAGGGUGCUAACCCUUCCUCGUGCGUAACUGACUCCCGGACUCAUUUUCUCAAAAUUCGUAGACCAAAAUAGGGUGAGCCGAUCACACCUUAAUAAAUGAUCGGUGGCGACUCCAGUUUUAUUUUUAAACUCGACAACUAAAUUUUUGUUUUCAAAAAAUGGUUUCGACAAUAUCAACCAAAAUCAUGUACAUUUUAUGGAAAAUUAACAUCCUGUUGCUCGCUUUCAAAAUUAAUAGGGACUAAAUUGCUCUGAUUUUUUUAGGGUGACCAAUUUCCUCAAUUUGGAAAUUGAGAGAGACUAUUGAGAUCUUUUACUUUUUUUUUUAUAAAUAUAUUUUUUUAAUAUAAAAUAUAUUUGUUCACACACAUUGUGAGUAUGAUAAAAUAUUUUUAUUGUUGAUUGAGUUGGUGUCAAAAAUUGACUUGACACGAACUCAAGAUUAAUGAUAACAAUAUCAUAAAUAAUUUAUUUAUUUAAUAUUCUUAAUUUAAGAUAUUGAUGUAAAUUUUAAGACAUGCAUGUCUUGUAGAAUUGUAAUUAUACUUUUUGAGUAUUGAAUCUUUAGAUUUAUAAUUUAUAAUUCUUUUAAUUAAAGAUGAUAUACAAGUAUGAAAAGACAAAAGUGACUUAGUAAUAAUAUUAAUUAUUAAUUUUAUAAUUUCAUAAUUGAGUUGAUGAUGUAGAUGAAGGUGGCACUAACUCUAAAACACUUAAAUAUAGUAAUAGCUUAAAAAUGAGGGGUUUUUGUAAAUAUAUUACUAAGUUAGUAGCCUGAUUGAGGGUAACACAAACUCAAUAAAACUCUUAAAUAUUGACUACAAAUCCUAUCAUACACUUAUGUCUAUGAAAACCACAAAUUUAGAAUAUAAAGAUGUGUUUAAAAAUAACGUACAAUAAAGAAUGAAAUUUAUGGUUUGAAACUAAUUAAUAAUAACACAUGAAAUAUGUAUGAUAUCAAAAUGAAAAAAAAGAAAGAAUAAACUGUGCAUAAAACAAAAUUUUAUCCUAUUACAUCAAUAAAGAUAUAUUUAUUACCCUCGCCAAUAGUUUGCCAUUAAGAACAUUAAAGUAUCCUUGAAUGAUAUAAAUUAUUUUAAAUAAAGUUGAUUGGUUGGGAUACCAAUUCAGUUAGCGACUUAAAAUUAUUAAAAUAUUCUUAUUUUAAAGGGAAAUUAAUAUUAUUAUAAGUGUAUUUUCACAUUUUCAGACUUUUAUAUAAUCUUCAAGUAAAACAAUUGAAAAAUAUUAUUUGAGAAUCAAACACAAGACUAAAAAAUUCAUAUUGAAAACGCUUAUCACUCCACUAAUUCAUAUUGAAAACCUCUCCAAUCCCUAUUAAUUUCACAAUUGCGCAAAUUAGUCCCUCUCAGUUUUGAAAGUAAGUAACUAAGGAUAAUUAAUUAUGGUGUUAAAUUCUUCCAUCAAUUGUACAUAAUUUUGAUUGGUAUAGUUAUAAAUUUAGCCUUCAAUGUUUAUAUAUUUUGUCAUUUUGGCCUUAAUUUAAAAAAAAUUCAAGAAAUUCAACCUCAACAUUUACAUAUUUACACAAACGUUGCGGGAAAAUUUUGUUAAAUUAAGACCAAAUUGCAAAGUGUGUAAAUUUUGAGGGCUAAAUUUAUAAUAUACCAACCAAAAUCAUGUACAUUUUAUGGAAAGACAUGCAUAACCCAAAGAAAUGGGAUGAAACUGAUUUUCUUUGGGUUAUAAAUUUAUAAUAACAGUAAGUUAUUAACCAUACUAUUAUCAUUAAUUUUGAGUUAGUUAUAAAUUACUGUUAUACGCCCAGUAAGUUAGGGCUCAACUUUCUCGAGAAUCUUAGAUGUCAAGUGUUUUGAAAACUUACGGAUAAAAUGAUUUUAGUAUUUUAAUCAAAUGCACUCUUUCAAACAAAUGUAACGCAAUUGGAUAAUAACAUACAACACAAAAAGAUAAUUCGAAAAUAAAAUAUACAUUAAUGAGCAAUGAAUAAUCAAUAAAUAAAUACAAACAAACAUAACAACAAUAAUCUCAAUUGUACAUUAUGCCAAUAUCAAUAUCAACAUUCAAAAGCUAAUAAAAAAAACGAGCCAAUUAAUGCAAAUGUAAACUAAAUGUACAAGUAUUGGAAUAACUAAAAAAACAAAUGGCAUGAAAGAAAUGGAAGUUGUAAAUCAAUAAAGUAUAUGUACAAAAAUAUAAAAUAAAUAAUAUACAAGAAAUUGAAAUAACCAAAAAUUGAGUUAAAAAUAAAUACUAUGUGAGACAAUAAUAUUUAAACAAAUUUUAAAAUAAAUGUUGCAUAUGAGGAAAAUCAAAAUAAGUACUAUACAAAAUAAUAUACAUAUAUUAAUCUAAUAAGUGAUAUGUAUAAAGUGAAAACUCGAUAUAAAUAAUGAUAUAUGUAAUAAUAUGUAAAAGUUGAAAUAUACAAAAUAUAGAAGAGGGUAUUUUAAAGAAUGAAAUUAUAUACAUAUAAGUAGCUUUAAAAAAUAUAUUAAAAGGGGAACUAAAACAAAUCAUAGUUAUAAUAAUAUAAAAAUAAUAAUAUAUUCAUAGAAUAAAAAAUAUAUAGAUUAUAUAUAUAAAUAUAAUAAUAAUAUUGUAUGAGAAUACUAUCAUAUAAUUCUUUAAAAUGUAAAAAUAUAAAAGAAAAUUUUAAAAAUAAAUACAUUAUAAAAUAAGACUAAUAAAAUAAAAUACAUACCAAUUAUAUUAAGCCUAUAUAAAAAAAUAUACAUAAAAAUAAUAUUCGAUAGAUCUAAGUAAUGAUAUGAUAAGUUUAAAAUUAUAGUACAUGAUAAAUUUUACAUUAUGAUGUAUGAUAAAUUUAAAUAAUAUUAAUGAUAAUUUAAAAUAAUAGUAUAUGAUAUAUUAAAAUAAUACUAAUGAUAAAUUUAAAGCAAAGUUAAGCUUAAAUAUUAAAAUAAUACUAGAUUUAAAAAUAAAUAUAUCAAAAAUAAGAAUUAAUUAGAUUUAAAAUUAAACUAAUAAAAAAUAAAUUAGAAUUGAAACAUAAUUAAAAAGAGAGAAAAUAAAAUAAAAUAAUGGGUCAAAGAUUGAAUUGAAACUAAAACAAAAUUAAAGGGGCAACAAACAUAAUUAAAAAUAAAAGAAGGGCUAAAGUGCAGCGCGCGGAUAACAUGAGGGACCGAAAGGGAAAUAUUCCCAAUACCGAAAACGCAGCGCUUUAAUAUGGAUUAAAAUGAAACAAAAAUAAAUGAGGGAUUAUAUUUAAAAAGAAAUAAAAGGACUGGAUUGAAUUGCACUAGAAAUUCGGAAGGACCAAUUUCGAAAAUAACCCAUCUUCACGAAACACGCGGAUCCCCCGGGUCGGCUCAACAAGCGGAUCGACGGCUACUAAACGGCGUUUUUGGUACUAUCAAACCUCCCAAAACGGCGCCGUAUUAUGUUAUUACUUAAACAAGAUUUUUAACAAAAAAAAAGAACAUUUGCAGCAUAAGUUUUUUUGAAAAAAAGGUUGCAGCUCUUCUUCUCUGCUAGGGUUUCAACCCUAGUCCUAGCCGCCGCCAUUUCCGCCGCAUCAAACCCGAGCCCCAUCUAACUCCGAUUUGGACGGAGUAAACGGAGCCCUGACGGCGCUUUUAUGAAGGUACGAAACUGCCUUCUUCCUUCUCCUUUACCUUUUUCGCAUAUAUAUAUAUAAAAAGAAUAGCAAAUCAAAGAGAAAAGAAAUCAUAAAAAAAACUCAGAAUAUCACCUUUUAAAAAAAACUAAUGUAGUUUUUUAUUGCCCAUUUUUUGUAUUCAGUAUCCAACCCCCUACAUUGAAGCAAUCUGCUCUUUUUAUAGCCAGAUCUAAUGAAAUUACAAAGGUUUUUUAUUUUAUUUUAUUGCUAUUCCUCGUUUUCUUUGCCGUUAUUCCCUUAUGCUUCUAGUGUAUUCCUUUCUGUUUGUUGCUGUUGCAGGUACAGCUGGAGUGCACGUGGAAAACCUAAGAAGAUUACAAAAAUUCCAAAAUAAUAUAAAAAAGCUAAGGAAAACCUAGAAAUUCAAAAAAAACAAACGUCGACAUUCAAUUUGCUGUUUCACAUUCAAUUUUUGGAGAAGUAGAAUUAUUUAACUUAUUUUCCAUCAACUUCACUUCAAUUUUCAAUCACAAUCAAUUGCAUUCAAGAGCACCACAUCUUUUUGGAUGAAACAAAGCUCUCAAUUUUAAGAUAAACGGGUCUUUAGGGUUAUUAAUUGAGGGCCUUUUCCAUAAUUGCCAUCGCUAUUUACGGGUGAUUCGGGGAUAAUAACUUCAACAUUUGUGUAUCACAUUUAAUUCGAUUCCACAUUCAAUUUUUAGUUUUUAGAGAGAUGAUUGGAUUACAACAAUGGUUUGAAGUGAAGAUAUUUCAAAUGAAGAUGAAUAAUUUAAAAUUCAGGUUAUGUUUCAUUUUAACUAAGUUAAAUGUUAAGAUUGAGAUUAAACCUUUUAGAGGUUGCUCACAAAAGGAUAAGCCUUUAUAAAAGUGCUUAAAUGAAGGCCAAAUUUUUUAAAAUAGGCAAAUAAGGUCCUAACCUUUUAAAAGGUGUUUAAAUAAAGGCUUCUCAAAUGUUGUAUAUCAGGUUAUGUAUUUUACUCUAAACACAUCGACAUUUACCUAUUUUUUUCUAUAAACUGAGUUGAAGUGUGUGAAAAAUCCUUAUUUGAACACUUCUGUAAGGGUUAAACUCUUACUGAACCAUUUUGAAAGGUUUAGUCCUUAUGUAAGCAACCUCUAAAAGAAAUACCUAAAUAUGUUUUCAUGAAUCAAGAAAUUAAAAAAGAAAUGUUGAGAAAUAUUUUAGAGAUUCUUAGCUUUGACAAGUUCCCUCCACCAUCUCCCUGCCUCCAGUCCCACUCUUCUCUUAUGCUCCUCCCAGGUUCUUGCUUUUUGUGUGUUGAAAAUUCAAAUGAACUAAAUAUCAACCUACAUCAUAAGGCACGAAAAUAUCAACCUACAUCAUAAGGCACGAAGGCCAGAAAUUACUUGAGAUCUGACAACUUUAUUUCAUUUUCAUUUUCUGUUAUUUUCUAUGUUUCUUGUCAAAUACAAUGAAAGAAGAACAUAGAAAAAUGUUGCCUAUUUAUUUCCCAAUCAUCAUGAAAUUACUUGCCAUAGACUUAGAAUUUUCUCACCAAUUUUCAAGCAAUCUGACAUGAUUUCUCAAUCACAAUUAAUUGAAUUCAAGAUCUUUUUGGAUGACACAAACAUUUCAAUUUUAACACAAACCAAUAUUUAGGUUAUACUUCAGUGCUUGACAAGCACUGUCACAUUUAUGGGAUAAUAACUCUAACAUUUUAGGAUCACAGUUAUAUUUGACUUUAGCAUUGACAUGCUUUUUUAAUAAUUAAUCUUUUAUAACAAGGUAAAUAUAGCAUCGACAUGUUUUUGGUAGGGUCGAGCAAAACCCAAUUAAAACCGAUGAUAUUGUUAAAAUCAAUUUUAAAAUCAGUUAUAAUGGAUUAAGGUAAUUAAUUAUCGAGUAAUGAAAUGCAUAAUCAAAUCAACUGAUUUUGUUAGAAACUAAAAGAAAAAGGGUUCAGCUGAAAAAUUGAUUGCCCUAUAUUAAAAUUAACGAAUCCGAUUUUUACAUAUUAGAUAAUAUCAACAUCGCAUAUAUAAUAAGAAAAAUUACGUACAAUUAUUUAUUAUCAUAAAUGGUUAGUUUAAAUUUAAAGUAAUUUAAUAUGUUUAUUGAACAUCAACGUAUAAGCUAAAUAUGUGAAAAUAUUCUAGAAACCAUUUCUAAUUGAUGAUAGGCUAAUUCAGAAUUAAGAUUAAUAUAUAAAAACUAAAUAGUAGGGUUAUAAUCCUCAAAUUACACCUAAUUUAAUUUUUCCGACAUUCUAUUUUGGAAUAAUAGAAUCGCCUUCUUUAAAAAGAAUAUGUAUUUGUAAUAGGCCAAUUUUGGCCUGACUAAAAAUCAAAUAAAAUUAACAACCCAAUUGACCCAAUGCAACACCCAAUAACCAAGUUAGCCCAAAAUUAAAAAAACAAAAAACCCUAGAACCUUCAACCGCUGCUCUCCCACAUGCGCGCCUCCAGCCCCUUCCAUGUCACCCCACGAACGGCUUCUUCGGUAUGACGGUUUUACCUGCAAAAUAGGACCAUAAACAGCAAGAAAGAAGCACACUAUAGGCACGAUAGAAUAACAGAAAAGAAAUUGAAUAACGAGGGGGCAGAGAAAAAAAAGAUUUUUUUGAUUUGUUUAUUUUUUUUUCUUUUGGGUCGAUUCGGCGAUAUAUAAGGCCGAUCCCGAAUCUGUAAGGGGGAAUCUUGUGUUGAAAAGUAUUGAAGAAAACAGAAAACAGAGAAUAAAAAAAACAAUUUUGAAGGUAUUGAGUGGGUUUCGUUUUUCCUUUCUCUUUACCGUUUUGGUUCCUUUUUUAUUUUCUUCCUAAUUUCUUAAAACAAAUAAACGAAGUAACGAGGGAAAAAGAGAAGUUUCUUACCAGCAGAGGCGCGCCGUCGGCAUUCUUGCUGGUUUUCGGCGUGAGGAGCAAAGGAGAAGAUGAAGCAGCCCUUGCGGCUGCUGUUGCUGAAAAUGAAAUGGGGUUUUGAUUAGGGUCUGAAAUGGGUUUUAUCGGCAGCAAAUGAAAUGGGGUUUUAUUUAUGGGUUAUUUAUGUUUUUAAUCUUUUUUAUUUUUCUAUCAUUUCAAAACCAUUGUUCUUAAAUUUUUAUUUUUUUUCUUUCCUUUAAUGAAAUAUUUUACCUUUUCAUUUUACUCUAGUGCUGUGCAGAAUUUUGAAAGUGGGAUUAUUUUCCCUUUUGACCCUUCAUGCUUAUGAGCAAUUUACAAAUUAGCCCUUCUGUUUUUUUUACACUACUAUUAUUAUUAUUAUUAUUAUUAUUAUUAUUAUUAUUAUUAUUAUUAUUAUUAUUAUAGCCAUAUAUUUAUACGCAUAUACACUAUAUCAUAUAAAUGCAUAUAUAUUUUAUGAUACGUAUUCAUUUUCUAUAUAUUAUAUAUAUACAUACGUAUUUUUACACAUAUAUAUACAUGUUUUUGUAGUUUAUUUAUAUAUUGUACUUAUACAUUUUUAUAUAUUUUGUAAAUAUAUAUAUAUAUGUACAUAUCUUAAAGUACACAUACUUUUAUAUACUCCUAAAUAUCAUAAUUCUUGUAACCGUAUUUAUAAAUAUACUUCCUUACAUAUAUUUUUAUUUCAUAAUUUUAAAAUAUAUAUACAUACAUAUAUUCCUUAUAUUUUAUGUACAUACACAUACAUAUGUAUAUUAAAUUUUUCAUAUAUUUCAUGGUUUUGUUGUUUCACAACAUGUCUAUCUUCUUAUACCCAUUUAAUUACGAAAGUUUUAAUUCAACUCGUUUUUUUACUGUUUUUUUUUUUACAUUAGUUGACUCGUUUUUAUUUUAUGUUGCUUUAUUUUAUUUUAUUUUAUUUUAUCUUCUAUUGGUUUGUGCUCAUGCUUUUCUCUUUAGCAUUUUAAAAUAUGUUUGUAUUUGUUUUUUAAAAAAAUGUUUCAUUUUUUAUUGAAGCAUGAAAAUUAUUUUAUUUCUUAAAUUUUUAAAAUAUUUGGCAUUCACGUUUUUCGAGAAAGAUCGUGUCCUAACUUACUGGGCUUCAAUUCUUUCGAUGGAUUUAGAGAGCCAAGUAUUUAUUUUGCAAUAAAAUCACACAAAUAUCAAAUAAAAGCUUAUUCUCAGGAAUCCAAAAAUGUCGGGUCCUAACUUACUGGUCAUGACAUUUUAUUAUCUCGAAAUAAGAUUUUCUAAGACAAAAGGUCAUAUUCGGUAUUUGGAAUUUUGAGAAAUUGUGUCCUAACUUACUGGGUUUUGAUUUUCUUAAUUUGACCUAAAUAACCGAAUAUUCUUAGAUUUAACUGUAUGAGUUUUAAAAUCAAUAGACAAACUUAAUUUUGAAGAUUUAAAAAUAUGGUGCCCUAACUCACUGGGUGUGAUGUUUUAUUUCUCUGAAAUAAGAAUGUUUUAUUAUUUUAAUCCAUUCACGAGUUAAAAGUUUUCUCUUAAAAUCUUUUCAAAUUUUCGACACCAAGACAUUAAACAAUCAAUUCGGUAAUUUGGGCAUUACGAAGGUGCUAACCCUUCCUUGUGCGUAACUGACUCCCGAACCUGUUUCCUAAAAUUUCGUAGACCAAAUUUAUUUUUUUUAGGCGAGCUGAUCACACCUCAGUAAAGGACCGGUGGCGACUCCAAUUUUCGUUUUAAAAGUCGAUAACUAAUUUUAUUUUUCAAAAAAUGGUUUCGACAACUUGGCGACUCCACUGGGGACAUGUUAGAGAGUCGAGCCAUGAAUUGAUUAUUUUUGUCUUUUUUGUCGAAAAUCAAAAUGUUGUUUUAAAUCGUGAUUCCCCUUUGUAUUCAUUAGUUUUCAUCAUGAUAUGCUUGCUUAAUUGGUCUAAGUCUGUUAGUUUAUUUGCAUUAUGCAUUUCAUGGUCAAUUUUACCCCUCUAAGUGGGAGUGAGAAACUAGUCCUUCGUGAGGUUUUCACCUCCGUGCAGGAUAGUGGAUUGCUUUCGGGAUACAUCCGUACUUAUGUCUUUGUGAGAUUUUUAUCUUCGUGUAGCCAUAGGAAAAUGUAUCCCCCUGAACCGAACUCGAUCUAUAUGAGCCUAUAAUGGGUGAAGAUUGAUGAAUCUGCUGGUUCGGGUACCCUUGCUCUAGAAGCCAAACUUCAUAUAGUGAACCUUAGGAACUCACCCUAGGUAGAAUUACUUUGAACCUUAGUAGAUACCCGACUAGGAGUUUUUAUUAUUUUUUAAUUGUAUUGGAUUUGAUGUUUAUACCUGAUACUAACUUGUUGUGUUUUGUUUUGAAUGCAUGACAUUUUGAAUGCAUGGCAUUUCAUUAUAGAAAAAAGGUGUUGGUUCACGUUCAGUUGCUAAAUAGAGAGCUUGUUAUGGAAAACGAAUUUCUUGAUAAAGUGGAAAACAAUACGGCUACAUGAAUAUAUUCCGAGAAACACAAGAAAGGUGAUGGAGGAAUACAUGUUACUUUGUGGCUCGAGGAUUCAAGCUGAUUAUUUAAGAGUUUUUGACAUUCUAACUUCCUUAAAGAAGAUGAGGAGUAUUACGGGGAUGGGCAGACGAUGGAUCAUAACCAGGAUCAAGCAAAAGAAGAUAGAGGAGGCACCCUUUUGAAGAAUUCGCAAGGUUUAUCUUAGCAUUCGGAUGAAGAAAGAGAAGAUGUCCCUGCUUGGAGUAUGAGGGCAAAGCCGUAUAUAUACCGCUUUAUGUAAAGAAAUUUGUCUUUUAGUAAAGUUUUCUAAAUGCAAUUGAAUCAGAAUCAACGUCUCUUUAUGCAUUCAUUUCAUGCAUUUGCAUUACAUGACAUCAUAUGCAUUAAAAUCUAUUAAAAGGGCUUAAUUGAGUAAAAUUAUUUCAGUUAAUUUAGAAAACCGACACCCUUAUGGCACCCAAGCAAAGACUAGAGAAAUGGACCAAAGGUUGGAAAAAUUAGAGCGAAUGCAAAUAUAGAUGCAGGAGCAACUAACCAAAUUUCAACAGGAAAUGAGAGAUAUGAUGAUAAGAUUACAGAGAGCUAUGACGAAUCAGUUAACUCGGUUGCUAGCUGGAGAGUUAGAAAAAGGGAAAGACUCGAUGGUUUAUUGUGGGGUUGAUAAUGAGGAUCUUGCCUAUUCCCUAGGUAGUACUCCAAUAAGUGUCCAGGUCUAGCCAGAUGGGCGUCCGCAUGGGGCACUCUUUACUAUCAAAUCCUAAUAGUAUCAAACUGGUACAUCGACACCAGUGAGUUGCUUGACAGGCUCAGGAUCCAAUCUAAGGAACAAUUUAGCUAAUCCUGUUGCUCUUGAAAAUCCAGCCGAAAUAAAGCAGGCAAGGGUAGAGUACUCAGAUACUAUAAGAGCCCUAAGGAAGAAGGGGAAUAAUGGGGAUAAUGAAGGCAGAUAUAACAAGGGCCACUCAAAACCAAUCACUAUGGGCUGGACAAAGAUAGAAAUCACCAGCCAUCAGAGCCCUUUAAAGCGAGAAUCUUACACGAAGACAAAUAUAGAAAGGCUUCAGUUCACGCCUAUACCGAUGUCAUAUAGUGAGCUAUAUCAAAUCUUAUUUAAUGCACAUGUGGUGUCCCCCUUCUACUUGAAACCCAUGCAGCCCCCAUUUCCUAAAGGAUACGAUGCAAACAUCCAGUGCGAAUAUCAUGCAGGAAUCACGGGGCAUUCGAUAAAAAACUGCACCGCAUUCAAGAAGCUAGUUGAAAGGUUCAUCAAUAGGGGUAUUGUAAAGUUUGAUGACUCAUCUAAUCUGCUAUCCAAUCACAUUGAUAGUGGGGUAAGAGUGAGAGCAAGAAAGGGAUUAGCUAUUUCUGAAUUAAGAGGAAAUCAUAGAAAGACAAUGAACUAUCGUGAGUUCCAUCACGAGGAGGGAUACGAGACCCAAGAGAGUGUGGAACUCAAGGCCUUGGUUCCGGGCAUGAUAGAUGACAAAGAGAUGGAGUUUUCUAAGGAAAUUAAAGAAGUGAGAAAUAUACACACAAUGUUGGGAAGUGUUCACAUCAAUGCCAUAUAUGAAGACACACUUGAAAAUGGACCUUGUUAGAUAUCUACUCUUAUAAACUUAGGAGUGUUCUAAAUAAUCAGAUUGUAGAAGAAAUUUUUGUAGCAUCUAGAGUUUACUUAGAGUAAUGUUCAGAAAACACUUGUUACUUUUAGCCUAGAGGCAAUAAGAAUUCUUUUAUGAAAUAGGCUCAUGUUUGAACGUCGUUAUUCUAAUAAAAUACAUCUUUGCAUUUAUUUUUGAGCCAAUAUCCUUUCAUUCUUUUUGAAUAAUUUUUCUUUCAUUCUUUUGGAUUUUCUUCCAAAUCAUUCAUUCAUUCAUUCAUAAUCACUGUACAAAUAACUAUUCAUACUUCAUACAUUCUUUGUAUAUUCUUUUAUACUUAUAAUAGGUCCCUAGAUAUCAAUGUCAUGAGUGACACUGCUACAAUUUAGAAUCUCCUUUUGAGCAAGACAUGUGUUUAGAGGGAUCUCAUAACUUUGAAGAUGACAUAGACCGUGGCCUAUCUCCGGACUUGUUGAGGAUGGUAAAGCAGGAAAAGAAACAAAUUUACCUCAUGAGGAGACAAUGGAGAUUGCGACCUUGAGGGAACAUGCAUAACCAAAGAAAUAAAUGAGGACCUUAUUGAGUUACCUCAAGAGUUCAAAGAUAUCUUCACAUGGUCAUACCAGGAUAUGCCCGAGUUAAGCAUUGAUAUUGUAAUCUGAGCAACAGCAUGACGUCAAAAUUUGCAGUAUGUUUAAGAUUAACAUCAUGAACGAUGCAGUUAGAAUUCUUUACCAGGGCAAUGUCUUAUUUUUUAGCUCAUCAUAGUUUUGCCCGUUGAAGUUAAGUUUCCAUUUCUCUGUAUUUUUUGGAUUUCAUCCUAAUUGAAGAGGAAGAUCAAAAGUUUUUUCGUCAUAGUUAAAUUUCGCCCUAAAAGGCUCUAUGAGAGCAACCUGAUACCAAUGAAGAUCUUUCGCAUACAAAAUAAAAGUAGAAGAUUUUAUGUGAAAGACCUUAUCUAGAAUAACAUUGAUUCUGAUCGAAAGGGAUGACUAGGACUUGUCUAAUCUUAUGAGUGCAGUUCUUUCAAAAAAAUAAAAAAAAUAAAAAAAUAAAUAAAAAGAAAGGAAAGGAAAAAAGAAUAAAAAACAAAAACAAAAGAAACAAAAUCUCUAUCAGGGCAAUACUUUUCUCUUUAGCUUAUCGCGAUUUUUCCAUUGAAGUUGAAAUUCUUUCUCACCGGGUAUAGGCUGUGCUGAAGUAGAAUGGAGAUCCAAUCUCGAUGAUCAGUCGAACCUGAUAAAAAGAAAAGGGCUAAAAGCUGUUCAUCACGGUCAGAUGUACUAGAAACGGACGAUGCGAGCCAUUAACAAAAAGGUUCGUCCUAGAAAAUUUUGCGAGGGGGACCUAGUGUUGAAAAGAUUCUUCCUCUACAGAAGGAUUUUAGAGAAAAAUGACUGCCAAAUUGGGAAGGUCCUUAUGUUGUAAAGAAGACCUUUUCUAGAGGAGCACUGAUCUUGAGUGAGAUGGAUAGUACAAAACUUAUCGAAUCCUGCAAACUUAGAUUCAGUCAAGAAAUACUUCACUUAAAGAAGGAGAAAUGACCAAGGUGAAAACCCACAAAGGGCACUUUGAGUCUUAAAAAAAUGAAAAAAUGAAAAUGAAAUGGAGAGGUUAAGGUGAAAACCCGCAAAGGGUGCCUUAGACCAAAGGGGAUUUGAGUUGAAAACCCAAAAAGGGCAGCUCAAAUUUUGAUCAGAAUAAGCCAUGAGGUGAUCAGGGUUACUCGAGUGUUGAUCAAAGUGGGGCAUGCGGUGAUCUUGCUUUGCCUGAAUCAGCAGAAAAGGGUAUGCGACAUCUUGGAGCAUCGGAAAAGUAUUGUAGAUCUCCUAAGUACAUGUCAAACUUGGAAUGGUCUUCAGAAAGUUUGUACAGAGAGUUCAAGCUAUGAUAUCUGAGGCACCUAGCCUUCAUACUAUUUAUAUUGAAUUGUUUAUUCUUGGAAUACUUCAUUCUUUUUCAAGAGACAAGUCAAUUCCUCUUUUACUCGCAAUAUUAUUGAUAAUUUAUUCAUUUCAAGCUAUGCUCUCAAAUCAAUUCUAUUUUUUUCAUUGUUUUGUUCUUUUUUGCAAGUAUGUUGCAUUAGAAUAAUGAUUAAUGGACUAAUAAAACUUUCACAAGGGAAGUUUUACAUAUUACUCUAGCAGUCUAAAUAAUACAAGAUUUUAAAAAAAGGACUAUUGUUUAGAACGCACUAAGUUUAACGGUUGAAAUAUCUAGGAAGGAAUAGUCUAAAUUGAGACUAUCCCUUCAUAUUUUGUUGUCAAAGCAUUGAUUAAACAAAAUGACAAGAUGUCGUGUCGGUGAUAAGGCUUCAAUGAACAAGCAAGCAAUGAUCACCAAGCAAUAGGAUGAGGUUUCCUCGGAGAAGAAAGCCUUUAUUUGUGCAUGGGCAUUUGGUAUGACACCCUGGGAAUGGUGGAAAGGACCAAAGAGCUUCACAUUCUGUAUCCCUGAACUAUGAUAGGAGAGGAUUGAGAAAGGACCAGAUUUUUUUACCCUUGGGUUACAGCGGGAGAAUGAUGGUACAAAUGUUGCAUCCCAGUGGAUUGAAUUUUGAAGUUCACAGUGGGAAGCAAUUUGAUUAAGUGUUUUUUAGAGAUGCCAGCCGAGCAAGAAGGUGUUUUAGCACGUUAGUGAUAAAGCCUUAAUAAACUUCGAGUAAUGACAACCUAAGCGGGAUCAUUCUCAAAAGAAUAAUAUUCUAUAUUCAUGCAAAUGUCAUUCAUACACGUUUAGUUAGGAGCAUUUGAUUCAUUCUGAUCAUGACAUCCUAAUCACUAGGCAUAAUUAGGUUCAUAAUUGAAUUAUACAGGUCAUGCUCCCCAGAGAAUAAACCGAAGAUACCAGCCUUGUCUCCCUGGGCAGUAGUGGAGUAGGUUGAAAAUAGCAGAUAUUGUCUUCCUGUAUUGGCAGCGAAGUAGAUCGAAGAUACCAGCCUUGUCUCCUUGGGCAGUAGUGGAGUAGGCUGAAAAUAGAGAUCUUGUUUUCCUGUAUUGGCAGCGAAGUAGAUCGAAUAUCCCAACCUUGUCUCCCUGGGCAGUAGUGGAGUAGGUUGAAAAUAGCAUAUCUUGUCUUCCUGUAUUGGCAUCGAAGUAGAUCGAAGACUUCAGCCUUGUCUCUAUGGGCAGUAGUGGAGUAGGUUGAAAAUAGCAGAUCUUGUCUUCCUAUAUUAGCAUCGAAGUAGAUCGAAGACUUCAGCCUUGUCUCUAUGGGCAGUAGUGGAGUAGGUUGAAAAUAGCAGAUCUUGUCUUCUUGUAUUAGCAGUGAAGUAGAUUGAAGACCUCAGCCUUGUCUCCCUGAGCAGUAGUGGAGUAGGUUGAAAAUAGUAGAUAUUGUCUUCCUGUAUUAGCAGCGAAGUAGAUCGAAGACCUCAGCCUUGUCUCCCUGAGCAGCAAUGGAGUAGGUUGAAAAUAGCAGAUCUUGGCUUCCUGUAUUGGCAGCGAAGUAGAUCAAAGACCUCAGCCUUGUCUCCCUAAGCAGUAGUGGAGUAGGUUAAAAAUAGCAUAUCUUGUCUUCCUGUAUUGGCAGUGAAGUAGAUCGAAGAUACCAGCCUUAUCUCCCUAAGAAGCAUUGGAGUAGGUUGAAGACGGCAAAUCUUGUCUUCCUGUACUGGCAGAGAAGUAGAUCGAAGGUACCGGCCUUAUCUCCUUGAGAAGCAGUGGAGUAGGUUGAAGAUAGCAGAUUUUGUCUUCCUGUACUGGCAGAGAAGUAGAUCGAAGACGCCAGCCUUAUCUCCCUGAGAAGCAGUAGAGUAGGUUGAAGAUAGCAGAUCUUAUCUUCUUGCACUGGCAGUGAAGCAGAUCGAAGACACCGACUUUGCCUCCCUGGGUUUACAGCAGAGUAGGUUGAAAAUAGCAGAUCUUGCCUUCCUGUACUGGCAGCGAAGCAGAUCGAAGACACCAGUCUUAUCGCCUUGACGUUGCAAUGGAAUAGAUUGAAGCCACGACAACCAACAUUACUUCUCUAGCGUUGCAGCGGAGCAGAUUGAAGCCACGACGGCGAAUCUUAUCUCCCUGGCGUUAAGACUUGGAUUUGUUGAAGUGGAGUGGAUUAAACCUGUGGGCAGCGAAUCCUAUUUCUUUGGCAUUACAGUGGAAUAGAUUGAAGCCACAACGGUGGAUCUUAUUUCUCUGGUGGUGUAAUGGAAUAGGUUGAAGUCGAGACGGCGAAUCUUGUUUCCCCAACAUUGUAGUUAAACAAAUUGAAGUAAAUAAUCCUAUCUCAUUGAAGUUACAGUGGAGUGGAUUAACAUUAGAUCUUAUCUCUCUGAAGUUGUAGAAGAGCAGAUCGCAUCAAAUCUUAUCUCCCUGAAGUUGCAGUGGAACAGAUUGAAGAAAUCAAUCCUAUCUGCCUGAAGUUACAGUGGAGUGGAUUAAAAUCAGGUCUUAUCUCUCUGAAGUUACAGAAGAGCAGAUCGCAUCCAGUCUUAUCCCCCUAAAGUUGCAGUGGAGCAGACAGAAGAAAGUAAUCUUAUUUCCCUGAGGUUGCAGUGGAGUGGAUUAAAAUCACAGAUCUCACCUCUCUAGAGUUGCCGUAGAGUGGAUCGCAUCAGACUUAUCUCUAAAGUUGUAGUAAAACAAGUUGAAGCUAUGAGUCUUAUCUCUCUGAAGUUGUAGUGGAGCAGACUAGAGAUAGCAAAAUUUUCUCUUUUGAGAAACUACAAGGUACAAGUCCUAUCUCCUUGAUGUUGCAGUGGAGUGGAUUAAAGCACCGAUUCCUAUACCUCUGAAGACGCAGUAGGUUGGAAUGAAGCUACUUGAAGAGCACCAAAGUCCAGCACGACUAGGCAAAAUUGGUCAUUUCUAAAGUCUUUGCUCUGUUCUCGUUACACGAUAACGAGCAAAGAGGGGCAGCUGUAAUAGGCCAAUUUUGGCCUGGCUAAAAAUCAAAUAAAAUUAACAACCCAAUUGACCCAAUGCAACACCCAAUAACCAAGUUAGCCCAAAAUUAAAAAAACAAAAAACCCUAGAACCUUCAACAGCUGCUCUCCCACAUGUGUGCCUCCAGCCCCUUCCAUGUCACCCCACGAACGGCUUCUUCAGUAUGACGAUUUUACCUGCAAAAUAAGACCAUAAACAGCAAGAAAAAAGCACACUAUAGGCAUGAUAGAAUAACAUAAAAGAAAUUGAAUAACGAGGGGGCAGAGAAAAAAAGAUUUUUUUAUUUGUUUAUUUUUUUCUUUUGGGUCGAUUCGACGAUAUAUAAGGCCGAUUCCGAAUCUGUAAGGGGGAAUCUUGUGUUGAAAAGUAUUGAAGAAAACAAAAAACUGAGAAUAAAAAAAACAAUUUUGAAGGUAUUGAGUGGGUUCCAUUUUUCCUUUCUCUUUACCGUUUUGGUUCCUUUUUUAUUUUCUUCCUUCUUUUUUAAAACAAAUAAACAAAGUAACGAGGGAAAAAGAGAAGUUUCUUACUAGCAGAGGCGCGCCGUCGGCAUUCUAGCUGGUUUUCGGUGUAAGGAGCAAAGGAGAAGAUGAAGCAACCCUUGUGGCUGCUGUUGCUGAAAAUGAAAUGGGGUUUUGAUUAGGGUCUGAAAUGGGUUUUAUUUGCUGCAAAUGAAAUGGGGUUUUAUUUAUGGGUUAUUUAUGUUUUUAAUCCUUUUUAUUUUUCUAUCAUUUUAAAACCAUUGCUCUUAAAUUUUUAUUUUUUUUCUUUCCUUUAAUGAAAUAUUGAAACCGUUUCUACUCUAGUGCUGUGCACAAUUUUGAAAGUGGGAUUAUUUUCCCUUUUGACCCUUCAUGCUUAUGAGCAUUUUACAAAUUAGUCCUUCUGUUUUUUUUACACUACUAUUAUUAUUAUUUUUAUUAUUUUAAAUUAUUAUUAUUAUUAUUAUUAUUAUUAUUAUGGUAUUAUUAUAGCCAUAUAUUAUACGUAUAUAUUUAUACACUAUAUCAUAUAAAUGCAUAUAUAUUUUAUGAUACGUAUUCAUUUUCUAUAUAUUAUAUAUAUACCUACAUAUUUUUACACAUAUAUACAUGUUUUCGUAGUUUAUUUAUAUAUUAUACUUAUACAUUUUUAUAUAUUUUGUAAAUAUAUAUAUGUACAUAUCUUAAAGUACACAUACUUUUAUAUACUUCUAAAUAUCAUAAUUUUUGUAACCGUAUUUAUAAAUAUACUUCCUUACAUAUAUUUUUGUUUCAUAAUUUUAAAAUAUAUAUACAUACAUAUAUUCCUAAUAUUUUAUGUACAUACACAUACAUAUGUAUAUUAAAUUUUUCAUAUAUUUCAUGGUUUUGUUGUUUCACAAAAUGUCUAUCUUCUUAUACCCAUUUAAUUACAAAAGUUUUAAUUCAACUCGUUUUUUUACUGUAUUUUUUUUACAUUAGUUGACUCGUUUUUAUUUUAUGUUGCUUUAUUUUAUUUUAUUUUAUCUUCUAUUGGUUUGUGCUCAUGCUAUUCUCUUUAGCAUUUUAAAAUAUGUUUGUAUUUGUUUUUUAAAAAAAUGUUUCAUUUUUUAUUGAAGCAUGAAAAUUAUUUUAUUUCUUAAAAUUUUAAAAUAUUUGGUAUUCAUGUUUUUCGAGAAGGAUCGUGUCCUAACUUACUGGGCUUCGAUUCUUUCGAUGGAUUUAGAGAGCCAAGUAUUUAUUUUGCAAAAAAAUCACAAAAAUUUCAAAUAAAAGCUUAUUCUCGGGAAUCCAAAAAUGUCGGGUCCUAACUUACUGGUCAUGACAUUUUAUUAUCUCGAAAUAAGAUUUUCUAAAACAAAAGGUCAUAUUCGGUAUUUGGAAUUUUGAGAAAUUGUGUCCUAACUUACUGGGUUUUGAUUUUCUUCAUUUGACCUAAAUAACUGAAUAUUCUUAGAUUUAUCUGUGUGAGUUUUAAAAUCAAUAGACAAACUUAAUUUUGAAGAUUUAAAAAUAUGGUGCCUAACUCACUGGGUGCGAUGUUUUAUUUCUCUGAAAUAAGAAUGUUUUAUUAUUUUAAUUCAUUCACGAGUUAAAAGUUUUCUCUUAAAAUCUUUUCAAAAUUUCGACACCAAGACAUUAAACAAUCAAUUCGGUACCGAUUUUGGGCGUUACGAGGGUGCUAACCCUUCCUCGCGUGUAACUGACUCCCGAACCUGUUUUUUAAAAUUUCGUAGACCAAAUUUUUUUUUUAGGUGAGCCGAUCACACCUCAGUAAAGGACCGGUGGCGACUCCAAUUUUCGUUUUUAAAGUUGAUAACUAAUUUUUGUUUUUAAAAAAUGGUUUCGACAGUAUUAAUUUAAAAAUUUAAUACUAUCAAUAAAUUUAGAUGCAUUAUUAAGUACCAACUAAACAAUACUUAAAUAUAGAUGUGUUUUAUAGAAAAAAGUUAUCAACUUAAAGAAGUUGCAACAAAAAUUUAAAAAAUUCAUUUAUCAAACGAAUAUUUAAAACAUAUAAUCUAAACUGUGACAUAAUAAAACACAUGAGCAUAACUUGGAUUUACCAAAAAUCUAUGUAUUUUUCUAAAUUUUAAAUUUUAGUCCCUAUAUUUUAAUUUAGAGACAUUGAGUCACUAUACUUUUUUAUUUAAAAAUCUUGGUCCCUUCAUCAAUUUUAUAAUUAUAAUGGUUGAUUUAGUUGUUGUAAAAAAAGGUAGAAUAACUUUUUUAGCCUUAAACAUUUGCAGUUUUUGUUAAUUUGGUCCUUACUCUUUAAAAUUACAUAAAAAUUGAAAAAAUAUUUUAAAAAUUAAUUUAUUUCGUAUUUUUAAAAACAUUUAUAGUUUUUUUUUGUGGUUUGGUAACUUAUCAACUCGACUCUUAAUUGUAACCAACUCUUUUGACCUUUUUCGUACCCUUAACCUAAGCCCCGUUACAACUUUCUAAAGACCUCUUGACUGGUGUAUCAUCUCGAUUUGUUUUUAUAGUGGUGGAAAUUUGGUUUUCAAGCAAGCCUAUAAUAAUCACAUUUUUCGUUCGACUGUUGACCACACAGUACUUGAACCUUAAACACUUUGAGUGUUUUGAGUGAAUCUUAGUUAGGGUAUUGAUUAUUGUUGAGUUUGAAUUUCAGUUAAUUCUUGAGAUAGAGGAGACACCUGUGUUUUUUGUGCUUUACAAAUUUCUGCUUAGAUUGCUUUUAUUCUUUAGUCUCAUUCUAGUUUCAAUUUCUAGUGCAUGAUUAUCUGUAGAUUAUUCCUAAGGCAUUGUCAGUGAAAAUAAUAAAUUGAGGGAGAUUAACUUGAAUAAGGGUUGAGAAUUUUGCUUAAGGACAAAUGAAUGCUUAAAUGUAGGGAUAUUUGAUAAGUGCUAAAAUUAAUAUGUUUUAACAUCAUUCUUAAUGUGGUUUUGGUUGAUUAUUCGAUGUUAAUUUUGAAAUUUAUGCUCCUAGUCCUUUCAAUUCGUGUUUUUAUGUUAAUAGAACAUUUGGGAGGAAAAUGAGCAAAAAUCAGAAAAUGGGGACAAACUAUAGGACCCACACGAGCUGACCUAUUCCACAUGUGGCAGGCCGUGUCGAUUUCGUAGAUUUGCACUCUGAACUGCGAAAAAUGUGAAUUUUAAGUUCUUCGAGCAUUUUAAGACAUAUAUAUGAAAAAAAAUAAGAAGAUAGGAGAGAACCUUCCUAGAAUAUUUAAGAAAACAACUCCAAAGACACCAUUGAAGCCCACUCUGAAGUAAAUUUUCAUCAAGAUUAACGAUUUCCAGUUGAUUUCUUAUGAGAUUAUCAUGAGUUUCUUUAUUUCUUUCGGUUAUAUUGCCCUUUAGAUGUUUUAUUUUUAAGCAUGAACUAAUUUUCUAAAUACCUAAGAGAGAUGAACCCUAUGAUAGAUUGUGACUCCCCAAAUCUGACCGGGAUAGACCGGCCCAAAUUCGAAAUAUUACAUUAGCCACCUAAGUGACUCUCCAGCUAAUGACCACCCAAGACACACCCCGACCUUAUAAAACCUCAAUAUUAUCUAAUUAUUAGUUAUUUAUUAAUGCAAAAGUAAAUUAUGUGUCAAUUUUAAACUUUUCCUAGGUAAUUUAACCUAAGGGCAAUUUCAUCAUUUUACCACCUAAAACUAACCUGAUUUUAGAUCUAAGUGUUUACCAACCUUCUUUUAGUCAAAUCACGCAAGCCUAAAAUUUUCAACUUAAUUUGAUUUCGUUUACUAUGUCUAAUUCAAGUUUUAUUAUUAGGGACUAAAUUGUAACUUAAACAAAUUAGAAUACCAAUUUAAAGAGACAAAAUUUCAAAAUUCCAAAACCCACACGGGUAUGUGGGUAAGUGACAUGGGCGUCUGGAGACUAGAGCAAUCACACACGAGCAUGUGGGAUUGAAAAAAAUGAAAUAAAUUAUUCCACUCAAUUUUCCGACAACCAUGCUAUACUACCAAACCAAAUAAUGCUUCAAGCUUUGAAUAUGGUCGAAUCUAAAAUUUCUUUUAGAGGAAUCAGAAUUAAAUUAUAAAAUUUUGAGAAGUUAAAAUAUAAUUUUAUCAUGUAUUAAUUUAUUAUUUUUUAAAGGGACUUAAUAGAAUUUUUUUUCCCCAUUUUGGUUGGGCCAAUACCCCUGCCUACCUCUUUAAAUUUGCUCCAACCCUAAACCUAAUAUUCGAGUUCGAUUAACAACAAUAUAUAGUUUAGUAUUUGUGGAAGUUUGACGAAGAAAAUUUUUUUUAGAGGUUUAAAUUAUAAAUUUUUGAAACAUUAAAAUAAAUUUGUAUUUUUAAUUACCUUUGGGAUCAUACGGGUGAUUUUGAUGAUGUUAAUGGUUAUUUGGUGGAGAAGGUGAAAAAGAAACAAAUGAUUCAUUAUAUAUAAUAUAAUUAUGAAAUUCAAGCCAUAUAUUGUAUGUUUCAUACAUAAAAAUUUCAUGGGACGUCCAAAGGUAAUUAAAUGACUUGUAGGCUUGCUGAAUUUCUUUGAAAGGCCCAAAGGCUAUUUAACAUUCACAAAAUAAUCUCUAAAUACUGUAAAGACAAAUCAAAUUCACAAUUGCAUUAGAGUCGAUUAAGCUAAGCAUUGGCAAAUAUUACUUUGAUUUUGCAUGCAAUAUUGGCAAAACCCCCUCUUACAUUUGAAAAACAACAUAAUCCAUGAAACAUUGAUAGCCCAAUACAAAUUUCAUCGGGAAAAAGGUCUCUUUGUUUUGUAGAACAUGUUAGUAAAGAUGUGGAGUUUCGUUCUUCUUAUUGGCCUCCUUUAGCUUUCCUUGUUCAACAACCACUAGCCAAAAACACAGUUAGAUUAGAUUAUGAAUGAUACUUUUAACUAUGACAAUAUUAAAUACAAAACACUCUAAAUAACUCUAAAUAAAUGGAAAGCAGCAAAUUACUUGACGAGGCAAGCUAGCUCAAUUAAGACCAUUGUGUUAUUCUUGUCUCUGAAUUGAAAAAUUUAGAAGGAAAUAAAGAGAAAGACUUAGAAAAUACUUGAAAACAGAUAAAACUUAUAUGUCAUUUAAAAUAAAAAAAUUUCUAUUUAAGCCGUUUAAAAUUUUUAAGAUUUUUAAAAUUUUAAAAUGAUAAAGGUAAAAUUAUACUUUGGCAUCCCAAAAAUGAUAAAACUUUGAUUUAAUCCUUUAGAAAUUAUAAAAAUAUAGGCUAUUAAAAUGAUAAAAUUACAUUUUUACUAUAGUAAAAAUUACAAUUUAAUUUCACCCCUAAAAGGAUUUUCUGGGUUCGCCCCUAACAAAGAUUAAAAUAAAAUUAUACCGUAAAUGGAAAAAGAAACUAAGAAAAUCCAAUCUAACAAAGAAAAUAACUUGAUGUCCAAAAGCUACCAUAAACCGUAAUUCAUGGGAAGGCUUGUUGCUUAUUUUAUUGGUUUCCAUUUUGAUUUGCAAAAGAAGUUUGAAUUUUGAAGAGAGCCUACUACGUGAGAGCAAAAGCAAAAAAAAUAGUUUAUAUGAUUAAAAUUCCAGAAUAGAUUAAAAAUGUUGAAUUAAAGAUAAAAUUAAGUGUGAAUUAAUAACCACAAGUUUACUCAUUACUCACCAUCUCUGUUAAAAAUGUUGGAUGCUGUUUAGCAACCUUUGUUUGAUUUUCUUCAGCUCAACCACAACAUCUUUCAUAUCUUUUCUUUCUUCUGGCAACUCAGCUGAACAAUUCAAAGCCAACUCCAUGAUAGAUGAAAUACAAUUUGCUUUAACAGCAAUGUACUCAUCCUCUCUUCUUAAUAAAUCAACAUCUGCAAUUUCUAUGGCUCCUUUAGGCAAUGAACUUUCCAUCCAAUGCCUCAUAGUCUCUUCUUCAACAAAAACAUUAUCAGUGGGCUUUUUCUUUGUGAAAGUUUCUAUAAGGACGAUCCCAUAACUAUAGACGUCAGAUUUUAUAGAAACAAGUCCUGCUGAUCCAAAUUCUGCAUUUCAAGUAUAAUUAGAACAUCAUCAAUCCUCAAUUAUUUCUAAGAUGCUUAUUCAAAUAUAUAUCCACAUACACAAGAAACAAAAAUAUAAAAUGCAAAUUAGGAAAAUAAUCGUACAAAAAUAAAAAAGAAUUCACCUGGUGCCAUAUACCCGAUAGUUGCAAGAGUCAUGGUUUGCUUCAUUACUUCACCUUCUCCCAACAAUUUGGCAACGCCAAAAUCUCCAACAUGUGCAACCAUGUCUUCAUCUAGUAAAAUAUUGCUUGGUUUUAUGUCACAAUGAAUUAUAGGUGUUGGAUGUCCAUUGUGGAGGUGUUCUAUAGCUACCGCAACAUCUAUCAUUAUGUCGACCCUUUGUAUGAUAUCAAGGAAACAAUUUUCAGAAUGUAACCAUUUCUCAAGGUUUCCAUUAGACAUGUAAUCAAGCACCAAGGCUUUGAAGUCAACACUUGAGCAGCAAGUAAUGACCUUCACAAUAUUACGAUGAACUAUAUUAAGCAUAGCAUCACAUUCAAUGUCAAAACUCCUAAAUGCUCCCUCUGUUUGCAAAUUGAAAACUUUUAUUGCAACUUCCAUUCCAUCUGAAAGCCUCCCUUUAUAUACAUAUCUAAAACUCCCUGAACCAAGCAUAUUGCUUUCCCCAAAUCCAUUAGUUGCUCGGGAAAGCUCAGCAUGUGAAAUUCUUCUCCGUGUUUUCAAAGACAACAAAUCAUCUUUAAUUGGUAGAGUUGUACUCCUUUGGCAUCUUGUAUACAUAAUAGUUAAGACUAUUAGUACUACGACAAUACCAAUUGUUGGUAAACCAUACCUAAAAGCAUGCAAUAGAAUCAUUUGGGAGUUUUUGUGGAUGUCGUUUUUGCAAGGUGGGACUAGCAACCUAGGUGGACCACAAAGUGCAUAAUUCUUCAUAAAUGAUGUGCUAGAAAAGCUUGAAAAACAUCCUUUGCUUGGAAUUUCCCCUUCAAGUCUAUUGAAAGACACAUUAAAAUACUUAAGAUAUAAAAGCUUUUCCAAAGAUUUGGGAAUGACUCCAGAGAGAUUGUUAUUGCAUAAAUCCAAGAAUUUCAAACUAAUCAACCCAUCAAAUGAUUCAGGGAUAUGACCAUGUAGUAUAUUAUUUGAUAAAUCUAAUGAAACCAAAGUUUGAAGACCCCCAAAUGUGGAUAAGACAUCGCCCGUGAGAAGAUUCUUUGAUAAAUUUAGUUUCAGUAGACUCCUCAAAUUUCCAACAUCAAUAGCAUGAGAAUUGUGAAGAUGGUUUGAUGAUAAAUCUAUUUCUAAGAUAUCUUUAAGAUUCCACAAAGUUGAGGGUAUUGUGGAACUCAAUUUGUUGGAAUCUAAGUAAAGAUAUCUCAAAGAAGUAAUAUUACCCAAACAAGAGGGUAUGGAUCCAUGCAGCUUAUUCAACCCUAAAAACAAGUUGUAUAAUCUCUCCAAAUCACAAAGGCUUUCUGCGAUGGGCCCUCCUAAUUUAUUAGAGGAAAUACCUAGACCUUGGAGAUUUCGCAGUCCUCCUAUUGAUGUUGGAAUGAAUCCACUUAAUUUAUUAUAGCCAAGUUGUAAAAGCAAUAGGUUGGUUAAGUUACCUAUUUCCAUAGGAAUAAUGCCUUGAAGCUCACACUCAUCGGCAUAAAAGUAUUGAAGGGAUUUUGAAAGGUUCCCAAUAUAAGUAGGAAGAACGCCACUCAAUGGAUUUCCUGAAACAUCUAUUGUGCUCAAAUUCCUACAAUUCGUCAAAGAAGAAAGAAAGCUCCACUCAUGAUAAGUAGCAGAUCCUGUGAUCAAAUUAUUGUCAGAGAUUUGGAGCCAUUCAAGUUGUCUUAAGCUGCCAAGCGUUUUAGGGAUUGGGCCAGAGAAUAAGUUAUGUGCCAAGUCUAGUUCCUUAAGCAUGGAAGCAUUGGAGAUAGAGUAAGGAAUGUUUCCGCUAAGUUUAUUUCCCCACAAUAAAAGAAUCUCAAGCUUUGGAGCAUUGGUGAUGGGUGGUAAAUUACCUGUAAAAUAGCAUCUUUUAGAAUACAUAUUCAUUGAAUACAAAAUUCACAAAAUAUAUAAUACAUUAAAAUAAAUUAAGAAACUAGGAAAAUUCAAUACCUUCUAGGUUAUUCAACCCCAAAUAUAAUUCUUUGAGUUGUGUCAGAUUUCCAAUACUUUUUGGAAUGAUUCCCAUCAAUUGAUUAUAGGACAACGACAAAAUUUUAAGGUUGCUGCAUUUUCCCAUGCCAAAUGUAAUGUUACCAGAUAAUUCAUUCCAACUCAAGUAAAGCCCUUCAAGCUUGGGAAGAUGUUGACACAUAUCAUUAGGCAAACUACCUGGUAGGCUAUUGCUGGAGAGAUUAAUAAUCUUCAGAGAAGAAAUAUUGAAGAUGGAAGAUGGAACCUGACCAGAUAAUUGAUUGAAUCCCAAGUUCAAGAUCUCUAGAUUAGACAUGUUAAAAAGUGUUUCAGGGAUUGUGCCUGUAAAGUUAUUAUUUUUCAUUGCCAGCCUUCGAACUCUCUGUAAGUUCCCAAGCCAUGAUGGAAUUUCCCCAUUAAGACGGUUGUAGCUUAAUCGAAGGAUCCUCAAACGAUGCAAUUGGCCCAAUUCUUUAGGGAGAUGGCCAUAGAAAUGGUUGCUACUCAAGUCGAGAGAGAGUAGAAAUGAAAGAUUUCCAAGGUGUGGAGGGAUAGUACCCCUAAGAUUCAUGCUUGUAAGAUUCAAAGCUAUAACUCUUUUAUGGAGGAUGCCACAAGAAACACCAAUCCAAUUGCAAACAGAGGUUGAGGCCGUCCAAUUAUUUGCCAAGACAUUUUGAGGACCGGCAAUGCGAUCCUUAAACUCGAGAAGUGCAAACUGAUCGGAGUUGAGAUUCUUGACUGUCAUAGCCAAGCAAAGUACGAAACACGGUAUGAAUAAAGCUAAAAGAAGAUGAAAGCAAGUGUUGUAGUUCAUGAUUGCAAGACGGAUUAAGGCAAGAAAAUAAAAAAAGUAGGAAAAGGGAGGUUGAGUUGAUAAAAUAGUUUGGAUGAUGAAGAAAAGCCCGGAUAGCAUGCUUUAAUAUGUUUCAACCCUCGUACACUUGAUAAAUUUAAGACUACCCUAAAAAUUAAAAAGGAAAACAAAGUUUUGAAGAGAUUUCAAAAUAAAGGUCAAGUCUUCUUCUUUAAAAAAUACGUCCAAAGAAGUGAAUUUUCAAAAUUUCUCCUAAAUUUUCUUCACAUUACUCCACAUAAUCAAUUAAGAAAACUUAAAAAAUAUAUUUUAUUAAUUGCUAUAUAUUCUUUUAUUUUUAGAAAGCGAAUUUUCAAAAUUUCUCCUAAAUUUUCUGCACAUUACUCCACAUAAUCCAUUAAAAAAACUUAAAAAUAUAUAUUUUAUAAUUACUAUAUAUUCUUUUAUUUUUAGAAUAAUAGUUUAAAAUAUGCUAUUAGUCCCUAUAAUUCAAAAGUUUUUAAAAAAUCCAAUCCUCCUAUUUUUCCAAUUUAAAAAUUCUAGUCCAAUCAUUUUUAAUUCCAUUAAAAAAUUCAACUUAAUAGGUUUUUUAUUAUCAAUCAUAUAUGCAACAUUAUAUGAAGGCAGUCUACUCAGCAUAUAUCCAAGUUUACAGAUUUUAAUAGAAAAUAUACUUACAAUCCUAAUGGUAGGACUAAGUUUUUUAAACUAGAAAAGUAAGAAGAUUUAAUUUUUAACUUUUUAAGUACAAUGAUUAGCUUUUAAAUAAAAAAUGUUAUGUAAAAAUAUUAAAUCUGUUAAAAAAAAUUACUUUUUUAAAUAGUAAAUGUUAAUUUUAUUAAUACAAAUGGGUCUUUAGGGCUAAACUUCAGUAAUUGACGAGCUCUCCCACAAACUACGGAUGAUUUGGGGAUAAAAACUUCAAUAAUUAUACAGUUAUAGUGUAAAUUUGCCACUAUAUUAUAAGUGUAUUGAAAUUUAUCACUAUAUUUUAUUUGAUAUUUAUCAUUACACUUUGAAAAUAUAAGUAAAUUUACCAUUUAACUCAGAUUUAACUUUGCAAGUAAACUUAAAAUUUUAUUUAAUUUUGUCACUAUAUUUGAUUUGUUCAAUAUAGAUUUUGGUGACUUAAAACAAAAUUAUUUCACUAAAAAAUUUUAAUUCACUCGAAAAGUUAGUGCUUUAUUUCAAGGGGUCAUAAUUAAUCAUUGAUUUCGCAAUUUUAAAUUUUGAAUUUGUUGACAAUUGCGUAAUUAAUAAGUACCAAUUUUGAGUGUUGUAGGGCUAGUACAAUUUUCCUUGCACAUAAGCGACUCAUGAACCUACUCUUUUCUCUAGAAUUCAAUGCAGACCUCAAAUUUAUCUUUUGAAAAGAAUUUUAAAAUCUCUGUAUAAAAGGUGAGUUUUUUUUUUGGUGACCGAUCACACUUAACCAAAUUUAAAAAUUAUUAAAAAAUAAUUUCUUUUUGAAAUUUAAAGUGAUCUAAAAACAUAUUUUUAAGUGCUUUGGACCGUCUAUUGUUGAUUUCCUUAUUAUAUUAAGUGUUUGUAAAUCACUCCUAAUAUAUUGUGUUUGAGUUGUGACAAAGCCGAUCAUCAAUGUGCCAUAAUGAUCUAUUGAUACUGAAACUGAAGUUUUUGUUAUAUUGAUAGAGCUUAUUCUUCAACGCGUACAACGUGUUUGUGAUUUUUCUCCCUUCAAAUUGUAUGAUCUUAUUCAUUAAGUGAAUUAAUAAAUUUUCCCUUUAAAAAGAUAUAUUUUUAAAAAUUAAAUACUUUAUAAAAUAUUUAAAAAUUUGUAAGCUUUAAAACAAUCAACACAAUAUAUUUUUCUCUAAAAAAUCAAUAAAAAUAUGUUUGAAAUUUUAUAUGAAAUUUAAAUUUUUUUAACAAUAAUAUAUUUUAAAAUUAUAGUAAUGCAGUAACUCUACAAAAUAUAUAUAUUUACUAAUUAUAUACACCUUUUUUAUAUUUUUUUUCUUAACAUAUCAUUAUUUUCAACACUAUCGUAAUCCUGUUUUGAUAAUUCCCUUUCCAUACAUCCUUUUUCUACAUAGAAUUUCAAAAGAAAAUGUGAAUUAAUGUAGACCUGAGAAGACUUAAUUACAUUUAUUAGUUUAUCAAUCAAAACUUAAUUAGAAUCCAUCAGUAUUUCAUACAUCAAAAACCCAAGCAUAAAAUUCACUUUUAAAUUAUUUGAAGAUAUAUUUGUAUUAUAAGAAAUGGAUUAAAUUAGUCUUUUUAUUAGUAAAUGUAUUAUUUUAACCUUUGUAUUAGUUAUGAAUGAUAUCUCCUAGAUUGAAGCCAGAGCUAUUCUUAAAAGACUAAAGUUAGGAUUCAAAUGUGUUGAGAUGGAAAGUGACAACACAAUGUUGAUUGAAACUAUUUGUAUCGGGUUGGCCAUAAUAAGUAGUGCUACCGAAGUAAGACAGAUUCACAAUUGGUGUUCCAAAAAUUGGAAAGUCAAAUUUCGACAUAUUAAGCGGAAUGCCAAUAAAGUUGUUGAUUGCAUAUCUAAGCCAAAUGGAGGCGUAAUUGAGCAGUUGGUUAUCUUGGAAGAUCCUCCACAUUAUGUGAGAUGCUAGCUUGAAGAAGAUAUUAGACAGUCACUGGUGACUGAUUAUAAUUUUCAUUUGGACUGAUGAGCGCUUAAUUUUUUAAGCUUAUAUUCAACAAAAAAAUUUAAAUACGUCUCAAUUGUAAUAGAGUUAACAUUUAGUGUUUAAAAAAUAUCUUAAAAAUUAUUUUUUCCAAUUGCAGUUCAAUUCCACAAAUAUCAACGAUGAACCCGGACAUAAAAAUUACAAAAAAAAAAAAACACAUCUAUUAUCAAACCAGCAAUCCAUGUCUAAACUUAAAUUAACAAAAUUUGCCACGCAACCUGGUACACUAUUUUAUAUAUAUACUAGAUUAUUCUAGAUGCACAUGUUUUAUUAUAUUUAAAAAUUAAAAUAUAUGGUUGACUAAGUUUUAGUUGAGUUAGUAUUGGUAUUAUUGUCAGUGUAGGAAAAUGUGAGUUUAAUUGUGCUCAAAUGUGUUUUAUACUCCAAUUCAAGGGUUAGGAAAAGGUUAUUGAUAAUUAAAUUAUUCCAACUUUUAUGAUAUUUGUUAAGUAUGACUCCUAUUUUUAGUCAAAUUUGAGAAAUAAUCUUCAAGUUAAACUCUGUUUAUUUGUUUCAGUCAAACACUGAUUAGUUUAGAUAAUUUUAUUAUUAUUUGACAUAUGAAUUUAGCCUAUAAAUAGGCUCUUUUACAACAAUUAGAAAAUACACCCAUUGGAGAUUAGAACUCAUAACACAUUUAGAGAAUUUUGUGUUUACGUUUUGAGGGUUCUUUGUUUUCGGGUUUUCGGGGUUUAGUUUUUAUCUCCAUCUUUUGUACUCUUCGUUCUUUUGCCAUUAUAGUAAAAUUAUCUUUGCCCGUGGUUUUUUAUCCUCUUUGGAGGGGUUUUUCCACGUUAAAUUUGUGUGUUCAAUUUCUCAAUUUAUUCCGCUAUUUUUGUUACUUGUUGCUUAAAUUGAGUCGAUCCUAACAAGUGGUAUCAAGAGCUAGUUCAAUUCAGAUAUGGCAACAACAAGGUUUGAAAUUGAGAAGUUCAAUGGUGAGACAAAUUUCAAUCUAUGGCAAGUUCGGAUGAUGGCAAUUCUAGUUCAAUCUGGUUUGAAAAAGGUUGUUACGGAGAAAAAGCCUGAUAAUCUAAAUAAAAUAGAAUGGGAAGAGCUUGAUGAAAAUGCCCUCUCUGCAAUCCAGUUAUGCCUCGCGAAUACGGUAUUGCAGGAGGUAUUGAUGGAGAAGACCUCAUCCGCCUUGUGGAAAAGGUUAGAAACUCUUUAUGCGACUAAGUCUCUGGCUAACCGUUUAGUGUUGAAACAACGUCUAUUUACGUUUCGCAUGAACGAAGGUGAGCUUCUUAGGGAUCACAUCAGUCAAUUCAUUACUCUUUUAAAUGAUUUAAAGAACGUUGAGGUUCAUAUUGAUGAUGAAGAUCAAGUUAUGCUAUUAUUGUGCUCUUUACCCCCUUCAUACAAGUCUUUCAAGAAGACCCUGAUUUAUGGUAGAGACAAACUCUUGUUCGAAGAUGUGAAGGGUCAUUUGUUGAGUAGAGACAAACUCGACAAUGAGCUUCAUUUGGAUAGCAAGGCAGAUAGGCAAGCUUCCGUUUUGAUAGCAUCAAAGAAACGAGACAAAAGGUGUCGCUAUUGUAAAAAGUUAGGUCACGUCAAAGUAGAUUGUUAUAAACUACAAAAUAAAAAAGCUGCUGAGAGUAAUGAGGAAGAUGUAGCUGGUGCUAAUUAAGCCGAUGAGAGCGGUGAUGAUUUCUUGUUAAUGUCAACGAGUGAUAACUCCAAGCUCACGUCUGAGUGGAUCUUAGAUUUGGGAUGUUCUUUCCACAUGUGUCCCAAUAAAGAAUGGUUCUCCACAUACAGUUCGGUUGAAGGUGGAGUUGUGCGCAUGGGAAACGAUUCAUCUAGUAAGGUAAUUGGUAUUGCAACUGUUAAAAUUAGGAUACACGAUGGGACGAUUAGGACACUCUCAGAUGUCAGGUAUGUACCUGAUUUACGAAAGAAUCUCAUCUCCUUGAGUAUUUUAGACUUGAAAGGAUGCAGAAUCAACAUUGAGUCAAGCGGCAUUAAAGUAUCCCGUGGAGCUCUCGUUUUGUUAAAAGGUAAAAGAACUGGCAGUCUUUAUAUUCUGGAAGGUUCUACAGUGACCGGUGAAAUCGGACGUCCCUCAUCCGUUACAGAGUCGAAGUCAACUCGUUUGGAGCAGAGGCAACAUGGUUAUAGGAGGGAAAAAUAUAUGACCGUUUCGUUGAAAAGAGGUUCUCUUUUGGAUGCAGAUUUUGAAAAGUUAGGGCACUGUGUUCGUGAAAAUCAGACCCGGGUUAGUUUUGAUUUGGCAGUGUAUAAGUCGAAGGCUAGAAGUCUUCCAGUUUCUAAGCACAGAUUCGACUCAGUUAAUUCCCUGCAUAGCUCAAAAUAGGCUCGUGGCGGGCUUUGGCAAAAAUGGCAUUGUAGAAAUAUGAGUCAAGGUGGAGAUUUGUUAAGUAUGACUCCUAUUUUUAGUCAAAUUUCAGAAAUAAUCUUCUAGUUAAACUCUGUUUAUUUGUUUCAGUCAAACAUUGAUUAGUUUAGUUAAUUUUAUUAUUAUUUGACAUAUGAAUUUAGCCUAUAAAUAGGCUCUUUUACAACAUUAGAAAAUACACCCAUUGGAGAUUAGCACUCAUAACACAUUUAGAGAAUUUUGUGUUUACGUUUUGAGGGUUCUUUGUUUUCGGGUUUUUGGGGUUUAGUUUUUAUCUCCAUCUUUUGUACUCUUCGUUCUUUUGCCAUUAUAGUAAAAUUAUCUUUGCCUGUGGUUUUUUAUCCUCUUUAGAGGGGUUUUUCCACGUUAAAUUUGUGUGUUCAAUUUCUCAAUUUAUUCCGCUAUUUUUGUUACUUGUUGCUUAAAUUGAGUCUAUCCUAACAAUAUUAAAAAAAGGAUUUAUAAAGAAUAUAAGGAAAAGAAAAAAAGAGAGAAACAUAUUCAUAUUGAUGGGCUCUUUCAAUAUUAGACUUUUUUUUUCUAUCACAAGUAAAAAUAUCAAAGGUGAUAAUAAUUAAAUUAUAAAAUUUAAAGUGAGAAAAUAGGGGAUUGAAUUUAUAACUUUUAAAGUAUAAAGAAUGAAUUUAUAACUAACAACAUAUUUUAACCACAUAAUAAAAGUAGUUAUGGAGAGGAUCAUGUAAAAUAAUGACCUGAAUAAUUUUAAACGUUUCAUCCUUGCAAAAAUGAAAUAAUAGAAAAGAAAUAAGUGUUAGGUGUAGUGGCAAUGUACAUUAUACUUCUAAGGGGAGAUCAGGGUUUUAGACAAGGAAAGAAUUUUAAACCUGCUUUUUUCUCUAGAACUCAACGCAAACCUCAAAUUUACCUUUUUAAAAGAAUUUUAAUAUAACUAUAUAAAAGGUGAUUUUUUUUACUGAUCACACUUAACAAAAUUUAAAAAAAAAAAUUAAAUUUAAAGUGAUCUAAAAACAUAUUUUUAAGUGCUUUAGACCAUUCUAUGUUGAUUUCUUUAGUAAUUUGAUUUGUUCAAUAUAGAUUUUGGUGACUUAAAACAAAAUUAAUAAAAAAUUAUUCUUUCAGAUAUCUUUUUAAUGUUAAAUAAUAAGUUAAUUUAUAAAAUAUACUUUCAUUGGACACAGGCCUCCAAGGCGGUGAACCACUGAUCAAAUUAAUUUGGAGAUACCUAAAUUUGUUUUCAUCAAUUAAGAAAUUAAAAGAAAUUGUUGAGAUGAUGGAUCAAGUGUAUCUCGCCAGUGAUCAUUAAGGAGAAAAAAGAGUCAAUUAAGUGAAAAUUAUAUUCCAACAUCUCCCCAGAACCAAAUUUCAGAGUGAUGAAUGUCAUGAUCAAAUUGAACAUCUUAGUGGAAGUAACCAAACCUUUUCCAGCGAAACUCAACAUCCUCUUCACAAAGUUGUUGGAAUCAAAAUUGUUGAAGGACUUUAAAGUGUUUCUUUAGAUCAACUCAAGGAGCUUAUUAAAAAAACCAUCAAAGAUCAAGUCAAAAGUGUUACUUCGCCUUCAUAUACAUACUCAAAGUCAUACAUCUGGAGGAUUUAUCAUUUGAAUAUGCCUGAACAUUAUCCACCUUUAAAAUUGCAAUGGUUUGAUGGUAAAGGAAAUCCAUGUAAACAUGUCACUCACUUCGUGGAAACUUGUGAUCGCGUCGAUGUAACACUCCACUCACGACCCAAUCGCUGGAUUUAAGAAGAGAGAUACGAAAAUCAUGUUGGAAAAAAUCUUCGAUAAGUGUAGCAUGAGUGCUCACACUCUCCAAACACUCCAUACUAUCUUUGGUAUCGGAGUUAAGCUUGACACUCCCUUAUCUCUCCAAUGUUAUCUUCAGGCCAUAAUGCCCUAUCACAUAGUAAAAAAGGUGAGCACUCACAAUCCUAUGGCAUGCCAAUGAUAUCUAAUGGUUUCAAGUGUUCACAAUGCCAACAUAUGAUUUUUAUCACAUUCACUUUACACAAUUUAAAACGGCUUAUAAUACAGCAGAUCUCACAUAUCAUAGUUUUUAAUAACAUAAUUCACAUUUCUGUAGGGCUUGUAUUAUACAUAAGUUAGUAAUAACAUGGAUUCCCAUAAUAGUUAUGGCUUGCAUAUAUUUAAGGCUCGUAUGCAACAUUUGGGAUCCCAUAUAUUUAAACUCGCAUAAUACAGGGGCUCGCACGACAUAUUUUGGCUUGCAUGCAAUAUAGGGCUUGAUCACAUAUAUAGGUUUACAUGAUCUUAGGGCUCACAUCACAUAUAUAAGCACGCAUGAUACAUAGGUCCACUCAACAUGUAUAUAUAAACUCGCACAUCAAAGUAUAGGCUCGCAUGCAUUAAGGUGAUAGAGUUUGCAAACAAUUUAGAGCUCGCACACACCAUAGGCUUGCAUACAUACAUGUUAGCAAGGUCUGCAGGUCACAACUCGAGGCUCACAUAACUACAGAGGCUUGCAUGGAAAUAUAAUAGUGUUCAGAUAUCAUUUUAAUCGGCUUCACACAUUAAAUCAAACGGUUUGCAUGCCUUCCUUGGCUUUCAUUAGCAUGUGAACUCGUGUUUUUGACACAGUGUGCAAGGACACUCAUUAGUUGUUUGUUGAUACUGUCGAACCUAUACCACAUUUUGCUUGAAUUUUUCCUUGCUCAUGGAUGCAUCUUCACAUUAAGAAGCUUUGCAUAAAACAAGAAAAUAUACAGAUUACUACUUUCACAGACAUAAUAACCUUCUUAACAAACAUAGUAGCAAAUCUUCCAAUCUUCCUUAAUAAUUCCUUAAAUGAACCUAAACCAAAAUGUAGUAUAAAUUCAAUAAAUUUAUCAUCAAACCAUCCCGCAAACACCCACUUAUAAGUUCAAACUGAUCAUUGAAAUUAUAACUAUUUUAUGAAUCCAAACUAGUUAGAUUCCUUAAACUGUAUUGAUGUGAAUUGUACGUACAACCGUUCUUCACCUUUACGGGUGAUUUGGGGUGUUUAGGUCAGCACCUAAUUCAAUAAUAUACUAAAAAAUAAGUAGUUAAUCAAUGAUUAAAUUCCUUCAUUUUAAUCAAUGAUUAAAAUCAGUAGUCUGAUGUUAAACGUGUGUUGUCAAAAUUUUCAAAAUAUUUUGUUCAAAUUAAUUUUUAAUCGUGAUCCUUGAAUUUUAUUUUUUAAAAGUCAUGCAUUUGCAUUCAGUUUUUAAAUUAAUAUUUUUCAAACUUGUUUUACUUUUCUUUUUUUUUUGAGCUCUAAGUUUUACCCUUUUUUUAGUUUUUUUUUAGUAAACAAAUAAAAAACAAAAAGGUUUGUGAGUUUCUCCCCACACACUGUGCACUUGCAUUCUUGCAUAACAUGAGCUCUCUACUCGGGCUCUGUCUGUUUAAGUGGAAGUAAACGCUACGCCUUCGUGAGUUAACUCAUUCCUCCGUACAGGCUAGUGAAAUACUUCCGGAUUACAUAUGACUUAUGCUUUCGUGAGUUAACUUGUCCCUCCACAUAAGCAUAAGUAAAUGUAGUCCCUCGAAUUGAGCUCGCGAGCCCAUGACAGGCGAUAACCGAGGCUCCGUACUAACCUUAGUAAGUGACAGUAUGGACAAUUUGAGUACCUUUCUAGAACCAAAACCACAUAUAGCGAACUGUACGAGCCACCCAAUUAGAGUCAUGUCGAACCUCUAUCCGUUGAAUAGUCACCAAAAAAAGUACAUGGGAGGAACACCUCUUACCUUGUAUUUCUUUUACAUUCACAUCUUUUGCAAGGGAAUCGAGUCUGUUUAAUAAAUUGGAUCGGUAGAUUAUUUGAUGAGCAUGUGGGGUAAGUUUAUUUUGUAAAGCAUGAGGGGGUAAGGAAAAAAACGUAGGUCAAUUUGUUAGAUUUUCCAUAGUUUUUCUUUGUUUAUAUUUGUCGUGAUUGCUAAUUAAGUUUAUUUGUCUUAAUUUUAUUUUUCAUCAUGCAUCAUAGGUAUCUCAUUAGGAAGGUGUUGAUUAGAGAUUGGUUGCCAAAAACGGGUUUCUGAUGGAGAAGUCAAUUACACAAGUAACUGAGAAAAAAAUGACAUAGUCAGAGACUGGUCUUUGAGGACCCAGAAAGCAAACGAUACAGUUUAAAGGAAAGAUAUAUCUCUGGUCUUUUCGGGAAGGCGACUUUGAAUGCUCGUCAGAAUAACCCGAAGAUUUGACUAGGAUUUGGAAACAAUGAGACUUAGGCACUAGGGGCAUCUUCAUUGGCAAAAUAUUUUGUAAUGGACUCUUUUCAUAAAUUAAACGCCAAAAUAUGGGGCUAUCUUAAAAUCAACACUAUUUUUUUACAUAUUUACGCGUGACUAGCAUCCAUUGAUCAUUCAUCAUUCAUUCAUUCAUUACAUGUACAUAUCACCCGUACCAUUCACUGAGGCUAAAACAGUAUAAUCCACAGUUGCGGCACAAGUCUAGAAUCACGUCAUCCUUACAGGACACGUCUAAGAACUAGAGCUAUGGAUGUUGAACUUAAUGAAAAAAUCAAAAGGAUGGAAAAGAUCUAAAAAAAGUUACAAGAGCAAUUGGUCAAGUCACAAAAAGAGACCAGAUAUAUGAUGGUGAGAUCUCGAGAGGAAUCACUCGAGCAAAGAGAUCAAAUGACCAAAAUAAUGGAGAUGAUUACAGUUUUGGUUAAAGGAAAAGGACCCGUGCAAAGCCCUGACAUCAUGGAACCUCAAUCAAGAGCUAAUAAUGAUUGAGAUCCGCUCUAUCCCCCAGGAUUCACUCCACCUCACGCUCAUGCAAUGCAACUCAAGGGGAACCUAUAGUCCUAGAAUGUCGUCCUGUACCACCUGCUCAUCUAAGGCAAGGUAUAUUCAUAUUGAAUCCCGGAGCUAAUCCUACCGAUCUAAUUGUUCCAGAUCUGGAUGAUCCGGUGAAAUAUCAAAGUUGAAAACUGAUGAUUAUGGCACUCAAAAUAGGUAUAAGAUCCUAGAAGAAAGGCUUAAAGCAAUAAAAGGUACUGAAGUCUUCUCUGCAUUGAGUGCCAAAGAGCUCAGUUUGGUGCCCGAUUUGGUUCUACCCCCUAAAUUCAAGGCACCAGAGUUUGAAAAGUAUGAUGGGAUGAGAUGUCCAAAGGCACAUCUUAUCAUGUUUUUUCAGAAGAUGAUUGGUUACGUGAAUGAUGAUAAAUUGUUGAUACACUGCUUCCAAGUUAGCUUGGUCGGAUCAGCUCUUCGAUGGUACAAUCAGCUCAGUAAAAAAAAGAUCCGAUCAUAAAAAGACUUAGCAUCAGCAUUUUACGAGCAAUAUAAGCAUGUAUCAGAUAUGGUACCUGAUCGACUAACUCUGCAGAUGAUGGAAAAGAAGCUAACGGAGACUUUCAAAUAAUAUGCAGAAAGAUGGAGGGAUAUCUGAGCUCAAGUAGAACCCUCGUUAACUAAAACGGAGAUAACAGUCCUCUUCAUCAACACUCUGAAAGCGCCACAAAGGACUUUGCCGACAUUGUAAUAUCUGGGGAGCUUAUAGAAAAUGCCAUCAAAAGUGGAAGGAUGGAAGGUCCUGAGAGUUCGAAAAGGUAGUACCUAUAAGGAAAAAAGAGACAGAAACCCAUAUGGUCAGAAAUGAGAGCCACCAUACCUCCAGCCCUUACCCAGCCCAACAACGACCUCGUUAUCGCCCACCUUCAAACUUCUAUUUUCCUCCCCAAGGUCCUUACUGUCAAGCACCUCCUCCUUAUCUCGUCUAUGCCAUGAAUAACCAAAGAACGUUCACCAUGUUUCCACCACACACUAUGCCCAUACAAAUUUAACCCAAAAAUGAACAAAAACUAGCGAAACCCAAUCCUAGAAAACCUUAGUUCACCCGAAUUCCCGUGUCAUAUGGAGAAUUGUACCCGAAACUGUUGGAGAAGCAAUUAAUAUCCCUGUAUUACAUGGUACCCCCGAAGCCCCCAUACCUAAAAUGGUAUGAUCCUAAUGCUAGUUGCAUGUAUCACGUUGGAAAUCAGGGGCAUUCUACAGAAAACUGCCUUGCCUUUAAAAGGAGGGUUCAAGAUUUCAUCGAUGUUGGCAUUCUGUGAUUUGAUGGUAUUAGUAAUCCUCUUCCUACCUAUGCUGAUGGGAAUGUGAAUGCGGUAACAAAUGAUGACGAGGGGUAAAACAAUCCAAGAAGCGCUUUGAUUGAAAAGGGUCUUCAGAACAUCAGCAUAAAUGUUGUUGACAAUGAGAAUGAUGCAAUCGAGAUGAUACGCCCUUGUCCUCCAGGAUAUGUUUUGAACAACUGGACUGCUGUGGACCUCCUUGUAGUUUCUAAGUCCUCUCCAGAGUAAUGCCCAAUGAUAAUUCUCUAUUAUUUUGUGUGUCCCUAAGUAAUGGGAUUCCUUUUGUAAGAGCUUAUGUUUGCUCUUUAUCAUUUCAAUGAACAUCAAUGAAGAUGACCCAGAGCCUAGGUAUCGUAUACGCCCCCAAAAUAAAGAGCCUUGAAUACUAGAAGAAAAGCACCUAUACCUAGCAAAAUUAAGUGAAUACCCAAAAUUGUGGUCAUUUUAUUUCUAUCUUUCCAUACAUAACCGAAAAAUGGAAAAGAUUCUUCAUGAGUUUCAAGUGUCAUGGUAUUUUUUAUUUCCAUUAGCUUCAUAAUUAUCCCUUCUCUUCAUAUCAUUUCCCUACAUGUAUUUCAUAUCAUUCCAUAACAUUGUGUGUGUUGAUUCUUAUAUUUUUUAUGCUCCUCUAUAGAUUUCUUUCCCAUUCACUUUUCAGGUGCUCAGAUAUCCAUGGCAUGAACAAUCUCAUUACAAGUCUUGAAAUCGAUUUCGAGAAGGCUGUUUGUUUAAGAGAAUUUGAAGCUGAGGAGGAUGCUAAAGAUUUUGUCUCGUCUCCUGACUUACUGAGAAUGGUAGAACAAGAAGAGAAACAGAUUCUACCCCAUCAAGAAUCUGUUGAGACAGUAAACUUGGGAAGUGAGGAAAAGAAACAAGAAGUAAAGAUUGGGAUUUCCAUUUCAGAUAACACCAAACAGAAUUUGAUCGCCUUGCUCCGUGAAUACAAAGAUGUAUUUGUCUGGUCUUAUCAGGACAUGCCAGGGUUGAAUGAGGAUGUAGUGGUUCAUAGACUCCCAUUGAAACCAGAAUGUAAACCCAUUCAACAGAAGCUAAGACGGAUGAGACCUGAAAUGCUGUUAAAGAUAAAAGAAGAAGUCAAGAAACAAUAUGAUGAGGUUUCUUACAAGUCUCUAAAUAUCCAGAAUGGGUAGCUAACAUAGUCCCAGUAUCGAAGAAAGAUGGCAAGGUACGAAUAUGUGUGGAUUAUCGUGAUCUGAAUCGAACAAGCCCUAAGGAUAAUUUUCCUUUGCCACACAUCGAUACGUUGGUAGAUAACACAUCAAAACAUUCAUUAUUUUCUUUCAUAGAUGGUUUCUUGGGUUAUAAUCAGAUAAAGAUGGCUAUCAAAGAUAUGGAGAAAACUGCAUUCGUGACAAUGUGGGGAAUGUUCUGCUACAAAGUGAUGCCGUUCGGAUUAAAAAAUACUAGGGUAAUGUAUCAGAGAGCCAUGGUGAUGCUGUUCCAUGACAUGAUGUAUAAAGAAAUAGAAGUCUAUGUCGAUGAUAUGAUUGCUAAAUCCCAGGGAGAAGAAGAGCAUAUUGGGAACCUCAAGAAGCUAUUCGAAAGAUUAAGAAAGUUCCAGUUGAAGCUUAACCCAGCCAAGUGUACAUUUAGGGCUACCUCGGGAAAAUUUCUAGGUUUCAUUGUCAGCGAGAGAGGUAUUGAGGUUGAUCCAGACAAGAUAAAGGCUUCUUCCGUGUACAAAAAAAGAAGUCAGAGGAUUUCUAGGAGGGUUGAAUUACAUUGCUCAAUUCAUUUCUCAACUUACCAACCAGUGUGAUCCAAUUUUUUGACUCAUUCGAAAACAUAAUCCAGGAGAGUAGAAUGAGGCAUUAUGGGACGAAGGAAUUUGUGGAACGCAUGCCAAUGGGUUUACUAUAGCUAGGUAGAUUAUGAGACUUGGUUAUUUUUGGCUGACGAUGGAAAGAGAUUGCAUUAGCUACACACGAAAAUGCCACAAGUGUCAAAUUUACGGCGAUAAAAUUCAUGUAGCUCAUUCGCCCCUUCAUGUCAUAACUUCUCCGUGGCCUAAUCUAUGUGGGCCAUUGAUGUUAUAGGGUCAAUUUCCCUGAAGGCUUCCAAUAGACAUCGAUUCAUCUUUGUGGCUAUAGAUUACUUCACAAAAUGGGUAGAAGUCGCUUCUUUUGCUAAUGUGACAAAGACUGCCGUCUGCAGGUUCCUAAAAAAGGAAAUUAUAUGUCGAUAUGGUUUGCCUGAGAGAAUCAUUUCAGAUAAUGCUUUGAACCUGAACAACAAGAUGAUGAAGGAAGUAUGUGAGAAAUUUCAAAUAAAGCAUCAUAAUUCCUCACCUUAUCGCUCAAAAAUGAACAGAGCUGUUGAAGCAGCCAACAUUGGGAAGAUGACUGAGACAUAUAAAGAUUGGCACGAGAAGCUACCAUUUUCUUUGUACGCAUACUGCACCUCUGUACGGACAUCUACUAGAGCAACUCCUUUCUCUCUGGUGUACGGAAUGGAAGCUGUUUUGCCAAUCAAAGUAGAAAUCUCAUCCCUACGUGAAUUGAUGGAGAUGAAGUUAGAAGAAUCAGAGUAGGUUCGAACUCGAUAUGACCAGCUAAACCUUAUUGAAGGGAAACGCUUGAAGGCAAUUUGUCAUGGACAGAUGUACCAAAAGAGAAUGAUCACAGCCCAUGAUAAAAAGGUGCGGCCAAGAGAAUUUCACGAAGGGGAACUCGUACUAAGAAAGAUCCUCCCGAUACAAAAAGACUUUCGAGGAAAAUGGUCACCAAAUUGGGAAAGGCCAUACGUUGUAAAAAAGGCAUUCUCGGGAGGGGCUCUGAUUCUCACUGAGAUGGAUGGGAAAGAAUUACCUAAUCCAAUGAACUUAGAUGCUGUGAAGAAAUAUUAUACCUUAAAAAACAAAAAAAAAAAACAAAAAAUAUAAAAACAAAAAAAAUGAAAAAUCAAGAUGAAAACCCGAAAAGGGCGUCUUGAUAAAUAAAAAUGAUUAGGAUGAAAACCCGAAAGGGCGUCCUAAUGAAGUAGACUCAGACUUAAUGACCAAGAUGACUUGAACGGGGAGUCGAAUGGCGAGGUUACAAUAUUUGAAGCAUUCUCAGAAGCUUGAAAUCUUCUACACAGGAAGCCAUGCUAAAAAAGAUCUUUGACAAAGAAACGUGGAGAAGUUCAUACGUUGGAUAUCUAGAGCGUUCGUGGCCAUUGAAUUCACUUUCCUUUCUUUAUGAUGCUUUCUUUUUUUGAACUAUUCCUUGUCAAUUUUCUUUGCUUGUUUCUUUUAAAAAAAUAUGAAUGUGAGGUAUUUCUUUCAUGCCUACUUUGCCAUUAUUUUUUUAAUGCAUCUCAUGUUUGAUUCAUUUAAAUGAUAAAUGGUAAGAUGACAUACUCUAAACAAAAGGAAUGUUGAACAUUACCUGGAUGAGAAUUUGACAAGCACAAGGGUCCCAAAGCAAGAACAAAGUUCAACAAGGGGACAGGAAGGUGAUAUACGGAAAUGUGGGUUACUCACCAAAUUUGAGGAUGAGUACAAAACUUGGGAGAAAAGUCAAGAAUUGAGAAAAUGAAUACGGACCCUCACGAAAAUAAAAGAGGGGCACGUGACAAACAGCCCAUGGUGCAUGACACGAUCAUAUAAGCAUUUAGGACAAACACGUGUAUAUCAUGAUAACAUAAUACAUGACAUAUACAGGUAUCCCAGCGGAGCAAGGAAUUUUGGAAGAAAACUGCACAGAAUCAAUGAAAAAGACGGCUUUUAAUUUCACCUGGUGAUUUUUUUUCGAAACCCUGAUUCUUUCAAGAAUUAUUUUUCAAUUUCAUUUUUUUUUUCAAAAAUUAACUCAUAAUGCAAGAGGUGAGUUGAGCCUCAGGUAGCACGCCGAGAUAUUUUCAAUUUUUGUUUUUUCAAAAAAAUCAACUCAUAUUGCUAGAUGUAAGUUGAGCCUUGGGCCGCACGCCGAUGUAUUUUAAUUUUUAUUUUUUCAAAAAAUCAACUCAUAUUGCUAGAGGUGAGUUAAGCCUCGGGCCACACGCCGAGGUAUUUUCAAUUUUUGUUUUUUUUUUUAAAUCAACUCAUAACGCAAGAGGUGAGUUGAGCCUCGAGCCGUACGCCGAGAUAUUUUCAAUUUUCGUUUUUUUAAAAAAUCAACUCAUAUUGCUAGAUGUGAGUUGAACCUCGGGCCACACGUCGAGGUAUUUUCAAUUUUUGUUUUUUCAAAAAAUCAACUCAUAUUGCAAGAGGUGAGUUGAGCCUCGGGCCGCACGCCGAGGUAUUUUUAAUUUUUUUAAAAAAAAUCAGCUUAUAUUGCUAGAGGUGAGUUGAGCCUCGGGCCGCACACCGAGGUAUUUCCAAUUUUUUUUUUCAAAAAAUCAACUCAUAUUGCUAGAGGUGAGUUGAGCCUCGGGCCGCAUGCCUAGGUGUUUUCAAUUUUCUUUUUUUCAAAAAAUCAACUCAUAUUGCGAGAGGUGAGCUGAGCUUCGGGUCACACGCCGAGGUAUUUUUCAAUUUAUGUUUUUCAAAAAAUCAACUCAUAUUGUAGAGGUGAGUUGAGCAUCGGGUCACAUGUCGAGGUACAUUUAAGUUUUGUUUUUUUCCAAAAAUCAACUCAUAAUGCGAGAGGUGAGUUGAGCCUCGGGCUACACGGCGAGGCAUUUUCAAUUUCUAUUUUUUCAAAAAAUCAACACAUAAUACGGGAGGUGAGUUGAGCCUCGGGUCAUAUGCCGAGGUACUUUUAAUUUCUAUUUUUUUUCAAAAAUUAACUCAUAAUGCGAGAGGUGAGUUGAGCCUCAGGCUGCACGCCGAGGUAUUUUCAAUUUCUGUUUUUUCAAAAAAUCAACACAUAAUGUGAGAGGUGAGUUGAGCCUCAGGUCACAAGCCGAGGUACUUUUAAUUUCUAUUUUUUCAAAAAUCAACUCAUAAUGUGAGAAGUGAGUUGAGCCUCGGGUCACAUGCCGAGCGAUUUUUUAUUUCUAUUUUUCAACAAAAAAUAUAGAGAAUAAAAUUGGACAAUCGAACAAAAUUCAGUGCUUUUAAAGUUUUAGCUCUAUCCCUGUUUCACAGCGAUGAGCAAAGAAGGGCAGCUAUAAGCACUAAAUUUGUUCGGGUCAGUGUCGUGUUUAAUUUUAAAAAUUUUGGAAAAAUAAAAAAAUUUAAAAUUACAUUUCAACCCCUAAACCUUUUAAAAUUACAUUUUGACCCCUAAACUUUUCAAAAUUACAUUUUGACCCCUAACUUUCCUAAAAUUAUAUUUUGAUCCCUAAACUUUUCUAAAAUUACAUUUUGACCCCAGAAGUUUUACAUUUUUACAAUUUGAUCCUUCUAUCAGAAAAUCCCCAUUAAUCCAGUAGAUUUCGUCCACUUGCCCCACGAUUUUUGGCCGCUGACCUAAGGCAUGGCUUCCCCACCUGGUACCUGCAAAAAAGAAGAAAAAAAUCAAAUAUUUAUAAAUAAAAUAAGAAAAAAGAAAAAAAAUACAUAUACAUAUUGAUGGGUUUUUUCAUGAUUAGACUUUAUUUUUUCCCAGGUAAAAGUAUUUAUGGAGAGGAUCAUGUAAAAUUAUGACCAGAAUCAUUUUAAACGUUUCAUCAUUGCAAAAAUGAAAUAAUAGAAAAGAAUGACUAUAUGAAUUUGCAUUUGUGUUCUUUUUCUCAAUAUUUGCUUUCAAAAAUGUGGGAAAUUUUUAAAUUUUAUGAAAUUUUAAAAUUGCACUUCAGUAAAAAUAAAUUUUAUGAAUAUGGACAAGCCAUUUUAUUUAUAAUUUUCUGUGUUUUUCUUCUUUGCUGACUUUCUUAAUGUCAUUUUCUAUCAUGAAAGAAAAUUAAAGAUUCACUAUGUAUUUCUCAACCACUAUGAAAUUACUUGACAAUGGGUGUAGAAUUUUCUCACCAAUUUUCUAACAUGAGAUUUUUUGAAUGGGACAAAUAUUUCAAUUUUAACACAAACAUAUCUUUAGUUAUUGAGAGCGUUUCCCAUAAUUAGUCACCCCUAUUUGUGAGUGAUCUGGGGAUAAAAGCUUAAACAUUUCUGGAUCACAUUGCAUUUAAGACGGGUGUUUGGAGUUACAUGAUAUUUUAACAUAGACCGAAUUUUCUAUGAAGAGUCAUUGCUUUACUUUGGGUGGAUUCUUCCAAUUAGCGUGGUCGUUGGUACUACUCUCCAACAAUUGUUGUACUGUCAUCCUUAUUCCUACCCCACCUAGCAGAGAAGUUAAUGAUCAAAUUCAUUCGAAGAUGUCCUUUUUUUUUAAAUAUUUUUUAUAUUUUCAUGGAUGUGAGGAGAUACUGAAAAUUAUUAUACUAUGAAAUUUUAAUUCAUUCGAAAAAUAAGUGUUUUAUUUCAAGGGAUUAAUAUUAGCUCUCUCUUUUUCAAAUUUUGAAAUUCUUUUAACAACUACGUAAAUAAUCACUCAACUAUAAGUAAAUUUAUAUUUUAAUCAUUUAAAUUUAAAAUUUUAAUUACAAUAUACAAAUAAUUAUCUAACCAUUCGAUUUAUUCUAUUUUAAUCUAACUUUUCCACAAUUGUACAUCUCUGGGUGGGCACAAAAACUUGUACAUUUCCUGAUGACAUUUAAUUCAAUUACAUUAAUUAGGAUCACAUAAUUUUCUUUCGUGCUUUUCAUUAAUAAACUGUUUCAAAAACAAUACCACGUGGACAAUAAAUUUGCUAUUACACAUUCAAUUUUUAGACGGGUCGUUGAAAUAUUAAUUUCACUUAAGCUAUUAUUGACAGACUUUUCAGUUUUUAGUCUUUUUCCGUAAAUAAAUGUAUUUAUGAGCCGGGUUAAGUAAGAUUAUGACAUGAACAGAUUUGAAAAUUGUACUCAAAUUUAAUUUAAUUUAAUUCAAAAAUAAUAAAUAAUAAAUAUAUUUAUAUUGAAGUUUCUAUAUAUAUUUAUAAUAAAAUAUAUUAAUUUUGGGGUUACACUUCAGUCCUUCACUGACUUUUUCACAAUUGGUUUAAAAGUGUAUCCCACCAAUGCCAAAUUGGUACUUUAUCUCUUUUCUUAUUCAAUUUCUUUUAUAAUCAUAUUUAUUUUAGUAUAUUAACUAAUAAUAAAUCAAUUCAAUUAGUAUUUAAUCAUUUGUAUUACAUAUUUUUAAUAAAAAAGAAUUUUUUUUAUAUUUCUAUUUUCAAGUUUAAACACAUCAUUGUUAGGCUUCCUAAAUCCUUUGAGGAUGAUUUUAAAGUUUCUAAAGAUGAUUUUAAGUAGUCCCAAAAACCACUGGAUUUUUUAGUGACAUCCAAUUUUUCUUUUCCUGCAGUAUUGUUGAAAGUUAAUUUUCAGAACAAAAGUUUGCCUUACCAAAGAUGAUUUACCCUGACAUGUAGCAUGCAAAUAUGAAACAAUAAGAAAUAACUAAAAAAAAUGAUCCUUCAAAAUUAAAAAAGAAAGAAAGAAAGAAAGAGAGUGAGAUAAAUCUAAAAUUGCUUAAUAAGUCAUUUGAUAUUUGAAUUUGAUAUUUUUUAAAUAUUAUUUUCUUGUUUAGUGAGUUAUUUAUAUUUGAUAAAAGUUAUACAUCUUGGUAUCUAAAGUUAACAAUGUUAACAUUUUAGUGUUUAAUGUAGGUUUUAUGGUAGCGAUUUGAUGAAAAUUUCACUGUAAACUAAUAUUAUUAGCAAUUAACUUUCAACAAAUCUAUAACAAUCCCAAAUCCAGCCUAGACGCUAUGGUCAAACCUGGAAGGUUACAUCAGUACGUAGAAAAUUUUGUUCUUCCAAAUGUGUUUUGUUACUAAAUUAAGUCAUCCCAGGUUGCCCAAAAACGAUGACUCGCCACCAUGAGAUGCCCGACAACGAUGGCUUAUCAAUACGCAAUUAAACUGUUAGAUCAGAUAUUUGUGGUCAUGCCAUUGAAUUGCAACUCAGCUACCGAAACAAAAAUAUGUGGUGAAACCACUAUAUUGUAUCCAAGCUGCCAAAUAAAAAUAUGUGGAUAAACCAACAGAUAGUGCAGACCAUUAAACUGCCAAAAAUUCCUCCCUUUCAUAUUAUCCCAACCCCAUGCAAUGUGACAUGGCAUGCAUUUACAUAAUCAAAACGACAAGCAUGUAAGACAUGUAGUCGUACCAUAACAGAACUUAGAAAGCAUGGCAUUCUCACAAAUUCAACAAAAGCAAGUUGGUAUGCUAUAAAGUCACAUGCAUGAUCACAUAGCAGAAUCAGAAACAUAAAAAUAACGUAACCAAACCUCAUACCCAUAUACAAACAUAACAAUACAAAUCACGCUACCAGAUUCAUUAGAAAACAGUUCAUGCACACGAAUUUCACAUACCUUAUUCAUAUCACCUACAAUGUCAAAUUAUCAGACGUUACAUUUUCAAAGUCAGUUUUACACAGUACGAACCCUACAAAAUGGCUAAACAUGACUCACGAAUCAAAACGGGCCUAAACGAAAAUUUUUAGAAAAUGGGCCAACAUGGCCCAAUUAACCUAGGCCGUAUGGCGUCGACAGUCCAAUUUUCGACUUUCAGCAGUUCAUUAUUUUUUGAGUUUUUCGAUAUACAGCUUACUAUUUUCCGAAGCAAAAUCAUGGCAAGAAUUCCAAAACCUAAAAUCCAUAUUCAACCCACUCAAAUUAGUAAUGAAACCCAAAACUAAAUCGUUAAACAACCAAAACUGCUACCAAUAAACCUUAUCAAACCAGGAAUCAACCUUUUGGCAUCUGACUACUAACCCAGAAUAGUAGCAGCAGUACUAAAAAUCUCUCAAUUCACCGGAAGACUAUUUGUUACAGAAACGUCACCUAAACCAAAGAUUUCAGAGUAAUCAAAAUCGCGUCACACAAAGAAGGAAACAAAUUAACCCCAAAAUCGUGAAACUCAACAAAGUACGAAUCUUUUCACAUAUUCCUUACCACCAACCGUCAAGAUUGCUCAAAAACCACUAAUGACACCGACCUUCGCAAGGUUAAAUUGAAACCAAAAGGCAACUAAAGAUGGAACAAAGGUUGUUAUAAAAAAAAUAUUAACAAAGACUUAUUGGAGCAAAAAUGGCGAAAAAUCAAGAAUAGGGAGAUUGGAAAAAAAAACAAUGAAACGGCAAAGAGAAGGAGUGGGAAAGUGACGACAGUUUGUGGAGGGAUUUUGGGUAAAUAAAAAGUAACUCACCACUCAACCCAUUAAAUCUGAUUACCCUCUAAACAGAUUCCCUUAGAGUUUAAAUUCAACUCAAAUACCACUACAUGGGCGGCAUAGUGUAAGGAAAUAAAAAUACUUCUACUUUGCACACACGGGGUCUUGAACACGAAACCUUAGGGUAAUUUGAAGCCUUACAACUAAAUUAGUAGGCUCAUCUUUGAAAUUAAUUGAAUGAAAAUAUUAUUUAUGUCAGAUGAUCAGGGAUAGAGGUUAAGACCAAAGAUGACAAAAAUUCAAAGGAAAGAUUUAAACCUAGAACCUCACACACACAAGCAUAACACCUAUCCACUGAACCAGAUUUACUCCAUUGACAUAAUUUUCACAAUGUUAGGUACUACACUAUUACAAGAAUAGAUUUUAGAGAGAAAGAAUUUUUUCUGAGAAAUUGCUUAGUAUUAUUAUCUACUUUAAUCAAUACACUAUCAAUGUUUAUAUACUUCAAUAUGAGUAACUUCUCCUAACCAACUAUACCAGACUAAUCAACUGAAUGAUAACAAACUAACAAAUCUUAUGUUAACAAUCUCUAUUCUUCUAACAUUGUCUAUUUAUGCUUUUGAAAUGCUGACUUGUACUACUAUUUCCAACCCUCUUUUCCUUUAUUUUUUUCAAGCCUUAUACUACCCCUAAUCAGCCCUUAAAUUUCCCUCCUUGUGCCGCCCAAAGCAGCCCUCGUGUGUGCCAUUUUAAACACUACAUUGGGGUUACUGUUUUUCUCUCUUUAGCCGUAUCUUUCUAGAAAAAAAAAAUUGUUGUUCCACUCCUCUAAUCAAUAUUUAAUUGUGUCGUUUUCAGGUGUAUUCGAUUCCCUUCGUUCAAUGAUUUCGAAAUAGUUAACGGGUAGUGUAAGUGUGGAAGCUAGUGAGAUUUAGUGUCAUAUUAAUUUCGUUUAAAUAUGCUGAUUUGGCAGAUUAUUCUAAGGAGUUAUUGAUUGUUUUAGCUACUAAUUUUUUAUAUAAAAUUAUCGUAGGGGCUGAUUGUAACAUCCUGAUUCAACAGUAAGCCGAAACUUAUUCGCACUCUCGCUUGGCAUUAUUUCAGUAUCAACGUGAUUAAUUGUCCUUAAUUGCUCAUUUUUUAAAUUAUCAGAGAUAAUUUACUCCAUUUUUUUUAGAGGAACCAAUUUACCUAUAUCAAGAUUGAGAGGCACGUAGAAGUGUUUUUACUAAUAAAAUCGAAAUAUAAAAGUAUACAUUUCGAUAACACAAACACUUGCAUACUUAACCCUAUUUUCAUAAAACAUGGACAAAAAUCAUAUACCCAUAAAUAAUUUAAAGCAUUCAAGGUUGAUCUUUUAGGAAUUAAGACUAAAUUAACAAUAUAUAUAUUAAUUAUCUCUACAUUAUAUAUAUUUUAAAUAAUAUGUUAAAAUUUAUCAAUUUCAGUAAAUUUUAUAAUUUUUUUGAAUGUUUUAUAAUAUUUUUGAAAAUUUGAUAAAUUUUUAUUUAUAUAUUUUAAAAUUUUUAUUUAUUAUUUUUCUUUUAGAAUUAAAGUCAAAUUUACACCAUGUAUAAAUGUUGAAGGUUGAAUUUAAAAAAACAAAUAGAACUAAAUAAACAAAAUGGGUGAAUGUUGAAGACCAAAUUUGUUAUUAUUCCAAUAUUUCAUUUGGUGAUCAAAGGUAUUUUAAUAGUAGGAUGACUAUAAACUGCAAUUGAUCUAAUGGGAGUGACUAAUAUAAUAAUAAUUUUUUUUGUGACCAAUACAAAAAUACCUUAAAAUUUGGGUGACUAUAAGGAAAGUUUACCCAAAAUAAAACAUUGUAAGCUUUUACAAAUUCGGACGUCUUCUACAGGCGUGAUUGUUCCCUGACUUACAGGUCGGGAGUUGUCGAGCGAUUGAAGUUUUUCAACUACGAGACCACCUUAAGCAAAUAUGUCAAUAAAUAAAUAAUCUAACCCCAUCCAAUCAGAGACUUCAAACUCUUACUCCCCAUCUCUUAUUACAUCUCUUGCGUUCCUCCUGUAUAUGUUUUUUUUUUCUUUUUUAUUGCAGAAAUCUAGUUGAAUUCAGGAAUUGUUACUUUGUUUUGGCCCUUCAAAUCAAGGUUCUACAUCUGGGUAAACAUGGAGGGUUGUUCAUCAAAUGGAUCUACUUCAUUUUUUGGCUCAAACAUACCCAACGAGCUUCAACUUCCACACCAAACUGAUUCUUCGGCCGGAGUAGAUGAAAUGCUUCGCAGACAAGAUUCUGUGUUAGUACAGGACGAUCUCUACUUCUCUGCUGGAGACGAUGGACCAACGGAUCAGUCUCUGCCAGACCAAGACCAUCAAUUCAAUCAAGAAGAAACACCCGAAGCUUCAUAUCAAACGGUAUCAGAAGGUGGGACUCGAUCUAAACUCACUCCAGCUCAAAGAAAAGAAAACAAAAGACAAAGUGAUUACAAGUAUAGGCAAAAGCGCAAGGUAUAAGAUAAUCCAAUUAUUUUUCUCUCUCUAGAAUAUUGCCUCUAAUGGAAUUAGUUAUAAUCAAAAUGUUUACUUUAAAUGCCCUUUUUAACCCAUCAUAUUGAUAUGAUUGUAUUUUACCUAGAAUGGUCAAGUGGUGACCAAAUUAUGUAAAUUGAUUUCUUAGAUUUGUCUUGUUUGAUAUUAACAUUCUGCGGUGUAGGUAAAAGCAGAUGAACAGAAUGGGGAGAUUAAACGCUUGAAAGAGGAAAUUCAACGGCUCAACGUUGAGAAUGGACAGUUGACAGCACAACUUGGAUUGCCACUCUCUAUUGCGCAAUUCCAAGCAGCAGCUCAACAGAGACAGGAUGGUUACAUUACCCAGUCAACCGGCAAGCAGCUUCACCCUCAAACUCUUACUGUCCAUGGAACAAACUCUGAAGCUGUUGACAAGGUAUGGCAUAUUAAUUGUUCUUCAUGUUUGAAAAAUCUAAUGCUUGAACUGGAAUUUAUGUUUGGAUUUCGAUACCUUGGGUUAAACCAUAUUAAGUUUCUCAUAAAGAUUCAAAUUCUGGAAUCCUGAUUUGUUUUCCCUCACAAUUCAUUGUCUCGGCUCUGCAAUUUGGAGAUGAAUGAGAUACAAAAUAUACAGGGAACAGUUUCUGUAAUUGUAGUUGAUGGUAAUGACGGUAUAGCAAAAAAUCAGACGAGUUCUGAAGUUGAAACAUGCAUUAAUAAUGAAGCAGCCAUAACUGACAUUCUUAUGAAACUUGAAGCUGAUGACGAGAGCAGAGUGAAGUUCUCUGACUUCACUGGCUUACAUGGUGAGUGCAUACCAGUAGGAAAAUAUAGUUUCCCACCAGCCCUACAUCCGAUUGUGAACAGCAUUAUCGAAGUCUACGGUGAUGUUUCAGCAACAAGUAAGAUGAGCCCAAGUAUUGCCGAGACCGUUUAUAUCGUGUUCUGUGCUUCUGUCAAAGAGAUGAGCAAUCUACGGCUGGAGCACGUCACAGAGGAUCUGAUAUUGAAGUGGAGGGAUGCAAUCAAAGAUGCUUUACGCAUCAAUUUCAAGGUGGAUUUCGCCAUGGAACAUUUGAAGAAAAUUGCUUGUGCAUACAUCGGUUUAAUGGAACGUCAAAAGCUGGAUAGUGCGGGUUUGAGGAUAUCCAAGUUAGAGGCUGAGUUGAGUACUGCGAAAGAGGAGCAUGCAAAGAUAUGCGAGCAGUCCAAGGUGUUUAUAGAUGCUGCAGAAGAGUUCAACGAUAAGCCUGUCAGCUCUGGUAUGUUCAAAAGACCUGGCCAGAUCAACGUUGAGCUAGAGCUAACAAAUGAACCGGAUUCGAGUACCCUAAUACUUUGAUUUGAGUAGCUAUCAAGUCCAAUCGAGUUUUUCUUGUUAAUAUAUAUUUUUUUCAUUUUUGUUUGAAACUAAAAUUUGAGUUUAAAUAAUUGAAUGAGAAUUAUGCUCAUUUUAAUAAGGUAAAUUGACCUCAAACAUUUAAAGUGAAAGUUGAUAGAGCUAGACCGAGCUUGACCAAGCUUCUAAACUCUUCUACAGCAUCCAUAAACACCUUCGACAGUUCACACAUAUUUAGUAUGCUCUUCUUUCCCAGGAUUCCACUCAGACUCAAUUGGAUAUCCUCAAAGCCAUAUUAUCCAGCUUUCGACAAUCCAUUAAACCGAUGUAAGCGCAAGCAAUUUUCUUCAAAUGUUGUAUGGUGAAAUCCACCUUGAAAUUGAUGCCUACAUCAUCCUUUGUUGCAUCCCUCCACUUCAAUAUCCGACACUCAGUGAAGCAUAGAACGUGAUAUAGAUCGCCUCGAAAAUGCUUGGGCUCAUCUUACUUGUUGCUGAAACACCUCCAUAGAAAUCAAUGAUGUCGUUUACAUUGGAUGUAGAGACGGUGGGAAACUACCGUCAACUACCACAUCGGCCUUUUAUAGUAGAAAAUUUGUGAAUAAAAACAGAGGAAGAAAUUCAUAUGUUACGAAGAAUCAGAUUUUGGUUUUGCGAUAAUCGUUCGAAAACUUGCGAUAACACCCAAGUUGUACGUUUUGUAUCUUUUGGUUGUUUUGUGUUUUUCUUGUUCACAUUGUAAAAGUCAACAAUCCCGUGAGAAGAAGUUGCACGGAAAAGUGCAACCGCUUCUUUAGUUACAAUAACCAUAAAUAUAAAUAAAUGGGUAAAUUUUAUUAUGCUUCUUUAGUAUCUUAUAGAGGUGGUAAGGGGCUGGCUAGGUUCGGGUCAGGUCAAGUAAAAAUUUAUAUUCGUUUGUUAGGUCUAGGUCUGACAUGAAAAUGAGUUUAAAAAUUUGUCCAAAUUCAGCUCGGAUAAAAAUGUUAAAACUUGAACCCAAUCUUGCCCACCCAUAUUAAUUUUUUAUAUUAUUUUAUUUUUACAUAAAUUUUAAAUAUAUAUAAUAUAUCAAAAAUAUUAAAAAUAUUAAAAUAAAUAUUUCCAAACAAAUUGAAAAUAAAUUUUAAAAAAUAUAUAUACUUAAAUAAUACUAAGAUAGAUGCAACUUAACAAGAAAAUUCUUUAAAAUAAUAACAAAAUUAAUAAUAAAACAAGUGUUAUAAAUAUCCAAACAAUAACAACAAAAUAGUAGUAAUAUAAUAGUGAAAUGGUAACAAAAUAUGGAGAAAACAAAAAAAUAUCAUUAAAAUAACAAAAAGAAAAGAUUUUUUUGGCAUUUAGUGAAUUCGGGCCAGGCUCGGGCAAAAAAUGUCUUUACCCAAGGCCUGGCCCAUUUUUAAAAUGGACCUUAUUUUUUUUGUCCAAGCCCAUUUUUCGAGCCUAUAUUUUUGUCCAAACCCUUUCAUUUUUCAGGCAGGCCUUCGGGCUGGGAGACCCAGCCCAUGAGCAAGUCUAAUAUCUUAGGGCUUUUUUUUGUCAGUUUCAAAAUAGUCACCCAACUGGUUUGUUUUCUUUUAUCUAUUUCUGUUACAUAUUUAACAGAAAGGUGAGAUGACGGUUCAAAUAUUAAUAUAAUAACAAAUUUAGUGUACAAUAUUACAUAUUAUGUCAAUUUAGUCAUAAAUUAAAAUAAUUAACUCUUAACGUUUACAUAUUAUGUUAAUUUGAUCCUAAUUCUAAAAAGUUAAAAAAGAAAUUAUAAAUAUACAUAAAUAUUUAAAAUAUAUAAUAAAUUUAAAAAUAUAUAAAUAAUAAAGUCAAGAUCAAGAAAAAAAAACUUGGAGAAGAAGUAUGAACAAAGUCGAAUUCCAAGUUUUUAUAGAUUUCUUCAUCAAGUUCUCUUUUGUAGAUUUUAAAAUAAAGAGCAAAUCUUAUAAAAAUAUGAUAUUUGACUUUAUUCAUACUUUCUCUCCAAGUUUGCUUUUUUAGAUCUUGAUUUUAUUUGAUAUAUAUUUUUAAAUUUAUUAUAAUUUUUGAAAAUACAUAUGUGUGAUUAGAGUUAUGAUCAAAUUGAAAUAAUUUAUAAUGUUGAGGGUUGUUUUUUAAAAGUUGUGAUCAAAUUGGCAUAAAAUGAAAAAAUUUCAAGGUUAAUUUUAUUAUUAUAUUACCUUUUGAACUGUCAUCUCACCCUUCUAUCAAACACUUAAAUAAAAAAAAUAAAAAACUUGAUUAGUUGGGUCACCCUCAUAUCACCCUUCUAUCAAUUUUGGAAAAUUAGAGUAAAUUAAUUUUAGGAAAAUGAUUUCAAUGAUUUUCUAAAAUAUUGGUAUUUUCCAAUAUUUGGAUUAUUCAACCUAAAAUAUAUUUAGCUGUUUGGUAAAUUUUGUCAGAAUAGUGAAACAAAUACAAUAAUAAUAAUGCAUUUAAUUAACAUAUUUUUAUUAAUUAUUUUAAUUAAUUUGGAUAUAUAUUUUAAUUAAUUUCACACUUAGUUAAUUAUUUUCUUUGUCGAUACAGUUAUUAUCUAAUGUGUCAAUAAACAAGUGGAUAUGUGAUUUGCACAAUAAAUUUGACACAAGAAUUCGAAUUGACGCGCGAAACAAAUACUUUAAAAUUAUUUUAUUAUUAUCUCUUUUUAUUUUAGGAUUUUAUAUAAUGUAUAAUUACCGGGCAGCACAUGACAACCAACCCUUAUACUUACUAGCAGGGUCGGAGUCAAACAGGUUGAUAAAGUUCCCAUCCUCCUAAAAUUAAUAUAUGAUAAAAUUAUAUUUUAACUCUUAAAAAAAACUUUUUAAAAAUUAUAAAAAUAUAAAAUAUCAAAAUAUAAAAUUUUUAUUUAUAUCAUUAUAAAACCAUAUAAUUUAAUUCCAAUCUCCUUUAAAAAAAUUUUGACUUCGCACCUUCUUGUUAAGUUUUAUCUUAUUAUGAGUAUUAAAUAUAUAGUUAUAGUAAGCAGGGGAGGCAGGAGCACAACAACCCUUCCUUUAUAUUCACAUUCACUUGCGCAUGAACUAGAAACCACUGUUGCGCUAUUUUUAUUUCAUUUAAUUUGAAUACAAUUCAUCCCUUUCUUUUAUUAUCGUUCUUCAAUUUUUUGAUUUAGUUUUUAUUAAAUCUAUUCUUGAGUUGGGUCAAAUCAUGUUUGAGUCGAGUCAGGAUAAGAUUUUAAAUUCGACUAAUAAGACUAACCCGACACAAUCCAAAAAAUAGAUUUAGAUUUUCUUUCUCAAACUUGGCCCAAAAUAAAGUUAUUAAGCUUAGGCCUAACCCAUAUUAUUUUUUAAAAAUAUUUUAUUAUAUGAAACAAAUUUUAAAAUAUAUAAUAUAUCAAAUUUGAAUUUUUUUUUUCACCGGGACAUUUUCAACAAAUAUUAAACAUCAUUCUAAUAAAAAUAAAGGAUAAGCAUUUAAAAAAAAAAAGAAGAAAAGAAGAAAAGUAAAAAAACAUAUUAAUAUAAGAGCACAAGACAAAGAAGCAAAAUUGUCAGGUAAAUUAGACCUUUCAUUUCAUCAUAUAAAUGCAGCCUGGCAUAGACAAAAAUUCAUACUCAGAAACCAGAACCAACUUGAAAUCGCACAUGCAUGUAAGCAUAUUGGAUAUAAAGUUUGGUGUAAUAUCCUAAUUUUCCUCGGCCCAACACAAAUAAAUAAACUUAAAUAAAUAAAAAAAUUCAAAACAAAAAUAAACAAAAAUUCUAUUAGCAGUCCAAGUUACAAUCCCAAUAAUAAAGUCAAUUUACAAAACCCUAACCUAAUACCCAAUAAUCCAAAGCCCACAACUUAAAUUUUUUCAAAAAAUAAAAAAAAACCCUAGAUUUGUUGAAAGGCCGCGUCGGAGGAAGACCAAAAAUCGAAAGGUCCCUUUGGUAUUUUCGAAUCUUGACCAGAUUUUUAGGGAUUUCAACCCUAGAUCUUGGUUCUCUGUGAGACGGAGAUGAAAAAGGUUUUUUUGACAACUUCGGCCAUCGGAGGCGAUGGUCACUGUCACCGUUGUCGAUGGCCAGUGGCCACAGCGGGGCGACGAUAGCCUUAUGGCCGGACCCAGGGAGUUGUUUCUGUAACAGCCCAUUUUCAGUUAAAUCGGAACAGUGGUAACGUGACCAAAAAUUUGAAUUCAAAAAAAUUUAUUAUUAUUAUAUGGUCUACAGUAUGAUAGAAAUACUGUGUAAAAAUUUCAUUAAGAAAUUUUACCAUUUACAUACCUAAUUUAAUGUAAAGGACUAAAUUGCAUUAAGGGCAAAAGCUGAGUUCUAAUAGCUAAAGGUAUUAAAUAGCUAUAGAAUUUGAAAUUAGAGGUCCUUAUAUAGUAAACAGACCAUUAAAGUGCUUAGUGGUUAAGCAUGAGUAGUCAUCACUGGAAAUUGAAUAAAUUAUUAAGGGUAAUUUUAGAAAUUAUCAAUUAAAGUUAUAAUAAAUAAAAUAAAAUAAUCUAUUAUUAUCAUCUACCACCAAAAAAAACAGAAGAAGAGAAAACCUAACCAUAGAAGCUUGAGAUAUUAGCAAGCUUAUUUUGCUCAAUUAGGUAUGUAUUGUUGUCUCGUUUUUAAUGAUUUAUAUGUUUUCGAUAUCGUAGUAGCUUAAUUUAGCUAGCUCAGGAUUAAUUUGCAAGAUUGUUAAAGUAUUAUGAUAGAAAAUGAAAGGUUGUUGUUAGAUAAAUAACUUUUGUAAAGAGAAUUUUGAUGAAAUUAUCAAUGAGGGAUUAAAUUGAAAAAGAUGAUAAAUUUAUGGUUAAAUUGUGAAAUUGUGAAUUAUGUGGGCUGUUAUUAAUAUGUAAAAAAAUUGACUAGGCUUGAGUAAGGAUUAAAUUGCAUAAAAGUCAAUUUUCGAGCCUAGGGACUAAUUUGCAAUAAAUUAAAAGUAUAGGGGCAAAAUAGUAAUUUCCCAAAAAUAUGUGUUGGACUAAAUUGAAUAUGAAUUAUAUUGAAUUGAGUUAAACUCAUUUGUAUAGAUCCGGUUAGACCUAGUACGGAGUUAGAUCGAGGCAAAGGAAAAAUAUCAGAUUAGUCACCUUCGUAUCUACUUACAUUUAUCGAGGUAAGUUCGUAUAAUUAAAUUGAGUAUGUAUAUGUAUUAAUUGAAUUAUAUGUAUGUGAAUUGUAUAAUUACCAUGUAUAAAUACCGAUCACAUAUCCGAUGAUUAUCGAGUCCCGUUUGAACCGUAUGAAAUUCGUAGGAUAGAAAUGACAUGUCAUUAGGGUUACCGAUUUGGUUGGGGUCCUGCAUGUGUUGCAGACACACCAAAGCUCUUAUGAGCUUUGUGAUACCCAGCAUGCAUGAGCUUCCCAUUAUUCAACUCCCAUGAGCUUCCUAUUAUUCAACUCGGAGGAGCUUCCCAUUUACUGCUCUUAUGAGCAUACAUGUACAUGAAUUGACAGAUUACAGUUUAGUACACUUUGUGUGUACUACUCGUGUAUCCAACGAUAUUUUAAAUGGUUCAAUGGGCAUAGUUCUGUUACGAGAUUUUAUGAGUUUGAUAUGAACUAUUAUUGGUAUUAAUAUAAAAAACAUGAAAUGUGAUUAUUUGAUGAAUUCAACCAUGUGUGUUGGACCUUAUAAGUGAUUUUCAUGGCUAAUAUGUUGGUGAUCAUGUAUUUAGGCUUUUGGCCAAAUUGAUUGAGAUAUGCUAUGUUUACUUACCAUAUUUUAUGGAAAUAUGGUAAGUUAAAUUUUGUAUUAUAUGAACUUACCAAGCUUAAAUGCUUACUCUGUGUUAUUUUUCAUGUUUUAUAGUAAUUCAGCGUACGAGUUAGAAGCUGGUCAGAGCUAUUUCACACUAUCCAUCAGUCCUUUUAGUAUUUUCAGUAAAUUAAUUUUGGUUAUAAUGACAUGUAUAGGUUAUUUUGACCAAUGUUGGCAUAUAAAUGUUUUAUGGAAACUAGUUACUUGAAUGACUUGUGUUUGGUAUAUUUUGAUGCAUAUAUAUAUAUAUAUAAGUGACUUUAUCAUGUUUGAUGUGUGAGUGAUAUGGUAGAAUGAAAGAAAGUAAAAUGUGGUUUGAAUAUGCAUACAUGAAUUUGGUCAUUUAGGUAAAUUGAGAUACUUGUUGAAAUGUCUUUAAGUUUUCAAUUGAGGUGCCUAAGGGCAUAUUAGUUGUAUGUGGUAAUAUUUCAUGUUUAAGAAUUGAUUUUGGAUUAUGUUGAAUGCCUUGUUAUGGCUUGUUGAUAUGUAAAGUGUUGUGUUUAGGUUGAUGUCAAUUUGGGUGAGAAAUGUGGCUUGGAAAAUGACCUAUUUUCGUCCACACGGGUAGAGACACGAGCAUGUGUCUCAACUGUUUGUCCCCUGUAUCUUUUAAUUGAGCAAGUUAGUAUUCUCACACGGCCUAGCACACGGGCGUGUGGCUUGGCUGUGUGACCCAAGUCAGACAGUUACACGGGUACGGACACGGGCUGGACACGGCCGUGUAUCCCUAUUUCGAAUGCCUACAUGGCUUGAGACACGGGCGUGUCUCCUGAUUGUGUGAGUCAUAAGGCCGUGUGUCCCCUACAACUUUAAAAAUUUUUAAUGUUUUCGAAAAAUUCUUUGAGUAUCUGAUCUAGUCCCGACUUGUUAUUAACGUGUAUUUUGGGCCCCAAGGGCUCGUAUAAGGGACAAUAUGUAUGAUUUCGAUUGAUUUUUGACAUGAAUGUUAUACGAUAUGAAAUAUCUACUUAUUUGAUCUGUAAACUUUGGUAAUGCUCGGUAACCCUGUUCUGACGAUGAAUACAUGUUAGGGGUGUUACAUUUAUAGAGAAAAAAAACCGAAAGAAGAGGUUUUUUUUAAAACACAGGAGAAGUGAUAUUUUUUCAACAAAUUUUGGCUUAUGGGGGCCUUGGUGUGACUUCGUUUUGGAUUGGCAUUAGAAGCUCCAAAACGGCAUCGUUUUGAAGCCUGACUGCUGACCCGAUCUAGAUCCCCUAGGAGCCGCAUGUUUUCGUGACAAAGUUCUAAUUGCUGACCUAGUCCUUCCGCUUUUUAAACGUUUUUCAACACAGUCCUAUUUCUGGUCUUUUUUCUUUUUCUUUUUAAAUUAUACCACUCAAUUUUGGAUUUUUUUUAUUUUGGUCCUUUGGACCUUGGUCUCUCCGGAAAAUGGUGUGUGUAAUGAGGUUGGGAAUAAUUUCCCAUUUGGUCACUGUUCCUUUUCGCGUUUUACAUUUAGUCCUUUAUUUUGCUUUAUUUAUUCAUUUGUUUAUUUGAUAUAAUUCAUUAUUUAAAUUUCAUCUAAAUUUCAAUUUAAUCAAUCAUUUAUUUAACUUCACACUUUUAAUUACUAUUUUUUUUAAAUUUUGGCACUUAAAAUUUAUGUUGUUUGGAUCUUUUUUUAAUUUUUUAUUUAUAUAUUUUUUGGUGGUUAUUACAUAUUUUUAUUUAUUUAUUUAUUUUGGUAUUAUGAUAAUGAUAUGACUAUUGCUAUUAGUAUUAUGAAUUAAUAUCUUAUUUAUUAUUAUGGUUGCAUUAUUAUUAUGGUAUUUAUUUAUUUAUUAUUUAUCCUUUUAAUAUAGAUGUUUUACCCACAUGAUUGUUUUAUGUUAUUUAGCUAUCACUAUAUCAUGUGUCAUGUUAAAUAUAUUUGUCCAUUUUCAUACUAUGCGCAAAUAAAUUAACUGCACAUCACUUUAAAUGUUAUUUUCGUUUUUACUCGAUGCAUAAAAAAGGAAACUUAAAAAAAAUGAGGCAAUGUUCAUUGUUUAGGGAUUCAAGAAAUAGUGCCCUAACUUACGGGGUACGACUUUCUCCUUGAACCAAGAUAAAUGAGCAUCCUUUUUAAAUUCAAGACAUAUAAGAUUUGAGUAAUGAUCAAAUGGUGAUUAUUCUUGUUUUCGAAGAUUUGAAGCAUCGUGUUCUAACUUACGGGGCAUGAUAUUUUCUUCUCGAUUAAUUUGAAAUAAGACCUUUUUUGUGAAAAUUAAUUUAGUUAAUCGAUAUUUUAAUUAAAAAAAACAUCAUGCAAAGAUAAAUUCUAUUUUAAAUUUUCUUUUAAAUUUUAAAUUUUCGACAUCAAAACAUCAAGUAACCAACUAGGUACCAAUUUUGAGGGUUAUGAGGGUGCUAAUCCUUCCUCAUACGUAAUCGACUCCCGAAACCAUAUUCUUGGAUUUUGUAGGCUAAAAAUUAUCGUUUUAGUAAAAUCUAAUCUUUUAUUAAGAUGAUUAAAUUUUGAGGUGACCCGAUUACAACUAAUAAAAAGGAUAGGUGGCAACUCCAUUUUCGUUUUUAAAAUAAAAAUUGAUUUAAAAAAGGUUUCAAGUAACGUUAAAUUAGCCGCUGCAAACUGCUACUAAAACUACAAAAAAGAAAAAUAAAAAGAACACUCAUAAUUUCUAAAAAACACUCAGCAAAUCUUUAAAUUAAUUAGCAACUACCAUUUAAACCAUCUACCACUUAAUCAAGCAGAUCAACCACUAACCAAACAAACUGUAAUUUAUAAAGUCCAAUCUAACAACCAAAACUUUAAAUCCGGUUUUCUUUUAUUAUAAUUUCUGACAAAUCACUCAACAAAUCCGUAAAUUAAUUACCGUUACUCAUCUGCUUAAAUGUCAAUCUAAAGCUACAAUUAGUAUCAAAGACGAAGAGAAAAAUCAAAGAAAAUACAAAAAAGAAGUAUAGAAUAAAAGAAAAUAUAACCUAAAAAUAGUCGCUGAUGAAAUGAAGAAGCACUUGGACUUCGAUCAGUCCAAUAAAAGAGUGGAGCCAGCGAAUGAUGCGAAGAUUAUGAAAACUUGAAGGGUGCCUAGCGUAUGAUGAAAGUGAAAGUGAAAGUGAAAGUGAAAGUGAGAAAUUAGGGAUUUAGUUUUAGAAAUUGUUUUUGUUUGAAAGAAGGAACAUUGUUUGGAGUAUUGGACAGAGGGAAAAACAAAGAGGAAGCCUUAUUUUCAAACAAGUAACAUGGUUUUCCAAUUUCAAAGCCCAAUCCAAUAAAUUCUUAAUUUGCUAAAAAUAUGAUUUAUUAGUACCGUUGGGGUUAGAUUGGGCCCAGGUUGAAAAAAACUUACUCGAGGCUUGACUCGUUUAGAAAACAGGCCUCAAUUUUUUAUCCAAUCCCAUUUUUCAGGCUUAUAUUUUUGUCCAAAUCCUCCCACAUUUCAAGCGAGUUUGGUCGAGCAGCCCGACCCUUGGACAAGUCUGUUUUUUAUCUGCGCUAAUUUUUUAUCUAGUCUUUGAAACUAUGAGACUCGAAACCAUAUCUAAAAUUUUUCAUUCUUAUAUUUAUUAUUUUUUUGGGUUAAAGAAAUAGACACUAUCGUCUCAUAAAAUCAUACUGGCAUAAAAUCAAAAAAGAUUCGUUGAUUGGGUGUUGUGUGGUGUCUAGUUGGCAGAACCAAUACGGUUGAUUGCUAUAUUCAGUUUACUAAGAAAUACAUUGACGUGUUCAAUUUAGUGGUUGGUUGGACCCGUCAAAGAAAAUAACAAUCGGGUUUAAAUGACUUGCGCGGUUGAGGCCAUUUAUCUGAGUUGGGCCCUUCUGGUUCGCGAGGCUAUUGAAAAGUUAAAUCAUGGAUAUGUGUUUCAUGGUUUGUUUGGUAAGGGUUAAUCAUCGGACGUUCUCAUAUUUAUUUUAUACACGGAAGGGUUGGUGGCCUAAGGCGUCCUCGAUCACUAUAAUUGACUUAUCGAUUGGAGGAGAAAAUUCUUUGCCAAGAACUAGUUUGAAGUCAAAGUUUGAAGCUAGAGCGUCGUCACAUCGGUUUAUUUAAUUUUAAUUUUGUUUUAGUUUAUUUUACUCUAAUUUCAAUUUCAAUUUGUUUCUAUUACUUUUAUUUUUAAUCGGAUUUAAUCUUCCCUUUUAUUUUAGUAUAGGUUGACACACGUUGUGGACACGACAAUUGCUUGACUGCGUAACAUGGUUAAACCAAAAGUCAAAUUUCGAUACCUCAACACUAUGGGAUCAACCCUGCCACUUAUACUAUUUAGGUGUAGGAAUAUUAUUUUUGGUAGAUUCGACAUCCAUCAAAUUUUGGCAUCGUUCCAAAGGAUUGCUACUAACUAAUUUUGUGUUUUCCUUUUUACGGGCCUAGACGUACAGAUUGCUCAAGCACAAUCUAGAUGUAGAGCGUAAGAGGUAAAUGUAUCUUCAUGGAAAGUACACUUACAACAUGUUUGGUUGGGGGGACUAGGAAUGGUUUACAUCUUAAUUUGGUAGGCCCAUCACCAAACUAAUGUUUGGUUGACUGUAAUGGCCUAUUACGACUUGUGCUGAAUAGGGCUCUAUUCUGGGAAAAGGCUACAUAGUCAUUCCUUUCCCUUACCGUUAAAUAGGUAUUCAACUCGGUGGAUUAGGAAGAUUUUUCCCAUUUUCAAUUUUUUCCUCACCUUUACCCGGAGGAUAAAAACCAUGUAAUUGGAACCAUCAUCGUUCUCCCUCGGUCUCAUUGGUAACUUCCUUUCAUUUCCAUUUCUACUAAGGAUAUUGGUACUCUUUUUUAAAUGCUUCCCUUUUUUUUCCUUUGGUUGUAGAGGAAACCUACGUCAGUCAAUUGAAGCUAUCAUCCUUCGCUCUUUUUUCUUUUUCUUUUCCUAAGUUUAUAUUAUCUUGAAGCUAUCAGGUCCUCCUAAUUUUGAAAAAAGGGUAAGUUUUUUAAUGAUAUGUUUUCUAAACCCAAAAAUUAGGGCCUCGAGUUGCAUAUUCAACUAUGUUUCUUAUGUUUAGUGCAGGCAGUGAAAGAUCCUAAUUCUUCAAUUCUUUUGUUAUAAGAUUUUUAUGCAGAAUUUUAUAUUAUGAUUUGUAGCAUGUAAACUAUUGUAAUAUAACCCCUAGGCUUGAGAGUUAACUACAUUGGAUUGAGGGAGCAUAAGUUUGCUUUCUUUGUAUCUUAAUUGUAUUUUAUUUGUUAUUAGUCAAUUUUCAAAUAGGAACCUAGUUUCAGUUAACUUAUGAUUGUCAAAACCAUUUUUUUAUUUGAAAACAGAAAUCGACUUUUAAGAAUAAAAAUGGGAGUCAUGACCGAUCUUUUAUUGGGGUGUGAUCGGAUCACCUUGAAAACGAUUUUAGGUCUACAAAUUUUGAGAAAAUAGGUUCGGGAGUCGGUUACGCACGAGGAAGGGUUAACACCCUCGCCACGCCCAAAAAUUGAUACCGAAUUGAUUGCUUAAUGUCUUAGUGUUGAAAAUUUGAAAAGAUUUUAAAAUACGAUCCUUUGAAAAGAAAACUUGAAUAAUCGAAUUGGAUGAUAAGACAUACCCAUUUCAAAGAAAUAAAUUGUCAAGUUAGGGUGCAACAGUCCAAUCUUCGAAAUUAAGUUUGUCUUUUUAAAAUUUAAAAUUCAUGCUUUUUAUGAAGGAUAUUUGGUUAUUUGGGUCAAAUAAGAAAUUAGAAUCCAGUAAGUUAGGGUUCAAUUUCUCGAAAUUCCUAAACAUCGAAUAUUGCCUUUAUUUUAAAAUCCUUAACUCGAGAUAACAAAAUGUCAUAUCCAGUGAGUUAGGAUUCAACAUUUUGAAAUCCCAAAAAACUUUAUUUAGAAAUUUGUAUGGUUUUAUUGCAAAAGAAAUACUUGGCUAUCUAAAUUCAUCGAAAAAAAUUGAAGCUCGGUAAGUUAGGGCACAAUCCUCUCGAGAAUCGCAAAUACCGAGUAUUUUGACAAUUAACAAAAUAAGAUGAUUUUAAUGUUUUUAAUGAAACACGGUUUCUUUUAAAAAUGUAGUGUGAUUAAGCGGCAACAUACCACACAAAAUUUGAAUAUAAGAUGUACAUCAAUGAGUAAUGAACAAUAAAUAAAUAUAAACAAAUAGAAUAACAAUAAUUUCAAUCAUACAUUAUGCAAAUAUCAACAUCAACAUUAACCUAGAAGAAAAAUAAAAUGUAACUUAUAAAAACAAAAAAAAUGAGAGAAAGGAAAUUUGGAAUUAAUAAAGUAUGUACACAAAAUUAUACAUAAAAAAAUUAAAAAAAUAAGUAAUUAAUGUGAAGAUUUGAAACAAUUUAAUAAUAGAACUAAAAAUGAAAAAAAAAUGUUUAAAUGAAUUUUUAAGAAAGAAUUAUAAAACGAAAAUAAAAAUGAAUAAAUCUUAAAAUUAAUAUACAUAUUUUAAUCUAAAUGAGUAAAAACUUAAUGUAAACAAUAAUAUACAUUUAAUAAUAAUAUGUGUAAAAAUCGAAAUAAGUAAAACAUAAUAGAAAAUUUAAAAGAAAUAAAGUAUUUAUGUAUAGAAAAUAGGUAAAAAUUUAUAAUUUGAAAUUAAUAAUAUAUUUUUUAUAUAUACAUAUGUAUAUUAAUCACCGUGCUUAAGGGCUAAGAUAACCCUAAAAACCAAAAACCUUUCACUAAAAACCUAAACUAAACACUAUUUGCGCCGCUCUGUGAAUUAUCCAAUCAAGGAUUCUCCGAACCUCGCCCAAACUCCGAUGACGAAGGAGAGAGCAAGGAUUCGGCCACAAGGUCACUUCUCUGCUUUCUAAUAUUUAUUUUUAUAUUCUUUUAUUCAAAAAUGAAUCAAACAAACAUAGAAAAGAUAACCGAAAGAAAAAACAAAAAACAAAAAGAAAAAAGAAGAAGCAAAGGAAAGAUUUAAAAUCACCUUUAGAACUCUCUUUCUCUGAAUCUUUUGUUUUGAUUUCUUAAAUUGUGUAUGCAUAAAAAUUUACAGUAUUCCAGUGGCUCUUUUAUAGUCAGAUUUACAGAAAAAAUAAAACAAAAUAAAUAAAAUGAAAUUCCCUCAAAUUACAUCUGUUAUUCUGUUACUGCUGGCUUUCGUGUGUAUUUGCAGGUAUUCGGCCAGCCUCAAACAACAGACGGAGACACACCCAUGUGAGGAAGAUGCACGCGCCUGAUGGUGAUACACGCGCGAAGUCUGGGUCCAACCGCUGUGGCGCCGGUGAAACCCUAGAAGCUUCUGGGGUACUCCCCUGGUUCAGACUGAGUUCUGGGCCUGGGAGAUUCGGGUUUAGAAAAUUGGGUUUGGGGUCUAUUAGUAAUUUGGGCUAUUUUUAUAUUGGACUUUUAAUUUUAUUUUUCUGGUAUUUACUGGGCCAGUAAUGUAAUUGGACCUUAUUAUUAUUUUUUAUUUGGCUUGGUUUUUUUUGAAAUGUAUGUGGGCCGGGCAAAUUUGGGUUAUUACAAUGAUCAUCAUAACAAACCUUGUAUUUGACUUUUUGUUGAGGGAUAUCAACUCAUUUGGGAGAAGUCUUUUGAGUGUUGUCUACCAGACAACCGAUGUUGCCCUCAACAACUAAAGGUAUUGUCCCCAUGUCAAGAUUUUAACCCAGCCUCUGUAGAAUAAUUAUGGAGAAUAUGUGCAUAGGGAUUCAAACCACCAACCAAUGCAUAUGUAUCCUUUACUUGUAGAAUCAAGAUGUAAUAGCCCAUUUUUAGUAGUUUUAGAACUCCUUUUUUCGAUAAUCAAUUCAGUAAAUAAUAUUUAUUAAUAUUUACGAGUCUAUUAUAGUGUUAUAUUAAUUUUUGGUCUGGUAAUUUUGAUGAACGAUUAGUAAUUAAGGUACAAGGACUAAACCGUAAAAAACAUAAAAGUUGAUAGCUAUUGAAUUUUAUUAGUUAAAAGAAUUAAAUAGAAAUUGUUCAAGGGUUUAAGUGGUAAUUAGGCCAUUUUUUUAUAGUGGUGGACAAUUGAUGUUUUGUUUUAAGUAAUUAAUGUUAAAAAUUAUAAUGAAAUUGUGUUAUAUGUUAUAAGAAAAAUAAAACAACAGUGAUCAUCCGCUUUAGUUUCUUCCUUCUUCAACCAUGAGCACCAAAGAGAACUUCAGAAACCAUUUUUUUUACAUCAAUCUUGUUCGAUCCUCUUGCAUCAUAUGUUAACUAAGUCAUUUUCUUAUAAUUUUUAUGUUUUGAGAUCCCGGGGAGCUUGAUUUAAUUAACUCAAGUACUAAUUCACAAAGUUGUAAAGUUUUGAAAUGUUGUCAUUGAUGAUUAUUAAGCUUUUGGUAUUAAUUGGUUGAAUGUUAAGCUUAGAUGUUAAAUAUGACUAUUUUGUAAUGAGAAAAUUACUAGUUUUGAGUAUACGGACUAAAGUGUAAAUAUUUUGAAAUUGACAUGAAAUUUAUAUAAUUAUUGAUUCUAGAGGGUUAUAGAAUGAUGAAAUUGAAAUCCGAUUGAAAAAUGAAGCUUGAAUAUGAAAGUUAUGGUUAUUUUGGUUUUAGGGACUAAAAUGAAUAAAAUGUAAAAAAAUUAGUGAAUUUGUGAAAAUUAAAAUUUAAGUGUCAUAUGUAUAGAAUACGGUGUUGUAAGGUAAUUGGAACUGAUAAAUUGAAAUGAAUUACAAUAUAGUUUAAGAUUUGAAUUGACCAGAAGUUAGUCGAGGAAAAAGGAAAAUUGUAGAUUAGGCCCUGACACUUCGCUUACUAUCGUUUUUUCCAGGUAAGUUUAUAUGGUAUACUUAUAUUUAAUUGUUAUAGAUAAUUGAAUUAUAAAUUGUGUAUGUGUGUAUGUAAUUUGAGUUGCUUUUAUGUUGAUGUAUGAUUGCACUCUAAUGCCCCUGAUUGCACUCUGGUGCCCUUGAUUGCAUUUUUGUGCCUCUAUAUGCACUUUGGUGUCCCUGUUUGUAUUACAAUGAUCGUCAAGAAAUGAACAGAGUUUGAGCGAUGAGUUCAAAUGGGAUAAUAUGAACAUGUCCAUGGUUGAAUGUGGAAUUGAUUUUGGUGUGGUACUAAAGCGUUAAAUUAUAAUAGAGUUUCUUGUACACUGAAUUAGCAUAUGGAAGGAUUGUGUGAACUCAUCUUGAGGAAAUUGUACUACCAUGGUUAGGUUUAAUUGGCAACUUGGUUAAGUAAUUACUUAUAGGUUUUAAAUGAGGCAAGCUAAUCAUUCUAUGCUUAUGAACUUGCUAAGUAUUUUAAAAUGCUUACUUUGUCUUGUUUUCCUAUCUUUUAGUUGCCUUUUGCGGAACGCAACAAUGGAUAAACUUGGAGCUCACACAAUCUAGUCUUUAAUUUGUGGAAUAUUACAUAACCCAAAUGGCAUUACUCUCCAUUGAUAAUGUCCAUUAGGAGCACUAAAGGCUAUUAAGGGUUUAGAUUUAUUGGUUAGCAUGAUUUGCCAAAAACUCUAUUUACAAUCAAACUUACUAAAGUAUUUAGCUUAUUUAGCCUGAUUAAUCAAAACAUCUUUUCUUGGAAUAAAAUAUCCAUCAAAAAAUAAUAUUUUGAUUUAACCUUUUAUAAUUAAUUACCAUCCUAACUUUUCCUCUUUUUAUUUCGGCAUGGUUUCUUACCAUAAAAGCGGGACUAGAAUGUGGACUAUUAGUUUUUUCUAUUAAUCCCUUUUCUAAUAGUUCAUUUAUUUGAACUUCAAAUUCAUCUAUAUCUUGUUUAGUAUGGAUCAUAGGUUUAACUCUGAUAAUUUUAUUGGGAUUUUCUAAUUUAAUAUCACAGUGUCUAAGACUAUUAUUCCAUAAUUUUAAUGGUUCUUCACUAAAAUUAUCUUCAAGAAUUUUAAACAACCAAUGAUUUGUUUCUAGUUGUUUAAUUUGUUCCUUUCUAGUUGGUGUAAAGUUUUUAUCACACACAAACUUAUGAUUUUCUACAACUGGUAUUUCCACUGAAGACUUUUCUACAGAUAAAAUAAUUAAAUUUCUAUCUAUAGAAAAUGGUAGAUGCUGAUAUAUAAAAUUAUUUCCUAAUAAUAUAUCUCCAUGCAUCACAGGAAAACAUAAUAUUUUUGGAAUCACAAAUCUUACAUUGUUCAUGUAGAUUGAUAUAUUUCUAGCCUUAUAUUGAAUUAUGGUUUCGUUACCAUCUAUUCCUAUUGCAUUUAUAAGAUUUUUCAUUAAUUCACAUUUUUCUACAGGAAUGACAUUUUUUUGACAACUACUGGUUGUAGCUCCUAUAUCUAAUAAAGCAUGUAAAGAAUAUUUUUUAUAUUCUUUAAACUGAAAUGUAAUUUUAAUAUAUGUAUAAUAUUUCCUUGAUUGAAAAUUUGAAAAGGUAAUUACAUCAUCUUUUCUAACUUUAUUUGUUGAAUAAUUGUUUGUAGUUUUUUCAUUCUAGUGUUUCUAGAAUUUUCCAACACAAAUAUAUAAUCUUUAUUAUUAUCAAAAUUUUUUUCUGAUAGUAUUUUACUAGGAUUUGUUUCCUUUUUAUAACAUAUUUUUAAAUCUUGUUUUUCAAGACUUUUGAUCCUUUUUCUAGCUUCUUUUCUUUUGUUAGAAAAGUUUUUGACUAUAUGAUCUUUCUUAACACCUAAAAAGCAUUUAUAACUUAGUUUUUUAAGUUUUCUAGAAGUUUUUCCUCUAAAAAGACUUUUUGCUACCAGAAAACUUAUUAUUUCUUAAUUUCCCUUUAACUAAUUUAUAAUGUUUUUUCUUUUUAUGCCUAUGAUGUUCAAAGGCGUCCAGAGGCAGACAAAAAAGUUUUGCAAUGUGGAAGCAACCAUCAAAUCCAUGAUGGGAAAAGACGGUGAAACGUGGAAGCAACCAUGAUCACACAAGAAACAUGACAAAUGCGACGUGGAAGCAACCACAUCCAUUCAAGAAGGGAUCCUUAUCAGAAUCACUGUUCAAGAUUCAAAAUACAAUUGUAUAGAAUUUUUGAAAUUGGACUAUAAAUAAAGAUAGGCUAUCAAUUGUAGAGGCAUCUUGAAAAUAUCGUAUAGUUUUCCCUUUUAUAUUUUCUCUUCUGUAAACACUUUCCUUUUGUAAAUUAAAAGAGUAUAUAACCUUCCACACAUAGCAUGCACUCUACCACCCUUCCCCCUAUUGGUAUCAGAGGUGCCGGUGUAAAUAUUUUUUGGAGAAAUAAUAUCGUAGUAUUCAUUGUAAGUCUUUAUCUUUGAUUUACAGUUCUGUUUGUUUCAUGUUUAUUUGACUCAAAACCCAUAUAUCUAUUAUUCUGUCUUUCUAUUGCCGUUGAGUCUAGGGAGGACGUUUAGGCCUUUGAGAGAAGACGUUUAAGAUAAUAGACGGUUUUAGGUACCAGGGACAAAUAAAAUGGAGCCGAUAGAGUGUUUAUAUAAAGAUAAAACUUGUAAUCAUACUAUGAUCUGUUGAAAGGCAAAUCAUGAUCAUGUGUGCAAUUUGAAUUAUGGUAUCUUGGUUCAUGAAUGUGACUUGGAUUUUUAAUGUAUAUAUGUCAUAUACCUAUAUGUAUUUACUGGUUAGUAAUGCUUGAUGAAAGACACAUUUGUUUAACUAGAUUGGCAUUGUUAUGCUUGUAUACUUGGUGAAUGUAUUUAGGCCUUAUUAGAUACAUGAGAUUACUUGAAUAUGCGAACCUCAUUGCAUUGAAUAUGCCAGCUGUCAUUGUAUUGAAUGUGUGAAUUUUCAAUGUAUUACAUAUGUGAACUAUCACUGUAUUUUUCUGCGUGAACUGCAUUUGUAACGCGUGAGUUAAUUAUCCACUCAAAGUAUGAGUAACCAACCCAUAAUAUAGUUAUAAGCGAACUCUAUAUAAAUGGUUUUGAGGUGAACUGUGACAAUGUGUGAAUUGUGUUUAUAUGCGAACUGAGUUAUAUGUGAACUGUGUGUAUAUGCGAACUGGGUUACAUGCAAAUUGUGUUUAUAUGUGAAUUGUGUUUAUAUGCAAACUAUGUUUAUAUGUAAGUUGUGUUUUAUGCGAACUAAGUUAUAUGCGAACUGUGUUUAUAUGUGAAUUGAGUUAUAUGCAAAUAGUGUUUAUAUGCAAAUUGUGUUUAUAUGUUAUCUGUGUCAACGUGUGGACCGUGUAAAUGUGAGAUCUGUAAUUGUAACUUAAUAUGUGAACUGGUUCAUUAAAAUUAUGUGUGAACUGACUUUGUAUGGCUUGUAUCAUAUACAUGCUCUUUGUAAAGUAAUUACGUGCGAGCUCUUUGUAAAGUGACUAAGUGCGAGCUAGUCUAUAAAGUAGUAAAAUGUGUGUUAUGUAAUCUAUGACUUGUAUUGACAUGCGAACUAUGUUAAUACAUGAGCUGCGUCAACUUGUGUGCAGUAGCAAAAGUACAAGCUAUACUGUGAUAGUAGUUAUAGCUCAGGUUCAGUGAUUGGACCAGGCGAGGGGUGUUAAACAAUAGACAAAAUCUCAACACGAAAAUAAUACCAUUUUUUGAGAGUCCGUCAACACAAUAAAUGAAAUUUAAAUGCAUACUUUUUUCAAUGAAAGUAAAUAUCAUAUUAAUUAAAGAAAAGCAACUAAAAAUCCAAUAAUAAAAUCCUUAGCAAAAGAUUGAAACACAAUUAUAUUGUAAAUGAAGUAAGAAACUAAGAAAAUCCAAUCUAAUAAAGAAAAUAACUUGAUGCCCCAAAGCUACCAUAAAACUAAAUCAUGGUAAGGCCUGCUGCUCGUUUUAUUGGUUUCCAUCUUUAUUUUGCAAAGGAAGUUUGAAUUUCGAAUAGAGCCUAGUACAUGGGAGCAAAAGAAAGAAAAUUAGUAUAUUAAUUUCCACGAUUUUUAAAACAAACUUCAUGGAAACGAAUAUUGACAUAUUAGAUAUCUAUGAUUAUAAUGCUAAAAUAGAUUAAAAUUAUUAAAUUAAUGGUAAAAUUUAGAGUGAAUUAAUAACCACAAGCGUACUCGUUACUCACCAUAUUUGUUAAACAUGUUUGAUGUUGUUUAGCAACCUUUGUUUGAUUUUCUUUAGUUCAACCACAACAUCUUUCAUGUCUUUUCUUUCUUCUGGUAACUCAGCUGAACAAUUCAGAGCCAACUCCAUGAUGGCUGAAAUACAAUUUGUUUUAACAACGAAGUACUCAUCCUCUUUUCUUAAUAAAUCAGCAUCUGCAAUUUCUAUUGCUCCUUUAGGCAAUGAAUAUUCCAUCCAAUGCCUUAUAGUCACUUCUUCAGCAAAAAGAUUAUCAGUUGGCUUUUUCUUUGUGAAAGUUUCUAUAAGGAUGAUCCCGUAACUAUAUACAUCACAUUUUAUAGAAACAAUUCCAGUUGAUCCAAAUUCUGCAUUUCAAGUAUAAUUAGAGCAUCAUUAAUCCUUAAUUAUUUCUAAAAUGCUUAUUUGCAUGAAGCAAAAAUAUAAAUUGCAAAUCAAGAAAAUAAUCAUACAAAAAUAAAAAAAUUCACCUGGUGCCAUAUACCCGAUAGUUGCAAGAGUCAUGGUUUGCUUCAUUACAUCACCUUCUCCCAACAAUUUGGCCACAUGUUUAGACAAGCCAAGAGACCUUUGGGAUCAUACGGGUGAUUUUGAUGCUGUUAAUGGUUAUUUUGGUGGAGAGGGUGAAAAAGAAACAAAUGGUCCAUUAUAUAUAAUAUAAUUAUGAAAUUCAAGCCAUAUAUUGUAUGUUUCAUACAUAAAAAUUUCAUGGGAGGUCCAAAAGUAAUUAAAUGACUUGUAGGCUUGCUGAAUUUCAUCUUUUGAAUAGGUGGUAUUAGGUCCAAAAGUAAUUUAACAUUCACAUAAUAAUCUCUAAAUACUGUAAAGACAAAUCAAAUCCACAGCAACAUUAGAGUUGAUCAAGCUAAGCAUUGGCAAAUAUUACUUUGAUUUUGCAUGCAAUAUUGGCAAAAUCCCCUCUUACAUUAGAAAAACAACAUAAUCCAUGAAACAUUGAUAGCCCAAUACAAAUUUCAUCAAGAAAAAAGUUUCUUUGUUUUGUAGAACAUGAUGGUAAAGAUGUGGAGUUUCCUUUAGUUUUCCUUGAUCAACAACCACUUGCCAAAAACACAAUUAGAUUAGAUUAUGAAUGAUACUUUCAACUAUGACAAUAUUAAAUACUAAACACUCCAAAUAGCUCUAAAUAACUGGAAAGCAACAAAUUACCUGACGAGGCAAGCUAGCUCAAUUAAGACCAUUGUGUUAUACUUGUCUCUGAAUUGAAAAAUCUAGAAGACAAUAAAGAGAAAGAGUUAGCAAAUACUUGAAAACCGAUAAAACUUAUAUGUCAUUGAUUGGAUAAACUACGAUCACCCAUAAUAGCCUUUAUCUUGCAACCAUCUACAUGAACCUAUAGGGCUCUUAGCAGAAUCAAGAGACAAAACCUUAACAUGAGAAAAAUACCAUUUGUUGAGGGCUUUGUUAAUAGGGUCGUACCUAGGAGAGUUGGUAGGGGUCCCAACCCCCCUUAAAAUUAAAAAGUUUCCAUUUAGGCCCUUUAAAAUUUUUAAAAUUUUUAAUUAAUAAACGUAAAAUUGUACUUUGGCCCCCCCAAAAUGAUAAAACUUUGAUUUAAUCCUUUAAAAAAUAUAAAAAUAUAGGCUAUUAAAACGGUGAAAUUACGUUUUUACCAUCGUAAAAAUUACAAUUUAAUUUCAACUCCUAAAAAGAUUUUCUGGCUUCGCCCCUAAUAAAACCUUUGGCAAAAGAUGAAAAUAAAUUUAUAUCGUAAAUAAAAAAAGAAACUAUGAAAAUCCAAUCCAACAAAGAAAAUAACUUGAUGUCGAAAUUUAAUGCAUUUUAUUGGUUUCCAUUUUGAUUUUGAAGAGAGCCUAGUACGUGAGAGCAAAAGAAAAAAAAUGGUUUAUUAAUUUUUACGAAUACCGACAUAUUAUAUAUAUGAUUAAAAUUCCAGAAUAACCACAAGUGUGAAUUAAAGAUAAAAUUAAGUGUGAAUUAAUAAUUAGAAGUGUACUCAUUACUCACCAUCUCUGUUAAAAAUGUUGGAUGUUGUUGAGCAACCUUUGUUUGAUUUUCUUCAGCUCAACCACAACAUCUUUCAUAUCUUUUCUUUCUUCUGGUAACUCAGCUGAACAAUUCAAAGCCAACUCCAUGAUAGAUGAAAUACAAUUUGCUUUAACAACAAUGUACUCAUCCUCUCUUCUUAAUAAAUCAACAUCUGCAAUUUCUAUCGCUCCUUUAGGCAAUGAUCUUUCCAUCCAAUGCCUUAUAGUCUCUUCUUCAACAAAAACAUUAUCAGUUGGCUUUUUCUUUGUGAAAGUUUCUAUAAGUACGAUCCCAUAACUAUAGACGUCAGAUUUUAUAGAAACAAUUCCUACUGUUCCAAAUUCUGUAUUUCAAGUAUAAUUAGAACAUCAUUCAUCCUCAAUUAUUUCUAAAAUGCUUAUUCAAAUAUAAAUCCACAUACACAUGAAACAAAAAUAUAAAAUGCAAAUUAGGAAAAUAAUCAUACAAAAAUAAAAAAAGAAUUCACCUGGUGCCAUAUACCCGGUUGUUGCAAGAGUCAUGGUUUGUUUCAUUACUUCACCCUCUCCCAACAAUUUGGCAAUGCCAAAAUCUCCAACAUGUGCAACCAUGUCUUCAUCUAGUAAAAUAUUGCUUGGUUUUAUGUCACAAUGAAUUAUAGGUGUUGGAUGUCCAUUGUGGAGGUGUUCUAUAGCUACCGCAACAUCUAUCAUUAUGUCGACCCUUUGUAUGAUAUCAAGGAAACAAUUUUCAGAAUGUAACCAUUUCUCAAGGUUUCCAUUAGACAUGUAAUCAAGCACCAAGGCUUUGAAGUCAACACUUGAACAGCAAGUAAUGACCUUCACAAUAUUACGAUGAACUAUAUUACGCAUAGCAUCACAUUCAAUGUCAAAACUCCUAAAUGCUCCCUCUGUUUGCAAAUUGAAAACUUUUAUUGCAACUUCCAUUCCAUCUGAAAGCCUCCCUUUAUAUACACAUCCAAAACUCCCUGAACCAAGCAUAUUGCUUUCCUCAAAUCCAUUAGUUGCUCUUGAAAGUACAGCAUAUGAAAUUCUUCUCGGUGUUUUCAAAGACAGCAAAUCAUCUUUAAUUGGUAGAGUUGUACUCCUUCGCCGGCAUCUUCUAUACAUAAUAGUUAAGACUAAUAGUACUAUGACAAUACCAAUUGUUGGUAAACCAUACCUAAAAGCAUGCAAUAUAAUCAUUUGGGAGUUUUUGUGGAUGUCGUUUUUGCAAGGUGGGACUAGCAAUCUAGGUGGACCACAAAGUGCAUAAUUCCUCAUGAAUGAUGUGCUAGAAAAGUUUGAAAAACAUCCUUUGCUGGGAAUUUCCCCUUCAAGUCUAUUGAAUGACACAUUAAAAUACUUUAGAUAUAAAAGCUUUUCCAAAGAUUUGGGAAUGACUCCAGAGAGAUUGUUAUUGGAUAAAUCCAAGAAUUCCAAACUAAUCAACCCAUCAAAUGAUUCAGGGAUAUGACCAUGUAGUAUAUUAUUUGAUAAAUCUAAUGAAACCAAAGUUUGAAGACCCCCAAAUGUGGAUAAGACAUCGCCCGUGAGAAGAUUCCUUGAUAAAUUUAGUUUCAGUAGACUCCUCAAAUUUCCAACAUCAAUAGCAUGUGAAUUGUGAAGAUGGUUUGAUGAUAAAUCUAUUUCUAAGAUAUCUUUAAGAUUCCACAAAUUUGAGGGUAUUGCGGAACUCAAUCUGUUGGAAUUUAAGUAAAGAUAUCCCAAAGAAGUAAUAUUACCCAAACAAGAGGGUAUGGGUCCAUGCAGCUUAUUCAACCCUAAAUACAUCUUGUAUAGUCUCUCCAAACCACAGAGGCUUUCGGAGAUAGGCCCUCCUAAUUUAUUAGAGGAAAGAAAUAGACCUUGGAGAUUUCUCAUUCCUCCUAUUGAUGCUCGAAUCAAUCCACUUAAUUUAUUAUAGCCAAGUUGUAAAAGCAAUAGGUUGGUUAAGUUACCUAUUUCCAUAGGAAUAAUGCCUUGAAGCUCACAAUUAUGGGCAUAAAAGUAUUGAAAGGAUUUUGAAAGGUUCCCGAUAUAAGUAGGAAGAACGCCACUCAAUGGAUUUCCUGAAACCGCUAUUUUUCUCAAAUGCCUGCAAUUCGAUAAAGAAGAAAGAAAGCUCCACUCAUGAUCAGUAGCAGAUCCUGUGAUGAAAUUAUUGUUUACGAUUCGGAACCGUUCAAGGUGUCUUAAGUUGCCAAGUGUUUUAGGGAUUGGACCAGAGAAUAAGUUAUGUGACAACUCUAGUUUCUUAAGCAUGGAAGCAUUGGAGAUAGAGUUGGGAAUGUUUCCGCUAAGUUUAUUUCCCCACAAAAAAAGAAACUCAAGCUUUGGAGCAUUGGUGAUGGGUGGUAAAUUACCUGUAAAAUAGAAUCUUUUAGUAUACAAAUUCACAAAAUAUAUAAUACAUUAAAGUAAAAACUGUAAAACUUUAAAUCAAUUAAGAAUAAAAUUUUGGCAUGGAAAAAUGUGAUGAAAUCAAUUAGAAAGUUGAGACAUAAUAAGAAGUUUUGAGUAGUAAUUAGUCCUUGUGAUUUGUAUAGACAAAACAUAUAAUACACUAAUAAUUUUUUAAAAUAUUGUAAAACUUGAAAUAAAAUAAAAAUAAAAGUUUGGCAUGAGAACGUGGCAUCUAAUCAAUCUUAAAAAUGAGACUGAUACUGAAUAAUAAUUAGUUAUGAUUUGGGAAACAAAAAUGUUAAAGUCAUUGUUUUUAAUGUAAACUGGUAUGAUUUUGACCUAUUAGGUUAAUUAUUUAUUUUUAUUAAAUUAUAGUGUAAAAUUUAAAGAUUAUUAUUUGCUCAAAAUUUUUGUGUUUUUCGUAUAUUUGAAAUUUAAUCUUUAUAUUUUUUAUUUUCUGUGAUUUAGUCUCUCUACUUUUUGAAUUAAAAAUUUUAGGUUCAUUUAUUAACACUGUUAAAAAAGUUUUUCUGUUAGUAUGGCAUUUUGAAAAAUAAAAUAAACUUGAUAUCUAUGUUUUUAAUUAUUCCAAAUAUUGUUUCACUAUUUCAAGAUAAAUUAUUUGUGUUUAGACCAAUAUCUUAAGAACUAUUGUUGCAUGUUUAAUUAUUCUAAAGAAUUGUUGAUUGAGUCUUAGCUGAAGUGCACUAUUCUCCUAUUUAUGAAUUGGGGAGUUGGUAAAGUAUUAAAUUUUGAUAUAUUUUAAAAUAUUAAAAAUUUAUUAAAAUAUUUUUUAUAAAAAUUGAUUAUACCACAAUAUACAAUUUUAAUAUCAAAUUUUUAUUUUUUUUUAAAAUAUUAGCGAAUAUAUACUUUAUUUCAAGUUACACAAUUUUUACUAGUUUUUAAAUUUUUUUAAAAAUUUUUAUCGUCUUUUAUAAUUUCUAAUAAUUUUUUAUAAUUUUUUACAAUAUUUACAAUUUCUAACAAUUUUUAAUAAUUUUAUUAUUUAUUACAAAUUUAAAAAUUAACAAAUUUUUAUUUUUUAAAACAAUUAUAUAUUUAUAAUGUAGUUGUUUUUUUUAUAAUUUUAUUUGAAAUUUUAAAGAUUUUUUUUGGUUUUUUUUAGAUGAUGAUGCCAUCAUGAUGUCAUCAUAUGUCACAUGGCAAUUUAUAAUUAGUUGAAUAUCUCAAUCUAUUUUAUUAACGUCCAAUAGACUAAAACAAGAACACCUGAUAAUGUUAGAGACUACACUAGGAAUGUUUGAUAAUAUUAGGUACUAAAGUGGGCAAAAAAAAUUAAGGACUAUAUUAAAAAUAUAUCUAUAAUAUAUAUAAAUGCAUGGAUUUUGAGAAACUUUUGAAAUGAUAAUUAUAUAGUCUUUGUUUUUUUUUUCUAUAUUAUUGAAUUUUUUAUUUUAAAUAUUUUUUUAUUACUUUUAAGAUUUAUCAUAUGCAUGGAUAAGAAUUUUGGUUUUACUAAAAUAUUUGGUUAAAUAAAUUCACUUCAUAAGAAAAUUUAGGAUCCUUAUAAAUAACAAUUUUGAUUCUAUUAAAAAUAUUAUUUUAAAAAAUAUAUAAUAAAAAUUUAAAAUUUAUAUUGAAUUACUUUAUACUUAAAUUAUUAUUAGAAACUUUAUCAUACACAUACAUAUAUGAGAAGCACGUAUUUAGAACAUAAAUUUGUGUUUUAAAAUAACUUAUGAUAAAUAAUGAAAUGUAUAAUUUGAAACUAUUUAAUAAUAACACAUGGCAUAUCUACCAUAUUAAAAUAAAAAUAGAUUAAAUUGUAGGUAAAACAUAAUUUAAACAUAUGAAUACAUCAAAUUAAGAAUACUAAAUGAAUACAGUUAUUUAUGAUGAUGUUGUUGCCAAUUCUUAACUUGGUGUCGAGUUAAUUUGUGACAUCAUAAAUUUAAGUGGUAAAUUUAAGGUUUUAUGUAUUGAUGUGGAUUCAAAUAUCACCAUAAUUUUUUUUAAAAAUAAAAAACUAAAGUACCCUCAAACAAUAUAACUUAUAUUAAAUAUGAAAGGGUAUUUUUAUAAUUUCUUUAACCGAGUUGAUGCCCGGUUGACUCAUGACACCAACUCAAUCAAAAGCUUCAAUAAUAAUAUAGAUAUUCACGUUAAAAAAACCAAAAAAAGUACUUUAGUUCCAAAUAAUUAUAUAAUAAGUAAAUUUAUAAUUGAUGAAUAAAUUUAUAAAUAAUAUAUUUAUAUGAUCUAAUAUAUUAUAUAUAUUAAUUAUAUAUCAUCUACAAACUUUGAAGAUCAAUUUAUUAAGUAUCAAGAAAAGAAAAAAUGAAAUUGAAUUAACACUAAAUCGAUUUUUAGAUUUUGUCCAGAUGAUUUAAUGAUGAUAAAAAAAUUAUUAGCACUAUUUUUGAAUUAACAAAAAAUUAGUGAUAUAUUUUAAUUAUAUUUAUUAUUUAUUAGUUUUAAUAAUGUUUUUUUAAUUAUAUGAAGUAAAAUUAUAUCGUAUACUAAAUAUGGUACAUAUACUUUAAUUAUAACUUGAAAAAUUAUUAUAUAAAUUAAUAUAUUUUAAUUAUAUUCAACCAUUUGAAUAACAAAAUUAAAAAAAAACUAAUUAGAAUUAUUUACUUUUUAAAGUUUAAUGGAAAUUAAAAAAUUAAAAAUAAAUCAAUUCAUAUAAAUCUUAUUGUUUAUUAUCAGAUUAAUAUGAUAAAAGUAUAUGACAUAAAUAGAAGAAACAAAUUCAACACAAUGUUUUUGGAGUUUGGAAAAAAUUAAAGUGAAAAACAUACCUUCUAAUUUGUUGUUAAAUAGCUCUAUACCUUCGAGCGUAGUUGAAUUAAAAAUACUUGAUGGAAUCUGGCCUGCACACAUAGUCGAAAAUUGAAGUGAAAAAUAUACCUUCUAAACUGUUCAACUAAAAAUACUUUAAGCAUCUUUUUUUCCAUCAAAUUAGUUAUCUAUUACAAAUCAAACUCUUUUAUGAAAUGUUGAAGAUGGAAGAUGGAACCUGACCAGAUAAUUGAUUGAAUCCCAAGUUCAAGAUCUCUAGAUUAGACAUGUUAACAAGUGUUUCAGGGAUUGUGCCUGUAAAGUUAUUAUUCUUCAUUUCCAGCCUUCGAACUCUUUGUAAGUUCCCAAGCCAUGAUGGAAUUUCCCCAUUCAGACGGUUGUAGCUUAAUUGAAGGAUCCUCAAACGAUGCAAGUGGCCCAAUUCUUUAGGGAGAUGGCCAUAGAAAUGGUUGCUACUCAAGUCUAGAGAGAGUAGAAAUGAAAGAUUUCCAAGGUGUGGAGGGAUAGUACCCCUAAGAUUCAUGCUUGUAAGAUUCAAAGCUAUAACUCUUUUAUGGAGGAUGCCACAAGAAACACCAAUCCAAUUGCAAACAGAGGUUGAGGCCGUCCAAUUGUUUGCCAUGACAUUUUGAGGACCGGCAAUGCGAUCCUUGAACUCGAGAAGUGCAAAUUGAUCAGAGUUGAGAUUCCUGACUGUUAUAGCCAAGCAAAGUACGGAACAUGGUAUGAAUAAAGCUAAAAGAAGAUGAAAGCAAGUGUUGUAGUCCAUGAUUGCAAGACGGAAUAAGGCAAGAAAAUAAAAAAAAAAGUAGGAAAAGGGAAGUUGAGUUGAUAAAAUAGUUUGGAUGAUGAAGAAAAGCCCAGAGAGCAUGCUUUAAUAUGUUUCAACCCUCGCACACUUGAUAAACUUGAUAAAUUUAAGACUACUCUAAAAAUUAAAAAGGAAAACAAAGUUUUGAUGAAAUUUCAAAAUAAAUGUCAAGUAUUCUUCUUUUAGAAAUACGUAUAAAGAAGUGAAUUUUCAAAAUUUCUCCUAAAUUUUCUUCACAUUACUCCACAUAAUCCAUUAAAAAAAACUUAAAAAAUAUAUUUUAUUAAUUACUAUAUAUUCUUUUAUUUUCAGAAUAAUAAAUUGUUUAAAAUAUGCUACUAGUCCCUGUAAUUUAAAAGUUAAAAAAAAUCCAAUCCUCCUAUUUUUUUAAUUUAAAAAUUCUAGUCCAAUCAUUUUUAAUUCCAUUAAAAAAUUUCAACUUAAUAGAUUUUUUAUUAUCAAUCAUAUGCAACAUUAUAUGAAGGCAGUCUACUCAGUAUAUAUCCAAGUUUACAUAUUUUAAUAGAAAAUACUUACAAUCCUAAUGAUAGGACUAAGUUUUUUAAACUAGAAAAGUACAAAAACUUAAAUUUUAACUUUUUUAAGUACAAGGAUUAAAUUUUAAAUGUUGUCAAAGUACAAGCACUAACAAAAUAUUGUGAUCUAAUAAAUGUAAAAAGCAUUUUAAACAAAAGAUGGUUGAAAUAAUCUAUUUGUCCUUAUACUUUGAUAAAAUUUGAGAUACCAUAAAAUUUGUAUCUUUUUUCGAAUUAUUUAAUGCCAUUUCAACAUUUUCAUUAAAAAAAAAACAUAUCAUUUUGAAUUUGAUCUUUUUCAAGAUGAAAAUAUUGAAAUGAUGUUAAAUUAUCGGAAAGAGAUACAAGUUUCAUGGUAUCUCUCUAAGAAAGCUGAUGUAAGAUAUUAAUGACAUCAUUUGAACAAAGUUUUAGGUCAAAUUAUUCAUCUAGUCCUUGUAAUUAUUCUUUAAGGUGAAUUUCAUUAUUAUUCUUUUAUUUUCUUUGGCUUAAAUAAACAUUUACCCCUAAUUUUAUCACAUUCUCCUUAAUUGGUAUUUAUAGUUUAGAAAAUUUUACAAAUAUAUUAUUUUUUAAGAAAUUAUAAGAAGAUUACAAAAAUUCCAAAAUAAUAUAAAAAAGCUAAGAAAAACCUAGAAAUUCAAAAAACAAAAAAAUAAUGUUUUUACAAAUUGGGGUAUGCAAUCAAUUUUAAGAUGGUUUUUGGAGUUCAUCUCACUUUAGCAUUGACUUACUUUUCUACAGUUAGUCUUCUCCAACAAGUUAAAUAUUUCAAUUUUAACAACAUUGACAGGUCUUAGGGGUAGGGUCGAGCAAAACUCAAUAGAAAUAGAUGAUAUAGGUUGAGUUGGCUCGGCCAAGUCGAGUCGACUUGUUCAAAUUUGUUAAAUUAGUAAAUUUUGGGGUGCAGUUAGAAUUUUUUUGUUUUGAGAUGCUAAGAUUAAAAAAAUUUGAGUUUUGAAAACUUUGACUCCUUUUUGCUUUGAGAGUUGAUUUGAAGAGAAAAGAGCUUGAAGGUGCUUUUGUAGAAAUAGGACAAAUUUUAAAAUAAGGAGUAAAUUGGAAAAAAAAAUUUGGGUUGGGCUAAUUUGAAAAUUUGACACUUUUGUGGGAUAAAAAUAGAAAAAUAUUUUGGUUGAAUACACAUAAGGAGUUACGAACUUGAGACUUAUAGGUAGGCUAAGGCCUUACCACUUAACCAACAAGCUCAUUAUUAUUAUCUUUUAACACAAAUAAAUUUUAAGGCAUACUAAGGGCUUGUUUAGCAUUGCAGUGAAGAAGCAUUUUGGCUUAAAAAACACUUUUGAGAGAAAAGUGGUUCUAAGCUAGUAACUUUUGGCUAAGAUUUUGGCUUUUCAAAAGCAAUUUUGGCCAAAUGGAGAAGUUAAAAUUAUUAGCUUUUCUUACCCAAAAGCAGUUUUGAGUGCUUAAUUACUAAUUCAUCCCCCCAAAAACACAAUUUAAAAUAAAAUAAUACAAAUAUGUUAAUAUUUAAUUACAAAUAUUUAAUGGGUAUAUUUAAAUAUUUAAAAUAUAAUUUAUAUAUUCUAAUUAAAUUUUAUAAAUAAUUAAUAUUUGUUGCUUAAAAAUAUUUAAAAUUUAUAUUUUAUAUAUUAAAAUAUUAACAACAAAUUAUAAUAAAUUAUUUUUUAUAUUCUUACUAAAAUAUCAUAAUAUAAAUUAAUUUUAAUAUUAUUUAAAUACAUAUUUGUUACUUUAUAAUAUCAUGUCUAAGAUUGACGUUUUAUUUCUCAAAAGCACUUUUUGAAAUUAAUACUAAACACUUAAAUUUUAAACUAAACUUCUCAAAGAUACUUUUCUACAACACUUUUAAAAGCACUUUCCAAAAUCAAUGCUCAACUACCUCAAACUCUCUUACCUUAUACUUUAAAAGAGAAAAAAAAAAGAUUUUAAAUUUUAUCCCUAUUUCUUUUAACCCAAUUUUUAGGAUGUCAAACAUUUAUAAAUAAAAUAAGUAAAAGGAAAAAAAAGCAUAUACUUUAUUUUUAUCGCAGGUAAAAGUUUUAAUGGAGAGGAUCAUGUAAAAUUAUGAUCUGAAUAAUUUUAAACAUUUCAUCAUUGCAAAAAUGAAAUAAUAGAAAAGAAUGACUAUUCGAAUUUGCAUUUGUGUUCUUUCUUUCAAUAUUUGCUUUCAAAACUGUGGGAAAAUUUUAAAUUUGAUGAAAUUUUAAAAUUGCAGUUCAGUAAAAUAUAAAUUUUAUGAAUUUGGAGUAGCCAUUUUAUUUAUAAUUUUCUGUGUUUUCUUCUUUGCUGACUUUUUUAAUGUCAUUUUCUAUCAUGAAAGAAACUUAAAGAUUCACUAUGUAUUUCUCAACCACUAUGAAAUUACUUGACUACGGGGGUAGAAUUUUCUCACCAAUUUUCUAACAUUAGAUUUUUUGAAUGAGACAAAUAUUCAAUUUUAACACAUUUCCCAUAAUUAGUCACCCCUAUUUGUGAGUGAUUUGGGGAUAAAAGCUUAAACAUUUAUGGAUCACAUUGCAUUUAAGACGGGUGUUUGGAGUUAUAUGAAAUUUUAACAUAGACUGGCUUUUCUAUAAAGAGUACUCCUUGCUUUACUAUUGUCAUGAUACGAGGAGAUACUGAAAAUUAUUGUACUAUGAAAUUUUAAUUCACUCGAAAAAUAAGUGUUUUAUUUCAAGGGAUUAAUAUUAGCUUUCUCUUUUUUAAAUUUUGAAUUUUUUUUGACAACUGCGUAAUUAAGAAUAUAUCAAUUUUAGGUGUUAUAGGGGUGUUUUAACCUUCCCUAUGUGUAAUCGACUACUGAAACUUUUUUAUUCUUUAGAAUUCAACACAUACCUCAAAAUUUUCUUUUUAAAAGAUUUUUAAAAUCUCUUUAUAAAAGAUUAUCACACUUAACAAAGAUGAUCAGUGACUACUUUUCUUUAAUAAAAUAUUAUGUUUUUGCAGAGACCAAAAUUUUCAUAUUUUUCAAGAAUUCCUCAAUCUAAUUUUCUUUUUGAAUUUUUAUUUUCAAGAGGAAAAUGAUCCCUACAAUUAAUAUUUAUUUUCCUUAUUUUUAAUUUCUUUUUAAGGGAGAUGAAUAGUGGAAUGAUAAUUUUUAGUUAUGGUAAAGUAAAUUUAAUUAUCCACAACCUUCAACUAUUAAUUUUUUCGAUUUAAUUACACAAUUUUUUGAAAUUAACACUCUUUUAUUAGUUGUCGCUAGGUGAUGGACGAAAAGUUGAUUUGGACUUUUUGUUGACCUAAUAACAAAUUUAGAUAUUCAAAGUUUACUUAUUCUAUCAAUUUAAUGCUAAAUUUAAAAAAUUCAACAAAUCCUAUCAAAAAACAAUUGGACCUUGAGUACACAGGCUGUGAGAUUUUCACAUGGCUGUGUCUACACUGCACUCUAUUUUAUCAAAUUCGGACAAAGAGUUACACAGGCUGUUCACACGGGCAUGUGCCUCCUUCACAUGGGGCGUGUAGACCUCCACACAACUUAGGAACUUCCACAUGGCUGGGGCACACGGUCAUGUGGCCUUGUUUUGUAGAUUUUUGUUCUGUGUUAGAUUUUGACUCGUUUUGUGCCUGUGUGUAUUCUGACCUCAGUUAAGACUUAGUAAGAAUGUUUAGGACUCUGAUUAGUUCGAAUUUGUGCAUUUGUUUGUAACUAAUGUGUUAAUUUAUUAGUUUGAUUAAAUGUUAUGUGAUGUUAUUAGUAAAUAGUUACAAACCUAAUUGAUUCUAAAUCUGAUUGAUUGAACUUGUGUGUUUCGUUUUCUGUAUGGAUGUUUGUAUGUUGUGUGCAUUUUGCAAUAGCAUAAAAAUUUUACUAUUGAUUGACUGAAUAUGAACUUCUAUAUCUGUGACACUAUUAGUGUUUGAUGUGCAUUCAUACAUAUGCAUAAAAUUAGGGUUUUGGUUAUGAAGAGAAGGGAGCCUGUUUCGGUAGUUCAACUGUAAUAUUUCUGAACAGCAGUUUACCGCAUGAUUCUAUAUAUAUGUCAGCUUAGCUGCAUAUUAUGAUUUCGAGUGGCUUAUUUUCCUUAUUGUAGUGUGUAGGGUGGAUGAACCUUUUAUAGUUCUUGUAAUAGGCCCAAUUUGUAUGGGCCCAAAAAAAUAAGUUACAAACCCAAAAUAAACAUUACAAGCCCAAAAAUUAAAAAAAAAACUAACGGCCCAAGUGGCCCAAAACCUAACCCUCUUUAGUCGCCACUUCUCUCACGCGAGCCAACCUCCUCACGCGUGCCACCACGUCAGCACCUCCGUACCCUCCACGCUCUCUCUCUCUGCCACCAUAGCAUGCGUCCUUGCCCGGUACUUGCAGACCAAGCAAAAGAGAGCACAACAGUAAAGAGAAAAACAUUGUAUUUUUCGGCUAUAAAAGCCAUGAACAAAUCAAUGUAAAUUUUUUACGACAAAAAUAAAUACAAAAAAGGCAAUUGGAAACAAAAAAAAGGUGGUUCUUUUUUUGUUUUUAUUUCUUUUCUACUUAUAUUUCUACUAGUUUUUAAGAAAAAUAAAAAAGAAUGGAGUCGAAUCUUACCCUUUUCUCGCAUGUGCGCCGUCGUGGGGGGUCGAGGUUCGUCUUUUCCAAUGAAAAAUGACAUUUUUUGAGUUGAGGAAGUCGAAAAGUCAAAAAAUGGCCUUUUUUCGAUUUUUUGGCCACCGUGGAUGGCGGCGCCGUCACCGACGACCGACGGCCGCCACGACGGUCCGUCGGUUGGAGCCAUGGCCGGAGAGGGGAGUUGGGAGAAAGGGGGAGAGUGAUUUGAGUGUUUUUUUUUCAGAGAAUGGGGAGAAAUGAAAAAUUAAAAAAAAAGGUUUUUAUAGAGGAUUGAAAUGGCAUCGUUUUGGGCCUUAACCCCAGUGGCCAAAACGACGUCGUUUCACCCCUUUAAUCUGCGCGUGGACCCGACCCGCAAGAGGAUCCGUGUGUUUUUGUGGAAGGGUCUAUUUGCGUGUUAGACCCUUCCACAUUUUUCAAUUGUCUUAAUCCAGUCCUUUUUUAUUUUCUAAUUUGUACUUCAAAUUUUAUUUUAUUUUUGAUUUGGUCCUAGCAAAACGGCGCGUUUCAGAGGGCGGGGAUAUUUCCCCAAUUGGUCCCUCUUAGUUAUUCGCGCCUUUCAAAUGGGUCCUCUACCUUAUUUUCAUUCUCGAUUUUUACCCAGUUUUCUGAUUAAACUUCAAUUUAGUCCUUCUGCAUCUAUUUUAUUAUAAUUUUAGCCCCUCUUAUAUUCAUAAACUUAUUUUAUUAGGAUUUGGACUCUUAAUUUUAUUUCAAUGUCAAUUUAAUCCCCUUUUAUCUCAGUCUAGGUUUUAUUUUCUUUUUUUUUGUUGUGCUUUAUUUAUUUUAUUUAUUUGCUUACCAUUUCUUUUUUUAUUUUGAUUUUCGUAUUUAAUGAUGCUUUUACUUUAUUUAUUUUAUUCUUGACUUUCAUUGUUAUUGUUGUUGUUGUUGUUGUUAUUUUUAUGGUUUUUUAUUAUUUCAUUUAUUUACAUAUUUUAUUCCAAAUUGUUGCUUUAAAUUUUGUUUACAUUUUAAUUCGGUUCUUUACUUUCAAUAUUUUUUUAUAAACUAUUUUCCCUUACAUUAUUUAUGUAUUUAUUUUAUUUGUUUUUUUUAAAGUUGGUAUUGUCCUUUUAUGUGCAUACUUUGACAUUAUUACCAUUGUUAUUAUUUAUUUUAUUUAUCUUUUGAUUAUUCAUAUUAAUGUUAAAGUAGUGUAUAUUAUAUGAUUCUCGUAAAUUGUCUUUAUUAUAUUCAUUAUUGUUAUUUAUUAAUGCAACAUUUCAUUCAUGUAUUAUUUUAAAUAUUACACAUUUUUACCCAAAUUUGUAAAAAAAUAUAAAAAUUAGAAAAUAAGCAAUAUUUCGUAUUUUGGAAUUUGAAAAGUCGUUCCCUAACUUACGGGGUUUCAAUUUUUUUGAUAAAUCCAAAUAUACGAGCUAUUUUUCAAAAACACAUUUUUAAAAUUAUCUCGAGAAUUAAAAAGAUCGUUUUUCAACUUUUGGAAUAUGAUUUCUUUUCUAAAACUGAGAUAAUAAAAAUUUUCUAAAAAUAAAUAAAAUUUUUGGUGUUUAUUCUCGUUUUGAGAUUUAAGGUUAUGUCCUAACUCACAGGGUAUAAUUCUUUUUCUCGGUUGACAUAAAAUAUGCCCUUUUUAAAAUUCUUUUAGGUAAUUUUAAUAAAAGGAUCGUAUUUUAAGUCUCUUCAAAAUUUUCAACUUUCGACAUUAAGACAUUAAUUAAUCAAUUAGGUAUCAAUUUUGGGCGUGACGAGGGUGCUAAUCCUUCAUCGCACGUAACCGACUCCCGAUCCAUUUUUCUCGAAUUUCGUAGAUCAAAAUCAUUGUUUUAGUAAAAUCGAAACGUUUUGUUAAAAAGAUUGAAUUGCAAGGUGAUCCGAUCACACCAAAAAAAAAUAUCGGUGGCAACUACAGUUUUUUUCGUUUUUAUUUUUAUAAUAAAAGUCGACCCCUUUUUUAUUAAAAAAUGGCUUCGAUAGUUCUAUGUGGUGUGAGGGUAGACGGGCCUUCUAUAGCCCUAAUGUGGUGUGCAGGGUGGUCGAAGUGGUGUUCAAAUGGUUGGGUGGGUUUUUAACUUAUUGCAUACGGUUUGCAUUAGGCAUAUGUGUCUGAUUAUGAUUCUUUUUAAAAUUAUUUGCAAAUGUUUGUACUAAUUUGAUUAUUACAUGUGUUAGAGACAUUGCUUAUGCAGUUUGAUACUAUAUAUUGACUUAUUGAUGUAAGAUUUUCGUAAGUGACCAUCAUAUAGUGCUUGUCUGAAAUAUUUAUGGAGUUAUCCCCUCUUUUACCGACUGUUGUGUUUUGGACUCACACUGAGCUCGCGUAGCUUACCACCUUAGUUUUCUCCCUUUUAGAUACUCUCGUGUUCUGUAGCUAGACUCGACAUAUUAGAAGGCUCAGACGGAAGAGGUGAGAUUUGAUUUAAUAAAGUGUUUCAAUUCAAUUUUAGUUUUUCUAACUUCUUGGGACUAUAAGUGUUAAUAGGGACUGUAGUAUAAGUUUUACUUCUGGAUUUUCGUAAAUUUUUAUUUUGGGACUGAACUUUUGAAAUUGUGGAAUUAUACUUUCUAUUGUUUUUAACGUAAUUUAAAAUCUUUGUUUGAAUCCUGAAUGGUUAAACGACUUAGUUUGAUUUUAGCAAAAAUGAGUUAUAAAUGAGAUGUUAACAAUUCAUUUUGUAAAAUUAUUUUUAGAUCACUUCGGUGUUCAAAGUAACCUCUGAGAUUCGAUCCAUACUUCUAGGCCGAGUUUUGGGGUGUUACAUUAGUUUUCAAGAGGAGAUUGGUGAUCUACUUGAAGAUAGAUUGAUUUUGAAAACUUUGACUCCUUUUUGCUUUGAGAGUUGAUUUGAAGAGAAAAGAGCUUGAAGGUGCUUUUGUAGAAUCAGGACAAAUUUUAAAAUAAGGAGUAAAUUGGAAAAAAAGGGUUUUGGGUUGGGCUAAUUUUAAAAUUUGACACUUUCGUGGGAUAAAAAUAGAAAAAUAUUUUGGUUGAAUACACACAAGGAGUUACGAACUUGAGACCUAUCGAUAGACUAAGGCCUUAGUACUGAACCAACAAGCUCAUUCUUAUUAUCAUUUAACACAAAUAAAUUUUAAGGCAUACUAAGGGCUUGUUUAGCAUUGCUGUGAAGAAGCACUUUUGGCCUAAAAAACACUUUUGAGAGAAAAGUUGUUCUAAGCUAGUAACCUUUGGCUAAGAUUUUGGCUUUUCAAAAGCACUUUUCGCCUAAUGGAGAAGCUAAAAUUUUUAGCUUUUCUUACCCAAAAGCACUUUUGAGUGCUUAAUUACUAAUACAUCCCUCCAAGAACACAUUUUAAAAUAAAAUAAUACAAAUAUUUUAAUAUUUAAUUACAAAUAUUUAAUGGUUAUAUUUAAAUAUUUAAAAUAUAAUUUAUAUAUUCUAAUUAAAUUUUAUAAAUUAUUAAUAUUUGUUGCUUAAAAAUAUUUAAAAUUUAUAUUUUAUAUAUUAAAAUAUUAACAACAAAUUAUAAUAAAUUAUUUUUAUAUUCUUACUAAAAUAUCAUAAUAUUAAUUAAUUUUAAUAUUAUUUAAAUGCAUAUUUGUUACUUUAUAAUAUCAUGUCUAAAAUUGACGUUUUAUUUCUUAAAAGCACUUUUUGACAUUAAUACUAAACACUUAAAUCUUAAACUAAACUUCUCAAAGAUACUUUUCUACAACACUUUUUAAAAACACUUUCCAAAAUCAAUGCUCAACUAUCUCAAACUCUCUUACCUUAUACUUUAAAAGAGAAAAAAAAGAUUUUAAAUUUUAUCCCUAUUUCUUUUAAUCCAAUUUUUAUCCCAGGUAAAAGUUUUUAUGGAGAGGAUCAUGUAAAAUUAUGAUUUGAAUAAUUUUAAACAUUUCAUCAUUGCAAAAAUGAAAUAAUAGAAAAGAAUGACUAUUCGAAUUUGCAUUUGUGUUCUUUCUUUCAAUAUUUGCUUUCAAAACUGUGGGAAAAUAUUAAAUUUGAUGAAAUUUUAAAAUUGCACUUCAGUAAAAUAUAAAUUUUAUGAAUUUGGACUAGCCAUUUUAUUUAUAAUUUUCUGUGUUUUUCUUCUUUGCUGACUUUUUUAAUGUCAUUUUCUAUCAUGAAAGAAAGUUAAAGAUUCACUAUUUAUUUCUCAACCACUAUGAAAUUACUUGACUAUGGGGGUAGAAUUUUCUCACCAAUUUUCUAACAUGAGAUUUUUUGAAUGAGACAAAUAUUCAAUUUUAACACAAACAUAUCUUUAGUUAUUGAGUCACCCCUAUUUGUGAGUGAUUUGGGGAUAAAAGCUUAAACAUUUCUGGAUCACAUUGCAUUUAAGAUGGGUGUUAGGAGUCAUAUGAUAUUUUUUCAUAGACCGACAUUUCUAUAAAGAAUCCUUGCUUUACUUUGGGUAGAUUCUUCCAAUUAGCGUGGUCGUUGGUAUUACUCUCCAACAAUUAUUGUACUGUCAUCCUUAUUCCUACUCCUCCUAGCAGAGAAGUUUCAUAAGUGUUUUAUUUCAAGGGAGUCAGCACUUAGCAACCCCUUGGGGGAUUCAGCACUUAGCAACCCCUUUUAUAUUCAAUGUACUCCGGCUUAUUCCGAGUGUUCAACCGGAAAUCUUGUUUGCAAUAUUUUACCAUUUUUUCCAACUUAACCACAUUUUUAGGAUCUAUGGCAAGUAUUUAUUCUACGUUCAAUUAAAUCUCCUCAUAUAAUGAAUAAUAUCAAAAUAAUGCAUUAAUUCACAUGUUUACUUACCUUGGUGCAAAAUAUUGUAAUUUUGCAAUUUACUCCACAAUUUUCUCUUUUCCCCGAUUGAGGUUGUCUCCUCGUCUUUCUUGAUCUAUAAUAGCAAUUUUAGCUUAUUUAAUAUUCACAUUUAUUAAAACAAUCCUCGACUCACAUUUAUUAAACUUGCUAUUUAAUAUUCACAUUUAUUAAAACAAUCCUCGACUCAACUUUUUACAAAAUUAUGAUUUUGCCCCCAAACUUUUGCAUAUUUACACUUUUGUCCCCAAGCUCGAAAAUUAAAUUCCACUCCUUAUUCUUAUGUUUUACAACAUGCUGAAUACUUUUCCCUUCUAUGGCAACAUCAAAUUCUCACUCUAACAUACACUCAUGAACAUUAAAUAUUUUUACCGAUUAUGUCAAUUUACCCGUUUCUACUUAAAAUUGCUUAGUAAAAGUUGUUUAACAUAAUUCUAGCUCCAUAUUCUACCAUAAAACAGUAAAAUAAACACAUUUCACCUAUGACUAUUUUUCCAAAUAUGAACCCUAGGUUAAAUUAUGUGUUUUGUUCUUCCAAAUGUGUUUUGUUACGAAAUUGAAAACCAAAAUUUAUGUAAAUUUGUCAUGAUUCCUCAAUAGAAAAAUCUGUAAAUUAUCAAAACGUAAAUGUGAACAUAUUAAUUAUUAACUUAAAAAAAACCUAGUCUUGUACAAUCAAAAUUCAAAAAUCAUUUGCCUUGUAAAACUUGUAAUUUUCAUUAAAAUUUUUGCAGCGAAAACUUUUUAUUUAGCCUAUUGAGCAUAUUUUUAAAUUUACGUUUUUAACUUUCGUAAAAUCCCAAUUUGUAUUUUUGUGGUGGAAAAUUUUAUAAUUUUGAAAACCUAGCCUUGAUUGUUGGUUAACACAAAUCAUGCAGAAAAAAAAAACCUUUAACUAAGCCAAAGAAAUCCAAAGCCAAAUUAAAUCGGAGAAAUUCAACCAAAAGCCAAAAGUCCAGUAAAUCAAUUUAUUAACCAGAGCAAACAUUUAAUGAAAGAAUCAAUCCGAGACCCCGCAAAUUCUAACUUUCCGAUUACCUGAAACAUCAUAAAUAAAAUAAAGGGGAGAGCUAUAAAGCUCAGUGCAUAACUAAAACAGAAGCUGAGAUCACAUACAAUACAAUAUACAAAUCAUAAAAUCAUAGAAAAUUUCAUAACAAACAGUCAAACAGAAUUGAGUAUACAUGAUUAUGCCAAUGCGGUAUUUUUCAGAAAAUCUUAAUGCAAAUUUUUCAGAAAACGUCCUACCCAAAUCCUCUACACACUUGAAUAGAGUUCUCCAGAACUUAUCCAUAAAAAAAACACACCAAUUAAGUCAUCCCAGGUUGCCCAAAAACGAUGACUCACCACCAUGGGAUGCCCGACAACGAUGGCUUAUCAAUAUGUAAUUAAACUGUUAGAUCAGAUAUUUGUGGUCAAGCCAUUGAAUUGCAUCUCAGCUACUUAAACAAAAAUAUGUAGUGAAGCCACUAUAUUGUAUCCAAGUUGCCAAAUAAAAAUAUGUGGAUAAACCACCAGAUAGUGCAGACCAUUAAACUACCAAAACUUCCUCCCUGCCAUAUUAUCCCAACCCCAUGCAAUGUGACAUGACAUGCAUUUACAUAAUCAAAACGACAAGCAUGUAAGACAUGUAGUCGUACCAUAACACAAUUUAGCAAGCAUGGCAUUCCACUCUUUUACAGAACAGAUGUAUCAGAAAUUCAACAUAAGCAAGUUGGUAUGCUAUAAAGUCACAUGCAUGAUCACAUAGCAGAAUCAGAAACAUAAAAAUAACGUAACCAAACCUCAUAUACACAAAUACAAACAUAACAAUACAAAUCAUGCUACCAGAUUCAUUAGAAAACAGUUCAUGCACACUAAUUUCACAUACCUUAUUCAUAUCACCUACAAUAUCAAAUUAUCAGAUAUUACAUUUUCAAAGUCAAUUUUACACAGUACGAACCCUACAAAGUGGCUAAACAUGAUUCACGAAUCAAAAGGGGCCUAAACGAAAAUUUUUAAAAGAUGGGCCAAUAUGGCCCAAUUAGCCUAGGCCGUAUGGCGUCGACAGUCCAAUUUUUGACUUUCAGCUGUUCAUUAUUUUUUGACUUUUUUGAUAUACACCUUACUAUUUUCCGAAGCAAAAUCAUGGCAAGAAUUCCAAAACUUAAAAUCCAUAUUCAACCCACUCAAAUUAGUAAUGAAACCCAAAACUAAAUCAUUAAACAACCAAAACUGCUACCAAUAAACCUUAUCAAACCAGGAAUCAACCUUUUGGCAUCUGACUACUAACCCAAAAUAGUAGCAGUAGUACUAAAAAUCUCUCAAUUCAUCGGAAGACUAUUUGUUACAGAAACGUCACCUAAACCAAAGAUUUCAGAGUAAUCAAAAUCGCGUCACACAAAGAAGGAAACAAAUUAACCCUAAAAUCGUGAAACUCAACAAAAUACGAAUCUUUUCACAUAUUCCUUACCACCAACCGUCAAGAUUGGUCAAAAACCACUAAUGACACCGACCAUCGCAAGGUUAAAUUGAAACCAAAAGGCAACUAAAGAUGGAACAAAGGUUGUUAUAAAAAAAAUUAACAAAGACUUAUUGCAGCAAAAAUGGCAAAAAAUCAAGAAUAGGGAGAUUGGAAAAAAAUAAUGAAACGGCAAAGAGAAGGAGUGGGAAAGUGACGGCAGUUUGUGGAGAGAUUUUGGGUAAAUAAAAAGUAACUCACCACUCAACCCAUUAAAUCUGAUUACCCUCUAGACAGAUUCCCUUAGAGUUUAAAUUCAACCCAAAUACCGCUACAUGGGCGGCAUAGUGUAAGGAAAUAAAAAUAUUUCUACUUUGCACACACGCGGUCUUGAACACGAAGCCUUAGGGUAAUUUGAAGCCUUACCACUAAAUUAGUAGGCUCAUCCUUGAAAUUAAUUGAACGAAAAUAUUAUUUAUGUCAGAUGAUCAGGGAUAGAGGUUAAGACCAAAGAUGACAAAAAUUCAAAGGAAAGAUUUAAACCUAGAACCUCACACACACAAGCAUAACACCUAUCCACUGAACCAUAUUUACUCCACUGACAUAAUUUUCACAAUAUUAACUAAAAAUUCAGAAUAUGGUCACUCUUGGUUUCACUUACCUAAUUUCUUCUAACCUGAUUUUUGUGAUGUGACAACUCUCCCAUCCUUAAAAGAAUUUCAUCCUCGAAAUUCCUAUUAUGACACCAUACACUUAACUACAAAAUCUAAAAUUCCCUAGUCCAAACCAACCACCAGGCUAUCAUUGUACAACUCUAAUCUCCAUUCAAGUCUGAUCCAGACAAUAUUUCAGAGGAAUUUCCUAUUCACUACCUCGAAUUACCUCAAUAAGCUUUCCACAGAAACAUCACUAAUGAUCCUUUACCCCAGACUCUAAAAAAAUCACUUACCACAAAAUACAGGUACAAACAAUUCUUAUCAAUGCAUAGUACAUUUGGAACAUAUCAUAAAAGUACCUGUAUCAUUGUCAAAUGCAUCACGGCUCGCUUGAUACCUAGUUGCAUAUCCCCAUCUCAAAUUUUGUUUUUAUGUCGAAGCUUGUACCCGUAAAAUAGUGUCAUGAGCAAUCCCAAACUCGAUGCUCAACUGACCUACAUCUAAAACACGCUCUCAUUUUCCUCCAACAAUCGUCCGAAUGGUGCCUAUCACAGUAAGUAUAAAUCAGAAGCUCAACCGCAUUCACAAUUGCCUCACCCCGCUGAAGCCUGUCUAUUUUAGCCCGUUUCCUUGGUCAUGGAUUCAAGUCAAUAGAACCAUCACUCAUCUUAUUUUGCACUUUAUUCAUUACUUAUUCUCUCCCUUGGAGCAAUUACUCUCUACCGCUAACUUGACUUGAUACGCUUGAGGUCACUCAAUCACAGACUCUUGUCUCAUACAUCCAAAUUGGGUUCCAUCGAUCCUUUGCAAAUCUCUAAACACCUCUUGGAACACUGAAACGUCCCCUACUUCUAAACUGCCCUCAGAUUUGGGCGUCAUAGCAAACUUAUUUAUUUUCAAAUUGGGCUUACUGCCCCGAGAAGAGAACUCAACUCGAGUCACCCAGCUACGUCCACCACGCCCUCGCACAUCAUGACCUCGAGUACUCAUUAUACUAAUCUACAGUUUGCGAAAUUUUAUGAAUUAGCUUAGGUUUAUUAAAAAUUAUAAGUCUAGAGUUUUAUCAAAGUUUCUUACAUAAUUACCAUAGUCUUUAGCUAGAGUAGAGUAAUCCUAGCACUUAAGUUUUGUUAGUUUGUCUAGUAUAGCUAAAGUAAAGAUACUUACAGGAUCGACGAUGUAGUUUUGGAUUCUUUUUGAUAGAAUCAAAUAUAAAAAUAAUCAAAAUCUAAAUACCCAUUUUAGAAACCCAAAGUAUAAUAAUUAAUCAAAAAUUCAAUUUAUUUAAAGCAUAUUUAAUGGAGAUUUUCAAACCCAGAAAUCAUAGCCUGAGUUUUGUUACCUUGCUCUGAUACCACUAAAUGUAACACCCAAAACUUGGCUUAGACAUUAUGGCCAAAUCUGGAAGGUUACAUUAGUACGAAAAAAAUGAUUUUUCCAAAGUGUGGUUUGUUACGAAAUUGAAAACCAAAGUUUAUGUAAGUUUGUCAUGAUUCCCCGAUAGGAAAAUUUGUAAAUUAUCAAAACGUAAAUGUGAACAUAUUAAUUAUUAACUUAAAAAAAACCUAGCCUUAUACAAUCAAAAUGCUAAAAUCAUUUGCUUUAUAAAACUUGUAAUUUUGACUAAAAUUUUUGCAACGAAAAUUCCAAACUAAUAUUCGUAAAUUGUAAUUUUGUCAAGUAAAAACGUUUUAUUUAGCCGAUUAGGCAUAUUUUAAAUUUACGUUAUUAAAUUUUGUAAAAUCUCAAUUCGUAUUUUUGUGGCAAAAAAAUCUUGGCUCGUAUAAUUUUGAAAACCCAACAUUGAUUGUUCAGUAACACAAAACAUACAGAACAAAAGACUUUAACUAAGCCAAAGAAACCCAAAGAAAAAUUAAAUUUGAGAAAUUAAACCAAAAUCCAAAAGUCCAAUAAAUCCAUUUAUUAACCAGAGUAAACCAUUUAAUUAGAGAAUCAAUUCGAGCUUCCACACACUGCCCGAUUCUAAGUUAUCGAUUAUUUGAAACAUCAAAAAUAAAACAAAUGGGUGAGCUAUAAAGCUUGGUGCAUAACUAAAACUCAAGCCGAGAUCACACACAAUACAAUAUACAAAUCAUAAAAUCAUAGGAAAUUUCAUAACAAUCAGUCAAACAAAAUUGAGCAUACAUGAUUAUGCCAAUGCGGUAGUUUUCAGAAAAUCAUAAUGCAAAUUUUUUCAGAAAACAUCCUACCCAACACCACCACACACCCAAAUAUAGUUUCCCAAAACUCGUCCAUCUAAAAACACACCAAUUAAGUCAUCUCAGGUCGCCCGAAAGCGAUAACCUACAACCUCGAGUUAGUCGGCAAUGAUGACUUAUCAAUUUGCAGUUAAACUACUAGAUCAGAUAUUUGUGGUCAAGCGAUUGUACUGCAACUCAGCUGCCAGAUUAAAUGUUCCUAGUGUAGUCCCUAACAUUAUCAGGUGUUCUCGGCUCAGUCCUUUGGACAUUAAAAAAAAUAGAUUUGGAUAUGCAAUUAAUCAUAAAUUGCCAGGUGGUAUAUGUUAAAGUUACGAUAACAUCAUCAUCAAGAAAAAAACCAAAAAAAUCUUUAAAAAAUUUCAUAAAAUUCAAAUAAACUUAUAUAAAAUUAACUACAUUAUAAAUAUAUAAUUGUUAAAAAAUAAAAAUUCUUAAUUAUUUUAAAAUUUGUAAAAAAUAAUAAAAUUAUUAGAAAUUGUUAAAUAUUGUAGAAACAUUAUAAAAAUUAUUAGAAUCAUAAAAGACGGUAAAAAAUAAAAAGUUAAAAUACUAGUAAAAAUUGUCUAACUUGAAAUAAAGUAUACAUUUGGUAAUCAAAUUUAAAAUAUUGAAAAUUUAAUAUUAAAGUUGUAUAAUUUUUAUAAAAAAUAUUUUAAAAUAUUUUAAUAAAAAUUGAAUAAAUUUUAUAUCUAUUUUUUAAUAUUUUAAAAUACAUCAAUUUUCAGUACUUUACCAACGUUACUGGCAACAAGUUUUUUCGACUUGACUCCCUAUUUAUUGUCUUAAGUAGCUUCCUGCAUCCACCAUUUUGCACAUGGUUUUUCUAUUUUAUACCAAAGCUCUUUAGAAUAGUUAAACAUUCGACAAUAGUUCUUAAGAUAUUAGUUUAGAGACAAAUAAUUAUCUUGAGAUAGUAAAAAAAAAAGAAAUAAUUAAAUAUAUUAUUUACUUGAAAUAAUAUUAUUUUUCAUUAUUUAAAUUAUUUGAGAAAAAAACUUAUUCAAGUUUAUCACGUAAAAAGAUCUACCAAUUAUAAAUUUUGAUUAGUUGAACCAUAAGACAAUUGUUAUAGGUAGUAUCAUUCCAAGAGACAAUUAUCACAUGUUCAAACUCUAGUUAAUGUGAUUUAUAAAAUUUUAAAAAUAUUAAAAUAUCUAAUAUAUUUUUGAAAUUUAUGUAAAUUUUUAUAUUUUACACAGUUUUUUUUUCUAUUUUUAAAUAAUUUUGAUAAUUUUUCUUUUAUAAUUUUUGUCAUUUUUGAAGAUUCUUUAAGGGUUUUUGUUGAUGAUUUCAUUAUGAUAUCAUCAUACGACAUGUGGUAGUAUAUGAUUUGUUGAAUAUUCCAAAGAAUUUUUUAUUGACCAAUGAACUAAACUAAAAAUUUUUAAUAACAUUAGGGACUGAAGUGGAUAAAAAUAUUUUAAAAACUAAAGUUAAAAAAGUGAUAUACUUGCAUUAACAUUUUCUAAAAGAUGGAAGUGUUUUUCUGUUUUAAGGGAAUAGAAUUUUUUUGAGUGAAUAUAGUUUUGUGAGGGAGUAGUGAUAUUAUUAUUAGAGACAAGGCAUUUGAUUUUUAUAUAACUUUUUAAUUAAGUCAAUAUCACUCAUCGAGUAAAACCCAACAUAUUAAGCACAUUAUUAUACUAAUUUAGAUUAAUAGGAAUCAUCAAAUUUACAAUUAAGGAUUAUAAAUUUAUUUAAUUCCAAUCUUCUACCUUUUCUAAAUUAUAAGAAUGGUUUUGCCUUAUAUUUUCUUCAAAUUGAGAUUUAAUUUAUAAUUUUAAUUUUGAUAUAAUUUAGUUUAUCAAUUUUUAUAAUGCAAUUAAUUAGUUAAUACUUUAUUUUAAUCAAAAUAAUUAUAUUAAUUUUAAAGAAUUAUUAUCACCGUUAAAAUUCUUUACUAACAAUGAUUUAAAAUUAAGUUCUAUUGCUUUUGUUUUAGAUUACACAUAAAUGUUUACAAUAUGAAAUUCUUUAUAAUUUUCAAUACAUAUUACUUAAAUAAAUAGAAAAUAGAGUUUUAAUAAUGCACAACCAAAUAAAUUUUAGGGUAAACGACCAAAAUAGUCACUUUUGUUUGCCUUAGGUUACAUUUUAGUCACUUAUGUUUGAAAUGUUACGUUUUAGUCACUUACGUUAUCGUGUUGUAACAUUUUAGUCACUGAGUCAUUAAUUGUCGACAAUGGUGUAAUGGUAAGUUGAUGUGGCACGUUAAAUCAUCAUUUCAAACGAAAUUUUUAGGUUAAAUUCUACAAUUGGUCCCUAUAUUUUUCAUUUUCAACAAUUUAAAAAAUUUCUUUUAUGUUCUUCUAACUUUUUUUUUUCCAUUCUCUUAUGCUUCUCCCUCUAUUUUCCUCCCUUCUUCAUUUCUUUUAACAUAGUUUUUCUAUGAUUUCCAUUUGUAACUAGUCCACAAGCUCGCCUCACUCGAAAAAAUUAAAUUGUUCAAAAAAUAAAACAUAGAAUAACUACGUUGAAAGAAAUGGAGAAGGGAGGAAAACAAAGGGAGAAACAUAAGAGAAUGGAAAAGAAAGAAAGUUAAAAAAACAUAAAAGAAAAAAUUAAAUUGCUCCAAACGAAAAAAUAUGGGGACCGAUUGUAUAAAUUAACCUAGAAUUUUUGUUUGAAAUGAUGAUUUAACGUGCCACAUCAGUUUACUGUUACACCGUUAAUAGAAACUAACGGCUCAGUGACUAAAAUGUUACAACGUGAUAACAUAAGUGACUAAAACGUAACAUUUCAAACAUAAGUGACUAAAAUGUAACCUGUGCCAAACAAAAGUGACUAUUUUGGUAGUUUACCCUAAAUUUUAUUGAUGUUCUAUUAUUUUGAUUUCUUAGACUUGUAUAUAGGGAAAAUAAAGGACUAUUGCCAUUUAAUUGCUUUAAAACAAUUUUAAUGAGCUCUAGUCAUGCAAGAUUACCAUUAAAUAGAAUACUCAUAUAGAAGGAUUUACUAUUUUUGUUUCUCAAAUCACAACUAAUAAUUGUUCAUAAUUUCUUAUUUAGUGUCAUUUUUAAGAUUUAUUAGAUGACAAUUUUUCAUGCCAAAGUUUUAUUUUUAUUUCAUUUAAAGUUUUACAAUAUUUAAAAAAUUAUAUAUUUUGUAAAUUUGACAUUUAAUCAAUUUUAGAUCUAAAAAGUAAUAAUGAUUUCAACCCAAGGCCUGAGCUAGGAAUAGUUUUAGUUUGGAGUACUAUAUAUAUAUAUAUAUACUAAAAGAUGCAAUUUUUAUAAAUAACUUACAAAUCUAUCAUUAAAUCAAAUACUGGUAUGAAAUGGUUUAAUUAUUUGAUCACAUUUUUCCAUGACAAAAUUUUAUUUUUAUAUGAUUUAAAAUUUUACAAUUUUUAUAUUGUGAAUUUGGUGUACUAAAAGAUGUAAUUUUACAGGUAAUUUUAAUACCCAUCACCAGUGCUGCAAAGCUUGAGAUUCUUUUAUUGUGGGGAAAUAAACUUAGUGGAAACAUUCCCAACUCUAUCUCCAAUGCUUCCAUGCUUAAGAAACUAGACUUGGCAGAUAACUUAUUCUCUGGCCCAAUCCCUAAAACUUUUGACAACUUAAGACACGUUGAAUGGUUCCAAAUUUCAAACAAUAAUUUGAUCAAAAGACCUGCUACUGAUCAUGAGUGGACCUUUCUUUCUUCUUUGGCAAAUUGCAAGCAUUUGAGAAUAAUAGAUGUUUCAAGAAAUCCAUUGAGUGACGUUCUUCCAACUUAUAUUGGGAACCUUUCAAAAUCCCUUCAAUACUUUUAUGCAUCUAAUUGUGAGAUUACAGACAAUAUUCCUAUGUAAAUAGGUAGCUUAAGCAACCUAUUACUUUUACAACUUGGCUAUAAUAAAUUAAGCUUUAUUCCAACACCGAUAGGAGGACUGCAAAAUUUGCAAGGUUUACAACUUUCCUCUAAUAAAUUAGAGGGGCCUAUAUCAGAAAGCCUUUGUGGUUUGGAGAGAUUAUACUACUUGUAUUUAAGGCUGAUUAGGUUGCAUGGAUCCAUACCCUCUUGUUUGGGUAAUAUUUCUUCUUUGAGAUAUCUUUACUUAGAUUCCAACACAUUGAGUUCUACAAUACCCUCAACUUUGUGGAAUCUUAAAGAUAUCUUAGAAAUAGAUUUAUCAUCAAACCAUCUUUACAAUUCACAUGCUAUAUUGAUGUUGGAGAUUUGAGGAGUCUACUAAAACUAAAUUUAUCAAGGAAUCUUCUCAUGGGCAAUAUCUUCUCCACAUUUAGGGGUCUUCAAAUUUUGAUUUCAUUAGAUUUAUUAAAUAAUAUACAACAUGGCCAUAUCCCUGGAUCAUUAGGUGGUUUGAUUAGUUUGGAAUUCUUGAAUUUAUGAAAUAACAAUCUCUCUCGAGCCAUUCCCAAAUCUUUGGAAAAGCUUUUAGAUCCAAAGUAUUUUAUUGCGUCUUUCAAUAGACUUGAAGGGGAAAUUCCCGCCAAAGGAUGUUUUUCAAACUUCUCUAGCACAUCAUUCAUGAAGAAUUUUGCACUUUGUGGUCCACCUAGAUUGCUAGUCCCACCUUGCAAAAACAAUAUCCAAGAAAACUCCCAAAUGAAUAUAUUGCAUGCUUUAAGGUAUGGUUUACCAACAGUUGGUAUUGUUGUAGUACUAAUAGUCUUAACUAUUGUAAUCACUGAAUUUUGUCCGGCUCGAUUUGGUUUUUUUUAAAAUUUUUUUUUAAAUACAAAAAAUAAAAAAUUGUAUUUUGACCCCUAAACUUUUUUUAAAAUUACAUUUUACCCCUAAACUUUCUCAAAAUUACAUUUUGACCUCUAAACUUUCUCAAAAUUAUGUUUCGACCCUAAUACUUUUCCUGCAUUUGCAGUUUAGUCCUUCUGGCAGCAACUUGCACACCUACCCCCGUGAUUUCCGGCCACUGGCCUAGGGCAUGGCCUCCCUCUCCCCUAGCCACCUAAUCCCUGCAAAAAGGAAGAAAAAACAGCUAUAAAAUGGGUUAAAAAACCCCAAAAAUCGGACCCCCCACGAAAAAAUAAAAAAAAAACUUGCAAAAAAGAGAAAAAGAAGAGGAAAAAGGAGAGAAAGAGAGGAGAAAGGAGAAGAAGAGGCCGGCCAUCGGCGAACCACUGGCAGCAGCACGAGCAGCGACGUCGACGGCGGCGAAGGAGACCGAACGGAGAAGAAGAAGGAGAAAAGAGAAGAAAAAGAGAAAGAAGAAAGGAAAAAGAAGAAGGAAGAAAAAGAAAAAAAGAAAAAAUAUUUUUUUUAACAGUCGGGUCAAACCGACCCGACCCAACUCUGACCCGAACACCGCGACCCGACCCGGCACCUGCAUACCCAGGCCAAGCCCAGCAGCCUAAAGAAAAAACAAAAAAAGAGGCAAAAGCAAAAAAAGAAAGAAAGAAAAGGAAACAGGCCAAAAACAGCCCAAGCGCAGGCCCAAACCAACGCCAGGCCCAACAGCAGGCCUAGCAGGCCAACCAACCCAACGCUAGGCCCAACAGCAGGCCUAGCAGGCCAGCCAGCCCAACGCCAGCAGCAGGCCCAAUAGCACAGGCCCAAAAGGCAGCAGGCCAAAAAAAAAGAAGAGAAAGAGAAAAAAAAAGAAAAAAGAAAAAAAGAGAAAUAAAAGAAAAAAAGAAAAAAAAAAGAAGAAAAAAGGGGUUUCAAUUUGAACAACCCGUUCGGCGAAGCUCGUGUUUUAGAUUUUUCGGUAAUUUUAUUUAUUUCUCUUUUAAUUUAAUGCUCGUAUUUUUAUGUUAUUUCAUUUUAAUAUUAUUAGCAUUUUAUGCAUUUUUUAUAUUUUUAUAUUUUUGUAUUUAUAUUUUCAAUUUAAUUCAAUUUUAAUUUUAUUUUAUUUUAAAUAAUUUUAAUAAAUAAGGCAACGGAUCGAUUUAUCAUAAAAUUGUUGAUUUCAUCGCUAUGUUGGGUGAAUAUCACCGGUUUGUGUUAAACUCGAUACGCUCUUUUAAAAAUAAAAAAUAUUCAAAAAAAUUGUAUUUUCAAAAAAAAAUCCUCGGGUUUCGAAAUUUGCGUGUCUUCAAAAUAAUUUCUCGUGUUUUCAAAAAUAAGGUAACGAAUCUAUUUGACACUAAUUCGUUGAUUUCAUUGCUAUGUUGAGUGAAUAUCACUGACUAGUGUUAAAUAUGAUACGUGCUUAAUAAAAAAAUCAGAAAAUUUUUCGUGUUUUCAAAAAUUUCCGUGUUUCAAAAAUUUUCAUGUUUUCAAAAAUUCUCGUGUUUUCAAAAAAAUUCCAAUUUUCAAAAUUUUUCGUGUUUUCUAAAAACUUCUGUGUUUCAAAAAUUUUCGUAUUUUAAAAAUUUUUGUGUUUCUAAAAUUUUCGUAUUUCAAAAAUUUUCUUGUUUUCAAAUUUUUCGUAUUUCAAAUAUCCUCGUGUUUUCAAAAAAUUUCGGUGUUUUGAAAAUUUUCUUGUUUUUCAAAAAAAUCUCGUGUUUCAUAAAUUUUUGUUUUUUUUUAAAUUGUGUUUCCAAAAUUCUCGUGUCUAAAAAAAAUUCUCGUGUUUUAAUCGGAUCAGGAUUAAAUAUUAAAUUGAACUCGUAUUUUUGAAAGUGAAGACAACUCGCAUUUAACGAGAUACCAAUUUCGGGCGUCGCGAGGGUGCUAAUACCUUCCUCGCGCGUAACCGACUCCCGAACUCUAAUUUUCUCUGGAUUUUCACGUAGACCAAAAAUUACCUCUUUUUUAGAAAAAUUUAAAAAAUAAAUUUUCCUUCUAAAAAGAGAAUUUAUUAGGUGUCCAAUCACACCUAGGAAAAAAAAGAUCGGUGGCGACUCCUUUUUCAAAUAAAAUCGAAACACCGUUUUCAAAUUUUCAACAAUCAUUUCGAUUAGCGCCCGUGCACGAAAUUUUUAGGUCGCUACAACUAUUAUGUAUAGAAGAUGCCAAAGUAGGAGUACAACUCUACCAAUUCAGGAUGAUUUGUUUUCUUUGAAAACGCUGAGUGGAAUUUCACAUGCUGAACUUUCACAAGCAACUAAUGGAUUUGAGGAAAACAAUAUGCUUGGUUCAAGGAGUUUUGGAUAUGUAUAUAAAGAAAGGCUUUCAGAUGGAAUGGAAGUUGCAAUAAAAGUUUUCAAUUUGCAAACAGAAGAAGCAUUUGGGAGCUUUGACAUUGAAUGUGAUGCUAUGCGAAAUAUAGAUCAUCAUAAUAUUGUGAAGGUCACUACUUACUGCUCAAGUGUUGACUUCAAAGCCUUGGUGCUUGAUACAUGUCUAAUGGAACUACAGAGAAAUGGUUAUAUUAUUAAAACUAUUUCCUUGAUAUCAUACAAAGGGUUGACAUAAUGAUAGAUGUUGCAUCAGCUAUAGAACAUCUCCACAACGGGCAUCCAACACCUAUAAUUCAUUGUGACUUAAAACCAAGCAAUAUUUUACUAGAUGAAGACAUAGUUGCACAUGUGGGAGAUUUUGGCGUUGCCAAAUUGUUGGGAGAAUGUGAUGUAAUGAAGCAGACCAUGACUCUUGCAACAAUCGGGUAUAUGGCACCAGGUGAAUUUUUUAUUUUUGUAUUAUUAUUUGUCUAAUAUGCAUUUUAUAUUUUGUUUCAUCUGUAUGUGGAUAUAUAUUUGAAUAAUCAUUUUAGAAAUAAUUAAAGAUUAAUGAUGCUCUAAUUUUACUUGAAAUGCAAAAUUUGGAUCAACGGGAAUUGUUUCUAUAAAAUGUGACAUCUAUAGUUAUGAGAUUGUCCUUAUACAAACUUUCACAAAGAAAAAGUCAACUGAUAAUUUUUUUGCUGAAUAAGUGACUAUAAAGCAUUGGAUGGGAAGUUCAUUGCCAAAGGAGCAUGAAAAUCCCCAAAACCUAAAUUCUUUCCUUCUAGCAAUGAAGAGAUGGUGAGGGGAAGGGGAAAAAAUCACGUUAAAUGAAAAGAAAAAGAAAAAGAACAAAAUUAAAUUUGACGUGAAAAUUAUUUUAAUACUUUUAAUUUGAGUUGGAAAGGUUGAUGAUGUAGCAUAAAAUAAUUGGAUAGGACCAUAUUUGAGGUAGUGGGUGUAACACCCCUUACCUGAGACCGUCGCCGGAAUCGAGUACGAGAUGUUAUCCAAUUUAACUUACCAAUUUGGAGCAUAAAAAUUUGCUUUGUAAAUUACUUUCACAAUUUACAGCAAAGCUGUCCACCUGCGCGACUGUCACUAAUUUAAUUAUAACUCGAGUUACGAAACUCGAAAUUUAAAUCCGUAAAUUUUCCAUGAAACUAGACUCAUAUUUCUACGUACCAUAAAAUUUUUAGAAUUUUUGACUUAUCCAAUUAGUACAGUUUAUUCAUUAAAGUAUCCCCUGUUUCACAACUUGACAGAUCUGACCUCUUGGCACUAAAAAUCAAUUAUCUCACUGUACAAAAUUCAUAUAAGGUUAUCAUUUAUUUCUCUUGAAAAUAGACUCACUAAGGAAUCUAGAAAUAUAAAUUAUGACCCAUAAUUCUUUCUGUACAAUUUAUAAUGAUUUUCUAAAGUCAGAACAGGGGACUUUAAAAACCAUUCUGACCCUGUCUCACUAAAAUUCAAAUAUCUCAAAAUAUACAAUUCCUUUGCCUACACCGUUUCUUUCAUAUAAAAAUAGACUUGAUAAGCUUUAAUUCCAUCUAUAAUUCACUCUCUAAUUCCAUUUAUACUAUUUAUGGUGAUUUUUCACAUUCACGUCACUGCUGCUGUCAAAAAAACUGCUUCUUUAUAUUAGUUCCAUUUACACAUACAUACCACCAAAACAUAAUCUCUACUAACCACUUCAAUAGCUAAUCUUAGCCAUAUCAUAUGAACAUACUCAAAAUGAUUAAGACUCUAUACAUGCCAUAGUUUAAACAUUUUGGAAAGCACACAAUACCGAGAUGAUUAUGAUAGUGUGAUACGAGCUCCGACGAUCCCCAAUUCGAUCAAGUUCAAAUCACUAUAAAACAAAGGAAAUAAGAAAAUGUGUAAGCUACAAUUAGCUUAGUAAGUUACAUGUAAAUAAUAGAUACUCAUUUAAUAAUUAACACUUUUAACUUAUAACUAAUCAAAACAUUUCUUGGCAAUUUCAAUCACUUACACAUGCACAAUCUUACCAUUUCACUUACAUAUACAUUUUCACACUUAACCUUUACCACUUUUGAUCAUUAUUUCAAUUGUACCUGCAUACACACUUCAUUUCAUAUUCACUUUAACACAUUAUUAAUCCCGUUGAACACUUGGAAUAUACACGGAUACAUAGAGAUUUAGCACAUAAGUGCCACACUGAUAUGUAGCCGAAGCUACCACUGAUAUGUAACCGAAGUUACCACUGAAUGUAGCCGAAGCUACCACUGGGAUGUAACCGAAGCUACCACUGAUCAAUAACACUGGAAAUGUCCACGGGCCUGCUCACACAAGCUGUCAGGUGUCUGCAACACAUGCUAGAUCACCCAGCACCCGGGACUCACUGUAACACUGUAACACUGGUCUCUAGUGACAUGUCACUUGUAUCCAUUUCUAUUCCUAAGUUCAACUGGGAAUUUACACUUAACACUUUAUUUUCAACACUUUAUCACUUGAAUAAUUCAUGAAUAUUUUUCCUUCCACAUUCAAUAUUGAUUCACAUAUCAAUAAAAUUCACAAUUUAUAAAAAUGUAUUACUAUUAUUUACACAUAACUUACCUCGGAUGCAAAACGACUAUUUCUGUAAUUUAGUCGAUAACUUUCUCUUUUCCCCGAUCACUUGCACUAUUUCUUCUUUCUUGAUCUAUAUUAACACAAUUUAAUACAUUUUAUCAACAUUUCAUUCAAAUACAAUUCAUACACAACAUUUUGGCAAAUUUACAUUUUUCCCCAAAACUUUUCAAAAAUUUCACUUUUGUCCCUAAGCUCGUAAAAAUAAAAUUCACUAAAUUCUUAAAUUUCAAACUUCACUAAAUCAUAUUUCAUGCUCAUAACAGCCCUCAAUUUCACAAAAUCACAACUUUAUGCACACUUUACCAUCUUUCACAAUUUAGCCCUUUUUCAACAUUUUCAUUGAAAUUCAUCUAGUAAAACUUGAAAUUAACACUUCAAACAUUCAUUAUCUAACAUCACUAAUCACUUUACAAUUAUAUCAUGAAUGGGUCAAUUUUUAAACUUUAAUUUCACUUAAAUUAAAUGGUAGAAACAUGAAAUUCAAGCAUCAAUAAGCAUAAAAAUACGAAAAUAAUUAAAAACGGGGCAAGAAAUCACUUACAAUUGAGCUUAGAAAAAUCAAAACCCUUAGCUAUGGUAACAUGAAACUUUCGGCAGCAAGCUUCUGAUUUUUGAAGAAGAUGACACUUAUUUUCUCUUAUUUUGUCUUUUUGGACAAAAAUGCCCUUGACCCAUUACUUAGAUAUUUUUCUAGAAUUACCCUUUUGUGUCCAUAUCACUAAUUUAUGGUCUAAUUGCCACAUAAACACUUCCAAUUUCAUGCAAUAAUUCAAUUAAGUCAUUUAAUCACUAAUUAGACACACUUUGCAAUUUUCUCGAUUUAGUCCUAAAAAUUCAAUUAGGCACUAAAUCAUUAAAAUUUCCUAUCCAUAUUUUCACACAAUAUUUCAAUCAAUCAAUAACUAAUAAAAAUUUAUAAAAUUAAAAUAUUUCACUUCGGAUUUGUGGUUACGAAACCACUAUUCCAAUUAGGCCCUAUUUCGGGCUAUCACAGUGGGAAAGGUCCAUGAAAUAAUUUUUCUAUGUUAUCAAAUAGAUGAAUGAUGGUUAUUGGGAUCAAACUAAUGAUUUUGAGGAUGUUAAUGGUUAAUUUGGUGGAGAGGGUGGAAAAGAAACAAAUAAUUCAUUAUAUGUCAUAUAAUUAUGCAAUUCAAGUUGUAAUACCCAAAUUUUACCCGGCCUACAAAAACAGUCCAAAUUACAAUGGGCUUAUGUGGCCCAAAACCUGAAAUGAACAGAGGCCCAAAACAAUGGCCCAAAACAAUGUCAGAAACUCCUAGGGUUUCUAAGGAAACUUUCCCGCCGCAGCCACCAAGCACCACGAGCCGAAAUCUUCACCUGCGCAGAAACAACGGAAAUGGCAAGAAAAUCAAAGAUUGCGAAUCAAAUAUGAGCAAGAUUUGAUUCUUUAUAUUAUUAUUUUCAUUAUGGCUAUAAAAUAGCCAUUGAUAUGCUGUAAAAAAGGAGGGGAAGACCAAAAGAAAUACAAAGACCAAUAGGAAAUUUUCUUUUUUUUGAAAUACAAAGGUUUUCUUUUCUGUUUUACCUCAUUGUCGAUUAUUGUUCUUUUAUUUUUUCAUUUAUACAUAUACAUAUUUGAUUUUUUAUAGUUUCUCUAUUUUUUUUAUUUAUUUUUGCUUAAAAUAUAAAGAAAAGAGGAGGGAUUUUACCUUUUUUUCGUCGAAGUUGUCGAACGGUGGCCAUCUCCGUCGCGAUCGGAGUGUUGGCACAGGCGAACAGCGGCGCAAAAGGGGUUAAGAAAAAACCCUAGCAGAGCAUUUGUGUUUUUUUUGUUUUUUUUUAUGUGGGUUAUUGAUUUUUAUUUUUUUAAAGAAUUUUCGUUUAAAUAACAUUAGCAAAACGACGCCGUUUUAGGGGAGCAGGAUCCGCGCGUUGACCCGACCUGCAGGCAGGGUGCACGUUCUGGCCUUGAAUGGGGUAUUUGUGCAUUUAGUCCCUCCUCUUUGCGACGCACUUCAAUAAAACCCAUUUUUCUUUUUCUUUUUUUAAAUUUAGCGGCAUAUUUCAUUUUUGUUUCAAUCGAGUCCGUCACUGCGCAGCGUUUUGGAAGUCGGAAUUAAUUUCCCUUUUGGUCCUCUAUUGUUGCUUGCGCAUUCAAGUUGGUCCCUUCUUUAUAUUUAUUGCUAAUUUGCCCCAUUUUUUCGCUUUUAGUUCAGUUUAGUCCAUUUUUUUAGCUAUUUCAUUAUUUAGUUAUUUUUUUAUUUAUUAUUAUUAUUAUUAUUAUUAUUAUUAUUAUUUCUAAAUUUAUACACGCAUUUUUUUAUGGUAUAUAUAUAUAUGCAUUUUUUUUGUAUAAUAUAUAUUUUUUAACUUUUAUAAAUACAUGCAUAUACUUCAUACAUAUUUGUUUAUUAUUAUUUUGAUUUCAAAACUUUUAUAUACUUUAAAUUUUAUAUACAUACAUAUACAUUUUAUAACACAUAUACAUUUUCCACGUUUUAUAAUUUAAAAUACACAUACAUUUUCUAUAAUAUAUUUAUGUAUACGUUUUUAUUCUUUAUAUUUUUUUUGGUUUAUUUCCUUCGUCUAUUCAUUGAUUUAGGUUUUCAUUUACAUUUUAAAAGAAUGUCCUUUUUUUAUAUUGCUUAUUCAUUUUAUAUUUUUGCAUUGUCAUUGUUUAUUUUUUUAUUUUAUAUUAAUUUCGUUUAUUUACUAUUUAUAUUAUUUCUAUACAAUUGUCGUAUUUAUUAUUGCAACAUUUAUACAUACAUUCCAUAUAACAUUACAUCAUCUUUUACUCGAAUUUAAAAAUAGAAAAUUUUCAAAAUAGAGAUAAUACUCGUAUUUAGGAUUUUCAAGAAAAUUGAGCCCUAACGUAUUGGGUUCCGAUUUUCUUCGUUAAAUCUAACAAUCGAGAAUUGCUCUUUGAUAAAAAAUAAAAUAAAAACUUGUCAUCGGGAAUUCAAUAUGUUGUGUCCUAACAUAUUGGAUGUGAUGCGUUGAUUUCUCGAGAUAAAGAUUUUCUAAACAAUAAAAGAAAUAUUCAAUGUUUGGGAUUUUAAGAAAUUGUGCCUUAACGUAUUGGGCUGUGAUUUCUUCAUAAAUUUUAAACAAUUAAAUAUUUUCUUAAAUUUUAUUACACGAGUUUUUUGGACCAGCUCAUCUUAAAAAGAAUAAAAUAUUGUGCCCUAACGCAUUGGGUGUGAUAUUUUCUUUUUUCAAAAUGAGAAAGUCUUAACAAAAAAUUUAAUUUAACUAAGGAUCGUAUUUAUUAACUCUCGACAUUAAGACACUGAUUAAUCAACUCGGUACCAAUUUUUGGGUGUUACGAGGGUGCUAAUCCUUCCUUGCACGUAAUUUACUCCUAAACCCGUUUUUUAAAACUCGUAGGCCAAAGUCGUUUUUUGGUGAUCCAAUCACACCUUAAUAAAAGAUUGGUGACGACUCCAAUUUUCAUCGACAACUAAUUUUUGUUUUUUUUCAAAAUAAAAAUGGUUUCGACAGCUUGGCGACUCCGCUGGGGACACAUACGAGAGUCGAGCCACAAAGUUGAUUAAUUUCUGUCUUAUUGGCGAGAAAAUAAAUUUUUUUAAAAAAAUCAUGAAAUCAUUGUGCAUUCAUUCAUUUUCUUGCUUAAUUGAUCUUUGCAUUAUACAUUACAUGAGUUGAAUGAUUUUACCCUUCUAAGUGGGAGUGAGAAACUAUUCCUUCGUGAGGUUUUCACCUCCGUAUAGGAUAGUGGAUCGCUUUCGGGAUACAUCUGUACCUAUGCCUUCUUGAGAUUUUCAUCUUCGUAUAGUCAUAGGGAAAAUGUAUUCCCCUGAACCGAACUUGAUCUAUAUGAGCCUAUAAUGGGUGAAGAUUGAGGAAUCUGCUGGUUUGGGUACCUUUGCCCUAGAAGUCAAACCACAUAUAGUGAACCUUAGGAACUUGCCCUAGGUAGGGAUAUGCCAAACCCCUAGUGGUCACCCGAAUAGGUUUUCUAUUUAUUCUUGCUUUAGCUUUGUACCAACCUGUUUUCUUUUUGGUUGUGAUUGCAUUGCAUUUUCAUCAUAAAAAAAGAGAGAGGUGUUGAUUCACAUUCAGUUGCUAAAUAGAUAGCUUGUCAUAAGAAAAUGAGUUUCUUGAUAAAAUGGAUGAUAAUAUGGUUGUCCGAAUAUGGUCCAAGAAAUGUGAUAAGAGAAGGAUGAUAGUUUAAUGGAGGACUACACGACUAUGGCUCCAUUGCCCAAGGAUUCAAGAUAACAAAGAUUAUUCGAGAGCCGCUAAACUUUCUUAAAGAGAAACCAACAAGCAUCACAAGGAUGAGUGAGCAACAAAUUGCGGCCUGGAUCAAGCAAAAAGGAGAUAGAAGAGACUUCCUUUUUGAAAAGUUCGUGAGAUUUAUCUUAACGCUUGAAUGAAGAAGAGGAUCGAAUGUCUUCGCCUAUGAGGGCAAGGCUGUAUAAAUAUUCAUUUUAUGUAAAGAGAUUUGUUUUCUAGUAAAGUUCUCUAAAUGGAAUUGAAUCAGAAUCAACGUCCCUUUAUGCAUUCAUUUCCUGCAUUCGCAUUACAUGAUAUCAUAGCAUUAAAAUCCACUAAAAGAUUCUAAUUAAUAUAAAUCAUUCCUCAGUUAAUCUGGAAACCAACCAACCCAUCACACACCACUACGGUACUCGAUCAAAAACUAAAGACAUGGACCAAAGGAUGGAAAGGUUAGAACAGUUCCAAAAAGAAAUGCAGUAUCAACUUCAAUAACAAAUGAAUGAACAACUUGAGAAAAUUCAGCAAAAAAUGAUGGACAAAAUGAUGGAAUCUCAAGAGAGUAUGAUGGCUCAAUUAACUCAGUUGUUGACCAGAGGAACUAAUAAAGGAAAAGGCUCUGUGCUCAAUAUGGAAGAAGGAGACAGUGAGGGACUUCUUUAUCCUCCAGGCUUGACCCCUCAGCAUGGGCAGACCCAAGUAGAGGUAUAUCCGCACAAAUCCUCUAUCACCAUCAAGCCUCAGCAGUUUCAGGCCGGUGCUGUAACACCAAUGAAUUUUCCAGCUAGAUCAGGCCCUAACCCCAGAGACGACCUUGUUAAUCCUGAUAUCCCUGACUUCGAUGAAACAGCUGAAAAAGAGAAAAUGAAUGGUGAAUUGCCAAAACAGCUCGAAGAAAAGUAUAAAUGGCUGGAGGAAAAACUUAGAGUGAUGGAAAGUACUAAGAGCUACCAUGGAAUUGACACUAAAGAAUUGAGCUUGGUUCCGGAUUUAGUACUCCCUUAUAAAUUCAAAAUUCCUGAGUUUGAGAAGUACAAUGGAACUAAUAGCCCCGAAGCUCAUAUUACCAUGUUUUGUAGGCGGAUGACUGGGUAUGUUAAUAAUGACCAACUGCAUAUACAUUGUUUCCAGGAUAGCCUUGCAGGGGCAGCAUCCAAGUGGUACAACCAACUGAGCCGUACCAAGAUUAAUUUAUGGAGAGAUUUAGCAUAGGCAUUCAUAAAGCAGUACAAUCAUGUAACUGACAUGGUACCUGAUAGAAUCACUCUACAGAACAUGAAAAAGAAGCCUGGUGAAAGUUUUAGGCAGUACACACAGAGGUGGAGGAGGUCGCAGUCCAAGUUCAGCCACCGCUUCUGGAAAAGGAAAUGACAAUGCUAUUCAUAAAUACAUUGAAAGCUCCGUUCAUCACACAUAUGUUAGGGAGUGCUACAAAAAGCUUUUAUGGCAUAAUCAUGAAUGGUGAAAUGAUUGAAAGCGCCAUAAGGAGCAGAAAAAUUGAUGCUGGAGGGAAUAACAGAAGGCAAGCCUCAAAAGAAAAAGAAAAUGAGGUGAACAGCGUGAAUACGUACAGAAAAUCGAUUGCUAAUCAGUAGGGUUCAUCAAGACAAGAAUCAUGUGUGAAGCAAGGUACUGAAAAACUCUAGUUCACUCCAAUUCCAAUGUCGUACAAGGAGCUGUAUCAAAGCUUAUUCGAUGCGCAUAUUGUUUCUCCUUUACAUGUGAAGCCUCCACAGCCUCCGUAUCCCAAAUGGUACGACGCAAGUGCACAAUGCGAUUAUCAUGUGGGAAUUACGGGACACUUAAUAGAGAGUUGCAUUACCUUCAAAAAGCUAGUUGAAAAAUUCAUCAACAUGGGUAUCGUCAAGUUGAAUGGCUCAUUUAAUGCAGAAAAUUUACUACCCAAUCAUGAUUGACAAUGGGGUGAAUGCAAUAUAUGAAGAGAUGUUAGGAAGUGUUCACAUCAAUGACAUAUAGGAAUACACAAAUGAAAGGGGGACCUUGUUAGAUAUCCGCCCUUAUAAAUCUGGGAGUGUUUAAAAUAAUUGGAUUGCGGAAGAAAUAUCUAUAGUCUUUAGAGCGUAUUUAGAGUAAUGUUCAGAACAUUCUUGUUGUUUUUAGCCUAAAAAUGAUAGGAAUUCCUUUGUGAAAUAGACUCAUGUCUGAUGAUCAUUAUUAUAAUAAAAUACAUCUUUGUAUUUAUUUUUGAGCCAACAUUCUUUCAUUCUUUGCGAGUAAUUAUUUUGUCAUUCUUUUGGAUUUUCUUCCACAUCAUUCUUUCAUUCAUAAUUAUAUUAAAAAAAUAAUUAUUCGUAAAUUCACACAUUCUUUUGCGCUUACUAUGGGACCCCAAAUAUCAAUGACAUGAGUGACGCUGUACUGACUCAAAAUCUCCUUCUGAGCGAGACAUGUGUUUAAAGGGAUCUCAUGACUUUGAAGAUGACAUAGAUCGUAGCCUAUUUCUGGACCUAUUAAGGAUGGUAGAACAAGUCGAGAAACGAAUCUUACCCUACAAAGAAUCAUUGGGAUAUAUGACUUCUCCUUAUGUGGGGCAUGAAGGUCAUUUGGUCGAUCUCGCCAAAAGAGUCUGACGGUCAUUGAUUCAUCUUUGUGAUCGUCAAUUACUUUACUAAAUGAGGGGAAGCUGCUUUAUAUGUCAAUGUCACAAAGUUGACAGUUAGCAAAUUCUUGAAGAAUCAUAUGGAACGUCAAAAGGAUCAUAUCUGACAAUGUACUAAAUUUGAGCAACAGCACAAUAUCAAAAGUUUGCAGUCUAUUCACGAUUAAUGCCAUAUCACCAAAAAAGAUGGCGCAAAAAAAAGAGAGAAAAGAAGAAAGAAAAUGGAGAGGCCAAAGUGAAAACCCGCAAAGGGCACCUUGAGACCAAAGGGGAUUUGAGUUGAAAACCCGAAACAGGCGGCUCAAAUAUUGAUCAGAAUAGGGCAUGAGGUGAUUAGAGCAACUCGAAUUUUAACCAGAUUGGGGCAUGUGGUGAUCUUGUUAUACCUGAAUUAUCAGGAAAGGGUAGGCAACAUCUUGGGGCAUUGGCAGAGUACUGUGGAUCUCCUAAACACAUGUCAAACUCAGAAGGAUCUUCAAAAAGUUUGUACGGAGAAAUUCAAGCUGCGAUAUCUGGGGCACCCAAUUUUCAUACUAUUGAAUUUGUUAUUCUUAGAAUACUUCAUUCUUUUCAAAGAUACACAUUCCCAAUCAAUUUCUUUGUUAUCCUUUUUACUAUUUUUGAUAAUUUAUUCCUUUCGAGCUAUGCUCAGAACUAAUUUUAUUCUUAUCCAUUGUUAUGACCUUUUUGCAUGCAUAUUGCAUUGGAAUAAUGAUCAAUGGACUAAUAAAACUUUCACAAGGGAAGUUUUGCAUAUUACUCUAGAAGUUUCUAAAUAAUAUAGGAGCCUGAAACAGGACUAUUAUUUAGAACGCACUAGGUUUAAAGGUUGGAAAUCUAAAAAGGAAGAGUCUAAACUAGGACUUUCUCUUUGGAUUUUGUUGUCAAAAAUCAUUAGUUGAACAAAAUAAUAAGAUGUCGUGUUGAUGACAAAGCUUAAAUCAACAAGCAAGUAAUGAUCACCAGGCAAUAGAAAGAGGUUACCUCGGGGAAGAGAGCCCUCAUUUGCUCAUGAGCCUUUGGUACGACACCCUAGGAAUGGUGUAAGAGACAAGAAAGAUUUAGAUCCUGUAUCCUUGAAUUGUGAUAGGAGAGGAUUGAAGAAAAGCCAUAUACCCUUGGGUUACAGUGGGAGAACGAUGGUAUGAAUUUUUGCGCCCCAAUGGAUUAAACUUUGAGGUUUACAGUGGGGGCAACCUGACUAAAUGUUUCUUCAGAAAAGCCAGCCAAGCAAGAAGGCAUUGUAGCACGUUAGUGUUAAAGCCUUAAUAAUCUUCGAACAAUGACAACCUAGGUGGGAUCAUUCUCGAAAAAAAAACUAUGCAUUCAUGCAAACACCAUUCACAGAUGUCUAGUUAGGAGCAUUUGAUUCAUUUUAUGCCAUCCUAAUCAUUAGGCAUAAAUAGGUUCAUUAUACAGGUCAUGUUCCCCAGAGAGCAGAUCAGUAAAAAUAGCAGAUCUUGCCUUCCUACACCGACAGUGAAACAGAUCAAAGACACCAGCCAUGCCUCCCUGGGUUGCAGUGGAGUAGGUUAAAAAUAGCAGAUCUUGCCUUCAUGCACCGACAGCGAAGCAGAUCGAAGAGACCAGCCUUGCCUCCCUGGGUUGCAGCGGAGCAGGUUAAAAUAGCAGAUCUUCCCUUCCUGCACUGACAGCGAAGUAGAUUGAAAACACCAGCCUUGCCUCCUUGGGUUGCAGUGGAGCAGGUUAAAAAUAGUAGAUCUUGCCUUCCUGCACCGACAGCGAAGCAGAUCGAAGACACCAACCUUGCCCCCUAGGUUGCAGUGGAGCAGGUUAAAAAUAGCAGAUCUUGCCUUCCUGCACCGACAGCGAAAUCGAAGACACCAGCCUUGCCUCCCUGGGUUGCAGCGUAGCAGGUUAAAAAUAGCAUAUCUUACCUUCUUGCACCGACAGCGAAGCAGAUCGAUGACCCCAGCCCUAUUUCCCUGGUCAGCAGGGGAAUAAGUUGAAGAUUGAGAAUCUUAUCUCCCUGAAGUUGCAGUGGAGUAGAUUAAAGCCAAUAAUCCUAUCUCCUUAAAUUUGUAGUGGAGCGGAUUAAAACCACAGAUCUUAUCUCUCUAAAGUUGCAGAGAGCAGAUCGCAUCUGGUCUUAUCUCCCAAAAGUUGCAGUAGAGCAGACUGAGUAAGAAAGUCUUAUCCCCCUGAAAUUGCAGUGGGGCAGACUAAAUGAACAAAUCUUAUCUCCCUAAAGUUGUAGUGGAGUGGAUUAGAAUGAUGGGUCUUAUCUCUCUGAAGUUGCAACAGAGCAGAUCACAUCAAAUUCAUCUUUAAGUGACAGCAGAUCAAGUUGAAGCUAUAAGUCUUAUCUCCCUGAAGUUGCAGUGGAGUAGAUUGAAGCACUAGUUCCUAUACCUUUGAAGAUGCAGUAUGAAGGAAUGAGGCUACUUGAAGAAGAAGACUACCUAGGUCCAGCACGAUCGGGUAAAAUUGGGCAUUUUUAAAGUCUUUACUCCAUUCCUGUUACACGAUAACGAGUAAAGAGGGGCAGCUGUAAUACCCAAAUUUUACCGAGCCUACAAAAACAGUCCAAAUUACAAUGGGCUUAUGUGGCCCAAAACCCGAAUGAACAGAGGCCCAAAACAAUGGCCCAAAAUAAUGUCAGAAACUCCUAGGGUUUCUGAGGAAACUUUUGCGCCCAGCCACCAAGCACCACGAGCUGAAAUCUUCACCUGCACAAAAACAACAGAAAUGGCAAGAAAAUCAAAGAUUGCGAAUCAAAUAUGAGCAAGAUUUGAUUCUUUUUAUUAUUAUUUUCAUUAUGGCUAUAAAAUAGCCAUUGAUAUGCUGUAAAAAAGAGGGGGAAGACCGAAAGAAAUACAAAGACCAAUAGGAAAUUUUCUUUUUUUGAAAUACAAAGGUUUUCUUUUCUGUUUUACCUCAUUGUCGAUUAUUGUUCUUUUAUUUUUUCAUUUAUACAUAUACAUAUUUGAUUUUUUUAUAGUUUCUUUAUUUUUUAUUUAUUUUUGCUUAAAAUAUAAAGAAAAGAGGAGAGAUUUUACCUUUUUUUCGUCGAAGUCGUCGAAUGGUGGCCAUCUCCGUCGCGAUCGGAGUGUUGGCACAGGCGAACGAUGGCGCAAAAGGGGUUAAGAAAAAACCCUAGCAGAGCAUUUGUGUUUUUUUGUUUUUUUUAAUCUGGCUUAUUGAUUUUUAUUUUUUAAAAAAAGAAUUUUCGUUUAAAUAACAUUAACAAAACGGCGCCGUUUUAGGGGAGCAGGAUCUGCGCGUUGACCCAACCCGCAGGCAGGGUCCACACGUUCUGGCCUUGAAUUGGGUAUUUGUGCAUUUAGUCCCUCCUCUUUGCGACGUGCUUCAAUCAAACCCAUUUUUCUUUUUUUUUUUUAAAUUUAGCCGCAUAUUUCAUUUUUGUUUCAAUCUGGUCCGUCACUGCGCAGCGUUUUAGAAGGCGGGAUUAAUUUCCCUUUUGGUCCUCUAUUGUUGCUUGCGCAUUCAAGUUGGUCCCUUCUUUAUAUUUAUUGCUAAUCUGCCCCAUUUUUUCGCUUUUAGUUCAGUUUAGUCCAUUUUUUUAGCUAUUUCAUUAUUUAGUUAUUUUUUUAUUUUUUUGUUAUUGUUAUUAUUAUUAUUUCUAUACUUAUUAUUUCUAUAUUUAUACACGCAUUUUUUUAUAGUAUAUAUAUAUAUAUGCAUUUUUUAUAUAUAAUAUAUAUUUUUUAACUUUUAUAAAUACAUGCAUAUACUUCAUACAUAUUUGUUUAUUAUUAUUUUGAUUUCAAAACUUUUAUAUACUUUAUAUUUUAUAUAUAUACAUAUACAUUUUAUAACACAUAUACAUUUUCCACGUUUUAUAAUUUAAAAUACACAUACAUUUUCUAUAAUAUAUUUAUGUAUACGUUUUUAUUCUUUAUAUUUUUUUUUUGGUUUAUUUCCUUCGUCUAUUCAUUGAUUUAGGUUUUCAUUUACAUUUUAAAAGAAUGUCCUUUUUUUUAUUUUGCUUAUUCAUUUUAUAUUUUUGCAUUGUCAUUGUUUAUUUUUUUACUUUAUAUUAAUUUCGUUUAUUUACUAUUAUAUUAUUUCUAUACAAUUGUCGUAUUUAUUAUUGCGACAUUUAUACAUACAUUCCAUAUAACAUUACAUCAUCUUUUACUCGAAUUUAAAAAUAGAAAAUUUUCAAAAUAGAGAUAAUACUCGUAUUUAGGAUUUUUAAGAAAAUUGAGCCCUAACGUAUUGGGUUCCGAUUUUCUUCGUUAAAUCUAACAAUCGAGAAUUGCUCUUUGAUCAAAAAUAAAAUAAAAACUUGUCAUCGGGAAUUCAAUAUGUUGUGUCCUAACGUAUUGGAUAUGACGCGUUGAUUUCUCGAGAUAAAGAUUUUCUAAAAAAUAAAGGAAAUAUUCAAUGUUUGGGAUUUUAAGAAAUCGUGCCCUAACGUAUUGGGCUGCGAUUUCUUCAUAAAUUUUAAACAAUUAAAUAUUUUCUUAAAUUUUAUUACACGAGUUUUUUGGACCAACUCAUCUUAAAAAGAACAAAAUAUUGUGCCCUAACUCAUUGGGUGUGAUAUUUUCUUUUUUCAAAAUGAGAAAGUCUUAAUAAAUAAUUUAAUUUAACUAAGGAUCGUAUUUAUUAACUCUCGACAUUAAGACACUGAUUAAUCAACUCAGUACCAAUUUUUGGGUGUUACGAGGGUGCUAAUCCUUCCUCGCACGUAACUGACUCCCGAACCUGUUUUUUAAAACUCGUAGGCCAAAGUCAUUUUUAGGUGAUCCAAUCACACCUUAAUAAAAGAUUGGUGGCGACUCCAAUUUUCAUCGACAACUAAUUUUUGUUUUUUUCAAAAUAAAAAUGGUUUCGACACAAGUAAUAGUAAGUUUCAUACAAGGUUCAAAGGCAAUUAAAUGACUUGUAAGUUUGUUGAACUUCUUUGAAAGGCCCAAAGGCAAUUGAACAUUUACAAAAUAGUCUCUAUAUACUGUAGAGACAAAUCAAAUCCAUGGGAGCAUUACAGUUAGUUAAAUUGAGCAUUGGCAGAAAUUCCAUCAUAGGAAAUAUUGGCAAAAUCGUCUAUUUAAUUAGAAAAACAACAUAAUUCAUGAAACAUAGAUAGCCCAAUAUAAAUGUCAUCGAGAAAAAAAGUCUGUUUGUUUUAUAGCACAUGAUAGUAAAGCAUGCGAAGUUUCAUUCUUCUUAUUGGCCUCCUUUAGUUUUCCUUGAUCAUCAACCACUAGCCAAAAACACAAUUAGAUUAGAUUAUAAAUGAAACAUUCAAUUAUGAUAAAAUUAAAUAGAAAACACCCUAAAUAACUCUAGAUAAAUGAAUAGUAGCAAAUUACCUGGUGAGGCAAGCUAGCUCAAUUAAGAUCAUUGUGUUAGACUUGUGUAUGCAUUAAACAAUCUAAAAGAAAAUGAAGGAAAAGACUUAGAAAACACUUGAAAAUUGACAAAAUUUAUAUGCCAUUGACUGGUUAAACUAUGAUCACCCAUAACAGACCUUGUAUUGGAGUUUUUGUUGAGGGAGAUCAAGUCCUUCAAGAAAAGUCUUUUAAGUGUUGUUUGUUACGUAAUCGCUGCUACCCUCAACAAAAGGUAUUGUCCUCAUGUCAAGAUUUUAUCCUCAGCCUUUAUGGAAUAAUCAUGGAGAUUACAUGUGCAAGGAUUCAAACCACCAACCAAUGCAUAUGUAGUAUUUACUUUGGAACCAUCUCCGUGAACCCACGAGGUUCUUUGCAGAAUCAAGAGACAAAACCCCAACACAAGAAUAAUACCAUCUAUUGAGGGUCCUUUAACACAACAAAUGAAAUUCAUACAUUUAUUUAAUAAAAGUAAAUAUCAUAUUUAAUUGGGGAAAAGCAACAAAAAAUCCAACAAUAAAAUCCUUAGCAAAAGAUUAAAACACAGUUAUAUCGUAAAUGACAUAAGAAACUAAGAAAAUCCAAUCUGACAAAGAAAAUAACUUGAUGCUCCAAAGCUACCAUAUACCGUAAUUCAUGGGAAGGUCUGAUGCUCAUUUUAUUGGUUUCCAUCUUGAUUUUGCAAAAGAAGUUUGAAUUUUGAAGAGAGCAAAAGAUUGAGCGAAAGAAAAAAAAUUAGUUUAUUAAUUUUCACAAUUUAUAAGACAAACCUUAUGGAGACAAAUAAUGACAUAUUAGAUAUUUGUGAUUAAAAUUCUAGAAUAGAUUUAAAAUGUUGAAUUAAUGAUGAAAUUAAUAGUGAAUUAAUAACAACAAGCGUACUGAUUACUUAGCUUCUUUGUUAAACAUGUUCGAUGUUGUUUAACAGCCUUUGUUUGAUUUUCUUUAGCUCAACCACAACAUCUUUCAUAUCUUUUCUUUCUUCUGGUAACUCAGCUGAACAAUUCAAAGCCAACUCCAUGAUGGAUGAAAUACAAUUUGCUUUAACAACAAAGUACUCAUCCUUUCUUCUUAGUAAAUCAACAUCUGCAAUUUCUAUCGCUCCUUUAGGCAACGAACUUUCCAUCCAAUGCGUUAUAGUCAUUUCUUCAGCAAAAAAUUUAUCAGUUGGCUUUUUCUUUGUAAAAGUUUCUAUAAGGAUGAUCCCAUAACUAUAGACGUCACAUUUUAUACAAACAAUUCCUGUUGAUCCAAAUUCUGCAUUUCAAGUAUAAUUAGAACAUCAUCAAUCCUUAAUUAGUUCUAAAAUGCUUAUUCAAAUAUAUAUCCAUAUAUGCAUGAAACAAAAGUAUAAAAUGCAAAUUAGGAAAAUAAUGAUACAAAAAAAAAAUUCACCUGGUGCCAUAUACCCGAUAGAUGCAAGAGUCAUGGUUUGCUUUAUUACAUCACCUUCUCCCAACAAUUUGGCACAACAAAAUCUCCCACAUGUGCAACCAUGUCUUUAUCUAGUUGUAAUAGCCCAUUUUGCCCGGGGCCCAAUAAAACCCAAAACAAACCAAAAUAAUAAAACAUUCACAGUCCAUUUACAAUAAAUAAACACACUACCCAUAUCAAGCCCAAUUAAACCCAAAUCUCAAAGCCCAAAACAAAACAACACAACCCGAGCCCAUAAACUAAAAAUUUUCAGCACAAAAAACCCUAGCCCUAAGCCUCCAGUGCCGCAUGUGCUCCACCGCCGCCGCUCGCCUAUCACCGGCCAUCCACGCGUCUGGCACCACCUGCAAGAGCAAACAACACGCAAAAGAAGAGGCCAACCAGUAACAGACAAGAACAAAGAAAUGAAACAAAUUUUGUAAUUUUGGCUAUAAAAGCCCGAAUAUAUCUUUGUAAUUUCUUCUUCCGUUUUACGAACAUCUAGUAAAAAAAAGAAGAAAAGCAGAGAACAGAUUUUCGAGAGGUGAAACCUUUUUUUCGGUUCUUUUUUUUCAUUAUAUUUUAUUUUUUUAUUUUCAUUUUUUAUAUCAAACAAUGAAAUAAAAAAAAGGAGAAAGAAAUGUAGCAGAAUCGACCCUUAGCCCCGCCGUCGGUGGUCUUUUCCCCGGCAUCGAAAUUGGCGAGAAAUGAGGCAAAGGUCGAAUCUUUUUCAUUUUUCUUUACUUUUCAGUCAUUUUCCUUGUAGAUCUAAAAUCUACGCUUAAAACGGGCUAAAAAUAAAAAGUUUUGGGUUCUCCGGUCACCGUGGGCUGCGACACCGUCGCCGACGAUCGGCGGCCGCCACGGGGGUCAACGGCCGGCCCUUUGCCCGGAAUCGAAGAGAAAUUUUAAGAGAAAAGGGAGCUUUGGAAAUUUUUUAAAGCAAAUGGCUGAAAUGGGGUUUCAAAAAAAUGUUGGCUUUUAUAAUACUAUUAAACGGCGUUGUUUUGCAACUGAAGGUCAGGUGCCAAAACGACGUCGUUUUGGCCCUUACCCGCUCGCGCUCCCGACCCGCUCCUGGGGGAUCCGCGUGUUUUUGGCGUUUGGGCUAUUUGCACUGCGGAUCCUUCUGCAUUUCGCCCAGUUUAUGAUUUAGUCCCUUUCGUUAGAUUUCUUUUAUUUUUAAUUUCGCCUUGAAAUUUUGUUCUGAUUUUAUCGGAGUCCCGCAAAGUGCUGCGUUUUGGAGGGCAGGGAUAUUUUCCCCUUUGGUCCCUCCUUGUUAUUCACGCACUCGAUUUGGUCCCUUUCUUUUAUUCAUUUGCGAAUUUGCCCCCAUAUUUCUGUGUUAAGUUCAAAUUAGUCUCUUUUUUAUUUAUUUUUGCUAUUAAAUUAAUUAAUUUUGAUAAUAUUAUCAUUAUUAUUAUUAUUAUUAUUAUUAUUAUUAUUGCUAUUAUUAUCUUCGUAUUAUUAUUAUUGUUUGCUUUAUUAUUAGUAUUAUUAUUAUUUUCAUUAUUACUAAUAUUAUUAUUUUUAUUUUACUACUCUUAUUAUUAUAUAUUGUUAUUAUUUUUAAAUUGUUUUACCUAAUAUUCCCUCGUUUAUUAUUUAUAUUCACUCGUUCAAAUUUUCAAUCAUUUUCAAUUAGUUACUUCUUUUUUUAAAUCAGUUUGUUUUAUUUUUUAUUUUCAUUUUAUUAUUUCAUUAUUUUAUUGUUUUUAUUAUUUAUAUUAUUUUUGUUUUUACUCUUAUUAUUCCUUUUUAUUUUGGUUUAUUUCAUUUCAACUUUUGCGCUCAAAUUUUUUUUGUUAUUUCGUCAUCUAUUUAUUUUCGUAUUUAUAUUUUGUUAUACAUACAUUCAAAUCUCAACUAUUCAUUAUCAUUAUUAAUUUUAUUAUUAUUGUUAUUUAUAUUUAUUAUUGACAUCCUCAUCAUGUUGUUGCACACAUUAGCAUUGUAAUCCAUUUUACAUUUUACUAUAAAAUCGCGUUAUGUUAACCUUCAUCCAAUACAUUUUAUAUUAAGCAAUUUUGUAACUCAAAAUUCCAGAAAUCGUACCCUAACUUACUGGGUUUCGAUUUUCCUCGACGAGUCUAAAGAACCAAUCCUUUUUUUAAAAAAUCAAAGCAUAAGUUAAAUAAAAACUUAUCCUCAGGAGUUCAAAAUGUUGUGUCCUAACUCACUGGAUGUGACAUUUUGUUAUCUCAAGGUAAAGAUUUCUAGAAACACAAAGGCAAUAUUUUGAAUUUGGAAAUUCGAGAAAGUGUGCCCUAACGUGCUGGGUUUCAAUUUCUCGUUUGACCAAAUAGCCAAAUAUCCUCUUAAAACUUCAAAGUAUGGGUUUUUCAAACCAUAAGGUGAUCUUUGUUUCGAUGGUUUAAAGUAUCGUGUCCUAACGUGCUGGAUGUGAUAUUCCUUCGGAAUAAGAGAAUCUUAAAUUUCAAUCCAUGUUAUUCAAAUUUUUUUUAAGGAUUGUAUAUUUUUUUAAACUCUUCAAAGUUUUCAAUCUUCGACAUUAAGACACUAAUUAAUCAACUAGGUACCAAUUUUUGGGCAUUACGAGGGUGCUAAUCCUUUCUCGUACGUAACCGACUCCCGAACCUGUUUCUUUGAAUUUCGCAGACCAAAAGAAUUGUUUUAAUAAAUCUAAAUUGUUUAUUAAAAACAAUCGUUUUACGAGGUGACCCGAUCACACCUCAUCAAAAAAGAUUGGUGGCGACUCCCGUGUUUAUUAUCAUUUUCAAAACCCAAGUCGACCCCGUUUUCACAAAAAAAAUGGUGCCAACACUAGUAAAAUAUUGCUUGGUUUUAAGUCACAAUGAAUUACAGAUGUUGGAUGUCCAUUGUGGAGAUGUUCUAUAGCUACCGCAACAUCUAUCAUUAUGUCGACCCUUUGUAUGAUAUCAAGGAAGCAAAUUUCGGAAUGUAACCAUUUCUCAAGGUUUCCAUUAGACAUGUUAUCAAGCACCAAGGCUUUAAAGUCAACACUUGAGCAGCAAGUAAUGACCUUCACAAUAUUACGAUGAACUAUAUUACGCAUAGCAUCACAUUCAAUGUCAACACUCCUAAAUGCUCCCUCUGUUUGCAAAUUAAAAACUUUUAUUGCAACUUCCAUUCCAUCUGAAAGCCUCUCUUUAUAUACAUAUCCAAAACUCCUUGAACCAAGCAUAUUGUUUUCCUCAAAUCCAUUAGUUACUUGUGAAAGUUCAGCAUGUGAAAUUCUUCUCAGCGUUUUCAAAGACAACAAAUCAUCCUUACUUGGUAGAGUUGUACUCCUACUUUGGCAUCUUCUAUACAUAAUAGUUAAGACUAUUAGUAAUACGACAAUACCAAUUGUUGGUAAACCAUACCUUAAAACAUGCAAUAUAUUCAUUUGGGAGUUUUCUUGGAUGUCGUUUUUGCAAGGGGGGACUAGCAAUCUAGGUGGACCACAAAGUGCAAAAUUCUUCAUGAAUGAUCUACUAGAAAAGUUUGGAAAACAUCCUUCGGUGGGAAUUUCCCCUUCAAGUCUAUUGAAAGACACAAUAAAAUACUUUAGAUCUAAAAGAUUUUUCGAAGAUUUGGGAAUGGCUCCAGAGAGAUUGUUAUUGCAUAAAUUCAAGAAUUCCAAACUAAUCAAACCAUCUAAUGAUCCAGGGAUAUGACCAUGUAGUAUAUUAUUUAAUAAAUCUAAUGAAAUCAAAGUUUGAAGACCCCCAAAUGUGAAUAAGAUAUCGCCUGUGAGAAUAUUCCUUGAUAUAUUUAGUUUCAAUAAACUCCUCAAAUUUCCAACAUCAAUAGCAUGUGAAUUGUGAAGAUGGUUUGAUGAUAAAUCUCUUUCUAAGAUAUCUUUAAGAUUCCACAAAGUUGAGGGUAUUGCAGAACUCAAUUUGUUGGAAUUUAAGUAAAGAUAUCUUAAAGAAGUACUAUAACCCAAACAAGAGGGUAUGGAUCCAUGCAAGUUAUUCAACCCUAAAUACAUCUCGUAUAGUCUCUCCAAACCACAAAGGCUUUUUGAGAUUGGUCCUAAUUUAUUCGAGUGAAAAGUUAGACUUUGGAGAUUUCUCAUUCCUCCUAUUGAUGCUGGAAUAGAUCCACUUAAUUUAUUAUACCCAAGUUGUAAAAGCAAUAGGUUGUUUAAGUUACCUAUUUCCAUAGGACUAUUGCCUUUAAGCUCACAAUUAUUGGCAAAAAAGUAUUGAAGGGAUUUUGAAAGGUUCCCGAUAUAAGUAGGAAGAACAUCACUCAAUGGAUUUCCUGAAACAACUAUUCUUCUCAAAUGCCUGCAAUUUGCCAAAGAAGAAAGAAAGGUCCACUCAUGAUCAAUAGCAGAUCCUGUGAUCAAAUUAUUAUUUAUGAUUCGGAGCACUUCAAGGUGUCUUAAGUUGCCAAGCGUUUUAGGAAUUGGGCCAGAGAAUAAGUUAUCUUCCAAGGCUAGAUUCUUAAGCAUGGAAGCAUUGGAGAUAGAGCCGGUAAUGUUUCCGCUAAAUUUAUUUCCCCACAAUACAAGAUUCUCAAGUUUUGGAGCAUUGGUAAGGGUGGUAGAGUACCUGUAAGAUAGCAUCUUUUAAUAUACAUAGCCAUUGGAUACCAAAUUCACAAAACAUAUAAUACAUUAAAAUACAUUUUUAAAAUAAAAAUUGUAAACCUUUAAAUCAAAUAAAAAUAUAAUUUUGGCCUGGAAAAAUGUGAUCAAAUCAAUUAGUCCCUUGUGAUUUGUAUAAACAAAAAAAUAAAAUAAAACCAUUCCAUACCAGUAUUGUAUUUGAUUUAAUGAUAGAGUUGUAAGUUACUUGUAAAAGUUACAUGCUCUAGCAUAUAAAUUUUGUCCAAGCCUUGGGUUGAAAUCAUCGUUACUUUUUUAGAUCUAAAAUUGAUUGAAUAUCAAAUUUGUAAAAUACUGUAAAAUUUUGAAUCAAAUAAAAACAAAACUUUGACAUGAAAAUGUGGCAUCUAAUCAAUUUUAAAAAUGACAUUGACACUGAAUACGAAAUUAUGAAUAAAAAUUAGUUAUGGUUUGGGAAACAAAAAUAUUAAAUUAUUCUGUAUGAUUUGGUAUUAGUUAUUAUUUUGAAUAAUAUUGUUAAUUUUUAAUUACAUAAAACUAUUGUAUGUUAAAUAUGGUUUUAAUUAUGCCUUGAAAUUUUAUUAUUAUAUUUCAACUACCAUAUAAUAUUUUAAUUAUGUUUAGCCAUUUGAAUAACAAACCAAAAAACUAAUUAAAAACUAAUUACUUCUUUAAGUAUAAUGGAAAUUAAAAGUUUUCAAUUCAUAUAAAUUUUAUUGUUUAUUAUCAAAUUAAUACAUUUUAAUAGAUGAUAAAAUAUAUGAGCAAAAAAGAAGAAACAAUUAAAGAGAAUGUUUUUGGAGUUUGGAAAAAAUUAAAGUGAAAAACAUACCUUCUAAUUUGUUGUCACAUAGAUCUAUUUCUUCGAGCGUAGUUGAAUAAAAAACACUUUCCGGAAUCAGCUCACUGAAUUGAUUUGCUGCUACGAAUUCUAAAGCUUGUAACAUUCACUUAUACUAGAUGGAAUGUUACAGAUAAUUCAUUUGUAUCCAAGUAAAGCCCCUCAAACUUGGGAAGAUGUUGACACAUAUCAUUAAGUAAACUACCUGAUAGGCUAUUGCAGGAGAGAUUAAUAGUCUUCAGAGAAGAAAUAUUGAAGAUAGAAGACGGAAUCUGACCUGUAAGGUAUUUAAUUACUGUAAUACUAAGCAUUUUCAAACAUUACUAAUAUAAAUAGUUCAUGGAAGUAAGAAAGUGUGCAUAAUAAAACCAAAUUGUAUAAAAAAUUUAAAAAAUUUUGAUUAAUCAAUAAAUUUAAGAUUUUAUAUAUUGAAGUGGGUUCAAAUCUCACUAUUAUUUUUUGUUUUGUUUUUUUUUUAAAAACCAAAGUACCUCAAAUAAUGUAACUAAUUUUAAAUACGAAAAGUUAUUUUUGAAAUUUCUCUAAUCGAGUUGGUGCUCAUUGACUCGUAACACAAUCCUAAUCAGAUACUUAAAUAACAAUAUAGAUAUUCACAUUCACCAAAAAAGUUCAAAAAAAUUGUUACUUUAGUUUCAAAUAACAAAUUUUAAUUAUUUAUAUAACAAGUAACUUUAUAAUUCAUGUAUAAAUUUGACUAUUAAGAAAAGAAAAAAUGAAAUUAAAUAAUGAAUAAUUUAAUUGAAAAUAUAUCAAUUUUUAUAUUUUCUACAUAUGCUUUAAUGAUGAUGGAUUUUUUUUAUUAUCACUAUUUUUGAAUUAAAAGAAUUUAUUAAUAUAAUUUAAUUAUAUUUUGAAUAAUGUUACUCUUUUUUAAUGACAUGAAGUAAAAUCAUAUUAUAUAUUAAAGAGGGUACAUAUGCUUUAAUUAUAGCUUGAAAUUUUAUUAUUACAUUUGAGUUAUUAAAUAAAUUAAUAUAUUUUAAUUAUAUUCAGCCAUUUGAAUAACUAAUUAGAAUAAUUUUAAAAAACAUUAUUUAAAAGCUAUGUAUAUAAAUGUAUAUGUAUAUAUAUGGUUGUUUCAUAUUUUUAAAAUAAAUAUAUUUUCAAUGUUGGUUUCUUUUCUUCCACACACAAAGUAUUUCUAAUGUUUUUUUUUUAUAACUUUUACUUAUAUAAAAUAGAUUAGUUAAUGCAAUAACAAAUUAAUUACUUUUUUUAAACUUAAUGGAAAUUAAAAUAAAUAAAUUCAUAUAAAUCUUAUUGUUUAUUAUCAAAUUAAUAGAUGAUAAAGUAUAUGACAAAAAGAAAAGGACAAAUUAAAUUCAAUAGAAUGUUUUUGGACUUGUGGAAAAUUUUAAAGUGAAAAACAUACCUUCUAAUUUGUUGUCAAAUAGAUAUAUUUCUUCGAGAAUAGUUGAAUUAAAAAUACUUUUUGGAAUCAGCCCACUGAAUUGAGUUGUUGCUAAAUUCAAAACCUGAAGCUUGUUACAUUCACCUAUACUUGAUGGAAUCUGACCUGCACACAUACUUGACAUAAGUCAAAGAGGUUUUCUUUUCUAUAAUUUGGAGAUGUUAUAUUUUAAUAUAUUUAAUCAUAUUUUUUCUUCAAAUUAACUAUUUUGAUUUUAAUGAAAUAAAAAGCUCUUACUUUUUCUUUUAUAAAAAAAAAAUACUUUAAACUAAAGAAACCAAAGAAAUUUAGUACCUUCUAGAUUAUUAAACACCAAAUAUAAAUGUCUAAGUCGUGUCAAGUUUCCAAUACUUCUUGGAAUGAUACCUGUGAAUUGAUUAAUGGACAGUGACAAAAUUUGAAGGUUGCAUUUGUCUAUACUUAAUGGAAUGUUACCAGAUAAUUCAUUCAAACUCAAGUGAAGCCCUUCAAGCUUAGGAAGAUGUUGACACAUAUUAUCAGGUAAUCUACCUGAUAGGAUCAAUAGCCUUCAGAGAAGAAAUGUUGAAGAUAGAAGAUGGAACCUAGACAGAUAAUUGAUUGAAUUCCAAGUUCAAGAUCUCUAGAUUGGACAUGUUAACAAGUGUUUGAUGGAUUGUGCCUGUAAAGUUAUUAUUUUUCAUUUCCAGCCUUUGGACUCUGUGUAAGUUCCCAAGCCAUGAUGGAAUUUCCCCAUUAAGACCAUUGUAGCUUAAUUGGAUGAUCCUCAAACGGUGCAACUGGCCCAAUUCUUUAGGCAGAUGGCCAUAGAAAUUGUUGCUACUCAAGUCGAGAGAGAGUAGGAAUGAAAGUUUUCCAAGUUGUGAAGGGAUAGUACCUCGAAGAUUCAUGUUUGUAAGAUUCAAAGCUACAACUCUUUCAUGGAUGAUGCCACAAGAAACACCAAUCCACCUGCAAACAGAGCUAGAGGCUAUCCAAUUGUUUUCCAAGACAUUGUGAGGAUCGACUCGAUCCUUAUACUCGAGGAGUGCAAACUAAUCGGUGGUGAGAUUCCUGGCUGUCAUAGCCAAACAAAGUACGGAACAUGGUACGAAUAGAGCUAAAAGAAGAUGAAAGCAAGUGGUGUAGUUUAUGAUUGCAAGACGGAAUAAGGCAAGAAAAUAAAAGAGUAGGAAAAGGGAAAUUGAAAUGAUAAAAUAGUUGGAUGAUGAAGAAAAGCCCAGAGAGCCUGCUUUAAUAUGUUUCAACCCUCCCACACUUCUCCUAAUUAAAUUCACUCGGCUGGGGUUACAACAUUAAUUUUCAAAAUAAAUGUCAAGUCUUCUUUUAAAACACAUCCAAAGAAGCGAAUUUUCUCCAAAAUUUCUUCACAUUACUCCACAUAAUCCAUAACAAAAUUAAUAAAAUAUAAUUUUUUAAUUACUAUAUAUUCUUUUAUUUUCUUCACAAUAAUAAGUUGGUUAAAUAUGCUAUUAAUCCCUGUACUUUUUAGAAUUUGAGAUUUAGUCCUUAUACUUUAAAAGUUAAAAAUUAAUUCAAAGAUAUUCUUUUUUCUAAACUGAGUGAAUUCACAAGCUUUGUUUUCCUUUAACAAAUAUUUUUGGUAUUUUCGUGGAUAUGAGGAGAUACUGAAAAUUAUUUUACUAUGAACUUUUAAUUCACUCAAAAAAAUAAGUGUUUUAUUUCAAGGGAACACAAUUAAACAUUAGAUUUCCCAUUUUUAUGUUUUGAAUAUUUUUGACAACUGCAUAAUCAACAAAGUAUCAAUUUUGGGCGUUGUGAGAGUUUUAUAACCUUCCAUAUGUGUAAUCGAUUUUUGAACCCACUUUUUAUUUUAGAAUUCAGGACAUACCUUAAAUUUUUCUUUUUAUAAGUUAUUUAAAAUCUAUUUGUAAAAAGCGAAUUUUUAAGUGACCGAUCACGCUUAACAAAAAUGAUUGGUGGCGACAAGUCCUUUUUGAUAAAAUCUUGUUCUUGGAAAGACCAAAGUUUUCAUUUUUUUAAGAAGUUUUCAAUUUAAUUUUCUUUUUGAAUUUUUAUUUUUAACCAGAAAAUGGUCCUUACAGUUAUUAUUUAUUUCCCAAUUUUUAAUGGUUUUUUUCAAGGAGAUGAAUAGUGGGAUGAAAAUUUUUGGUUAAGGUAAACUCAUUAUGUAUAGUUGAUUCUUUUUUGAUCCUUCAAUUAUUAAUUUUUUUGAUUUAAUUACAUAUUUUUUUAAAAAAAAAUUAACACUCUCUUAGUUGCCUCUUAAUUGAGGGACAAAAAACUUAGACAUUUUUUAAUCACAAUUAAUUUAAUUGCGUUUAGGAUCACAUAAUUUUCUUUUAUUCUUUUUAAAUUAUAAACUGUUUCAAAAAUUCCGUCAAUAGCUUAAGUGAAAUUAUCCUUUUUUGAAAUAUCAAUUUCACUUAAGCUAUUGACUUAAUUUUCAGCUAUUAGUCUUUUUUCCAAUCAAAUUGACUCUUAGCAGAAAUGCAAACUGCGCAAAAGAGUGUAAACAAAGAAGUUGAAUUUAAUUAUUUUCUGAGUCUAGUUUCAAAAGACAUAAUUAAUAAUAAACUUAUAACUAGCCUUAUUUAUUUAACAUGUUAAGAAACCUUUGCUUCAUUUUCUUGAACUCAACCACAACAUUCUUCCUAGCUUUUCUUUUUUGACGUAAUUCAGUUCAACAUUUCAAAAGAAAUUCCAUAAUCGAUGAAAUACAAUUUGCUUUAACAAUAAAUCUGCAUCCUCAAAGUCUAGUAGUCCUUCCAACAAUGAGCUUUGUAGGGCCCAACUUCUGCCCCGGGCCCAAAUAAUAAAAACCAAAAAUAAUCCAAAGUUAAACAGUCCAGUUACAUUAAACCCAAAUACAAGCCCAACUACCCAAACCCUAAGCCCAAACCUAAUAGCCCACAACAAACUUUCAAUAGCAGCAAAACGUGCAACACGCAACAAAAAGAAGCAACCAAAUCGCAAAACAACAAAAAACAGGCAUCAAAGAGUUGUUUAGAUCGGCUAUAAAGCCAAAAAUCAGAGACUUGUAGUUUUUCGGCUUCCUUUUUUAACACACAUCAGAAAUAAAAGAUCAUAUAAACUUCUAAAAGGUUGCUGUUCUUUCUUUGUUUUUCUUUUUAUUUCACUUAUUUUAUUUAUUUUUUUUACUGAUCCUUUUUUACAAAUAAAAAACGAUUAAUAAAAGAAAAACAAGAAAGGAAGAGAAGGGGAAUAGCUAGAAUCACCCGCAAGUCCCAUUGCCGGAGCCCUUUUGCGGCCACCGGAGUCGUGCUGGGAGGGUGCGGGGUCUCCUUUUCCUCUGGUCUUUGGGCCAAGAAAGGCACCGUCACCAAAAGGCCUUUUAAAUCGGUUUAAAAUAGACCUUCGGGUCGCAGGCCACCGCCCGCGGCGGAUCUAUGGCGGCGCGAGUGACGGCCAUGUUGGCCGAAUUUGGGGGGACCGAGAGAGAAACCUUACUCUCUCUGUUUUUUCUAGAAAAUUGAAGGAAAUGAUUUCUUUUUUAUUUUUUUUGUAUUUAUAUAUGCUAUAAUACGGCGUCGUUUUGGCCUUAGCAUCAGUGGCCAAAAACGGCGCCAUUUUGAUGUUUGACCCGCGACCCGACCCAGUAACGCUAAAGAUCCGCGCGUUUUCGUUUAAGGGUCUAUUUGUGCAAUAGGUCCCUCCACCUUUGUUGCGUGUUUCAAUGUGCUUUUUUUAUUUUUUUGAUUUUGGCCACCAGAUUUUUAUUCUGUUUUAAUUUGGUUCUGGGAUGCGCAGGCCCCAGUAUUGCGAACGGCCCCGUUCAGGUGGCAUGGGAUUAUUUCCCUUUCGACCCUACGUCUAUGUGCGCAUUUCGCUCAGGUCCUGAAUGUUCUUUUGUUUUUCAAAUUUUACCCUUUAAUUUUAUUUUAACUUCAAUUCGGUCCUUUAUCCUAUAUUUUAUUAUUUUGAAUGCUUACCUUGAAAUAUCAUUUAGUUUCCAAUUUAAUACAUAUAUCCCACAUGUUUUAUGAUCCAUAUAUAUUCAUACGUCUUUUAUAUUUUAUAAUUUUAAAAUUUGUACAUGCAUACGUAUAUUUUAUAAUUUCUAUAUGCGUAUAUAUAUAUCUACAUAUGUAUUUUUUAAAUUUUUUUUUACAAAUAUACACAUACUUAUACAUACUCUUUAUAUUUUAAAAUCUAUAUUUUUCUUAUGUAUUUUCCAUAGUUUAUAAUUCAUGUAUACAUAUUUUUAGAAAUUUUACAAUGCAUACAUGCACAUAAUAUAUAUAUAUGCGUUUUAUUUUUAUAAAUACAUAUACAUUACCUACCUUUAUAUUUUAUAUCUUCCAUGACUUUAUAUAUAUAUAUACAUGAAUGUACACAUACAUACUUACAUAUUUUUUACGUACAUAGAUUUUUCAUAUUUUCAUAAUUUUAUGCACACACAUAUAUAUCUUUUUACUUUUUCAUAAUUUUAUUUAUUAUUUAUUUAUUUCAUUUUUAUUAUUGAUUUGAGGAAAUGUUUUAAUUUUAUUUGCUUGUAUACAUUGUUAUUUCGGACGUUAUUGAUUUGUACUUUUUAUUUAUCUUAUAUUCGUUGCUAUUACUCGUAUUAUUUUUACAUCAUCGUAUUCAAUAUUGUUUUGUUACGAACAUUAACAUCGUGUUUUAUUUUUACUAUUUGGUGUUAGAUUAUUUUUAUUCAACACAUAAAUUAUGAUUUUUUGAAUAAGCAAAAUCUCGUGUUUAGAUUGGAGAAGGUUGUACCCUAACUUACUGGGUUUCGAUUUUCGCAAUGACUUUAAAUACGUGAAUCUUUUCAAACUCAAGUUUUAAAUGAUCUUGGGAUUUAAAAAAGAUCGUGUCCUAACUUACUGGGCAUGAAUCCUUUUUAAAAAAAAAUCUGAGAUAGCUAAAUAUCUUUUAAACAAGCAAAUUUUUAGCAUCCAUUCGCGUAUCGGGAAUUCGAGAUAUUGUGUCCUAACUUACUGGAUAUGAUUCUCUUUCUCGAUUAACGUGAAAUAUGCCCAUUUUCCCAAAAAUUUUCAACAUUUUAAUACAAGGAUCGUAUUUUUUAAAAUUCUUUAAAGUUUUCAAAUUUCGACCUCAAGACAUUAGCUAAUCAACUAGGUACCAAUUUUUGGGCGUUACGAGGGUGCUAAUCCUUCCUCGUACGUAACCGACUCCCGAACCCGUUUUUUGAAUUUUGUGGACCAAAAUUAUUGUUUUAAUAAAAUCUAAAUCGUUUAUUAAAAACAAUCAUUUUAUGAGGUGACCCGAUCACACCUCAUCAAAAAAAGGAUUGGUGGCGACUCCCAUUUUUGUUUUAUUUUUGAAAUUUAAGUCGACCCCGUUUUACCAAAAAAUGGUGUCAACAGCUUGGCGACUCCGCUGGGGAAGAGAUAUGUGAGUCAAGCCACGUGUUGAUUACUUUUUGUCUUUUUGUCGAAAAUCGAGAAUUUAAUUUAAAUUUACGAUCCGUUCAUUGCAUUUCAUUCGUCUUUAUUACGAUCUUCAUCAUUGUGGUUUUAUAGUUGUGUUGGUUUAAGUCUUGAUAUAUUUUUGCACAUUGCAUUGCAUGACCGUUGGUCACACCUUUUAAGUGGGAGUGAGAAGCUAUUUCCUUCGUGAGGUAUUCACCUCCGUGCAGGAUAGCUGAUCACUUUCGGGAUACAUCCGUACCUAUGUCUUUGUAAGAUUUUCAUCUCCGUGCAGCCAUAGGGAAAUGUAUUCCCCUGAACCGAACUCGGUCCGUAUGAGCCUAUAAUGGGUGAGGAUCGAGGAACCUACUGGUUUGGGUACCUUCGCUUUAGAGCCGAACCACAUGUAGUGAACCUAAGAGCCUACCUUAGGAAGAACCACUUCAAACCCCUAGUGGUCACCCGAGUAGGUGUUCUAUUUAUUCUUGCUUGCUUUUGCUUUGUACUAACCUGUUUUCUUUUGUUUUGAUUAUGAUUGCAUUGCAUUAUCAUCAUUAAAAAGAGGUGUUGAUUCACGUUCAGUUGCUAAAUAGAGAGCUUGUGAUAAAGUGGAUGACGAUACGAUUGUCCGAAUAUGGUCCAAGAAAACGUGAUAAGAAAAGGAUGAUAGUUUAAUGGAGGACUACAAGACUAUUGCUCCGUUGCCCAAGGAUUCAAGAUGACAAAGAUUAUUCGAGAGUCGCUGAACCUUCUUAAAAAGAAGCCAAUGAGCAUUACGAGGAUGAGUGAGCAACGAGUCGCGGCCUAGAUCAAGCAAAAAGGAGAUAGAAGAGACAUCUUUUUGAAGAGUUCGUGAAAUUUAUCUUAACGCUCAAAUGAAGAAAAGGAUCAAUUGUCUCCGCAUAUGAGGGCAAAGCCGUAUAUAUCCGUUACAGAGAUUUAUUUUCUAGUAAAGCUGUUCUAAUAGAGUUGAAUCAGAAUCAACAUCUCUUUUUGCAUUCAUUCCAUGCAUCUGUUUUACAUUUCAUUGCAUCAUUUGCAUUAAAUUUCACAAAAGAGCCCUACUUAAACGAGAUUAUUUCAGUUAAUCUGGAAACCAACAAGAAUCUACCAACCAAAUAUCACUAUGGUACCCGUCGCAAAACAAAAGUAAUGGAUUAGAGGUUAGAAAGAUUGGAACAAUUGCAAAAAAAGAUGCAAGAUCAGAUGCAGGAACGACUAGAUAAAAUCCAGCAAGACAUGCAAGAAUCCUAGAACACUAUGAUGAACAAAUUGGAGCAGUUAUUGGCUGGAAGGAAUGAUAAAGGAAAAAGCCCUUUAGUUGAUUCUGGAGUUGAUCAUGAGGACCCUAUUUAUCCUCCAGGUUUUACCCCAAUAGGCAUCCAGGCACAACCGGAUAUAUGCCCGCAAAGAGUACCUGUCAUUAUCAGACCUCAAUAUACGGUUGGUGCCUCAGUGCCAAUGCAUUUUCAAACGGGCUUGGGUUCUAAUCCCGGAGACAACCCUACCAAUCCUGUGGUCCCUAAUCUCGAUGACGUGGAAGAAAUAGAAAAAGCAAGAAUGGACCUGCCAAAACAACUUGACGACCGAUGUAGAUGGCUAGAGGAAAAAUUUAGAGCCAUGGAAAACACCGACUACCAUUGUGGAGUUGACGCCAAGGAUCUGAGUUUGGUCCCUGAUUUAGUGCUCCCGCCUAAGUUUAAGAUGCUGGAGUUCAAAAAAUACAACGGGACUAGUUGUCCUGAAGCUCAUAUCACUAUGUUCUGUUGAAGGAUAAUAGGAUACGUCAAUAAUGAUCAACUAUUAAUCCACUGUUUCCAGGAUAGUUUGAUCGUGUCUGCAGCCAAGUGGUACAACCAAUUGAGUCGUGCUAAAGUUAGUUCAUGAAGAGACUUGGCACAAGCUUUUAUGAAGCAAUACAGUCAUGUAACAGAUAUGACACCUGAUAGAAUUACGUUACAGAAUGUGGAAAAGAAGCAAAAUGAGAGCUUUAGGCAAUAUGCCCAAAGAUGGAGAGAGGUAGCGACACAAGUCCAGCCACCUCUUCUGGAGAAAGAAACCACAGUGCUUUUCAUUAACACUCUGAAAGCCCCAUUCAUUAACCACAUGUUGGGAAGCACUACUAUGAGCUUCUCAGAUAUGGUAAUGUCUGGCGAGAUGAUUGAAAACGCCAUAAGAAGUGGGAAGAUAGAUGCAAGGGAAGGUGCCAAAAGAUCAACCCCAAAGCACAAAGAAAAUGAAGUGAGCAACCUGAGCUUGUAUAAUAAAGGGUAUUCAAAAUUAGUCACUGUAGGCCAGCCAAGGACGGUAGCAGCUAGCUAUCAAGGCCCCUCAAAGUAAGAAUCCAACUCGAGGCCAAACACAGAAAGACUCGAGUUCACACCUAUCCCGGUGAUGUAUAAGGAGUUAUAUCAAAAUCUGUUUGAUGCGCAUGUAGUAGCUCCGUUCUACUCAAAACCCAUGCAACCUCCAUACCCCAAAUGGUACGACGUAAAUGCUCAAUACGAGUAUCACGUAUGAACUACGGGGCACUCGAUUAAAAACUACACUACAUUUAAAAAGUUAGUCGAAUGGUUCAUUAAUAUGGGCAUCGUGAAGUUUGACGAUCCAUCUGGACCUAAUGUGGCAGGAAGUCCGUUACCCAGUCAUCCAGACCCAGGAGUAAAUGCGAUAGCUGAGAAUGGAGGAAAAAAAACCAAAACAAAUGUUGCAGAAGUAAAACCCCCACUAAAAUGGGUUUUGAAACAAAUGAUGGACAUGGGAUUAAUCAUUCAGAAUUUGGAGAAGAGACCAAAAUGGAUGAGGAGCUACUGUGAGUUUCACGCUAAAGAAGGCCAUGAAAUCCAGGAGUGCACUGAAUUCAAAGCUUUGGUGCAAAGUAUAAUGGAUAAUAAAGAGUUGGAAUUCUUUGAAAAAGUCAAAGGCCUAGAAGAAAUGUUGGGAAAUUUAAAUGUUAACGAUGUAUCCGAAGAGGGAACUGAGGAAGAUAAUUUAUGAGGCAUCGGCCCUUAACGCAUUUGGGAGUGUUUUGAACAAUGAGAUUGUGGAAGAGAUCCCUAUAUUUUUUUAGAUCUAUUUCAAAGUAAUGUCCAAAACACGCUUAUUGCUCUAAGCCUAGGAGCAAUAAGAAUCCUUUUGUGAGAUAGACUUAUGUUCAAUAUCUUUAUUUUAAUAAAAUGCAUCUUUGUUUCUCACUUCGAGCAAAUAUUCCUUUAUUAUUUCCAUUUCAUUCAUAAUCAUACUGUACAGAUAAAUAUUCUUAGAUUCUUUUUAUUCUUUGGAUUUGCUUUCGUCCCUACAAUAGGUCUCCAGAUAUCAAAGAUAUGAGUGACACUACUACUGACUCAGAAUCUCCUUUGAGCAAGAUAUGUGUCCAGAUGAGCCUCAGGACUUUGAAGAUAACUGAGACUGUAACUUAUCCCCUGAUUUGUUAAUGAUGGUAGAACAAGAUCCUACCUUACAAAUAAUCAAUGGAAGUCUUGACCUUUCUCUAUGUGGGGUACGGAUGUCAUUGAACCAAUCUCGUCUAAGGUUUUGGCGAUCAUCAAUUCAUCUUUAUGGUCGUUAAUUACCUCACUAAGUGGGUAGAAGCUGCUUCAUAUGCCAAUGUCACAAAAAUGACGGUCAGUAAAUUCGUAAAAAAAGAAAUCAUAUGUUGGUAUGGGAUGCCGAAAAGGAUCAUAUCUGAUGAUGCACCAAAUUUGAAUGAUAGCACGAUAUCAGAAGUUUGCAGUCUGUUCAAGAUUAACACCAUGUCGCCCAAAAUGAAUGAUUCAGUGGAGGAAAAAAAAAGGAAACCAAACAAAAAACAAAACAAAAAAAACAAAAAACAAAAAUAAAAAAACAAAAAAUAAAAAACCUCUACCGGGGUAACUUAUUUCUCAUUGGUAUAUAGAAUAGAGGCAAUUUUACCCAUCGAAGUUGAUAUUCCUUCCCUUCAAGUCUUGUUAGAGCUGAAGUUGGAUGAAGCAGAAUAGAUCUAGGCCUGAUAUCAUCAGUUAGAUUUGAUUGAUAAGAAAAGGUUAAAAGUUAUCUGUCAUGGUCAAUUGUACCAAAAGCGAAUGAUGCGAGUUCACUAAAAGGUUCGCCCAGAGAAUUCCAUGAGGAGGACUUGAUAUCGAAGAAGAUCCUUCUCAAACAAAAGGACUUAAGAAGAAAGUGAAUGCCAAAAUGGAAAGGACCUUAUGUGGAAGGCCUUAUUUGAAAAAGCGUUGAUAUUGACCAAGAUAGAUGGUAAGAACCUGCCCAAUCUUGAGAAUUCUGAUUCCAGCAAUAAAUACUUCACUUGAAAAAAGAAACGAAAAGAAAAAAGAAAAGAAGAAGAAUGAAAAAAGAAAAAGGAAAGGCCAAGGUGAAAACCCGCAAAGGGCGCCUUGAGACCAAAGAGGUUUUGAAUUGAAAACCCAGGAAUGGGCAGUUCAAAUUUUGAUCAAAGGUGGGGCAUGCAGUAGUCUUGUCGUCUCUGAAUUAAUAAGAAGGAGAGAUGCUACAUCUUGGGGGCAUCAAUGAAGUCUUCUAGGACUUCUAAACACAUAUCAAGUUCAAAAGGGUCCUCAAGAAGUUUGGGGCAGAGAAGCUCAUGCCACGAUAUCUGGGGCACCUCUUUUCAUUUAUUCUUUUUGUAUUUGUGACAAAAUACGCCAUCUUGAUUAAUUUAUUCUCAUUUUGUAUUCUAGCAAAAUUUGCUAUCUUGAUUAAUUUAUUCAUUCAGAGCUUUGCUCUCAAUAAUUUUUCAUCUUAUCCAUUGUGAUAAUCCUUUCAUCUUAUUCAUCUCAUAUCUUAGCAAAAUUUGCUAUCUUGAUUGAUUCAUUCAUUUCAAGCUUUGCUCUCGACAAAAUUUUAUCUGGUCCAUUUUGAUAAUCUUUUUCAAGCAUUUUUCUUUGAAAUAACGAUUAUUGGACUGAUAAUGUUCAAGCAAAAGAAGUUUUGCAUAUUACUCUGAAAGCUUCUAAAUAGUACGAGGACCUAAAGCAGGGCUAUUGUUUAGAACUAACCAACUUAAGGGUUAGAAGCAUUGGAGAAAGAAUAAUCUAAAUUGCGACUAUUUCUUUGGUUUUUCUAUCAAAGAUACCACUGAAUAAGAAAGCAUCGGUGAUAAAACCUUGAUGAACAAUAAAGAAUGACAAUCUAAGCAUUAAAAAUGGAUCAUUCUCAUGACAUUCUACAAAUAUCAUACAUACACAUCUAGUUAGGAGCAUUUUAUUCAUUCUAAUCAUGACAUCCUAAAUGCUAGGCAUAAAUAGGUAUAUAAAAUGGAUUUUACAGGUCAUGUUCCCCAAGGAACAGAUCAAUGAAGUUACCCAUACCCCUGAAGUUGCAGUGGGAUGGAUUGAAGUCAUCAUAUCCAACAUUAUCUCCCUGAGCAACAGUGGAGAAGGUUGAAGAAAGCAAGUCUUGUCUUCCUGUAUUGGCAGCGAAGUAGACUGAAGAUAGCAGAUCUUGUCUUAUUGUAUUGGCAGCGAAGUAGACUGAAGAUAGCAGAUCUUAUCUUCCUGUAUUAGCAGCAAAAUGGAUCAAAGAUAGCAGAUCUUGUCUUUCUGUAUUGGCAGUAAAGUGGAUCAAAGAUAGUAGAUCUUGUCUUCCUGUAUUGGCAGCGAAGUAGAUCGAAGAUAGCAGAUAUUAUCUCCUUGAGCAGCAGUGGAGUAGAUCGAAGAUAGCAAGUCUUGUCUUCCUAUAUUGGCAGCGAAGUAGACUGAAGAUAGCAGAUCUUGUCUUCCUGUAUUGGCAGCGAAGUAGACUGAAGAUAGUAGAUCUUGUCUUCCUGUAUUGGUAGCGAAGUAGAUCGAAAAAAGUAGAUCUUGUCUCCCUGAGUAGCAGUGGAGUAGAUCGAGGAUAGCAAGUCUUGUCUUCCUGUAUUGGCAGCAAAGUAGAUUGAGGAUAGCAGAUCUUGUCUUCCUGUAUUGGCAGCAAAGUAGACUGAAGAUAGUAGAUCUUGUCUUCCUGUAUUGGCAGCGAAGUAGAUCAAAGAUAGCAGAUCUUGUCUCCCUAAGCAGCAGUGAAGUAGAUCGAAGAUAGCAAGUCUUGUCUUCCUAUAUUGACAACGAAGUAGACUGAAGAUAGCAAGUCUUGUCUUCCUGUAGUGGCAGUAAAGUAGACUGAAGAUAGGAAGUCUUGUCUUCCUGUAUUGGCAGCGAAGUAGACUAAGGAUAGCAGAUCUUAUCUUCCUGUAUUUGGCAGCAAAGUAGAUCGAAGAUAGCAAGUCUUAUCUUCCUGUAUUGACAGUGAAAUAGACUGAGGAUAGUAGAUCUUAUCUUCCUGUAUUGGCAGCGAAGUAGAUCGGAGAUAGCAAGUCUUAUCUCCCUAAGCAGUAGCAGAGCAGACAGAUGAAACCAAUCCUAUCUCUCUGAAGUUGCAGUGGAGCAGAUUAAAAUGAUGAAUCAUAUGCCUCUGAAAUUACAGUAGGUCGAAUUAGAUCAUAUCACAUCAAACCUUAUCUCCCUGAAGUUACAGUGGAGCAGACUAAAACCACGAAUCUCAUCCCCACGGAUUUACAACAGAGUAGAUUGAAGUCAUAUCUCUCUGAGGAUGCCGUGAAGAGGAUCAAAGUCAUAAGGCGCAGUGGGCUAGAAAGAGACUACUUGAAGAAGAGGAGUAUCAAGAGAUCAAGAUUCGUGCGACCAUUGAACGUAAAAUCAAAAUGCUUAAAGUGUAUGGAGAUUCCGCGUUGGUGAUAUACCAACUCAAAGGAGAGUGGGAAACCAAAGACCCUAAAUUGAUCAAUUAUAAAGAACUGGUUCUUGAAUUGAUUUACGAGUUUGAUGACAUCACCUUCAGUUAUCUCCCAUGAAAGGAAAACCAAAUGACUGAUGCAUUGGCUACUCUAGCUUCGAUGAUUCAGGUGAACAGGCUUGAAGUAAUGAAGCCUAUUCAGAUGAGUAUCUACAAAACCCCAGCUCAUUGCUACAAUAUUAAGGGGAAGGGAAAAGACAAUCACCCUUGGUAUCGGAGUAUCCUACAGUAUGUGAAGAAUCGGGAGUACCCUAGCCAGGCAACAGAGAACGACAAGAGAACUCUGAAAAGAAUAGCCAUCGAAUAUAUCUUAGAUGGGGAAGUGUUAUACAAAAGAAGGAAAGAUCAGGUAUUGUUAAGAUGUGUAGAUGCCGUAGAAGCUAAGAAAAUUUUGGAGGAAGUCCAUGAGGGUAUCUGUGAGACGCACGUCAAUGGCUUCACCAUGGCCAGAUAGAUCAUGAGAUUUGGGUACUAUUGGUCCACUAUGGAAGGGGAUUGCAUUAAUUACGCCAAGAAAUGCCAUAAAUGUCAAAUUUAUGGAGACAAGAUGCAUCCCCCCUUCGCUACUUCAUGUUAUGACCUCUCCAUGGCCAUUUUCCAUAUGGGGUAUGGAUGUCAUUGGGCCGAUAUCGCCAAAGGCUUCUAACGGGCAUCGUUUCAUCUUCAUAGUCAUUGAUUACUUCACUAAGUGGGUAGAAGUUGCUUCUUAUGCAAAUGUCACGAAGUCAGCAGUUAGUAAAUUCUUGAAAAAUGAGAUUAUUUGUCGAUAUGGAAUGCCUGAGAGAAUCAUAUCCAACAAUGCGCUGAAUUUGAACAAUAGCACAAUAGCAGAGGUUUGCAGCCAAUUUAAGAUCAAGCAUCAUAACUCAUCGCCGUAUCGUCCAAAAAUGAAUGGUGCAGUAGAGGCGACCAAUAAGAAUAUUAAAAGAAUUGUGGGGAAAAUGACUGAGACUUACAAAGAUUGGCAUGAGAAGUUAUCAUUUGCUCUCCUUGCCUAUCGAACAUCUGUUAGAACUUCUACUAGGGCAACACCUUUUUCUCUAGUUUACGGAAUGGAGGCAAUAUUACCCAUCGAAGUUGAAAUCCUCUCUCUACGGGUAUUAUCCGAACUCUAGUUGGACGAGGCUGAAUGGGUCCAAUCUCGUUAUGAUCAGUUGAACCUAAUAGAGGAGAAGAGAUUAAAAGCUAUUUAUCAUAGGCAAAUGUACCAGAAACGAAUGAUGUGAGCCUAUGAUAAAAAGGUUCACCCCAGAGAAUUUAGUGAAGGAGAUUUGGUGCUAAAAAAGAUUCUUCCUAUGCAAAAGGACUUUAGAGGAAAAUGGAUGCCAAAUUGGGAGGGUCUUUAUGUCGUAAAGAAGGCCUUUGAUGGUGGAGCUUUGAUUCUAAGUGAGAUAACUGGAAAAGACUUGCCCAAUCCCGUAAAUUCAGACUCAGUCAAGAAAUACUUCACUUGAAGAAAAGGGACCAAAGUGAAAACCCGCAAAGGGCGCUUUGAUCCCUAAAAAAAAAGAAAUGAUGAUGAUAAAAAUGGAGAGGCUAAGGGGAAAACCCGCAAAGGGCACCUUAGGCCAAAGGGGAUUUGAGUUGAAAACCCGAAAAGGGCGGCUCAAAUGUUUGAUCAGAAUGGGACAUGAAAUGCUUAGAGCAGCUGGUAUCUUGAUCAGAUCGGGAUGUGUGGCAAUCUUGCUAUGCCUGAAUUAACAAGAAGGGAUAGGCGAUAUCUUGGGGCAUUGACAAAGCAUUGAAGAUCUCCUAAACACAUGUCAAACUCAGGAUGGCCUUUAGAAAGUUUGUACAGAGAAAUUCAAGCUGCGAUAUCUGGGGGAUUUAAUUCCCCUAUUAUUUUGUAUAUAUUGAAUUUUGUUGAUUCUUGGAAUAUUUUCUUUCUCUUUUCCAAGAUAUAUAUUCCCAAUCAAUUUCUCUACUAUUUGUGAUGACUUAUUUAUUUUUAGCUAUGUUCAGAACCAAAUUUAUUCUUAUAUAUUGUUAUGACCUUUUCUGCAAACAUGUUACAUUAGAAUAAUGAUUAAUGGACUAAUAAAACUUUCACAAAAGAAGUUUUGCAUAUUACUCUGAAAAGUUCCUAAAUAAUACAGGAGCCUAAAACAAGACUAUUGUUUAGAACACACCCAAUUUUAAAGAUUGGAAAUUUGAGAAGGAGUUUAAAUUUGGACUUUCUCUUUGGAUUUUGUUGUCAAAUGCAUUGAUUGGCAAGAUGCCAUGUUGAUGACGAAGCUUAAGUAAACAAGCAAACAAUGAUCACCAGGCAAGAGGAAGAGGUUACUUUGAAAAAGCCUUCAUCUACACAUAAGUUUCUAGUAUGACACCUUCAAAAUUGUGUGAGAAACCAGAACGAUUCAGAUCCUAUAUCCUUGAAUUGUGGGGAUUGAGGAAAAGCCACAUAUUUCUACCCUUGGAUUACAAUGGGAAAGUGGUGGUACAAUUUUUUUGCGCCCCAAUGGUUUAAACUUUAAGGUUCACAGUGGGGGCAAUCUGACUAAGUGAUUCUUUGAAGAAGCCGGUCAAGCGAGGAGGCGUUACAGCACAUCAGUGUUAAAGCCUUAAUAAAUUUCGAGUAAUAAUAACCUAAGCGGGAUCAUUCUCAAAAAAUAAAAUUCUGCAUUCAUGCAAACACUAUCCACACAUGUCUAUUUAGGAGCAUUCGAUUCAUUUUGAUCAUGCCAUCCUAAUCAUUAGGCAUAAUUAGGUUCAUUAUACAGGUCAUGUUCCCCAGAGAAUAGAUCAAUAAAGAUCGAAAACAAAGCCUUGCCUCCAUCGGUUGCAGUGGAGCGGAUUAAAAUAAAGGAUCUUAUCUCUCUGAAGUUACAGUAGAGUAGAUCGCAUCAGAUUGAAGCCAAAAAUCUUAUCUCCCUAAGAUUACAGCGGAGCAGAUUGAAGCUAGAAAUUCUAUCUCCCUGAGAUUACAGUGGAGCGGAUUAAAAUAAAGGAUCUUAUCUCUCUGAAGUUAUAGUAGAGUAGAUCGCAUCAGAUUGAAGCCAGAAAUCUUAUCUCCCUGAGAUUACAGUGGAGCAGAUUGAAGCUAGAAAUCCUAUCUCCCUGAGAUUACAGUGGAGCAGAUUAAAAUAAAGGAUCUUAUCUCUCUGAAGUUAUAGUAGAGUAGAUCGCAUUAGAUUGAAGCCAGAAAUCUUAUCUCCCUGAGAUUACAGUGGAGCAGAUUGAAGCUAGUAAUCCUAUCUCCAUGAGAUUACAGUGGAGCGGAUUAAAACAAAGGAUCUUAUCUCUUUGAAGUUACAGCGGAGUAGAUCGCAUCAGAAUGAAGCUACAACAGCAAAUCUCACUACCCCGACCUCACAAUUAAGCAGAUUAAGGUUACGAGUUACAAAUCCUAUCUCCCUGAUGUUACAGUGGAGUGGAUCGAAGCACCAAUUCCUAUACCUCUGAAGAUGUAGUAGGUUGAAAUGAGUCAACUCGAAGAAGAAGAGCACCAAGGUCCAAACACGACUGGGCAAAAAGGGGCUUUAGUCUUUGCACCGUUCCCGUUACACGACAACAAGCAAAGAGGGGUAGCUGUAAUAGCCCAUUUUUGCCCGGGCCCGUAAUAAGUAAACCAAAAUUAAAAAUUAAAAAUUAAAGUCCAAAAAAUAAUAAUAGAGUCCAUUUUUUACAAUAGGCCUAAUAGCCCAAAUCCACUACCCAAACCUAAUUAGCCCAAAUCCACUACUUAAACCCAACUAGCCCAAAUGCCCAUGACCGAACACUAAAUCUGAUUAGCCCAAUUACAGUGGCCCGACACCUAACCCAAAACCCGAUUCAGCCCAAUUAGCCCAUUUUGAAAAAGCAUUCCAGAAAUCACUAGGGUUUCUAGAACCCUUCAGCCGCCAUUGCCACGCACGGGCUCCCCUUCGAGCCACUCCUCACGCGCGUGAUGCCUUCGUACGCCACGCAUGCCUCCGUACGGCCACCUCUGUACCUCUAGGCUGGCCGAGUACCUGCAAAUACAAGCGAACACACGGAAGCAGCAACAAAUAGAAAAACAACAGCAUUUUUAUUUUAUUUUUUUAUUUUCUGUAAAUGGGGCUAUAAAGAAGCCAUUCGAACACUGUAAACGAUUUACACGCAUUUUCAGAAUACAGAAAUCAAAAAAAGUUCCAAAAGGUGAUUUUCGGUUCUCUUUUCUUUUUCGCAGAUCGUUUUCCUUCUUUCCUUUUGUUUUUACAUACAUUAGUCAUCUGUUAAAGGAGAAAAGGGGAACCAAAAGGGAAGAGGGGCAUACCUGAGGGCCGGAUUUUUGCUCACUCCGCAGCCAUCGGAGUUGGGGCGAAUAUUGGGAGUCUUUGGAGGCAAUGAAUCCCCAGAGCGGCGACGAGCCUUUCUUUUUGUUUAGGUUUUGCUAAUGUAAACCCUAGGUUUUAGGAUUUAUUUAGUUUUUAAGUGCAUGAAUUAAAACGACGCCGUUCAGAGUCAAUGCAAUGGCACUGAAAUGACAUUGUUUUGGAGACUCAACCCAAACGAUGACCCGAUCCGGGAAGGAUCCGCACAAUAUGGGUCGAAUGGUUUAUUUGCUAAAUAGGUCCCUGUGUGUUUAUUGAGAUUACGUUUUGUUUUUUUAUUUAAUUGUAAUUUGUACGGCACAUUUAAUUUUGUUUCCAUUCAGAUCCGACUUGAUACGGUACCGUUCUGCGGUUGAUUGUUAUUGUUUAUAAUGCUUGCGUUUAAUUGUUGGUUUAGUCCUCCAAGGUUAAAAAGGAUUUCGAUUUGAUACAAAUUUAGAUUUUUUUACUCAAAAUGCCUUUAAUUAUAAUUAAUCCUACUUUUAUAAACGGAUUUCAUUAUUGUUUUAAUUUUAUCUAAGCUUCGAUUUUUAAAAGAAUUUGUUGAUUAUUAUUUUCAAUGUCAAAAAAUGCCUUUUAUGUUAAUUUUGAUUUAAAAAGUUUUUUUUAAAUAAAUCAAUUUUUAAUAUUACUUUAAUAGAUAUUUUUUUCAAAUUUAUUAUUAGCACAAAUUCUAUUUUUUAAAAAAAAUAUAAUAAUAAUAAUAUAUUUUUUAAUUGUUAUCAAUAUGUUUUAAAUGUAUCAAUAUUAUUUAAAAAUACAUAUAAUUUAAAUUAGACUAUUUUAGUAUAUAUGUACAUAGGGUAUAUCGUUAACUUCAAAUUAACCUUUUAUUCACAUAAUUUUUUAUACAUAAUUGUUUUAUUUCUUAAACCUUAUUUAUUUUAUUCGUUUUGGUGGGUUGUCAAAUUAUUAAUAUGGAUGUUUGUAUAAUAUGAUUAAGGUCAAUGUUAGUAUUUGCCUAUUAUUUGUUUAAUUGUUUCUAGUUUAAGUUUAAAUUGUUAUUUAUAUUUUGCAUUACAAGUUGUUAUUCAAUUAUGUUGGUUGUAAAAAUUUCAUUUCGUUAAAAUAUUAUAAUCGUUUCAUUUCAAAAGUUCAAAAAAGAGGCUUGGUGUUAAAUAAUUCUCGAGAGAAUUGUGCCCUAACUUACUGGGCCUCAAUUCUUCUCGAUGAAUUUAUAUCAUCAAGUAUCCCUUUCUUUAAGACAUUUAAAAAAAAAUUCUUUAGAUUUCAAAAUGUUGGAUCCUAACUUACUGGAUGUGACAUUUUGUUAUCUCGUUUUUAAAUAAAGGAAAUAUUUGGUGUUUAAGGAUUUUAAGAAAAUUGAACUCUAACUUACUGGGUUUUGAUUUUCUCGAUCGAUUUAAAUAACCAAAUAUCCUUCUCAAAAUGUAUGAAUUUGUUUUAAAUUUUAAAAAGGGACGAAUCUAACUUCGAAGAUUGAAUCGUUGCACUCUAACUUACUGAAUAUAACGAUUUAUUUCUUUAAAGUAGGUAAGUCUUAUUUCCCAAUCCGAUUACUCAAAUUUUCUUUUCAAAGGAUUGUAUUUUAAAAUCCUUUCAAAGUUUCGACAUUAAGACAUUAAAUAAUCGAUUCGGUACCAAUUUUGGGCAUUACGAGGGUGCUAACCCUUCCUCGUGCGUAACCGACUCUCGAACCUUAUUUUUUUCAAAAUUCGCAGACCUAAAAUUAUUUUCAAGGUGAUCUGAUUACACCACAAUAAAAUAUCAGUGGCGACUCCCAUUUCCGUUUUCAUUUUAAAAGUCGAUCCCCGUUUUUUUAAAUUUCAAAAAAAAUGGUUUCGACAAGAAACAAAUGAUUCAUUAUAUAUAUAAUAUAAUUAUGAAAUUCAAGCCAUAUAUUUUAUGUUUCAUACAUAAAAAUUUCAUGGGAGGCCCAAAGGUAAUUAAAUGACUUGUAGGCUUGCUGAAUUUCUUUGAAAGGCCCAAAGGCAAUUUAACAUUCACAAAAUAAUCUCUAAAUACUGUAAAGACAAAUCAAAUCCACAGUAGCAUAAGAGUUGAUUAAGCUAAGCAUUGGCAAAUAUUACUAUGAUUUUGCAUGCAAUAUUGGCAAAACCUCCUCUUACAUUAGAAAAACAACAUAAUCCAUGAAACAUUGAUAGCCCAAUACAAAUUUCAUCGACAUGAAAGUCUCUUUGUUUUGUAGAACAUGAUAGUAAAGAUGUGGAGUUUCAUUCUUCUUAUUGGCCUCCUUUAGUUUUCCUUGAUCAACAACCACUAGCCAAAAACACAAUUAGAUUACAUUAUCAAUGAUACUCUCAACUAUGACAAUAUUAAAUACAAAACACUCUAAAUAACUCUAAAUAAAUGGAAAGCAGCAAAAUUACCUGACGAGACAAGCUAGCUCAAUUAAGACCAUUGUGUUAUACUUGUCUCUGAAUUGAAAAUUUUAGAAGGAAAUAAAGAGAAAGACUUAGAAAAUACUUGAAAACAGGUAAAACUUAUAUGUCAUUUAAAAUAAAAAAUUUCUAUAUAAGCCAUUUAAAAUUUUUAAGAUUUUUAAAAUUUUAAAAUGAUAAAGGUAAAAUUGUACUUUGGCAUCCCAAAAAUGACAAAACUUUGAUUUAAUUCUUUAGAAAUUAUAAAAAUAUAGGCUAUUAAAAUGGUGAAAUUAUAUUUUUACUAUAGUAAAAAAUUACAAUUUAAUUUCACCCCUAAAAGGACUUUCUCACUUCGCCCCUAAUAAAAUCUUUUGCAAAAGAUUAAAAUAAAAUUAUACAUAAGAAAAUCCAAUCUAACAAAGAAAAUAACUUCUUGUCCAAAAGCUACCAUAAACCGUAAUUCAUGGGAAGGCUUGUUGCUUAUUUUAUUGGUUUCCAUUUCGAUUUUGCAAAAGAAGUUUGAAUUUUGAAGAGAGCCUACUACGUGAGAGCAAAAGAAAAAAAAAGUUUAUAUGAUUAAAUUCCAGAAUAGAUUAAAAAUGUUGAAUUAAAGAUAAAAUUAAGUGUGAAUUAAAAAAAUUUCUAUUUAGGCCCUUUAAAAUUUUAAAAUGAUAAAGAUAAAACUGUACUUUGGCACCCAAAAAAAAUAAAAUUUUAAUUUAAUCCUUUAAAAUUUAUAAAAAUAUAGGUUAUUAAGUGUGAAUUAAUAACCACAAGUGUAUUCAUUACUCACCAUCUCUGUUAAAAAUGUUGGAUGUUGUUUAGCAACCUUUGUUUGAUUUUCUUCAGCUCAACCACAACAUCUUUCAUAUCUUUUCUUUCUUCUGGUAACUCAGCUGAACAAUUCAAAGCCAACUCCAUGAUAGAUGAAAUACAAUUUGCUUUAACAACAAUGUACUCAUCCUCUCUUCUUAAUAAAUCAACAUCUGCAAUUUCUAUCGCUCCUUUAGGCAAUGAUCUUUCCAUCCAAUGCCUUAUACUCUCUUCUUCAACAAAAACAUUAUCAGUUGGCUUUUUCUUUGUGAAAGUUUCUAUAAGGACGAUCCCAUAACUAUAGAUGUCAGAUUUUAUAGAAACAAUUCCUACUGAUCCAAAUUCUGCAUUUCAAGUAUAAUUAGAACAUCAUCAAUCCUCAAUUAUUUCUAAAAUGCUUAUUCAAAUAUAUAUCCACAUCCACAUGAAACAAAAAUAUAAAAUGCAUAUUAGGAAAAUAAUCAUACAAAAAUAAAAAAGAAUUCACCUGGUGCUAUAUACCCGAUAGUUGCAAGAGUCAUGGUUUGCUUCAUUACUUCACCUUCCCCCAACAAUUUGGCAACGCCACAAUCUCCAACAUGUGCAACCAUGUCUUCAUCUAGUAAAAUAUUGCUUGGUUUUAUGUCACAGUGAAUUAUAGGUGUUGGAUGUCCAUUGUGGAGGUGUUCUAUGGCUACCGCAACAUCUAUCAUUAUGUCGACCCUUUGUAUGAUAUCAAGGAAACAAUUUUCAGAAUGUAACCAUUUCUCAAGGUUUCCAUUAGACAUGUAAGCAAGCACCAAGGCUUUGAAGUCAACACUUGAGCAGCAAGUAAUGACCUUCACAAUAUUACGAUGAACUAUAUUACGCAUAGCAUCACAUUCAAUGUCAAAACUGCUAAAUGCUCCCUCUGUUUGCAAAUUAAAAACUUUUAUUGCAACUUCCAUUCCAUCUGAAAGCCUCCCUUUAUAUACAUAUCCAAAACUCCCUGAACCAAGCAUAUUGCUUUCCUCAAAUCCAUUAGUUGCUCGUGAAAGCUCAGCAUGUGAAAUUCUUCUCGGUGUUAUCAAAGACAACAAAUCAUCUUUAAUUGGUAGACUUGUACUCCUUCUUCGGCAUCUUCUAUACAUAAUAGUUAAGACUAUUAGUACUACGACAAUACCAAUUGUUGGUAAACCAUACCUAAAAGCAUGCAAUAUAAUCAUUUGGGAGUUUUUGUGGAUGUCAUUUUUGCAAGGGGGGACUAGCAAUCUAGGUGGACCACAAAGUGCAUAAUUCUUCAUGAAUGAUGUGCUAGAAAAGUUUGAAAAACAUCCUUUGCUUGGAAUUUCCCCUUCAAGUCUAUUGAAAGACACAUUAAAAUACUUUAGAUAUAAAAGCUUUUCCAAAGAUUUGGGAAUGACUCCAGAGAGAUUGUUAUUGCAUAAAUCCAAGAAUUCCAAACUAAUCAACCCAUCAAAUGAUUUAGGGAUAUAACCAUGUAGUAUAUUAUUUGAUAAAUCUAAUGAAACCAAAGUUUGAAGACCCCCAAAUGAGGAUAGGAUAUCGCCCGAGAGAAGAUUCCUUGAUAAAUUUAGUUUCAGUAGACUCCUCAAAUUUCCAACAUCAAUAGCAUGUGAAUUCUGAAGAUGGUUUGAUGAUAAAUCUAUUUCUAAGAUAUCUUUAAGAUUCCACAAAGUUGAGGGUAUUGUAGAACUCAAUUUGUUGGAAUUUAAGUAAAGAUAUCCCAAAGAAGUAAUAUUACCCAAACAAGAGGGUAUGGAUCCAUGCAGCUUAUUCAACCCUAAAUACAUCUCGUAUAGUCUCUCCAAAUCACAAAGGCUUUCUAAGAUGUGCCCUCCUAAUUUAUUAGAGGAAAGAUCUAGAGCUUGGAGAUUUCGCAGUCCUCCUAUUGAUGCUGGAAUGAAUCCACUUAAUUUAUUAUGGCGAAGUUGUAAAAGCAAUAGGUUGGUUAUGUUACCUAUUUCCAUAGGAAUAAUGCCUUGAAGCUCACAAUUAGAGGCAUAAAAGUAUUGAAGGGAUUUUGAAAGGUUCCCGAUAUAAGUAGGAAGAACGCCACUCAAUGGAUUUCCUGAAACUCCUAUGGUUUUCAAAUUCUUACAAUUCGUCAAAGAAGAAAGAAAGCUCCACUCAUGAUCAGUAGCAGACCCUGUGAUCAAAUUAUUGUUCAUGAUUUGGAACCAUUCAAGGUGUCUUAAGUUGCCAAGCGUUUUAGGGAUUGGGCCAGAGAAUAAGUUAUCUUCCAAGUCUAGUAUCUUAAGCAUGGAAGCAUUGGAGAUAGAGUUGGGAAUGUUUCCUCUAAGUUUAUUUCCCCACAAUGCAAGAAUCUCAAGCUUUGGAGCAUUGGUGAUGGGUGGUAAAUUACCUGUAAAAUAGCAUCUUUUAGUAUACAUAUUCAUUGAAUACCAAAUUCACAAAAUAUAUAAUACAUUAAUAAUAUGAAGUUUCGAGUACUAAUUAGUCCUUGUGAUUUGUAUAGAAAAACAUAUAAUACGCUAAUAAAUUUUUAAAAUAUUGUAAAACUUGAAAUAAAAUAAAAAUAAAAUGUUGGUAUGAGAAUGUGGCAUCUAAUCAAUUUUAAAAAUGAGACUGACACUGAAUAAUAAAUAGUUAUGAUUUGGGAAACAAAAAUAUUAAAGCCAUUGUUUAUCUUUAUUAAAUUAUAGUGUAAAAUUUAAAGAUUACUAUUUGCUCAAAAUUUUUGUAUUUUUCGUAUAUUUGAAAUUUAAUCUUUAUAUUUUUAUUUUCUGUGAUUUAGUCUCUCUACUUUUUGAAUUGAAAAUUUUAAGUUUAUUUAUUAAAACUGUUAAGAAGUUUUUGGGUUAGUAUGGCAUUUUGAAAAAUAAAAUAAACUUGAUAUCUAUGUUUUUAAUUAUUUCAAAUAAUGUUUUACUAUUCCAAGAUAAAUUAUUUGUGUCUAGACCAAUAUCUUAAGAACUAUUGUUGCAUGUUUAAUUAUUCAAAAGAAUUGUUGAUUGAGUCUUAGCUUGAUUGACAUGUGUAUUGUUACCAAUGUAAGAGAAUGUGGGUUCAAGUAUGCUAAAGUGCAUUAUCUUCUUAUUUAUAAAUUGGGGAGUUGGUAAGGUAUUAAAUUUUGAUAUAUUUUAAAAUAUUAAAAUUUUAUUAAAAUAUUUUUUAUAAAAAUUGAUUGCACCACAAUAUACAAUUUUAAUAUCAAAUUUUUAAUUUUUUUAAAAAAUAUUAGCGACUAUAUACUUUAUUUCAAGUUACACAAAUUUUACUAGUUUUUAACUUUUUUUUAAAUAUUUACCGUCUUUUAUAAUUUUUUACAAUAUUUAAAAAUUUCUGCCAAUUUUUAAUAAUUUUAUUAUUUAUUACAAAUUUAAAAAUUAACAAAUUUAAAAAUUAACAAAUUUUUAUUUUUUAAACAAUUAUAUAUUUAUAAUGUAGUUAUUUUUUAUAUAAUUUCACUUUAAAUUUUAAAGAUUUUUUGGGUUUUUUUUUAGAUGAUGAUGCCGUUAUGAUGUCAUCAUAUACCACAUGGCAAUUUAUGAUUAGUUGGAUAUCUCAAUCUAUUUUUUAAUUUCCAAUGGACUAAACCAAGAACACCUGAUAAUGUUAGAGACUACACUAGCAAUGUUUGAUAAUAUUAGGUACUAAAGUGGGCAAAAAAAUAUUAAGAACCAAAGUAAAAAAAAAAAAAAGAAGAAGAAGCAAUAUGCUGUAGAGAAUAAACUAUGCAUUAAGCCAUUAAAAAUAUAUCUAUAAUAUAUAUAAAUGCAUGGAUUUUGAGAAACUUUUGAAGUGAUAAUUAUAUAGUCUUUGUUGUUUACUAUAUUAUUGAAUUUGUUAUUUUAAAUAUUUUUUUAUUACUUUUAAGAUUUAUUGGAUAAGAAUUUUGGUUUUUACUAAAAUAUUUGGUUAAAUAAAUUAACUUCAUAAGAAAAUUUAGCAUCCUUAUAAAUAACAAUUUUGAUUCUAUUAAAAAAUUAUUUUAAAAAGCAUAUAAUAAAAAUUUAAAAUUUAUAUUGAAUUACUUUAUACUUAAAUUAUUAUUAGAAAUUUUAUACUUAAAUUUAUGAGAACCACAAAUUUAGAACUUAAAUUUGUGUUUUAAAAUAACUUAUGAUAAAUAAUGAAAUGUAUAAUUUGAAACUAUUUAAUAAUAACACAUGGCAUAUCUACCAUAUUGAAAUAAAAAUAGAUUAAAUUGUAAGUAAAACAUAAUUUAAGCAUAGGUAUACAUCAAAUUAAGAAUACUAAAUGAAUACAGUUAUUUAUGAUGAUGUUGUUGUCAAUUCCUAAGUUGGUGUCGAGUUAAUUUGUGACAUCAUAAAUUUAAGUGAUAAAUUUAAGGUUUUACGUAUUGAUGUGGAUUGAAAUAUCACCAUACUUUUUUUAAAAUAAAAAACUAAAAUACCCUCAAAUAAUAUAACUUAUAUUAAAUAUGAAAGGGUAAUUUUGUAAUUUCUCUGACUGAGUUGGUGCCAGGUUGACUCAUGACACCAACUAAAUCGAAAGCUUCAAUAAUAAUAUAGAUAUUCACAUUAAAAAAAAGUACUUUAGUUCCAAAUAAUUAUAUAACAAGUAAAUUUAUAAUUGACGAAUAAAUUUAUAGAUAAUAUAUUUAUAUGAUCUAAUAUAUUAUAUUUAUAUUAAUUAUAUAUCAUCUACAAACUUUGAAAAUCAAUUUAUUAAGUAUCAGGAAAAGAAAAAAAUGAAAUUGAAUUAACACUAAAUCAAUUUUUGAAUUAACAAAAAAUUAGUGAUAUAUUUUAAUUAUAUUUAUUAUUUAUUUUUUUAAUAAUAUUUUUUUAAUUAUAUGAAGUAAAAUUAUAUUGUAUGAAGUAAAAAAAAUAUAUUUUCCGCAUUGGUUUCUUUUAUUCUACAGACAAAGGAUUUCUAAUGAUUUUUUAAAAAAAAAUUACUUAUAUAGAAUAGAUUAGUUUAUGCAAUAAAAAAUAAUUUCUUUUUUUAAAGUUUAAUGGAAAUUAAAAAAUUAAAAAUAAAUCAAUUCAUAUAAAUCUUAUUGUUUAUUAUCAUAUUAAAAUGAUAAAAAGUAUAUGACCAAAAUAGAAGAAACAAAUUCAACACAAUGUUUUUGGAGUUUAUUAUCAUAUUUCUAAUUUGUUGUUAAAUAGAUCUAUUUCUUCCAGCGUAGUUGAAUUAAAAAUAUUUGAUGGAAUCUGACCUGCACACAUAGUCGAAAAUUGAAGUGAAAAUUAUAUCUUCUAAACUGUUCAACUAAAAAUACUUUAAGCAUAUUUUUUAAGGUUAUUGCAUUUACCCAUGCCAAAUGGAAUGCUACCAAAUAACUCAUUGCUAUGCAAGUAAAGCCCUUCAAGCUUGGGAAGAUGUUGACACAUAUCAUUAGGAAAUUACCUGAUAGGCUAUUUUUGGAGAGAUCAAUGGUCUUCAGAGAAGAAAUGUUGAAGAUCAAAGUUGGAAUCUGACCUGUAAGGCCUUUAAUUGCUUGAAUAUUAAGCAAUUCCAAACCAUGAAGAUUACCAAUUUCCUCAGGAAUUUGACCUGCACACAUAGUCGAAAAAUCAAGGUGUCAAACUACCUAUUUUGUUAGCAUAAGUCAAAGAGGUUUUCUUUUCUGUUCUAUGGUAAUUUGGAGAUGUUAGAUUUUCAUAUAUUUCAGCAUAUGUUUUUCAUCAAAUGAAAUAAAAACUUUUUCCUUUUGUUAUCUAUUACAAAUCAAACUCUUUUAUAAAAAAAAUACUUAAAAUUCAAGAAAUCAAGGAAAUUGAUUACCUUCUAGAUUAUUAAAUCCCAAAUAUAAUUCUCUGAGUUGUGUCAGAUUUCCAAUACUUCUUGGAAUGAUCCCCGUCAAUUGAUUCAAGGACAAGGACAAAUUAUUAAGGUUGCUGCACUUGCCCAUACUUGACGAAAUGUUACCAGAUAACUCAUUGCUCUGCAAGUAAAGCCCUUCAAGCUUGGGAAGAUGUUGACACAUAUCAUUAGGUAAACUACCUGGUAGGCUAUUGCUGGAGAGAUCAAUGGUCUUCGAAGAAGAAAUGUUGGAGACCGAAGUUGGAAUCUGACCUGUAACGCCUUUAAUUGCUUCAAUAUUAAGCAAUUCCAAACCAAGAAGAUUACCGAUUUCCUCAGGAAUUUGGCCUGCACACAUAGUCGAAAAAUCAAGGUGUCAAACUACCUAUUUUGUUAGCAUAAGUCAAAGAGGUUUUCUUUUCUGUUCUAUAGUAAGUUGGAGAUGUUAGAUUUUCAUAUAUUUCAGCAUAUGUUUUUCAUCAAAUGAAAUAAAAACUUUUUUCUUUUGUUAUCUAUUACAAAUCAAACUCUUUUAUAAAAAAAUACUUAAAAUUCAAGAAAUCAAGGAAAUUGAUUACCUUCUAGAUUAUUAAAUCCCAAAUAUAAUUCUCUGAGUUGUGUCAGAUUUCCAAUACUUCUUGGAAUGAUCCCCGUCAAUUGAUUCAAGGACAAGGACAAAUUUUUAAGGUUGCUGCACUUGCCCAUACUUGACGGAAUGUUACCAGAUAACUCAUUGCUAUGCAAGUAAAGCACUUCAAGCUUGGGAAGAUGUUGACACAUAUCAUUAGGCAAACUACCUAAUAGGCUAUUGUUGGAGAGAACAAUGGUCUUCAGAGAAGAAAUGUUGAAGAUCGAAUUUGGAAUCUGACCUGUAACGCCUUUAAUUGCUUGAAUAUUAAGCAAUUCCAAACCAUGAAGAUUACCGAUUUCCUCAGGAAUUUGACCUGCACACAUAGUCGAAAAAUCAAGGUGUCAAACUACCUAUUUUGUUAGCAGAAGUCAAAGAGGUUUUCUUUUCUGUUCUAUAGUAAUUUGGAGAUGUUAGAUUUUCAUAUAUUUCAGCAUAUGUUUUUCAUCAAAUGAAAUAAAAACUUUUUCCUUUUGUUAUCUAUUACAAAUCAAACUCUUUUAUAAAAAAAAUACUUAAAAUUCAAGAAAUCAAGGAAAUUGAUUACCUUCUAGAUUAUUAAAUCCCAAAUAUAAUUCUCUGAGUUGUGUCAGAUUUCCAAUACUUCUUGGAAUGAUCCCCGUCAAUUGAUUCAAGGACAAGGACAAAUUAUUAAGGUUGCUGCACUUGCCCAUACUUGACGGAAUGUUACCAGAUAACUCAUUGCUAUGCAAGUAAAGCACUUCAAGCUUGGGAAGAUGUUGACACAUAUCAUUAGGCAAACUACCUAAUAGGCUAUUGUUGGAGAGAACAAUGGUCUUCAGAGAAGAAAUGUUGAAGAUCGAAUUUGGAAUCUGACCUGUAACGCCUUUAAUUGCUUGAAUAUUAAGCAAUUCCAAACCAUGAAGAUUACCGAUUUCCUCAGGAAUUUGACCUGCACACAUAGUCGAAAAAUCAAGGUGUCAAACUACCUAUUUUGUUAGCAUAAGUCAAAGAGGUUUUCUUUUCUGUUCUAUAGUAAUUUGGAGAUGUUAGAUUUUCAUAUAUUUCAGCAUAUGUUUUUCAUCAAAUGAAAUAAAAACUUUUUCCUUUUGUUAUCUAUUACAAAUCAAACUCUUUUAUAAAAAAAUACAUAAAAUUCAAGAAAUCAAAGGAAAUUGAUUACCUUCUAGAUUAUUAAAUCCCAAAUAUAAUUCUCUGAGUUGUGUCAGAUUUCCAAUACUUCUUGGAAUGAUCCCCGUCAAUUGAUUCAAGGACAAGGACAAAUUUUUAAGGUUGCUGCAUUUGCCCAUACUUGACGGAAUGUUACCAGAUAACUCAUUGCUAUGCAAGUAAAGCACUUCAAGCUUGGGAAGAUGUUGACACAUAUCAUUAGGCAAACUACCUGAUAGGCUAUUGCUGGAGAGAAUAAUAAUCUUUAGAGAAGAUAUGUUGAAGAUGGAAGAUGGAACCUGACCAGAUAAUUGAUUGAGUCCCAAGUUCAAAAUCUCUAGAUUAGAUAUGCUAACAAGUGUUUCAGGGAUUGUGCCUGUAAAGUAAUUAUUUUUCAUUUGUAGCCUUCGAACUCUCUGUAAGUUCCCAAGCCAUGAUGGAAUUUCCCCAUUCAGACGGUUGUAGCUUAAUUGAAGGAUCCUCAAACGAUGCAAUUGGCCCAAUUCUUUAGGGAGAUGGCCAUAGAAAUGGUUGCUACUCAAGUCGAGAGAGAGUAGAAAUGAAAGAUUUCCAAGGUGUGGAGGGAUAGUACCCCUAAGAUUCAUGCUUGUAAGAUUCAAAGCUAUAACUCUUUUAUGGAGGAUGCCACAAGAGACACCAAUCCAAUUGCAAACAGAGGUUGAGGCCGUCCAAUUGUCUGCCAAGACAAUUUGAGGACCGCCAAUACGAUCCUUAAACUCAAGAAGUGCAAACUGAUCGGAGUUGAGAUUCCUGACUGUCAUAGCCAUGCAAAGUACGAAACAUGGUAUGAAUAAAGCUAAGAGAAGAUGAAAGCAAGUUUUGUAGUUCAUGAUUGCAAGACAGAAUAAGGCAAGAAAAUAAAAAAAGUAGGAAAAGGGCAGUUGAGUUGAUAAAAUAGUUUGGAUGAUGAAGAAAAGCCCAGAGAGCAUGCUUUAAUAUGUUUCAACCCUCGCACACUUGAUAAACUUGAUAAAAAUAUUUUGAUCUAAUAAAUGUAAAAAAAAAUUAAACAAAAUAAGGUUGAAAUAAUCUAUUUGUCCUUAUAUUUUGAUAAAGGUUGAGAUUAGUCCUUAUACUUAAAAGGUUAAAAAUAAAGUUUUCUUGUUUUUAUUUAAAAAUCUUAGUCCUAUCGUUAAUUUUUUUUGGGCAAAAUUUGUCAACUGGACAUAUUAAUUUGGUUUCCCUUAUAUGUCGUUGUAUAUGACUAACACAAAAUAAGCAAGUUGACAAAUUAUGACAAAAAAAUAUCAAAGAUGAUAAUAAUUUGAUUAAAAUUUUUAAAUUGAAUUAAUAACCUUUAACAUAUAAGGAAUGGAUAUCAAAUAUUUAUAGGAAUAAAGGGACAAACAACAUAUUUUAACCACAAAAUAAUAUGAGUGAUUAGAAUGAAUCUAAAAGAGACUAACAACAUAUUGAUAACUUUGAAAUCUCCUACGAUCAUCCUUUUUCUACGUAGAAAAAGAAAAUUAAUUAGCAUCUAAAGUGUCAAUUAAUGAAACCUUCAAAAGAAAAUGUGAAAGUGAUUUACCAAACAAUAAUAUUCUAACUUAUAAUAUAUUUAAUUACAUUUAGUACUUUAUCAAUCAAAACUUAAUUAACAUCCAUCAAUACUUCAUACAUAAGUAAAUUUACCAUUUAACUCAGAUUUAACUUUGCAAGUAAACUUGAAAUUUUAUUUAAUUUUGUCACUAAAUUUAAUUUGCUCAAUAUAGAUUUUGGUGACUUAAAACAAAAUUAAUAAAAAAUUAUUCUUUCAGACAUCUUUUUAAUGUUUAAUAAUAAGUUAAUUUAUAAAAUAUACUUUCAUUGGACACAAGCCUCCAAGGCAGUGAACCACUAAUCAAAUUAAUUUGGAGAUAUCUUUUUUUUCCAAAUAAAAUGGAUAUCAAGAGAUACCAAAAAUUAUUUCACUAAGAAAUUUUAAUUCACUCGAAAAGUUAGUGUUUUAUUUCAAGGGGUCAUAAUUAUAAAUUUUGAACUUUUUGACAAUUGCGUAAAUAAUAAAUACCAAUUUUGAGUGCUGUAGGGCUAGGACAAUCUCCCUUACACAUAACCGACUCUUGAACCUACUCUUUUCUCUAGAAUUCAACUCAGACCUCAAAUUUAUCUUUUGAAAAGAAUUUUAAAAUCUUUGUAUAAAAGGUGUAAAAAUAUAUAUUUUAUUAAUUACUAUAUAUUCUUUUAUUUUCAGAAUAAUAAAUUGUUUAAAAUAUGCUACUAGUCCCUAUAAUUUAAAAGUUAAAAGUAAUUGGGAUCUUGAGUGCAUCAAAUUCCUCCUUUUAUUAUUAAAUGUUUUAUUUUAGUUACUCUAAUUAAAUAUAUCCAAAUUGUAAUAAACAUUUAUUAUAUAAAAAAUAUUUUAAAUUUAUUUCAAUUGCAAUUUAAUUUUAGUAGAAAUAUUUCAUUUAUAAAAUCAUAAAAUUUUAAAAUAUUAACUUUAUUAAAUAAAAAAUAAUUUUUUUUAAACAGUAAAUGUUGACUUUAUUAACACAAAUGGGUCUUUAGGGUUAAACUUCAGUAACUGACGAGCUCUUCCACAAACUGUGGAUGAUUUGGGGAUAAGAACUUCAAUAAUUCUAGAGUUAAAGUGUAAAUUUACUACUAUAUUAUAAGUAAAUAUUGAAAUUUAUCACUAAAUUUUAAUUGAUACUUGUCAUUACACUUUGAAAAUAUAAGUAAAUUUACCAUUUAACUCAUAUGUGAUUGAGCUUUGCAAAUAAACUUAAAAUUUUAUUUAAUUUUGUCACUAAAUUUGAUUUAUUUAAUUAAAUUUACAACUCAAUAUAGAUUUUGGUGACUUGAAUUAAAGUUAAAAAAAAAACUAUUCUUUCAAAUAACUUUUAAUGUUUACUAAUAAGUAGAUUUAUAAAAUAUACUUUCAUUGGACACAAGCAUCCAAGGCUGUGAACAAACCACUGGUCAAAUUAAUUUGGAGAUAUCCUUUUUGCGUUUUUCUUUUUUUUUAAAUAUUUUUAAUAUUUUUGUGGGUAUCAACAGACACCAAAAAUUAUUUCACUAAGGAAUUAAUUUGUAUUUUAUUUUAAGGGUUCACAAUUGAACAUUAGAUUUUUUAUUUUUAAAUUUUGAAUUUUUUGACAGUUGCGUAAUUAACAAGUACUAAUUUAGGGUGUUGUAGGGUUAUUACAACCUUCCCUACACGUAACAGACUCUUGAACCUACUUUUUUUUCUCUAGAACUCAACACAAACCUUAAAUUUAUCUUUUUAAAACAAUUUUAAAAUAUCUUUAUAAAAGGUUAUUUUUUUACCCAUCACACUUAACAAAAUUUUAAAAAUUAUUAAUUUCUUUUUGAAAUUUAAAGUGAUCUAAAAAUAUAUUUUUAAGUGCUUUAGACCCUGCGGUGCUGAUUUCUUUAUUGUAUUAAAUGCUUGCAAUCACUCCUGAUAUCUUAUACUUGAGUUGUAACAAAACCAAUUAUCAUGUUCCAUAAUGUUCUAUUGAUGCUGAAACUGAAGUUUUUGUUAUAUUAAUAGAGCUUGUCCUUCAACACGUAUAACGGGUGUUUGUUAUUUUUUUCUUCAAAUUGUAUGAUCUCAUUCAUUAAAUGAAUUAAUGAAUUUCCCUUUAAAAAAUAUAAUUUUAAAAAUUAAAUACUUUAUAAGAUAUUUAAAACUAUUUAAAAAUUGUAAGCGUUAAAACAAUCAACAAGAUAUAUUUUUCUUUAAAAAAUCAAUAAAAAUAUGUUUAAAAUUUUAUAUGAAAUUUACAAUUUUUUAACAAUAAUAUAUUUUAAAAUUAUUUACACCUUUUUUAUAUAUUUUUCCUAACAUAUAUUUUCAACACUAUCGUAAUCCUGUUUUGAUAACUCCCUUUCCAUACAUCCUUUUUCUACAUAGAAUUUCGAAAGAAAAUGUGAAUUAAUGCAGACGUGAGAAGACUUAGAGGUAAGUCACCCAAUGAAAGUGACCUACUUAUGGAAAAAUCAAACAAUAAUUUUGUAUCUUAUAAUAUAUUAAAUUACAUUUAUGAGGUUAUCAAUCAAAACUUAAUUAAAAUCCAUCAAUAAAGUUGUUGAUUGUAUAGCUAAGGCAGAUGGAGGCAUAAUUGAGCAGUUAGUUAUCUUGGAAAAUCCUCCGCAUUAUGUGAGAUGUUGGCUUGAAGAAAAUAUUAGACAGUCGUUGGUCACUGAUGAUAAUUUUUAUUUGGAUUGAAGCUGGCUUAAUUUUCUAAGUUUAUGUUCAACUAGAAAAAAAAUGUCUAAAUUGUAAUUGAAUUAACAUUUAGUGUAUAAAAAAUAUCUUAAAUUUUUUUUUUCAAUUGCAAUUCAAUUCCACAAAUACCGACGAUGAACCCUAAAACGGACAUGAAAAUUACAAAAAGAAAAAAAGCACAUCUAUUAUCAAACCAGCAAUACAUGCCUAAACUAAUAGAGAUGAACCCUAUGAUAGAUUGUGACCCCCCAAAGUCGACCGGGAUAGACCAGCCUGAAUUCAAAGCAUUACAUUAGCCACCUAAAUGACUCUCCAGCUAACGACCACCCAAGGCACACCCCAACCUUAUAACACCUCAAUUUUAUCUAAUUAUUAGUUAUUUAUUAAUGCCAAAGUAAAUUAUGAGCCAAUUUUAAACUUUUCCUAAGUAAUUUAAUCUAUGGGCAUUUACGUUAUUUUACCACCUAUGGUAAAACUAACUUGAUUUUAGAUCUAAGUGUUUACUCACCUUCUUUUAGUCAAAUUAUGCAAGUCUAAAAUUUCCAGGUGAAUUUGAGUUUGUUUACUAUGUCUAAUUCAAGUUUUAUUAUUUAGGAUUAAAUUGUAACUUAAACAAAUUCGAAUACCAAUUUAAAGAGGCAAAAAUUCAAAACCCAAAACAGACACAAGCAUGUGCGUAAAUGACACGGGCGUGUGAAAACUGGAACUAUCACAUACGGACGUGUGGGAUUGAAAAAUAUAAAAUAAAUUAAUCCACUCAAUUUUCCAAUAGCCAUGCUAUACUACCAAACCAAAAAAUGCUUGAAGCUUUGAAUAGGGGUGAAUCUAAAAAAAAAAUUAGAAGAAUUAGAAUUAAAUUAUAAUCUAAAAAAAAUUAGAAGAAUUAGAAUUAAAUUAUAAAACUUUGAGAAGUUAAAAUAUAAUUUUAUCAUGUAUUAAUUUAUUAUUUUUAAAAUGGUCUUAAUUGAAUUUUUUUUUCCAUUUUUGUUGGGCCAAUACCCCUGCUUGCCUCUUUGAAUUUGCUCCAACCCUAAACCCAAUAAUCAAUUUGGAUUAACAACAAUAUAUAGGUUAGUAUUUGUGGGAGUUUGACAAUAAAAUUUUUUUUAAAAGGUUUAAAUUAUAAAUUUUUGAAAGAUUAAAAUAAAUUUGUAUUUUUUAUUAACAAAAUAUAAAAGAAAAAAACAUGUUUAGACAAGCCAAGAGACCUUUGGGAUCAUACGGGUGAUUUUGAUGAUGUUAAUAGUUAUUUUGGUGGAGAGGCUGAGAAAGAAACAAAUGAUUCAUUAUAUAUAAUAUAAUUAUGAAAUUCAAGCCAUAUAUUGUAUGUUUCAUACAUAAAAAAAAUUGGAGCAAUUUAAUCCCUAUCAAUUUUGAAAGUGAGCAACUAAGAACAAUGAAUUAUGGUGUUUCCUUCUUAAUUUCACAAUUGCGCAAAUUAGUCCCUCUCAAAAAAAAUUGGAGCAAUUUAAUCCCUAUCGAUUUUGAAAGUGAGCAACUAAGAACAAUUAAUUAUGGUGUUAAAUUCUUCCAUCAAUUGUACAUAAUUUUGAUUGGUAUAGUAAUAAAUUUAGCCUUCAAUGUUUAAAUAUUUUGUCAUUUUGGCCUUAAUUUUUUUUUAAAAAAAAUUCAAGCAUUUCAACCUCAACAUUUAGAUAUUUACACAAACGUUGCGGGAAAUUUUUGUUAAAUUUAGACCAAAUUGCAAGUAUAAAUUUUGAAGGCUAAAUUUAUUAUUAUACCAACCAAAAUCAUGUACAUUUUAUGGAAAAUUAACAUCCUGAUUAAUUAUUCUUAGUUACUCACUUUCAAAAUUAAUAGGGACUAAAUUGCUCUGAUUUUUUAAGGGUGACCAAUUUCCUCAAUUUGGAAAUUGAGAGAGACUAUUCAGAUAUUUUACAUAUUUUUUUAUAAAUAUAUUUUUUUAAUAUAAAAUAUAUUUGUUCACACAUAUUGUGAGUAUGAUAAAAUAUUUUUAUUAUUGAUUGAGUUGGUGUCAAAAAUUAACUCGACACCAACUCAAGAUUAAUAAUAACAAUAUGAUAAAUAAUUUAUUUAUUUAAUAUUCUUAAUUUAACAUAUUGAUGUAAAUUUUAAGACAUGCAUGUCUUGUAGAAUUGAGAUUAUACUAUUUGAGUAUUGAGUCAGUUUUCCACAAUGGUGGGUCUCGAGCAACAGCACAAUUUCAACAUUUCUUCAUCUCGCUUAAUCCAAAUGCAUUUAGGAUUUUUUUUUUAUAUCAUUGUUUCAAAAACGAUAAAAAAAAACGUGGACAUUGAAUUUUCUGUUUCACAUUCAAUUUUUGGAGAAGUAGAAUUUUCUAACUUAUUUUCCAUCAACUUCACUUCAAUUUUCAAUCACAAUCUAUUGUAUUCAAGAGUACCACAUCUUUUUGGAUGAAACAAACCUCUCAAUCUUAAGAUAAACGGAAUCUAUUGCAUUCAAGAGCACCACAUCUUUUUGGAUGAAACAAAGCACUCAAUAUUAAGAUAAACGGGUCUUUAGGGUUAUUAACUGAGGGCAUUUUCCACAAAUGGCAUCGUUAUUUGAAGGUGAUUCGGGGAUAAUAACAUCAACAUUUCUGUAUCACAUUUAAUUCAAUUCCACAUUUAACUUUUAAUUUUUGGAGAGAUGAUUGGGCUACAACAAUGGUUUGAAGUGAAGAUAUUUCAAAAGAAGGCAAAUAUAUCAAUUUUUUUAAGGGGUCUUUGGAGUUAUAUGUGACUUUAGCAUUAUUGACCGAUUUUUUUAUGGUUAAUCUUUUAUAAUAAGGUAAAUAUAUCAAUUUUAAUAACAUCGGCAUGUUUUUUAGUAGGGUCGAGCAAAACCCAAUUAAAACCUUUCAUCACUGCAAAAAUGAAAAUAAUAGAAAUGAAAGACUAGCCAUUGUAUGAGAUUUAUAAUUGUAACUGUCAACGAAAUUGGGAGAAAUUUUUAAAUUUUAUGAAAUUUUAAAAUUUAACUGUCAAUAAUAGAAAAUUGCCUGAGUAACUUGAGAUAAGAGGUUGAACAUUUCUGGAUCACAUUACAUUUAAGAUGGGUCUUUAAGGUUAUACUUUAGUUAUUGAGAACAUUUUCCACAAGUUACCGUCGUUAUUUGUGGGGUAAGUGGUUGAACACUUCUGGAACACAUUGCAUUUAGGACGGGUAUCAUUCAUAGACUGACUUUUCUAUAAUUAGUCCUUGCUUUACUUUAGGUGGAUUCUUCCAACUAGUCCAAGAAUUAUUGUACAGUUACAAUUAAUCUUUUUAAAUGAGACAAACAUUUCAAAUUUGUCGUUACUAUUUGUGAGUGAUUUGGGGGUAAGAAGUUUAACACUUCUGGAUGUCUUAUAGAAUUGUGAUUAUACUUUUUGAGUAUUGACUCAGUUUUCCACAAUUGUGGGUCUCUAUUUGAGCAAAACAAUUUCAACAUUUCUUCAUCUCGUUUAAUCCAAAUGCAUUUAUGCAUUUCUUAUAUCAUUGAAUUUGCUGUUUCCCAUUCAAAUUUUGGACAAGUAGAAUUUUCUAACCUAUUUUCCAUCAAGAAUUUUCUAACCUAUUUUCCAUCAACUUCACUUGAAUUUUCAAUCACAAUCAAUUGCAUUCAAGAGCACCACAUCUUUUUCGAUGAAACAAAACUUUCAAUUUUAAGAUAAACGGGUCUUUAGGGUUAUUAUUCAUUUAUUGAGGGCCUUUUCAACAAUUGCCAUCAUUAUUUGUUGGUGAUUUGGGGAUAAUAACUUGAACAUUUCUGGAUCACAUUGAAUUCAAUAUUCUUAUACAAUAGUAUUUUAUAUAUAUACGUACAUAAUUUAUAUUAAACUAUUUUUAUUUUAUAUAUUAUUGAUUUCGUAUUAUUAUAACUAUUGACCUUAUGUUUAUAUGUUUUUUUAAAACCUAUUUUUUACAUAUACAAUUUACUUCUUUUAAAAAAACCCUACUUCAUAUACUUGGUUUAUUUCAAAUUUCUACAUAUAUUAUUAUGCAUAUAUAUAUAUAUUAUCAUUUGUAUUGUUAUUAAGCUUUUCAUUUCAUAUAUAUUAAUUAUUUAGGUUAAUACAUACAUUAUUUUGUACAUUACCUAUUUUGAUUUUAUUCUUAUGCAAAAUUUACUUUAAAAUUUGUUUACAUAUUAUUGUUUCACAUAGUAUUUAUUUUUAACUCUAUUUUUGGUCUAUUUCGAAUUUUCAUGUACAUUAUUUAUUUUUAUACUUUUUGGAUUUACAAUUUCCUUUCUUUCAUGCCAUUUUUUAAUUAUUUCAAAACUUAUACAUUGGAUUUGCAUUUGUGUUAAUUUGUUUGCUUUUUAGGUUUUACUAGCUUUUAAAUAUGGAUGUUAGUAGUUGCAUAAUGUGUAAUAUAAGAUUGUUGCCCUUAUGUAUGUUGUAUUGUUUAUUUGUAUUUUAUUGAUCCUUUGUUGCUCAUUAGCUUACAUUUAGCUUACAAAUUGUAAGUGUAACUUUUGAGGGCUAAAUUUAUUAUUAUACCAACCAAAAUCAUGUACAUUUUAUGAAAAAUUAACAUCUUGAUUAAUUAUUCUUAGUUGCUCACUUUCAAAAUUUCUCUGAUUUUUUUUGGGUGACCAAUUUCCUGAAAUUGGAAAGUGAGAGAGACUAUUGAGAUCUUUUACGUAUAUUUUUUUAUAAAUAUAUUUUUUAAAUAUAAAACAUAUUUGUUCACACACAUCAUGAGUGUCGAAACCAUUUUUUUAAUAAAUGGGGGUCGACUUUUAUUUUGAAAAUGAAAAUAAACAAAUGGGACUCGCCACUGAUCUUUUGUUUAGUGUGAUCAGAUCACCUUGAAAGCGAUUUUGGUCUACGAAAUUUGAGAAAACAGGUUGGGGAGUCGAUUACGCACGAGGAAGGGUUAGCACCCUCGUAACACCCAAAAUUGGUACCUAAUUGAUUAAUUAAUGUCUUAAUGUCGAAAUUUUAAAAAAAAAAUUUAAAAUACAAUCCUUCUAUUCAAAUGAACACUUGUAUGAAUCAGAUUGCGUACUAAGACCCUCUUGUUUUGGAGAAAUAGAAUGCCACACACAGUGAGUUAGGAUAUGACAUUUUCACAUCUUCCAAAAAUGAGCUGGCCUUUUGAUUUUUUUUUUUAAAAAAAAAACUCUUGCAGUGAAGUUUAAAAAAAGGAUACUCUAUUGUUUUGGUUAGAUGAAAAUAAAUGAAUAAAUGAAUAGCAUACAAGAAAGGAAAUUUAAAAUUAUCAAUACAUAAACAAUAAAUUAUAUGCAUUAACUUUUAAAAUAAACAAUAUAUAUACGAGUUUGAAAUAGAUCAAAAAUGAAGAUAAAAAAUAGAUACUAUAUGAAAUGAUAAUAUCAAAAUGAAUUUUAAAGUAAAUAUUGAAUAAAAAAAAUCAAAAUAUGUAAUAUACAAAAUAAUAUAUAUUAAUCUAAAUAAAUAAUAAAUAUGGAAUGAAAAAUUCGAAAUAGAUAAUACUAUAUAUAUAUAUAUAUAAAUAUAUGUGAAAAGUCGAAAUAGGUAGAAUAUAAUAAAAUAGGUUUUUUAAAGAAAUAAAUUAUAUAUAUAUGGAAAUAGGUAACAAAGAUAUAUAUAACAGCAUGAAAUCAAUAAUAUAUUAUAUAUGCAUAUAUGUAUAAUAAAAAUAGUUUAAUAACACUUGUAUAUAUAUGUAUAAAAUAGUAAUAUGAAAGAGCAUUAUCGUAUAAAUCUUUAAAACAAAGAAGUAUAUAUAAGUGCAUUUUAAAAAUGUAUUUAAAAUAAAACCAUUAAAAACGUAUAAAUUAUAUUGAAAUUGCAUAAAAAGUAUAUAAAAUAAUAGAUGGAAAUUAAAAUAAUAAUAUAUGAUAAAUUUUAAAAAAAAAGUAAUUAUACAUGAAAAACUUAGAAUAAUAAUACAUAAAAAACUUAAAAUAAUAAUACAUGAUGAAUUUAAAUAACAAAUACAUGAUAAAUUUAAAUAAUGUUAAUGAUAAAUUUAAAAUAAUAAUAUAUUACAAAUUGAAAUAAUAUUGAUGAUAAAUUUAAAAAUAAUGUUAAGCUUAAACAUAAAAAUAAUAUUAGAUUUAAAAUUAAAUAUAUAUUUUUUUAAAAAUAACAGGAUAAUAAAUAUUUAAAAAAAUUGAACACGUUAAAUUAAACAAAUACGGGUUAAAUUGUAUUUAAUACAAAAUUAAAAGAAAAAAUGAAAAUAAAAUAAAAUAGAGGGCCAAAAUGCAGCACACGAAUAACAUGGGGGACUAAAUGGGGAAUAUUCCCUGCCCACCAAAACGCUGUGUUGCAAUAUGGAUCAAAAUGAACAGUAUUCAAAUUAAACGAGGUAAAUUUAAAAAUAAAAAAUGAAAUUAAAAUAGUGAAAGAAAAUAAAAGGGUCAAUGGUGCAAAUAUCCCCUUUUAGACCCAAAACACGUGGAUCUGACCUUGCUCGAGUCGGGUCAUUAGAUCUCUUAAACCUAAACCAUUGAAGCAAGGCCCAAACGGUACCAUUUCAUGGUCUUCUUAAAACAAAAACCUAAACCACUAUUUGGUUGUUCUUAAAUCAGAUUAGCCAAAACCCUAGCCGCUCGAAUGCUUUGCCGAUAUUCAACCUUACAGUCCUCGCUUGAGCUCCGAUUACGACAAAGUGAAUGGGGAUACAAUGGCGCUAUCUUAUAGGUAAAUCCCUCUCCUCUCAUUCAUUUCUCUUUCACAAACAAGUAUAACAAACAAAGAUUGAGGAAACAGAAAAGAAAAAAGAAAUCUAAAGAUAAAGAAAUGGGAUUUUUUUUCAUAACGGCUAAAUCAUUCAACUCAUAGUUUUUGUUAAAUGAAGAGGUCAAUUGAUUUUUUUGGAAUCAUUGAGUACUCAAUUGGUGCACUUUUUUCAUAAAGGCUAAAUUAAUUUUUUAAUUUGUUACUGUUGAGGGCUAUAGCAAUAAAAAAAAUUGAGGUAAAAUGGAAAAAAUGUUAGAGCUAAAUUUAUCACUAUGCCUAAAACCAAAAUUUUUUGAAAAUAAAAAAAAAUGGAAAAUCACAAAUUUUGUCACUUAUGUUAGCUUAAAAUUAUAGUUUUGGUCACCAAUCUUUUGAAGUAAAUAUCUGGUCAACAAUAUUAUCCAUUUGUUACUUUGUAAUAACUCACCUUAAAGUUAUAUCCCUGCGCAAGAAAGGAUUAAAUGACAAACUUGUAUCUUUUUUUAUUCAUCCAAUGUCAUUUCAACAUUUUCAUUUAAAAAAAUUGACAUAUCAUUUUGAAUUCCAUCUUUUUCAUGAUGAAACUAUUGAAAUGAUGUUAAAUUACUGGAAAGAGAUACAAGUUUAAUCUUAUCUAUCUAAGAAAGCUGAUGUAACACAUUAAUGACAUCAUUCCAAACAAAGUUUUAGGUCCAAUUGUUCAUCUAGCCCUUGUAAUUGUUUUUAGGUGAAUUUCAUUAUUAAUCUUUUAUUUUCUUUGGCUUAAAUACACAUUUACCCUUAAUUUUAUCACAUUCUCCUUCACUGGUAUUUAUGGUUUAGAAAAUUUUACAAAUAUAUUAUUUUUUAAGAAAUUAUAAGAAGAUUACAAAAAUUCCAAAAUAAUAUAAAAAAGCUAAGGAAAACCUAGAAAUUCAAAAAAAAAAUCAUGUUUUUACAAAUUGGGAAAUACCUAAAUUUGUUUUCAUCAAUUAAGAAAUUAAAAAAAUUGUUGAGAAAUAUCUUUUUAGAAAUAUCAUAAUUGCAUUUAAGACCUCAUGAUUAUCUUUUAUAAUUUCAAGGUUAUCAACUAUUUUGAAAACAAAGACAAAAACAAAAACAAAAACGUCGACAUAUCACUUUAGCAUUGACUUACUUUUCUACAGUUAGUCUUCUCCAACAAGAUAAAUAUUUCAAUUUUAACAACAUUGACAGGUCUUUGGGGUAGGGUCGAGCAAAAGUCAAUAGAAACAGAUGAUAUAAGUUUAAAUCGGCCCGGUCAAGCCGAUGUCCUGGUAAAAUCAAUUUUAAAAUUAAUUAUAAUAGUUUAAGCGAAUUGAUUAUUAAGUAAUGAAAUACUUAAUUCAAACAAUUGAUGUAAUCAAAUUAUAAUAAAUAUAUAUUUACUUUUAUGGGAUCCUUCAUCUCCUUUUUAGAGUUUGUGGCAAUAUUUAUUUUAAGCUUCAAAUUUAUAUUUUUUAUUUAUGAGUACAAUGUGUUUUACAAUUACAUCUACAGUGUAUAUUUUUUAUUUUAAAACAUAUAUUAUAAUAUAUGAAAAACAUAUAUGUCGAAACCAUUUUUAAUAAUUUUGAAAAACGGGGAUCGACUUCGAAAAUAAAAUGGGAGUCACCAUCGAUCUUUUAUUGAGAUAUGAUCGGUUCACCAUUAGACGUAAUUUUGGUCUGCAAAUUUUGAGAAAACAAGUUCAGGAAUCUGUUAAGCACGAGGAAGGGUUAGCACCCUCGUAACGCCCAAAAUUGGUACCAAAUUGAUUGUUUAAUGUCUUAAGGUCGAAAUUUUGAAAAGAUUUUAAAAUACGAUCCUUUGAAGUUUAAAUUUGAAUAAACCAAAUUGAAUAAUAAGACACACUCAUUUCGAAUAAAUAAAUUGUCACACUCAGUGAGUUAGGAUGCAACAAUUCAAUCAUCAAAAUUAAGUAUGUCUUUUUUAAUUUUAAAAUUUUAAAAUUCAUGCAUUUUGAGAAUGUUGUUCGGUUAUUUAAGUCAAACGAGAAAUCAGAAUUCAGUAAGUUAGGUUUCGAUUUCUUGAAGUUCUUAAACAUCAAAUAUUGUCUUUAUUUUAAAAUCAGGAUAUCAGAAUGUCACAUCCGGUAAGUUAGGAUCCGACAUUUUGAAAUCCUAAAUGCUUAGUUUUAAAAUGGUAUGGUUUUAAUAAAAUAAGCAUAUAGCUAUUUAAAUUCAUCGAGAAAAAUUGGAACCCAAUAAGUUAGGGCACAAUUCUCUCGAAAAUUAUAAAUGCUAGACCUUUUUUAAUAUGAAAUAGAAUAAAAAAUUUAAAAGAAGUAUGAAAUGUAAAAGAUGAUUGAUAAUUCAAACUUAAACUAAGAAGUAGCAAAUAAGUGAUAAAUAAAUACAAAUAAGGAAUAGCAAUAAUAGUUUUAAUAAUAUUAUAUUAACGCUAACAUUGACAAUCAAACAUCAAAUUCUAAAGUAUAUCCAAGAUGAUAAAAGGGGAAUUUCACCUCACGAAACUUAUGCACACAAGUUCUAAAAGAUUUAUUCACAAAAUCAAAAUAGAUUCGAAAUAAAAUAAUAAUAACAUUGUAUAAUAGCAUUUCGAAAUGAGCUUGAAACAAAUAAAAUAUAUUUAUUAAUCCACCUUAAAUAAUACACAUAAAAUAACUAUGAAAGGGUCUCAAUGCAUGUAUGAUUUAAAAGAAAUAAGUAAUUACCCAAAUAGGUUUUCAAAGAAAUAAAUUAUAUAAAUGAAAUCGACUUAAAAUUCAUAUAUGCAUAUAAAAAUACUUUGAAAAUUUAUAAUCAUGAUGAUAUUAAACAUCAAAACAAUAAUAUAUAUAUUUUUUGAAAUAAUUUAAUAUCACAUAUAGUAGCAUUUAAAAACAUUAUAUUAAAAGAAAAUUAAGUUAUAACACAAAAUGAAUUACUAAAAUAUGUUCAAAGUAUGUCAAAUUGCUAUAAAACAUUUUUACAUAUAUAGAUGAUGAAACAUAUAAUGAUAUAGAGUUUUAAAAUAAAAAGGAUAAAUUUUAAAAAAAUGUUAAUAAACUCAAAACAUGUUAAUAAUAAUUUUAAAUAACAAUAUGUUGUACCUUAAAAUUAUAAUAAAAAUGUUUGAAAACAGUGUUAAUCCUAAUAUUUAAAACUUAUUAAAAAUAAACAUAUUAAAAAUACUAAGCUAACUUUACAUUAUGUUAUAUAUAUAAAAAAAAACUAAAUUUGAAUGAAAUUUGUAGAAGCCCAAAUUUGCCGGGCCCAUACCAACAAAAUAACCCAAACAAUAAACCCGAAGCCCAACUACCCCAGCCCAUUAACCUAAGCUCAGCAUUCAGAAACCCUAAUCCCACUAACCCUAGCCACCUACCCCCACUUGCCCACUUGCCCACUUGCGCCGAACACCACCAUGCCACUAUCGGCCAUGGCCACCUGCAAGAAGCCAAGUAGAAAUAAACAAAUAGAAAAUAAACAUUUGUAAUUGGUUAUAAAAACCGAAAAUCUCACCAUUGAUAAAGGGGAUUUUUUAUUUUUUGCUAUGAAAACAAAAGAUUUUCUUUCAAUAUUAACAGAUUCAAUACAAGAACCAUUCGAAAAUAUAUAUACUAUCAGGGGCUCUAACACCAAAUCGGAGAAUCAAAUCUAAAACCUAAGGUGAACCUAAGGUGACUCUUUCUUUUUUUUUUCUUUACUGUUUUGAGUUUAUUUUCUACAUAAAAAUACUAAAAAAUAUUAAAACAUAAAAAUAUAUGCAUUAUUAAGCAAAAAAAAAAAGAAAAAAAGAAAAAAAAUAUUUUUUUUACCUUUUCCGGCCACCGCCGGCGAGCCUCCGGUGGCCGUCCGGUGACCGGCCCCCUGGCCGGAUUCCCCUUUCCCCCUCCCUUCUCUCUCCCUUCUCUCUUCCCUCUCUCUCUUCUUUUUUUUCUUUCCCUCUCCCCAAAGGAUUUUUUUGGCUAUUUUAGGCCUUUAUAUAGCCCUCCAAAACGAUGUCGUUUUGGGGGCUACACUUAAGCCUCAAAACGACGUCGUUUUGACCAUUGCCCGACCCAUCCGACCCGACCCGCUAGAGGAUCCGCGUGUUUUCGUUUGAAUGGGAUAUUUAUGCGCGCAGUCCUUCCGCUUUUUCAAGGUUUUGCAGUUAAGUCAUUUUUCUUGUUUCCAAUUUGGCCCCAUAAUUUCUCGCGCUUUUCGAUUUAGUCCCCGCUAAUGUGCUGUGUUUUAAUGGAAUGGAAUAAUUGUUGUUUCGGUCCUCCUAUGUUUUGUGCGCGCUCAAAUAAGCCCAUUUCUCUUUAUUUCCUUUCACAUUUGCCCCACAACUUUGUUUUUAAUUCAAUUUUAGUCCUUUUUCGUUUAUUUUUAUAUCUUUAUUAAAUAUCAUUGUUAUUUUAUAUUAUUAGUAUUAUUAGUAUUACUAUUAUUAUUAUUAUGUAUUAGUAUAUAUUUUUAUUAUGUACGCGUAUACAUGUAUAUAUAUUUUCAUAUUUAAUAUUUUUAUUUCAUUUUUUUCUAAUAUUUUAUUAUAAUUUAUAUAUAUAUACAUAUACAUAUUCUUUAUUUAUUUUAAGUAUAUAUUUUUUAUAUUUCAUAUUUUCUACAGGCAUAUAUAUACUUAUAUAUUUACAUAUUUUAAUUCAUAUACUUAUAAAUGUAUGUACAUACUUACGUUAUUUUAUUUUUAUAAUAUACAUAUUUAUAUUUUUUUGUCUUUAUGUAAUAUAUAUACAUACAUGCGCAUGUUAUUUAUAUAUAUGUAAUUAUGUUUUCAUAUUUUAUAAUUCUUGUACAUACAUAUAUAUAUAUAUAUGUAUAGACAUACAUAUUUUCAUUAUAUAUAUAUACCUACAUAGUUUUUUUUUUGUAUUUUAAAUCUUUUAAAAUUCAUACAUGCAUUUUUAAAACUUUUAUAAUUUUAUUCAUUUCUUUAUUAUUAUUAUUGUUUUACUUUAUGUUUAUCUAUUUAUUUAUGUGUCCAUUAUUAUUUUUUUUAAAAAAUGUUUUAGUUUUUUUUAUUUUGUUUAUUUACUUGUUAUUGUAUAUAAUUGAUUUUUUAUAUAUUUAUUUUUGUUAUCUUCGCUCGUAUUAUUUUUACUCGCAUUAUCGUAAUUGUUAUUCCGUCACAUCAAUUUUUACCCAAAUUCGUAAAAAAGGGAAAAUUUUGGAAAUAAAGGCAAUACUCGAUACUUGGGAUCUUCGAGAGAAUUGGGCCCUAACGUGCUGGGUUCUAAUUUUCUGUUGAAUCUAAAUGCUCGAGAAUGCUCUUUAAUAUAAAACAUAAAUAAAAACUCAUUAUCGGGAUUUCAAUAUGUUGUGUCCUAACGCAUUGGAUAUGACACGUGGUUUUCUCGAUAUGAGGAUUUUUUUUUUCGAAAGUAAAGACAAUAUUCCGUAUUUAGAAAAUUCGAGAAAAUCAUGCCCUAACUUACUGAGCUUCGAUUUUUCUCGUUGAUUCUAAGUAAUCGGAUAUCCUUUUAAAAUUAAAAUAAAUGAGGUUUAAAUAAAAAAAUGAAAGGCAAGUUUACUCUCGAAAAUACGAGGUGUCGUGUCCUAACUUACUGGAUGUAACAUCUUGUUACUUCGAGAUAAAGAGGCAUUUUCCAUUUUGAUUUAUUCGAGUAUUUUUAAAAUAACACGAUAUAAGGAGGGAUCAUAUUUUUAAGAUUCUUUUCGAGUUUUUAAUUUUCGACACUAAGACACUAAUUAAUCAACUAGGUACCAAUUUUGGGUGUAUCGAGGGUGCUAAUCCUUCCUCGUGCAUAACCGACUCCCGAACUCAUUUUUCUGAAUUUCGUAGACCAAAAUCGUUGUUUUAAUAAAAUUAAAUCAUUUAUUAAAAACAACCACUUUUUGAGGUGACCCGAUCACACCUCAUCAAAAAAGGAUUGGUGGCGACUCCCAAUUUCGUUUCAUUUUCAAAAUCCAAGUCGACCCCGUUUUCAUCCAAAAAAUGGUGUCAACAGCUUGGCGACUCCACUGGGGACAAUAAGAGAGUCAAGCCACGUGUUGAUUAUUUCUUGUCUUUCUGUUGAAAGUGGAAAAUUCGAUUUAAAUUUACGAUCCUCUCAUUACAUCUCUUUUGUUUUGAGUUAUAUUUUUAUUGUGUUCUGUAUUUUAUUUUAUACCUCUGCACAUUGCAUUGCAUGACCGCUGGUCAUACCCUUUUUAAGUGGGAGUGAGAAGCUACGCCUUCGUGAGGUUUUCACCUCCGCAUGGGAUAGUGAAUCGCUUUCGGGAUAUAUCCGUACCUAUGUCUUCGUGAGAUUUUCAUCUCCGCAUGGCCAUAGGGAAAUGUAUCCCCCUGAAUCGAACUCGGUCCAUAUGAGCCUAUAAUGGGUGAGGAUCGAGGAAUCUGCUGGUUCAGGUACCCUUACUUUAGAACCAAACCUCAUGUAGUGAACCUUAGGAGCCCACCCUAGGUAGAACCACCUCCAAACCCCUAGUGGUCACCCGAAUUGCUUUAUUUGUUAUUUAUUCUGCACUAACGUGUUUUGUUUUUUUUUUGUUUAUAAUUGCAUUGUAUUACAUCAUCCUAGGAAGGAGGUGUUGAUUUAUAUUUGAUUGCUAAAUAGAACAGUUUGUCAUAAGAAAACAAAUUUUUUGAUAAAGUGGAUUAUAACACGGUUGUCUAAAUAUGGUCCAAGUGAAUACAUGAAAGAAGGCUGAUAGUCCGUGAAGAAAUACAAGACUUUGCUUCAUUGCCUGAAGACAGAAACUAACAAAGAUUAUUCGAGAGCUGUCAUGUCUUGACUUUCUUAAAGGAGCUGAAAAGUAUCAUAGAAAUAAGUGAGCAACGAGUCGCUGCCUGGAUCCAGCAAAAAAGCAGUUAAUAUAGACAUCUCUUGGAGAAUUCGUCAGACUCGACCAUAAGAUCCAGAUAUGAAGAGGAAGAAAGGUGUCUUCACUUGGAAUAUGAGAGAAAGACCGUGUAUGUAGUCCGUUUUAUGUAAAGGAAUUUGUUUUCUAGAAAAGUUGUUCCAAUGAAAUUAAAUUUAGAAUCAAUGUCUUCCUUUCUUUUUGCAUUCAUGCAUUUGCAUUACAUUACAUCAAAGAAAAGAAUGUGUUGAUUCGAAAUUCGAUUCCUAAAUAGAAUAGUUUGUCAUAAGGAAACGAAUUUCUUGAUAAAGUGGAUUAUAGUGCGGUCACCUGAAUAUAGUCUGAGUAAACACGAUGAGAGAAAGCUGGUAGUUCACGGAGGAAUACAUGAUGUAAUUUCUAGAGAUUCAAGCCAACGAAGGCAUGACGAGAGAAAGCCGGAAGUCCACGAAGGAAUACAUGACUUGAUUUAAUUGCCAACGAAGAUUAUCCAAGAGCCGGCACUUUUUGAUGAAUAUCAUGGAGAUAAGCGAGCAAGAGAUCGAGGCUCAGGUUAAGCAGUAAGGAGCUAGCAAAGGCAUCUUUUGGAGAAUUUACAGGGUUUAACCAUGAAGAAAAUAUCAGCGUUUACUUGGACUAUGAAGGGCAAUACCACAUAUGUAAACUAUUUUCAUGUAAAAAAAUUUGUCUUCUAGAAAAAUUAUUCUAAUAGAAUUAAAUUUAGAAUCAACGCAUUCUUUUUCUUUGCAUUCUUUUCAUGCAUUGCAUCACAUCAUAUGCAUUAAUGACCAUUUAAAAAGAACUUAAUCGAAUAAAAUCAUUUCAGUUAACCUGGAAAACCAACAAAGUUACGGCACCCGAGCUAAGGCAAAAGUUAUGGACCAAAGGUUGGAGAAGCUAGAGCGACUUCAAAAAGAAAUGCAAGACCAGUUGCAGGCGCAAAUGAAAGAGCAAAUGGAAAAGAUUCAGCGUGACAUGGUGCAAAAGAUGGAGGAGUCCCAAAAUGAUCUGGUGGCUAAGAUGACGCAAUUAUUGAAGGGAGUAGAUAAGGGUAAAGGUCCUGUGAUUGUUAGUGAAGAAGAAAACAAUGGUGAACCACUUUAUCCUCCAGGUUUCACGCCUCCGCAUGAGCAAGUACAGACUGAGCUGCAUCUGCGGAGACCCUCUGUGUCGGUUAGGCCCCAGCAGUUCCAAGGCGAUGCUUCAAUCCCAAUGAAUUUUCAACCCGGAGCGGGCUUUAAUCCCAGUGAUAGCCCGAAUAAUAUUGUUGUCCCAGAUCUUGAUGAGAUGGUUGAAAAGGACAAGGCGAAGGAGGAAUUUCCAAAACAAUUUGAGGAGAAAUGGAAAUGGAUAGAAGAAAAGUUUAGGGCAAUAGAAAGCAUCGAAAGCUACGGAAUAGAUGCAAAGGAUCUGAGCUUGGUUCCGGACUUGGUGCUCCCUUACAAAUUUAAGAUGCCGAAAUUCGAGAAAUACAACGGGACUAGUUGCCCAGGAUCCCAUAUUACUAUGUUUUGUAGAAGAAUGACGGGGCAUAUUAAUAAUGAUCAAUUAUUAAUACAUUGCUUUCAGGAAAGUCUUACGGGAGCGGCGUCAAAGUGGUACAAUCAGCUGAGCCGAGCUAAAAUUGCUACUUGGAGGGAUUUAGCACAGGCUUUCCUGAGACAAUACAAUCAUGUCUCAGAAAUAAUGCCUGACAGGAUAACUCUGCAAAAUUUAGAGAAGAAAUCAAACGAAAGCUUCAGACAAUAUGCGCAGAGGUGGCGAGAGGUGGCAGUUCAGGUGCAACCACCGCUUUUGGAAAAAGAGAUGACAACGCUUUUUAUUAAUACUUUGAAAGCCCCGUUCAUCACUCACAUGUUGGGAAGCGCUUCAAAAAAUUUCUCGGAUAUAAUCAUGAAUGGUGAAAUGAUUGAGCAUGCCAUUAAAAGUGGAAAAAUAGAUGGAGGAGAAAAUAAUAGGAGGGCACCCCUGAAGAAAAGAGAAAAUGAAGUGAAUAAUGUGAAUGCUUAUGGUAGGUCAAUUACCGUGAAUCAACCAAAGAAAGUGGUUGCUAAUCAACAGGGAUCAUCAAGACAAGAGUCGGGAGCUAGGCAAACUACUGAAAAGCCCUAAUUCACGCCAAUCCCGAUGUCAUACAAGGAGUUGUAUCAGACUUUAUUCGAUGCACAUGUUGUUGCUCCUCGUUACUUGAGUCCUCUACAACCCCCGUAUCCAAAAUGGUAUGAUAUGAACGCGCAAUGUGAUUAUCAUGCGGGAAUUUCUGGGCACUCGAUAGAAAAUUGUACUGCCUUCAAGAAGGUAGUAGAAGGACUUAUCAAUUUAGGUGUCGUCAAACUUGACGACUCACCUAACGCAAAGAAUCCGUUACCUAAUCACGCAGAUAAAGGGGUGAAUAUGGUUAGCGAAGAUACGGGAGAAGAAGCCAAGACUGACAUUGCUGAAGUAAAAACUCCAUUGAAACGGGUCUGGAAAGAAAUGGCGAAAAGAGGUUUGGUUAUUUCAGAUUCUGAGGAAGGGCAUGAGAUGGGAAAUUAUUGUGAAUUUCACCAUAAAACAGGGCACGAAAUCCAAGAAUGUGAAGGAUUUAAGGCUUUGGUUCAAAGCAUGAUGGAUAACAAGGAGAUGAGGUUUUACGAAGAUGCGAAAGAAAUGAGGAGCAUAUGCGCGACAGAGUUGGGAACAAAGGCUCCAAAUCAUCCUGUGGUCAUUAUCUCACGCCCUAAGGGUAAGGAGGUUAGGGCUCAGGUAACACCGAAAAUUGUAAUCCAGAAACCAUCAAAUUUCUCUUAUAGGGAUAACAAAAUGGUACCGUGGAAUUACGGGUGUAAUGUGACCAUUUUGGGAAAAGAAGCAGAAAGAAAUCAGGAAAUAGGUUCUUACACGCGCAAUAGAAAAAGAUAUGACGCUCAAGCAGAGUCGUCCAGGGAAGAGAAUUGGAAGAAAGAACAGAGGAAAGGGAAAGCAGUAGAAGUUGAGCCAUUGGUAAAUGAACCAAAAAAAGAAGAGGAGGCAAAGGAGUUUUUGAAGUUUUUGAAACACAGUGAAUACAGUGUUGUGGAGCAACUACACAAACAGCCAGCCCGCAUUUCUGUAUUAGCUUUACUCUUAAACUCGGAAGUACAUCGGAAUGCACUAUUAAAGGUGCUAAACGAAACAUAUGUGGCUGACGAUAUUUCGGUAAACAAGCUGGAUCGGCUGAUCAACAAUAUUGGUGCUGACAAUUUUAUCUUCUUCAGUGAUGAUGAAAUACCAUCCGGAGGAAGAGGUUCUACUAAAGCCCUGCAUGUUACUGUCCGAUGCAAAGGGUACACACUCCCGGGGGCCUUGGUUGAUAAUGGAUCUGCACUAAAUGUAUUGCCUUUGUCCACUCUUAGUCGAUUACCAAUAGACAGUUCGCACAUGAAAGCAUGCCAGAACAUAGUAAGGGCAUUUGAUGGAACAAAAAAGGAGGUUAUGGGGAGAAUUGAGGUACCAUUAAGGAUUGGCCCAGUCACUUAUGAGGUGGAUUUCUUGGUAAUGGAUAUUAAACCCUCCUACAACUGUCUAUUGGGGAGACCGUGGAUACACUCAGCAGGGGCAGUACCUUCAUCAUUACAUCAGAAGGUGAAGUUGGUAUCGGAGGAUCGGUUGGUAACAAUAGAUGCAGAGGAGGAUAUUAUCGCAAUGAUGACUAGCGAUGCACCUUAUGUGGACAUCAACGAUGAGGCACUAGAAUGUUCUUUUCGGUCGUUAGAAUUUGUGAACGCGAUGUUUAUUGCGGAGGGAAAUAGAAUUCCAGUACCAAAAAUAUCCAGGACCACUGAGAUGGGAUUGCGAUUGAUGGUAGGAAGAGGAGCCUUACCCGGGAAAGGAUUGGGAAAAUAUCUUCAGGGAAGGAUUGAGGCACCAAUGCCGAAGGAAAAGUUUGAUAGAUUUGGUUUAGGGUACAAGCCAGACAUGAAGCAGAAGAAGAAAGAAGUAGAGAAGAGACAAGAGAGAAGAAGGGCGCGUUUGAAUGGACAUGAAGCUAAGUGUGAGCCUUUAACCUUUCCCCACAUAUCUACAUCUUUUGUGUCGGGAGGAUUUAUUCAUUCUGAAUGUGGAGUGUCCGGUAGCGGCAUGGGAGGAAUGUUGGAAAACGUUUAUACCAACGCCAUAGAAGCAACGGAAAGGAGGGCCUUGUUGGAGAUCUGCCCUUAUGAGCCUGGAAGCGAGCUAAACAAUUGGACUGCUGAAGAAAUCCCUGUAGUCUUUAGGGCUUAUUCAGAGUAAUGCUCAAAACAUUCCUGUUGUUUGUUGGCCUAGAAACGAUAUGAAAUCUUUUGUGAAAUAGGCAUUGGGCCUAAAUAUCAUUAUUUUAAUGAAAUACGUGUCUACGUUCAUCUCGAUCAGUCACUUUUUUUUCCUUUCAUAUUUUUCAUUUGGUUGAUUGUCUUACAAAUAAUUCUUUCAUUUGUAAUUCUUUUGCACAAACAUAUUCAUAAAUUUAUAUUCUUGGUAUAUUCUUUGAUGCGCCCUCAUAGGUCUUCAGAUAUCAAUGACAUGAGUGACGCUGCCUCAAACACGGAGCCUAUUUUUGAGCAAAAAGUGUGUUCAGAGGGAUCCCACGACUUUGACGAAGAUUAUGAUGCAUCUCCGGACUUGUUAAGAAUGAUGGAACAAGAGGAUAAGCAUAUCCUACCUCAUAGGGAAUCGUUAGAAAUAGUGAGCCUAGAGGAUGGAAAGGAGGUGAAAAUUGGAUCUGAAAUCACCGCAAAGACAAGGCAAGACCUCAUUAAUUUGCUCCGAGAGUUCAAGGAUGUUUUCGCGUGGUCGUACCAAGAUAUGCCUGGGCUAAGUACUAACAUUGUGGUGUAUCGUCUGCCCAUAAAGGAGGAUUGUAAACCCGUUCAACAGAAGCUUAGGAGAAUGAGACCUGACAUUGUGUUGAAAAUAAGAGAAGAAGUCAAAAGACAAUUCGACGCUGGAUUCUUACAAGAAGUCAAGUAUUCGGAUUGGGUAGCCAACAUCGUCCCAGUUCCCAAAAAAGAUGGAAAGGUACGAAUGUGUGUGGAUUAUAGGGAUUUAAACAAGGCUAGUCCAAAGGACAACUUUCCACUGCCUCAUAUUGAUACUUUGGUAGAUAACACGGCGGGCUAUUCAUUGUUUUCUUUCAUGGACGGUUUUUCUGGAUACAAUCAAAUAAAGAUGCAUCCUGGAGACAUGAGGAAAACCACAUUCAUUACCUUAUGGGGAACAUUCUGUUACAAGGUAAUGCCCUUCGGAUUGAAGAAUGCGGGAGCAACAUAUCAAAGAGCUAUGGUGACUUUGUUUCACGACAUGAUGCACAAAGAGAUCGAAGUCUAUGUUGACGAUAUGAUCGCGAAGUCUAGAACGGAAGAAGAGCAUGUUCAGGUCUUGAAAAAGUUAUUUUUGAGAUUAAAGAAAUUUCAGCUCAAGCUUAACCCGGCCAAAUGCACGUUUGGAGCCAGAUCAGGGAAGUUAUUAGGCUUCAUAGUUAGCAAAAAGGGGAUCGAGGUUGACCCAGACAAAGUAAAGGCAAUACGAGAUUUACCUCCCCCGCGCACUCAGAAGGAGGUUCGAGGUUUCCUAGGGAGGCUGAAUUACCUUGCUCGGUUCAUCUCAUAACUGACAGAGAAAUGUGAUCCAGUAUUCCGGCUCUUAAAGAAACAUAAUCCGGGUGAAUGGGAUGAAGAGUGUCAGAGGGCUUUCGAUAAGAUAAAGCAGUACUUGGCUAAUACCCCAGUCUUAUCACCUCCAAGUCCAGAUAGGCCAUUGAUAUUGUAUCUAACAGUGUUGGAGAAUUCCAUGGGAUGCGUAUUGGGCCAACAUGAUGAGAUAGGAAAGAAAGAAAGGGCAAUAUACUACCUCAGUAAGAAAUUUACCGAUUGCGAAAUGAGGUACUCAUCAAUUGAGAAGUUGUGUUGCGCUCUAAUCUGUGCAACCCGAAGACUGAGGCAGUAUAUGUUGUAUCACACGACUUGGCUGAUUUCAAAGUUAGAUCCUUUAAAGUAUAUGAUGGAAUCGACUGCUUUGAACGGGAGAAUGGCUAGAUGGCAGAUCUUGCUCUCAGAAUUUGAUAUAGUAUAUGUCAGUCAGAAGGCCAUAAAGGGAAGUGCAAUAGCCGAUUUCCUAGCUAGUAGAGCCUUGGAGGACUAUGAAUCUUUGAAUUUCGAUUUUCCAAACGAGGACUUGAUGUAUGUGGCGAAUACUGAAGAAAAUCCUUAAAUGGAUCGCGUAUGGAAGUUAAAUUUUGAUGGAGCUUCAAAUGCUACGGGUAAUGGAGUUGGGGCAGUUUUGGUAUCCCCAAGUGGAGAUCAUUAUCCUGUUGCUAGCAAGUUGGACUUCGAUUGUACAAAUAACAUGGCAGAAUAUGAAGCAUGUAUUAUGGGCAUUCGUGCAGCCAUUGAACGGAACAUCAAAGUACUGAGAGUAUACGGGGAUUCAGCGUUGGUGAUAUACCAACUCAAAGGGGAGUGGGAGACUAGGGAUCCUAAGCUAAUCGGUUAUAGAAAACUAGUUCUUGAAUUGGCUGAGGAGUUUGACGAUAUCACCUUCUAUUACCUCCCACGGGAGGAAAACCAAAUGGCUGAUGCUUUAGCUACUCUAGCUUCGAUAAUUCAGGUGAAUAGACUUGAGGCAAUGAGGCCUGUUCAGAUGAGUAUCUCUGAGACCCCGGCUAAUUGCUGCAAUAUUGAGGAGGAGGGAAAAGAUGAUUGUCCUUGGUAUCAGAGUAUCCUACAAUAUGUGAAGAAUCGGGAAUACCCUGAUCAAGCGACAGAGAAUGACAAAAGAACUCUGAGAAAGAUAGCCAUUGAAUAUGUCUUAGAUGGAGAAGUGUUAUAUAAAAGAAGGAAGGAUCAAGUACUGUUAAGGUGUGUGGAUGCUGUGGAAGCCAAGAAAAUUUUGGAAGAAGUCCAUGAGGGUAUUUGUGGGACGCACGCCAGUGGUUUCACGAUGGCCAGACAGAUCAUGAGAUUUGGGUACUAUUGGCCCACCAUGGAAGGAGAUUGUAUUGAUUAUGCCAGGAAGUGCCACAAAUGCCAAAUUUACGGAGACAAAAUGCACGCGCCCCCUUCACCUCUUCACGUCAUGACCUCUCCUUGGCCGUUUUCCAUGUGGGGUAUGGAUGUUAUUGGGCCAAUAUCACCAAAGGCUUCUAAUGGGCAUCGCUUCAUCUUCGUAGUAAUUGAUUACUUUACUAAGUGGGUGGAGGCUGCUUCAUAUGCAAAUGUCACGAAAGCAGUAGUCAGCAAAUUCUUGAAGAAGGAGAUCAUUUGUCGAUAUGGAAUGCCUGAGAGGAUCAUAUCCGACAAUGCGAUGAACUUGAAUAAUAGCACAAUAGCUGAAGUUUGUAGCAAAUUUAAAAUUAAGCAUCAUAACUCAUCGCCGUAUCGUCCCAAAAUGAAUGGUGCAGUGGAGGCGGCCAAUAAGAACAUUAAAAGGAUUGUGGGGAAAAUGACUGAAACCUACAAGGAUUGGCAUGAGAAAUUAUCAUUUGCUCUCCUUGCCUAUCGAACAUCUGUUAGAACUUUUACUGGGGCAACGCCUUUUUCUCUGGUUUAUGGAAUGGAGGCAGUAUUACCUAUUGAAGUUGAAAUCCCUUCUCUACGGGUGUUAUCUGAGCUACAGUUGGAUGAAGCCGAUUGGAUCCAAUCUCGGUACGAUCAGUUGAACCUAAUAGAAGAAAAGAGGCUAAGAGCUAUUCACCAUGGGAAAAUGUACCAGAAACGAAUGAUGCGAGCCUAUAAUAAAAAGGUUCGCCCCCGAGAAUUUCGUGAAGGGGACUUGGUACUAAAAAAGAUUCUUUCUAUGCAAAAAGAUUUUAGAGGAAAAUGGAUGCCAAAUUGGGAAGGCCCUUAUGUUGUAAAGAAGGCCUUUUCUGGUGGAGCUUUGAUCCUAUGCGAGAUGGAUGGCAAAAGUUUACCAAAUCCUGUAAACGCAGACUCCGUCAAGAAAUACUUCACUUGAAAGAAAGGGGAACCAAAGUGAAAACCCGUGAAGGGCGCUUUGCUUCCUAAAAAAAAAAGAAAAAAAAAAACUUUGGGGAGGCUAAGGUGAAAACCCGUAAAAGGCACUUUGAGACCAAAGAGGGCUGGAGUCGAAAACCUGAAAAAGGUGACUCAAGUACUGGGCAGGAUUGGAACAUCAGGAUUUGAGCGGAUCAAAUUUUGAUCGGGGGCAUAUGAUUAUCUUGCUUUACUUGAACCAAUAAGAAAGGAUAUGCAACGUCUUGGAACAUGGACAGAGUAUUCCAGAUCUCCUGAACACAUGUCAAACUCAGAAGGGUCUUCGGAAAGUUUGUACAGAGAAACUCAAGCUGCGAUAACUGGGGCACCUAGUUCUUAUGUGUAUUCUUGAAAAUACAUUUUUUUAUUUUCUUUCUUUCUUCCUUUCUUUUGGUGAAAACGCACAUUCUCAAUCCAUUUCUUUGUUACCUUGCUUUCGCCAUCUUUGAUGUUUUAUUCGAGUUAUGAUCAGAACUAGCUUUAUUCUUAUCCAUUGUUAUGAUCUUUUUGCAAACAUGUUGCAUAGGAAUAAUGAUUAACGAACUAAUAAAACUUUCAGGAAAGAAGUUUUGCACAUUACUCUGGAAAAUUUCUAAAUAAUAUAGGGACCUGAAUCAUGACUAUUGUUUAGAAAAUACCAAGUUUAAAGGGUGAAAUAUCUAAGAAGGAAGAGUCUAAUUUAAAGACUAUCCUUUCAGAUUUUGUUGUCUAAACAUUGAUUGAACAAAAUGACAAGCUGUCGUGUUACAAAGCUUAAAUGAACAAGCAAGCAAUGAUCAUCAGGCAAUAGGAAGAGGUUACCUCGGAGAAGAGAGCCUUCACUUGCGCAUAAGACUUUGGUACGACACCUUGAGAAUGGUGUAGGAAACCAGAACGGUUCAGAUCCUAUAUCCCCGAAUUGUGAUAAAAGAGGACAGAGGAAAAGCCACAUAUUUCUACCCUUAGAUUACUGUGAGAGAAUGAUGGUACAAAUUUUGGCGUCCCAGUGGAUAUAACUUUGAGGUUUACAAUGGGGACAGUCUGGCUAAAUGUUUCUUCAGAAAAAAAAAUCAGUCAAGCGAGAAGGCGUUGCAGCACGUCAGUCACAAAGCCUUAGUAAACUUCGAGUAAUGACAACCUAAGCGAGAUCAUUCUCGGAAAAAUAAAAUUCUGCAUUCAUGCGAACACCAUUCACAUAUGUCUAGUUAGGAGCAUUUGUUUCAUUUUGAUCAUGUCAUCCUAAUCAUUAGGCAUAAUUAGGUUUAUUAUACAGGUCUUAUCUCCCUGAGAUUACAGUGGAACAGACCAAAGAAUUUCAGAUCCUAUCUCCCUGAGAUUACAGUGGAGCGGAUUAAAAUAAAGGAUCUUAUCUCUCUGAAGUUACAGCAGAGUAGAUCGCAUCAAGUCUUAUCACCCUGAGGUUACAGGGGAGUAGACCGAAGAAUUUCAGAUCUUAUCUCCCUGAGGUUACAGUGGAGCAGAUUGAAGCCAGAGAUCUUAUCUCUCUGAGAUUACAGCGGAGUAGAUUGAAGCUAGUAAUCCUAUCUCUCUGAAGUUACAGUGGAGCGGAUUAAAAUAAAGGAUCUUAUCUCUCUGAAGUUACAGUAGAGUAGAUCACAUCAGAUUGAAGCCAGAGAUCUUAUCUCCCUGAGAUUACAGUGGAACAGACCGAAAAAUUUCAGAUCUUAUCUCCCUGAGAUUACAGUGGAACAGACCGAAAAAUUUCAGAUCUUAUCUCCCUGAGAUUACAGCGGAGUAGAUUGAAGAUAGUAAUCCUAUCUGCCUGAGAUUACAGUGGAGUGGAUUAAAAUAAAGGAUCUUAUCUCUCUGAAGUUACAGUAGAGUAGAUCACAGCAGACAAAACCACAGAUCUUAUCUCCCUAAGCAGUUAGUGGAACAGAUCACAUCAAGUCUUAUCUCCCUAAGUAGUAGUGGAGCAGACUAAAAACACAAAUCUCAUCCCCAUGGAGUCGUAGCAAAGUAUAUUGAAGCUACAAGGCGUAUCUGAACUUGAAGUAGAGUGGAUCGAAGCAACAAGAUGUAGCAGGCUGGAAUAAGGCUACUUGAAGAAGAGAAGCACCCAAAGAAGUCAAGCCUCGGUGAGACCAGGCAAAUUUGGUCUUUUUUAGUCUUUGCUCUGUUCUUGUUACACAAAAACGAGCAAAGAGGGGCAGCUGUAGAAGCCCAAAUUUGCCGGGCCCAUACCAACAAAAUAACCCAAACAAUAAACCCGAAGCCCAACUACCCCAGCCCAUUAACCUAAGCUCAGCAUUCAGAAACCCUAAUCCCACUAACCCUAGCCACCUACCCCCCACUUGCCCACUUGCCCACUUGCGCCGAACACCACCAUGCCACUGUCGGCCAUGGCCACCUGCAAGAAGCCAAGUAGAAAUAAACAAAUAGAAAAUAAACAUUUGUAAUCGGUUAUAAAAACCGAAAAUCUCACCAUUGAUAAAGGGGAUUUUUUAUUUUUUGCUAUGAAAACAAAAGAUUUUCUUUCAAUAUUAACAGAUUCAAUACAAGAACCAUUCGAAAAUAUAUAUACUAUCAGGGGCUCUAACACCAAAUCGGAGAAUCAAAUCUAAAACCUAAGGUGACUCUUUCUUUUUUUUUUCUUUACUGUUUUGAGUUUAUUUUCUACAUAAAAAUACUAAAAAAUAUUAAAACAUAAAAAUAUAUGCAUUAUUAAGCAAAAAAAAAGAAAAAAAGAAAAAAAAUAUUUUUUUUACCUUUUCCGGCCACCGCGUGCGGUGGCCGGCGCCGGCGCCGGCGAGCCUCCGGUGGCCGUCCGGUGACCGGCCCCCUGGCCGGAUUCCCCUUUCCCCCUCCCUUCUCUCUCCCUUCUCUCUUCCCUCUCUCUCUUCUUUUUUUUUCUUUCCCUCUCCCCAAAUGAUUUUUUUUGGCUAUUUUAGGCCUUUAUAUAGCCCUCCAAAACGACGUCGUUUUGGGGGCUACACUUAAGCCUCAAAACGACGUCGUUUUGACCAUUGCCCGACCCAUCCGACCCGACCCGCUAGAGGAUCCGCGUGUUUUCGUUUGAAUGGGAUAUUUAUGCGCCCAGUCCUUCCGCUUUUUCAAGGUUUUGCAGUUAAGUCAUUUUUCUUGUUUCCAAUUUGGCCCCAUAAUUUCUCAUGCUUUUCGAUUUAGUCCCCGCUAAUGUGCUGUGUUUUAAUGGAAUGGAAUAAUUGUUGUUUCGGUCCCCCUAUGUUUUGUGCGCGCUCAAAUAAGCCCAUUUCUCUUUAUUUCCUUUCACAUUUGCCCCACAACUUUGUUUUUAAUUCAAUUUUAGUCCUUUUUCGUUUAUUUUUAUAUCUUUAUUAAAUAUCAUUGUUAUUUUAUAUUAUUAGUAUUAUUAGUAUUACUAUUAUUAUUAUUAUGUAUUAGUAUAUAUUUUUAUUAUGUACGCGUAUACAUGUAUAUAUAUUUUCAUAUUUAAUAUUUUUAUUUCAUUUUUUUCUAAUAUUUUAUUAUAAUUUAUAUAUAUAUACAUAUACAUAUUCUUUAUUAUUUAAGUAUAUAUUUUUUAUAUUUCAUAUUUUCUACAGGCAUAUAUAUACUUAUAUAUUUACAUAUUUUAAUUCAUAUACUUAUAAAUGUAUGUACAUACUUACGUUAUUUUAUUUUUAUAAUAUACAUAUUUAUAUUUUUUUGUCUUUAUGUAAUAUAUAUACAUACAUGCGCAUGUUAUUUUUAUAUAUGUAAUUAUGUUUUCAUAUUUUAUACUUCUUGUACAUACACAUAUAUAUAUGUAUAGACAUACAUAUUUUCAUUAUAUAUAUAUACCUACAUAGUUUUUUUUUUGUAUUUUAAAUCUUUUAAAAUUCAUACAUGCAUUUUUAAAACUUUUAUAAUUUUAUUCAUUUCUUUAUUAUUAUUAUUGUUUUACUUUAUGUUUAUCUAUUUAUUUAUGUGUCCAUUAUUAUUUUUUUUAAAAAAUGUUUUAGUUUUUUUUAUUUUGUUUAUUUACUUGUUAUUGUAUAUAAUUGAUUUUUUAUAUAUUUAUUUUUGUUAUCUUCGCUCGUAUUAUUUUUACUCGCAUUAUCGUAAUUGUUAUUCCGUCACAUCAAUUUUUACCCAAAUUCGUAAAAAAGGGAAAAUUUUGGAAAUAAAGGCAAUACUCGAUACUUGGGAUCUUCGAGAGAAUUGGGCCCUAACGUGCUGGGUUCUAAUUUUCUGUUGAAUCUAAAUGCUCGAGAAUGCUCUUUAAUAUAAAACAUAAAUAAAAACUCAUUAUCGGGAUUUCAAUAUGUUGUGUCCUAACGCAUUGGAUAUGACAUGUGGUUUUCUCGAUAUGAGGAUUUUUUUUUUUCGAAAGUAAAGACAAUAUUCCGUAUUUAGAAAAUUCGAGAAAAUCAUGCCCUAACUUACUGAGCUUCGAUUUUUCUCGUUGAUUCUAAGUAAUCGAAUAUCCUUUUAAAAUUAAAAUAAAUGAGGUUUAAAUAAAAAAAUGAAAGGCAAGUUUACUCUCGAAAAUACGAGGUGUCGUGUCCUAACUUACUGGAUGUAACAUCUUGUUACUUCGAGAUAAAGAGGCAUUUUCCAUUUUGAUUUAUUCGAGUAUUUUUAAAAUAACACGAUAUAAGGAGGGAUCAUAUUUUUAAGAUUCUUUUCGAGUUUUUAAUUUUCGACACUAAGACACUAAUUAAUCAACUAGGUACCAAUUUUGGGCGUAUCGAGGGUGCUAAUCCUUCCUCGUGCGUAACCGACUCCCGAACUCAUUUUUCUGAAUUUCGUAGACCAAAAUCGUUGUUUUAAUAAAAUUAAAUCAUUUAUUAAAAACAACCACUUUUUGAGGUGACCCGAUCACACCUCAUCAAAAAAGGAUUGGUGGCGACUCCCAAUUUCGUUUCAUUUUCAAAAUCCAAGUUGACCCCGUUUUCAUCCAAAAAAUGGUGUCAACAAAAUUUUCUUUAAUAUAUUCACUAUAAGAGCCAAUAAUAUUUAUGAAACUUAACAAAACAUUAUGACUAAUGAGAAAUAAAGAUAAAAUUAAAAAAAGAAGAAGCAAUAAUUGAAUCGAAAUUACAGCACUUGGAAGACUAAAUUUGCAAUCAAUCGAAAACAUGAGGACUAAAACCAUAAUUAAACACAAUGGUUCAAACAUUCAAAUUCAGAUAAUGGAAACGUCGCCGUUUAACUAUGAACCAAAUUGAAACCAGAUUAAAUCAUACGGUAUAAAUCGAAAAAUUGCAGAAAAUCGAAUUAGAACAAUACAAGAUAAAAGAGGACUGAUUGCGGAAAUAGUCCAAUGAACCAGAAUGCGCGGAUCCUGCCCCGGGUCGGGUCACCGCGUGGGUCCAAGGACGCUAAACGGCGUCGUUUCUUUCACACUAUAUAAGCUAAAAUAAACCUAAAACCUAAAGCUCUCAGUCAUUUUUUAAGAAAAAAAACCUAAAAGAAAACUAAACUCCUGGCGCCGCUUCAGCGUCGAAAACCCCCCUCGCCUAUUCAAUCUUGGCCUGAACGGGGGAGGGAUUCGGCGACUCACCGAUCCAGGUAAGGUUUCUGAACUGUCCUCCCUUUUUAUUUUAUAUAUAUGCUUAUAUAUGUGAUUACUAGCAAACAGAAAAAAAGAAAAAGCAAUCGGAAAAGGAACAGAACCGAAAAGAGGAAAAAAGAAAACCUUUUUUGUAUUGAUUUCGUUUUUUUUUUAUACAGUCUCCCCUUCCGGAGUACAUGAGAAAAUAAGGCUCUCAUAGCCCGAAAAAUAAAAAAUAAACCCUCUUUUCUCCUUUUUUCUUUUGUUGUUAUCGUUUUUUGCUUUUUUUCUUCUUCUUUUGCUGUUGUCUUGUUAUUUGCUGCAGGUACGGGUACGCGUGACGUGGCUCAACGCGUAUGGAGGCAGAGGCUGGCGUGGAGCGGCUCGGAGGCGUGGCUGCAGCGCUGGAGGCUGAAUGUUGCUAGGGUUUGCUGCUGUGCAUUCUGGUGUUGGGCCAUUUGGGCUGAGUUGGUUUGCUGGGCUUAGAAUCAGGUUUAGGUUUGGGCUAGGGUCUAGGCAAAUUGGGUUUGGUGAAUUUUUUUGUAAUUUGGACUGUUAUUUUAUUUGUUUUUUUAUUAUUUAUUUUAAUAGCGGGCUGGGCAAAUUGGGCCUAUUACAAUAUAUAUAACCAAAUUUUGUAACACCCAUUUUAUGUUAAAAAUAUUUUCUUUAAAAUUAAGUAUAGGUUGGGUGGUAAAGUACUUAUAUUUUAAUACUAGUAAAUACAUGUUCAAUCUUUAGAUUUAUAAUUUAUAAUUCUUUUAAUUAAAGAUGAUAUACAAGUAUGAAAAGACAAAAGUGACAUAGUAAUAAUAUUAAUUAUAAAUUUUAUAAUUUCAUAAUUGAGUUGAUGACGUGGUUGAAGGUGGCACUAACUCUAAAACACUUAAAUAUAAUAAUAGCUUAAAAAUAAGGGGCUUUUGGAAAAUACAUUUCUGAGUUGGUGACCUGAGGGUCACACCAACUCAAUAAAACUCUUAAAUAUUGAUUACAAAUCCUAUCACACACUUAUGUGUAUCAAUAUCACAAAUUUAGAAUAUAAAGAUGUGUUUAAAAUUAACAUACAAUAAAGAAUGAAAUUUAUGGUUUGAAACUAAUUAGUAAUAACACAUGAAAUAUGUAUGAUAUUAAAAUGAAAAAAGAGAGAUUAAAUUGUGCAUAAAACAAAAUUUUAUCCUAUUACAUCAAUAAAGUUAUAUUUAUUACCCUCGCCAAUUAUUUGUCAUUAAGAACAUUAAAGUAUCCUUGAAUGAUAUAACUUAUUCUAAAUAGAGUUGAUGUAUGGUUGGCUUGGGAUACCAACUCAGUCAGGAGCUUAAGAUUAUUAAAAUAUUCUUAUUUUAAAGAGAAAUUAAUAUUAUUAUAAGAGCACGUUUGGUUCGUUGUAUUGGAUUAGAGGCGUAAUGGAAUAGAGGUGUAAUGGAUUAGAGGUGUAAUGGAAUAGAGGUGUAAUAGCAAAUCAACUGUUUGGUUAAAUGUAAUGGAAUAGAGGCGUAAUAGUAAUCUUGUAUUUGGUUGAAUGAAAUAGAGGUGUAAUAGCAUAAUGGGAAAAACUAAAAUGACUAGAAUACCCUUAGCAUAAAUUUGUUAAUGAUUAUUGUUAUUGUUAUUUAAAUUUUAAUAAGAUUAUUAUUAUCAAUAAUAAAUAAUUUAAUCAUAUUUAAACAUAAUUAUUAUUAAAUAUAUUAUAAUUAAAAUAUAUAAUUUAAUAAAAUUCUUAAUAAUCAAUAUUCUUAUAUGAAUUUACUCAAAUCAUAAUAUAUGAUACUAUAAAAUUUAAAUUAACAUAAUUAUUAUUAAAUAUAUUAUAAUUAAAAUAUAUAAUUUAAUAAAAUUCUUAAUAAUCAAUAUUCUUAUAUGAAUUUACUCAAAUAAUAAUAUAUGCUACUAUAAAAUUUAAAUUAACAUAAUUAUUAUUAAAUAUAUUAUAAUUAAAAUAUAUAAUUUAAUAAAAUUCUUAAUAAUUAAUAUUCUUAUAUGAAUUUACUCAAAUCAUAAUAUAUGAUACUGUAAAAUAUAAAUUAAAAUAAUAAUUAUUACAUAUAAUUUAAUAAUAAUAUAUAAUUUAAUAAAAUUCUUAAUAAUUAAUAUUCUUAUAUGAAUUUACUCAAAUCAUAAUAUAUGAUACUAUAAAAGAUAAUUUGAAAUAAUUAUAACUAAUAAAUUAUAUUUUAUGAAUUUGUAUAAUUUAAAAUAAUAAUUAUUACAUAUAAUUUAAUAAUAAUAUAUAAUUUCAUAAAAUUCUUGAUAAUAAAUUUUCUUAUAUGAAUUUAUACAAUUUAAAAUAAUUAAUAUUAAAUAUAAUUUAAUAGUGAUAUAUAAUUUCAUAAAAUUCUUAAUAAUAAAAUGUUCUUAUAUGAAUUUACUAAAAUCAAUAUAUAACUUGAGAAUUAUAUUCUGCAUAAACAUAAUUAACUUAUAUUAAGAAAAGGUUAGAUGAAAAUGAAAUUCUACAUCAUAAUCCAUAUGUUAUAUAGUUUUACAACAUCAAAAAGUUUGAACAUUGAUAUUUAAUGGUGAGAAAGAAAUCUUCUGACCCAUUCCAAUCGGGCAACAGAAGGUAAACUAAAGAAAACGAUCAUUUGAGUUGGAUGAUCUGGAAUUUUACUCAAAGCAUCAUACCGCUGAUCGUCAGUUAAACCUUCAAUUGACCAUAGGGCUGAAUAUAAAUUUGAAGCUUUCUCUUCCAUCUUUUGAUAUUCUUCUGACUUCUGCUGAACUACCACCUCGAAGGCAAUACUCCUACUGAUUUGAUCGCCAACGGCCUGGAUUUUUUCCCCCAACAAAGUGGCAGCCUCAUCAAAUGAAGAAUACACAUUAUCACGAGCAUCAGAUUUCUUCUUUCUCUUGUUUGAAGAUGAGGAACCCCCUUGGUCUCUAUCUCCUCACGGAUCUGUACCAGAAACAUCCAUGUCGUCUAAAGAGACGUCAGCUUCGCAGUCAUAGAAUGUGUUUCUCUCUUCAUUCAUAUCUGUAGUACGUACAUCCUCAGCAUGUAUUUCUUCAAGAACAUCAGCAGCUGUUUGAGCGUCUUUCCCAGUUGCUCGAUCUCUUGCUUAUAUGGUAGUAAGCUGGUCAUAGUAAGAGAAAGUACGAUAUUUGAAUUGAGUGGCUUCUCUGUGACUCUAAAAAAAAUGAGGAAAUCAUAUUAGUCAUAAGUUUGGUAUAAAUAAGAUAAUAAAGACUUGAAAUAAUCUUACCUUUAAAUAGGACUCCCAAACCGUAUCUUCAGCAACAACGAGCUGCCUAUGCUCGUCCCAACCAAAACCGCUAUUGUUUUGGCCAUUAAGCAUGUCAUAAACGAUUGACCACUCCCUUUUUAGUAACCUAACCCUUGAUUCAAUAUUAGGUUUCGCCUUCAACAUUGCAUUUAGUAAAACCGUUUGUAGCAUUCUUUCCAACUCGUUCAAAUAACCGGCUUUGAACCCGGUAUCAGCAUUAAAUGUUCCAACAUUGUGCAGGUCCACCAUGCAGGAAACUAAUGCUGCAUCUUCUUCUGGAACCCAUUUUCUUUUGCUUCCUCGAGAAGCUUGAGAAGAAGCAUUUGAUUCUGGAACACCUGACAUAAUGAUCUUAAGAACAAAAAAAAAACAAAUUAUAUUAAUUACUAUUUUAAUAUCAUGAUUCAAAAGGUCAACACUAUAUAAAAUCUAAGGAAUUAAGUUGAAUAUCAUGAAUCAAAAGCUCCAUACCACAAAAAAUUUAAAAUUAUAACACAUGCUGAAUUAGAAGAAAUUAUAUUAUAAUUCAACAAGUUUAGUACAAUACAAAAAUCAAUACAAAAGUUUCACAAACUAAUUUCUAGAUGCUUGCCAUUCAUCGAACAUUUGGUUGGCUAGUUCCAUCCUCCAAGUAGCCCAAGCAUCUGAUGGAUGAAUAUUUGUGAUAUUCGGUUCAUCGUCAUCCACCACAUUAAUUGUAGGUAAUCCUUCUCCCACCUCCGCUUCAAUGGGAUCAAUACUCAUAUGGGUUCGAAUAAAAUUAUGGAGCAAACAACAUGCAAUAAUAAUUCUAUUGUGCACCCUUACAGGAUAGAACGAUGGACUCCUAAGUAUUCCCCAUCUAAGUUUUAAUAAGCCAAAGCAUCUUUCAAUAACAUUACGUGCUGAGGCAUGUUUCAUAUUAAAAAACUCUUGCGGAGAACUUGGCUGAUAACCCUGACGCCACUCGUUCAAAUGAUAUCGCUGUUCUCUAAAUGGUGCAAGAAAUCCCUCACAAUUUGUGUAUCCAGCAUCAACUAGAUAAUAACAACCUAUAAAAUAAAUUUUUUUUUAAAAUGAUUAAUUCAGCACACAAAGUUUACUAAAAAAAUAAUUCAAAGUCCUCUAACUAUACACUUUACCAUGAGGAACUUUUAAUCCAUGUCUUCUACUAAUGGCAUCUCGAAGAACCCGUCCAUCAGCAACUAAACCUUCCCAACCAGGAAGAACAUAAACAAAUUGCAUCUCAGGUGUACAAACACCUAGCAUAUUUGUUGCUAUGUCACCUUUUCACGUUCGAUAUCUAGGUUUAUCAACUGUUGGAACCCUAAUCUUGAUGUGGGUUCCAUCAAGAGCACCUAAGCAAUUCUAUAUCACAUGAUAUAAAACCUUGAGUUAGAAUACUAAUUUAAAUCUAAAUCAAGUAAAUGUUGUUGAAGAUAUAUAUAAAACUUAGUCCAAUACCUUAAACCAUUUCCACCUUGUGUCAGAAGAAUCAGCUGUAAUUAGCUCUGGCUUUUUAAAUAACACAUCUUGUAAGCGUAUGACAGCAUUUAAAACACUAUGAAAUGCUCUGCUAACAGUUUCCCCGGACCUUCUAAAGUGAUGCUUGAUAACUCGAUUUUUCAGGUGAUGGGAGAUGAUAAGUAAAAACAUUGCUACUUGCUCGUCAACAAGCAUGAACCUUGUCGACUUCAAUCCCCUAUCGAUUCUAACAUCUCACAUUGUUUAAAAAAGGCAGCUCUAUUCAUCCUAACUUGUUCAAUACAGGUCUCGUCACUAGCAUAUACAAGCCUCUUCACAUAAUCCCGUUUUGCAUAAAAAUCUACGGUAUAGGACCUAAUCCUUGGUCUAUGUAGCCUAAGGCUGGCACCCAUUCUAAAUAAGAACCAAAUCGCGAUUCUACAGAUUUCCAACCAUAUUGUCACAGCAAUACCAAUUCUUUUACGCCUCACACUUUGUGCAAUUAAAGGCAGACGAGCCAUUACUGCAACAUUUAGAACACACAUAGUUUAAACUCACGAAUUUAGAACACACGAUAGUUUGAACAUUAAUUAGUUUGAACAUUUCAUUUCGUAUAAAUAUAUUGAUUAGUUAAUUAAAGCAUGUUCAAUGUUUGAACAUUGAUAGUUUGGACAUUUAAAUUUAAAUUUAAAUAUAAUUUCGUAUAAUGAAAUUUAAGAUUUAAUAAAGGUGAGUAUCAAAGUUUGAUCAUUGAAUAAUCUUUUUUAUUGAUGAUUAGUUUAAUUAAGGUUUUCUAAUUUCAAAAUAAAUAAAAUGAAGAAUGAAGAUUUGGUUUAAUAAUGAAGAUUUGGUUUAAUAAAUAAAAUGAAGAAUGAAGAUUUGGUUUUCUAAUUUCAAAAUAAAUAAAAUGAAGAAUGAAGAUUUGGUUUAAUAAUGAAAAUGAAGUUUUAAAAUUUUUAUAACAUUUUAAAUGGUAAUUUUAUUUUGUAAAAAUAUAUAUAACUUUUAUCUCAUUUACAUGUACAAAUUAAUAUUAACAGUAUUGUAUUUGCAAUUAUGAUUGGAAAGAUUGAAAUCUAGUAUUGUAUUUACAUGUACAAAUUAAUAUUAUUUAAGCCCAUUAUUUGUAGGCAUAAUGCUCUUUAAGAUUGAACAUAAUUAAAGGUUGAACAUAAUUAUUAUUAUUUGAAUAAUAUCAAUUAAAGGUUGAACAUAAUUAUAUAUUAGUAUCAAAUUUGUAUGUACUCUUUAUAUGUACUCUUUCACUAAUAAAUUAUAUAUCAAAUUUGUAUCACAUUGAUUUUAUGUACGCUUUCAGUAAUAAGUUAUAUAUUAGUAAAAAGUUGGUGCAUUGGUACACCAAAUAAUUUGAAUACAUACUACUUUCUUUAAAAAAAAUGUUACCUAUUAGUAAAAACAUAUAACCUAUUUGGGAAACAACAAAAGCUGUAAUGACCAUAAUUAUGCAAAUUGGUGAUAAAAAAGAACAAUAAUUAUGCAGCAAUAACCAUAACCAUACAAACAAAAGCUGUAAUGAGCAAUACAAACAUACAAACAAAACCAUAUUCAUUUGGGAAACAACAGAAGCAGCUACAGCAAUACAAACAUAACCAUACAAGGAAAACAUACUAAUAAACCAUGAAUACCAAUGGAAAACUAACCUGUAAUGAGCAAAUCGGGGACGACUGCGAUGUAGAAGUGUUGGAACAAAGAACCUGUAACCAGUAAAGGGAAAUCAAUGUUACAAAAAUAAUCAGUUUAUAAAAUUGAUCAUACACUUUACCAAAGCAGCCUCUCAUUUAGUAACCAGUCCUUUAGAUUAUUAAAUAUACCAACUUGGCAGCUUUGAAUAUAUAUGCAAAGCCAUUUUACUUUAAAAUACAUCCCUCCAUUUAUCCUCUUUAAUGUGGUUCACUAGCACCAAGGAAGGCUUAGCAAUGAGGACUUUACAUUCCCUUUCGAAUUUUAAAAUCCCAGGGUUUACCAUCACAAGAAGAUACAUCCUUAUUCAAUCACACUCACCAACUAUUAUGUAAUUACUAAAAAAUGCAACCAAAAUGGGGUUGGCCUAACAUAAAUCAUACACCACACCAUCAAUUGAAGGUUAAUUCAUGGUAACAUUAGUAUUGAAAGGUUGCGUUGUGGGCAGCCUAAGAGGACUCGCAACACUAGGCUUAAUUGCUGUAACAUAUCACAUUCGGAGGCUGGUUCGGACAGCAUCAAUAAUACAAUAUUUAGACAUCAUUAACAACGCAAUAUUCGAACAACAUCAAUACCACAAUCGGACAGCAUAAACAGGGCAGCAAUUAACAAUACCAACAAGGUAAAAUUCGGACGGCAAUUUAACAGUUUCAACAAUUAUCAAACACAAGAAAAUAGAAGUUCAAGGAAAACUCGCCAAGGUUCCCAACACCAAUUUUACCUAUUUAAUUUACUUCUUCCCUUUUCCGCUACAGCCUUCUCCCACCUUGUUAGCUAAAUACAAUGAACCCAAAAGUUACAAAAAUGGUGUAUAACAACUCAAGCAUUCACUAAAUUCUUUUAACACAAGUGAGAAACUCCUCAUCUUCUAGACAUGCAACGUUUACAACUAGAAAAGAAACUCUUCUCUUCUCCCACACAUUCGGUCAAGCUCAAUUCAACAAUGCAACCAGAAUUUGUCAACGAAAAGCUAUGGGCAAGGGAGAGCUUAGAAGAGUUACAGUUCUACUUGAAAAUUUUAACUUCUAAGCAAGCAAAUUUCAUGGUUUUCCAGUACAUGUAGCCGGCCUCUCCUCUCUAGCUUCAUUUGAAAGAGACAAGGAAGCAAGAUAGAAAAAUAAAAAGUCGAAGUCUUUCUUUCUUACUUACCGUCCAUUUCUCCACCCUUUACCCAUCAUAAAAUGAAAUUUAGCCAAUCAACAAAUCUUAGCCGGCCACCAACCAAAAACCAAAAACCAAAAACCAUAAAAUGAAAAGAAUCAUGUAAAAGUUUAUUCAUACCUCAAAAACCAAACGCCGAGACCGAGAGAAGAAACGAUGAGGACUGAAUCAUCAACGAAAGCAGUGGGAAAUGGGAGGAGAAAUUAUGAGGACAGAAGAUGAGAGGGUCGGGUAGGGAGGGAGGGUAAAACAGAGAGUUGGGGAGGGAAGCCGGACGUAAUACCUAUUACUCGAUUUGGGAAGGGAUUAGAAAAGCAGGGAAUUUGGGGAUUAGGUCGGGAUUGUAUUACGCGCGUAAUACCUAUUACAGCGAACCAAACGCCAGAUUAGGGGCGUAAUGUAAUAGCCGCAUAAUCAGUCAGUAAUGGAUUACCUAAUACACUGAACCAAACAUAGUGUAAGUGUAUUUUCACCUUUUCAUACUUUGAUAUAAUCUUCAAGUAAAACGAUUGAAAAAUAUUAUUUGACGACACAAGACUAAAAAAAUUCAUAUAGAAAAUGCUUACCACUCCACUAGUAAUCAUUUGUCAAUGUAUUUUUGGUAAAAAGACCUCUCCAAUCCCUCUUAAUUUCACAAUUGCGCAAAUUAGUCCCUCUCAAAAAAUUAAAGCAAUUUAAUCCUUAUCAAUUUUGAAAGUGAGUAACUAAGGAUAAUUAAUUAUGGUGUUAAAUUCUUCCAUCAAUUGUACAUAAUUUUGAUUGGUAUAGUAAUAAAUUUAGCCUUCAAUGUUUAUAUAUUUUGUCAUUUUGGCCUUAAUUUUUAAAAAAAUUUUAAGAAAUUCAACCUCAACAUUUACAAUUUACACAAACGUUGCGGGAAAAUUUUGUUAAAGUAAGACCAGCUAAAUUUAUUAUUAUACCAACCAAAAUCAUGUACAUUUUAUGAAAAAUUAACAUCCUGAUUAAUUAUUCUUAAUUGCUCACUUUCAAAAUUAAUAGGGACUAAAUUGCUCUGAUUGUUUUAGGGUGACCAAUUUCCUCAAUUUGGAAAUUGAGAGAGACUAUUGAGAUCUUUUACAUUUUUUUUUAUAAAUAUAUUUUUUAAUAUAAAAUAUAUUUGUUCACACACAUCGUGUGUAUGAUAAAAUAUUUUUAUUGUUGAUUGAGUUGGUGUCAAAAAUUAACUUGACACCAACUCAAGAUUAAUGAUAACAAUAUGAUAAAUAAUUUAUUUAUUUAAUAUUUUUAAUUUAAGAUAUUGAUGUAAAUUUUAAGACAUGUAUGUCUUGUAGAAUUGUAAUUAUACUUUUUCAGUAUUGACUCAGUUUUCCACAAUUGUGGGUCUCUAUUUGAGCAAAACAAUUUCAACAUUUCUUCAUCUCGCUUAAUCCAAAUGCAUUUAGGAUUUUCUUAUAUCAUUGCUUCAAAAAGGGUAAAAAAAAACGUCGACAUUGAAUUUUCUGUUUCACAUUCAAUUUUUGGAUACGUAGAAUUUUCUAAUUUAUUUUCCAUCAACUUCACUUCAAUUUUCAGUCACAAUCAAUUGCAAUCAAGAGCACCACAUCUUUUUGGAUGAAACGAAGCUCUCAAUUUUAAGAUAAACGGGUCUUUAGGGUUAUUAAUUGAGGGCCUUUUCCACAAUUGCCAUCGUUAUUUGCGGGUGAUUGGGUUACGACAAUGGUUUGAAGUGAAGCUGUUUCAAAUGAAUAUGAAUACUCUACCAGUAAGUCAUAAUUUAAAAUUCAGGUUAUGUUUCAUUUCAACUAAGUUAAAUGUUAAGAUUGAAGUUAAACCUUUUAGAGGUUGCUCACAAAAGGAUCAAACCUUUAUAAAAGUGCUUAAAUGAAUGCCAAAUUUUUUAAAAUAGACAAAUAAGGCCCUAACCUUUUAAAAGGUGUUCAAAUAAGGGCUUCUCAAAUGUUGUAUAUCAGGUUAUGUGUUUUACUCUAAACAUAUCAGUAUUUACUAUUUUUUCUACAAAUUGGGUUGAAGUGCAUGAAAAAUUUUAUUUUAGCACUUUUGUAAAGGUUAAACUCUUAUUUGACAAUUUUGAAAGGUUUGAUCCUUAUGUGAGCAACCUUUAAAAGAUUGAGCACUAAUUUAACAAGUUGAGAAAUACCUAAAUUUGUUUUCAUGAACCAAGAAAUUAAAAAAAAAAAAAAAACAUGUUGAGAAAUAUUUUAGAGAUUCUUAGCCUUGACAAGUUCCCUCCACCAUCUCCCUGCCUCCAGUCCCACCUCUUCUCUUAUGCUCCUUCCAGGUUCUUGUUUUUUGUGUAUUGAAAAUUCGACGGAACAAAAUAUCAACCUACAUCAUAAGGCACGAAGGCCAGAACUUUACUUUCUAGCCCGUCCGAUCCAAUGAAAGAAGAACAAAGAGUAUUGAGAUCUGACAACUUUAUUUCAUUUUCAUUUUCUUUGUUAUUUUCUAUGUUUCAUGUCAAAUACAAUGGAAGAAGAACAUAGAAAAAUGUUGCCUAUUUAUUUCCCAAUCAUCAUGAAAUUACUUGCCAUAGUCUUAGAAUUUUCUCACCAAUUUUCAAGCAAUCUCACAUGAUUUCUCAAUCACAAUUAAUUGAAUUCAAGAUCUUUUUGGAUGACACAAACAUUUCAAUUUUAACACAAACCAAUAUUUAGGUUAUACUUCAGUGCUUGACAAGCACUUUCACAUUUGUGGGAUAAUAACUCUAGCAUUUUAGGAUCACAUUUAAUUCAAUUGCAUUUAAGACCUCAUGAUUUUAUUCUAUAAUUUGAGUCUUAUCAACCUUUUGGGAAAUAAUAAAACAUCGACAUUAAACUUGUUGUUGAUGCAUUCAAUUUGAUUUUUUGAGGGGUCGUUGGAGUUAUAUAUGACUUUAGCAUUGAUUGAUUUUUUUAGAAUUAAUCUUUUAUACCAAUUUAAUAACAUCGACAUGUUUUUGGGUAGGGUAGAACAAAACCCAAUUUAAACCGAUUAUAGUGGUUUAGUUGACUCGGUCAAGUCCAUUAGAUGGAUAAAAUCAAUUUUAAAAUCAGUUAUAAUGGAUUAAGGUAAUUAAUUAUCUAGUAAUGAAAUACAUAAUCAAAUCAGUUACGGAAUCCGCCAUGUUAGAUAAUAUGAACAUCCCAUAUAUAAUAAGAAAAAAUUACGUACGAUUAUUUAUUAUCAUAAAUGGUUAGCUUAAAUUUAAAGUAAUCUAAUAUUUUUAUUGAUCUUCAACUAUUAACUAAAGUAUAAGCUAAAUAUGUGUAAAUAUUCUAGAAAUCAUUUCUAAUUGAUGAUAGGCUAAUUCGGAAUUAAGAUUAAUAUAUAAAAACUAGAUAGUAGGGUUAUAGUCCUCAAACUACACCUAAUUUAGUUUUUCCGACAUAUUUUUGAAAAAAUAUCACCUUCUUUAAAAAAAAUUGGUACAAAUUUCAAAAAUUAAAACUAUCAAUAAAUUCAGAUAUAUUAAUAAGUACCAACUAAACAAUACUUAAAUAUAGAUGUGUUUUAUAAAAAAAAAUUAUCAGCUUAAAGAAGUUGCAACAAAAAUUUAAAAUUCAUUUAUCAAAUGAAUAUUUAAAACUUAUAAUCUAAACUCUGACAUAAUAAAAUACAUAAGCAUAACUUGGAUUUACCAAAAAUCUAUGAACUUUUCUAAAACUUAAAUUUUAGUCCCUAUACUUUAAUUUAGAGACAUUGAGUCACUAUACUUUUUUAUUUAAAAAUCUUGGUCCCUUCAUCAAUUUUAUCAUUAUAAUUGUUGAUUUACUUGUUAUAAAAAAGGUAGAAUAACUUUUUUAGCCUUAAACAUUUAUAGUUUUUAUUAAUUUGGUCCUUACUCUUUAAAAUUACAUAAAAAUUCAAAAAUAUUUUAAAAAUUAAAUUUUUUCGUAUUUUUAAAAACAUUUAUAGUUUUUUUUUGUGGUUUGGUAACUUAUCAACUCGACUCUUAAUUGUGACAAACUUUUUUGACCUUUUUCGUACCCUUAACCUAAGUCCCGCUACAACUUUCUAAAGACCUCUUGAUUGGUGUAUCAUCUCGAUUUGUUUUUAUAGUGGUGGAGAUUUGGUUUUGAAGCAAGCCUAUGAUAAUCACAUUUUUCAUUCAACUGUUGAGCACACAAUACUUGAACCUUAAACACUUAGAGUGCUUUGAGUGAAUCUUAGAUAGGGUAUUGAUUAUGGUUGAGUUUGAAUUUCAGGUAAUUAUUGAGAUAGAGGAGACGCCUAUGUUUUUUGUGCUUUACAAAUUUUUGCUUAGAUUGCUUUUAUUCUUUAGUGUUAUGCUAGUUUCAAUUUCUAGUGCGUGAUUAUCUGUAGAUUAUUCCUAAGGAAUUGUCGGUGAAAACAAUAAAUUGAGGGAGAUUAACUUGAAUAAGGGUUGAGAAUUUUGCUUAAGGACAAACAAAUGCUUAAGUGUGGGGAUAUUUGAUAAGUGCUAAAAUUAAUAUGUUUUAACAUCAUUCUUAAUGUGUUUUUGGUUGAUUAUUUGAUGUUAAUUAUGAAUUUUAUGCUCCUAAUUCGUGUUUUUAUGCUUAAUAGAACAUUUGGGAGGAAAAUGAGCUAAAAUGGGGGCAACUAUAGGACCCACACAGGCUGACCUAUUCCAUAUGACCAUGUGGGUCAUGUGGCAGGCCAUUCGAUUUCGUAAAUUUUCACUCUGAACUGCGAAAAAAAAACGAAUUUUAGGUUUUUCAAGCAUUUUAAGGCGUAUAUAUGAAAAACAUAAGAAUAUAGGAGAGAACCUACCUAGAAUAUUUAAGAAAACAACUCCAAAAACACCAUUGAAGUCGGCUCUGAAGUAGAUUUUCAUCAAGAUUGAAGAUUCCCAGUUGAUUUCUUAGGAGAUUAUCAUGAGUUUCUUUAUUUCUUUCGGUUAUACUGCCCUUUGGAUGUUUUUAUUUUUAAGCAUGAACUAAUUUUCUAAAUACCUAAGAGAGAUGAACCCUAUGAUAGAUUGUGGCACCCCAAACCCGAUCGGGAUAGACCGGCCCGAAUUCGAAACAUUACAUUAGCCACCUAAGUGACUCUCCAGCUAACGACCACCCAAGACACAACCCAACCUUAUAACACCUCAAUCUUGUUUAAUUAUUAGUUAUUUAUUAAUGUAGAAGUAAAUUAUGAACCAAUUUUAAACUUUUCCUAGGUAAUUUAACCUAAGGGCAAUUUCAUCAUUUUACCACCUAUUGUAAAACUAACCCGAUUUUAGAUCUAAUUGCUUAUCAACCUUUUAAUCAAAUUAUGGAAGCCUAAAAUUUUUAGAUUCAUUUGAGUUUGUUUACUAUGUCUAAUUCAAAUUUUAUUACUAGGGACUAAAUUGUAACUUAAACAAAUUAGAAUAUCAAUUUAAAGAGACAAAAAUUCAAAACCCCAAAACCUACACGGGCAUGUGGAGACUGGAGCUAUCACAUACGGGCAAGUGAGAUUGAAAAAUAUGAAAUAAAUUAAUCGACUUAUUUUUCCAACAACCAUGCUAUGCUACCAAACCAAAUAAUGCUUGAAGCUUUGAAUAGGGGCGAAUCUAAAAAAAAAAAAAAUAGAAGAAUUAUAAUUAAAGUAUACAAUUUUGAGAAGUUAUCAUGUAUUAAUUUAUUAUUUUUUAAAGGGUCUUAAUAGAAAUUUUUUCCCAUUUUGGUUGGGCCAAUACCCUUGUCUGCCUCUUUAAAUUUGCUUCAACCCUAAACCCAAUAUUCGAUUUGGAUUAACAAAAAUAUAUAGGUUAGUAUUUGUGGGAGUUUGACGAAUAAAAAUUUCUUUUCUAGAGGUUUAAAUUAUAAAUUUUUGAAAGAUUAAAAUAAAUUUGUAUUUUUUUAUUAACAAAAUAUAAAAGAAAAAAAACAUGUUUAGACAAGCCAAGAGACCUUUGGGAUCAUACGGGUGAUUUUGAGAUGUUAAUGGUUAUUUUGGUGGAGAGGGUGAAAAAGAAACAAAUGAUUCAUUAUAUAUAAUAUAAUUAUCAAAAUUCAAGCCAUAUAUUGUAUGUUUCAUCCAUAAAAAUUUGAUGGGAGGUCCAAAGGUAAUUAAAUGACUUGUGGGCUUGCUGAAUUUCUUUGAAAGGCCCAAAGGCAAUUUAACAUUCACAAAAUAAUCUCUAAACACUGUAAAGACAAAUCAAAUCCACAGUAGCAUAAGAGUUGAUUAAGCUAAGCAUUGGUAAAUAUUACUUUGAUUUUGCAUGCAAUAUUGACAAAACCCCCUCCUACAUUAGAAAAACAACAUAAUCCAUGGAACAUUGAUAGCCCAAUACAAAUUUAUUCGAGAAAAAAGUCUCUUUGUUUUGUAGAACAUGAUAGUAAAGAUGUGGAGUUUCGUUCUUCUUAUUGGCCUCCUUUAGUUUUCCUUGAUCAACAACCACUAGCCAAAAACACAAUUAGAUUAGAUUAUGAAUGAUACUUUCAACUAUGACAAUAUUAAAUACAAACCCACUCUAAAUAACUUUAAAUAAAUGGAAAGCAGCAAAUUACCUGACCAGGCAAGCUAGUUUAAUUAAGACCAUUGUGUUAUACUUGUCUCUGAAUUGAAAAAUUUAGAAGGAAAUAAAGAGAAAGACUUAGAAAAUACUUGAAAACAGAUAAAACUUAUAUGUCAUUUAAAAUAAAAUAAAAAAUUCUAUUUAAGCCAUUUAAAAGUUUUAAGAUUUUUAAAAUUUUAAAAUGAUAAAAGUAAAAUAAUACUUUGGCACCCAAAAAUGAUAAAACUUUGAUUUAAUUCUUUAGUAAUUAUAAAAAUAUAGGAUAUUAAAAUGGUGAAAUUACAUUUUUACUAUAGUAAAAAUUACAAUUUAAUUUCACCCCCUAAAAGGAUUUUUUGGCUUCGCCACUAAUAAAAUCUUUGGCAAAAGAUUAAAAUAAAAUUAUACCGUAAAUGGAAAAAGAAACUAAGAAAAUCCAAUCUAACAAAGAAAAUAACUUGUUGUAACCAAAAGCUACCAUAAACCGUAAUUCAUGGGAAGGCUUGUUGCUUAUUUUAUUGGUUUCCAUUUUGAUUUUGCAAAAGAAGUCAGAAUUUUGAAGAGAGCAAAAGAAAAAAAAGUUUAUAUGAUUAAAAUUCUAGAAUAGAUUAAAAAUGUUGAAUUAAAGAUAAAAUUAAGUGUACUCAUUACUCACCAUCUCUGUUAAAAAUGUUGGAUGUUGUUUAGCAACCUUUGUUUGAUUUUCUUCAGCUCAACCACAACAUCUUUCAUAUCUUUUCUUUCUUCUGGUAACUCAGCUGAACAAUUCAAAGCCAACUCCAUGAUAGAUGAAAUACAAUUUGCUUUAACAACCAUGUACUCAUCCUCUCUUCUUAAUAAAUCAACAUCUGCAAUUUCUAUCGCUCCUUUAGGCAAUGAUCUUUCCAUCCAAUGCCUUAUACUCUCUUCUUCAACAAAAACAUUAUCAGUUGGCUUUUACUUUGUGAAAGUUUCUAUAAGGACGAUCCCAUAACUAUAGACGUCAGAUUUUAUAGAAACAAUUCCUGCUGAUCCAAAUUCUGCAUUUCAAGUAUAAUUAGAACAUCAUUCACCCUCAGUUAUUUCUAAAAUGCUUAUUCAAAUAUAUAUCCACAUCCACAUGAAACAAAAAUAUAAAAUGAAAAUUAGGAAAAUAAUCAUACAAAAAUAAAAAAGAAUUCACCUUGUGCCAUAUACCCGAUAGUUGCAAGAGUCAUGGUUUGCUUCAUUACUUCACCUUCUCCCAACAAUUUGGCAACGCCAAAAUCUCCAACAUGUGCAACCAUGUCUUCAUCUAGUAAAAUAUUUCUUGGUUUUAUGUCACAAUGAAUUAUAGGUGUUGGAUGUCCAUUGUGGAGGUGUUCUAUAGCUCCCGCAACAUCUAUCAUUAUGUCGACCCUUUGUAUGAUAUCAAGGAAACAAAUUUCAGAGUGUAACCAUUUCUCAAGGUUUCCAUUAGACAUGUAAUCAAGCACCAAGGCUUUGAAGUCAACACUUGAGCAGCAAGUAAUGACCUUCACAAUAUUACGAUGAACUAUAUUACGCAUAGCAUCACAUUCAAUGUCAAAACUCCUAAAUGCUCCCUCUGUUUGCAAAUUGAAAACUUUUAUUGCAACUUCCAUUCCAUCUGAAAGCCUCCCUUUAUAUACAUAUCCAAAACUCCCUGAACCAAGCAUAUUGCUUUCCUCAAAUCCAUUAGUUGCUCGUGAAAGUUCAGCAUGUGAAAUUCUUCUCGGUGUCUUCAAAGACAACAAAUCAUCUUUAAUUGGUAGAGUUGUACUUCUCCUUUGGCAACUUCUAUACAUAAUAGUUAAGACUGUUAGUACUACGACAAUACCAAUUGUUGUAAACCAUACCUAAAAGCAUGCAAUAUAAUCAUUUGGGAGUUUUUGUGGAUGUCGUUUUUGCAAGGUGGGACUAGCAAUCUAGGUGGGCCACAAAGUGCAUAAUUCUUCAUGAAUGAUGUGCUAGAAAAGUUUGAAAAACAUCCUUUGCUGGGAAUUUCCCCUUCAAGUCUAUUGAAAGACACAUUAAAAUACUUUAGAUAUAAAAGCUUUUCCAAAGAUUUGGGAAUGACUCCAGAGAGAUUGUUAUUGCAUAAAUCCAAGAAUUCCAAACUAAUCAAUCCAUCAAAUGAUUCAGGGAUAUGACCAUGUAGUAUAUUAUUUGAUAAAUCUAAUGAAACCAAAGUUUGAAGACCCCCAAAUGUGGAUAAGAUAUCGCCCGUGAGAAGAUUCCUUGAUAAAUUUAGUUUCAGUAGACUCCUAAGAUUUCCAACAUCAAUAGCAUGUGAAUUGUGAAGAUGGUUUGAUGAUAAAUCUAUUUUUAAGAUAUCUUUAAGAUUCCACAAAGUUGAGGGUAUUGCAGAACUCAAUUUGUUGGAAUGUAACCAAAGAUAUCCCAAAGAAGUAAUAUUACCCAAACAAGAGGGUAUAGAUCCAUGCAGCUUAUUCAACCCUAAAAACAAGUUGUAUAAUCUCUCCAAAUCACAAAGGCUUUCUGAGAUGGGCCCUCCUAAUUUAUUAGAGGAAAGACCUAGACUUUGGAGAUUCCGCAGUCCUCCUAUUGAUGUUGGAAUGAAUCCACUUAAUUUAUUAUAGCCAAGUUCUAAAAGCAACAUGUUGCUUAAGUUACCUAUUUCCAUAGGAAUAGUGCCUUGAAGCUCACAAUCUUCGGCAUAAAAGUAUUGAAGGGAUUUUGAAAGGUUCCCAAUAUAAGUAGGAAGAACGCCACUCAAUGGAUUUUCUGAAACUCCUAUGGUUUUCAAAUUCUUACAAUUCGUCAAAGAAGAAAGAAAGCUCCACUCAUGAUCAGUAGCAGAUCCUGUGAUCAAAUUAUUGUUUACGAUUCGGAACCAUUCAAGCUGUCUUAAGUUGCCAAGCGUUUUAGGGAUUGGGCCAGAGAAUAAGUUAUCUCCCAAGUCUAGUUUCGUAAGCAUGGAAGCAUUGGAGAUAGAGUAGGGAAUGUUUCCGCUAAGUUUAUUUCCCCCCAAAAAAAGAAACUCAAGCUUUGGAGCAUUGGUAAUGGGUGGUAAAUUACCUGUAAAAUAGCAUCUUUUAGUAUACAUAUUAAUUGAAUACCAAAUUCAUAAAAUAUAUAAUACAUUAAAAUAAAAACUGUAAAACUUCAAAUCAAUUAAGAAUAAAAUUUUGGCAUGGAAAAAUGUGAUGAAAUCAAUUAGAAAGUUGAGACAUAAUAAGAAGUUUUGAGUAGUAAUUACUCAUGAUUUCUAUAGACAAAACAUAUAAUACACUGAUAAUUUUUUAUAAUUUUUACAAUAUUUACAAUUUCUAACAAUUUUUAAUAAUUUUAUUAUUUAAUACAAAUUUAAAAUUUAACAAUUUUUUAUUUUUUUAAAACAAUUAUAUAUUUAUAAUGUAGUUAUUUUUUUUAUAAUUUUUUUUGAAAUUUUAAAGAUUUUUUUGGUUUUUUUUCUAGAUGAUGAUGCCAUCAUGAUGACAUCAUAUGCCACAUGGCAAUUUAUAAUUAGUUAAAUAUCUCAAUCCAUUUUUCUAACGUCAAAUGGACUAAAACAAGAACACCUGAUAAUGUUAGAGACUACACUUGGAAUGUUUGAUAAUAUCAGGUACUAAAGUGGGCAAAAAAAUUAAGGACUAUAUUAAAAAUAUAUCUAUAAUAUAUAUAAAUGCAUGGAUUUUGAGAAACUUUUGAAAUGAUAAUUAUAUAGUCUUUGUUUUUUUUACUAUAUUAUUGAAUUUUUUAUUUUAAAUAUUUUUUAUUACUUUUAAGAUUUAUCAUAUGUAUGUAUAAGAAUUUUGGUUUUACUAAAAUAUUUGGUCAAAUAAAUUCACUUUAUCAAAAAAUCUAGCAUCCUUAUAAAUAAAAAUUUUGAUUCUAUUAAAAAAAUUAUUUUAAAAAAUAUAUAAUAAAAAUUUAAAAUUUAUAUUGAAUUACUUUAUACUUAAAUUAUUAUUAGAAACUUUAUCAUACACAUACGUGCAUUAGAACCAUGUAUUUAGAACUUAAAUUUGUGUUUUAAAAUAACUUAUGAUAAAUAAUGAAAUGUAUAAUUUGAAACUAUUUAAUAAUAACACAUGACAUAUCUACCAUAUUAAAAUAAAAAUAGAUUAAAUUGUAAGUAAAACAUAAUUUAAACAUAUGAAUACAUCAAAUUACGAAUACUAAAUGAAUACAGUUAUUUAUGAUGAUGUUGUUGUCAAUUCCUAAGUUGGUGUCGAGUUAAUUUGUGACAUCAUAAAUUUAAGUGAUAAAUUUAAGGUUUUAUGUAUUGAUGCGGAUUCAAAUAUCACCAUAAUUUUUUUUAAAUAAAAAACUAAAGUACCCUCAAAUAAUAUAACUUAUAUUAAAUAUGAAAGGGUAGUUUUGUAAUUUCUCUAACGAGUUGGUGCCCGGUUGACUCAUGACACCAACUCAAUCAAAAGCUUCAAUAAUAAUAUAGAUAUUCACGUUAAAAAAAAAGUACUUUAGUUCCAAAUAAUUAUAUAACAAGUAAAUUUAUAAUUGAUGAAUAAAUUUAUAAAAAUAUAUUUAUAUGAUCUAAUAUAUUAUAUUUAUAUUAAUUAUAUAUCAUCUACAAACUUUGAAGAUCAAUUCAUUAAGUAUCAAGAAAGGAAAAAAAUGAAAUUGAAUUAACACUAAAUCAAUUUUUAGAUUUUGUACAGAUGAUUUAAUGAUGAUAAAAAAAUUAUUAGCACUAUUUUUGAAUUAACAAAAAAUUAGUGAUAUAUUUUAAUUAUAUUUAUUAUUUAUUAUUUUUAAUAAUGUUUUUUUAAUUAUAUGAAGUAAAAUUACAGUGUAUACUAAAUAUGGUACAUAUACUUUAAUUAUAACUAGAAAAUUUAUUAUAUAAAUUAAUAUAUUUUAAUUAUAUUCAACCAUUUGAACAACAAAAUAAAAAAAAUAAUUAGAAUAAUUUAUUUUUUAAAGUUUAAUGGAAAUUAAAAAAUUAAAAAUAAAUCAAUUCAUAUAAAUUUUGUUGUUUAUUUCAGAUGAAAAUGAUAAAAGUAUAUGACAUAAAUAGAAGAAACAAAUUCAACACCAUGUUUUUGGAGUUUGGAAAAAAUUAAAGUGAAAAACAUACCUUCUAAUUUGUUGUCAUGGAGACCUAUUUUUUCGAGCAUAGUUGAAUUAAAAAUACUUGAUGGAAUCUGACCUGCACACAUAGUCGAAAAUUGAAGUGAAAAACAUACCUUCUAAAUUGUUCAACUAAAAAUACUUUAAGCAUAUUUUUUAGUAAAGCCCUUCAAGCUUGGGAAGAUGUUGACACGUUGACACAUAUCAUUAGGCAAAGACUAAUAGCUUUCAAAGAAGAAAUCUUGAAGAUGGAAGAUGGAACCUGACCAGAUAAUUGAUUGAGUCCCAAGUUCAAGAUCUCUAGAUUAGACAUGUUAGCAAGUGUUUCAGGGAUUGUGCCUAUAAAGUUAUUAUUUUUCAUUUCCAGCCUUCGAACUCUGUGUAUGUUCCAAAGCCAUGAUGGAAUUUCCCCAUUAAGACGGUUGUAGCUUAAUCGAAGGAUCCGCAAACGAUGCAAUUGGCCCAAUUCUUUAGGGAGAUGGCCAUAGAAAUGGUUGCUACUCAAGUCGAGAGAGAGUAGAAAUGAAAGAUUUCCAAGGUGUGGAGGGAUAGUACCCCUAAGAUUCAUGCUUGUAAGAUUCAAAGCUGUAACUCUUUUAUGGAGGAUGCCACAAGAAACACCAAUCCAAUUGCAAACAGAGGUUGAGACAGUCCAAUUGUUUGGCAAGACAUUUUGAGGACCGGCGAUGCGAUCCUUAAACUCGAGAAGUGCAAACUGAUCGGAGUUGAGAUUUCUGACUGUCAUAGCCAAGCAAAGUACGGAACAUGGUAUGAAUAAAGCUAAAAGAAGAUGAAAGCAAGUGUUGUAGUUCAUGAUUGCAAGACAGAAUAAGAAAAGAAAAUAAAAUAAAAAAAAGUAGGAAAAGGGAAGUUGAGUUGAUAAAAUAGUUUGGAUGAUGAAGAAAAGCCCAGACAGCAUGCUUUAAUAUGUUUGGAUGAUAAAUUUAAACUUGAUAAAUUUAAGACUACCCUAAAAAUACGUACAAAGAAAUUUCAAAAUUUCAAAAUAAAUACGUACAAAGAAGCGAAUUUUCAAAAUUUCUCCUAAAUUUUCUUCACAUUACUCUACAUAAUCCAUUAAAAAAAACUUAAAAAAUAUAUUUUAUUAAUUACUAUAUAUUCUUUUAUUUUCAGAAUCAUAAAUUGUUUAAAAUAUGCUAUUAGUCCCUGUAAUUUAAAAGUUAAAAAAAUUCAAUCCUCCUAUUUUUCUAAUUUAAAAAUUCUAGUCCAAUCAAUUUUAAUUCCAUUAAAAAAUUUCAACUUAAUAGAUUUUUUAUUAUCAAUCAUAUGCAACAUUAUAUGAAGACAGUCUACUCAGCAUAUAUCCAAGUUUACAGAUUUUAAUAGAAAAUACUUACAAUCCUAAUGGUAGGACUAAGUUUUUUAAACUAGAAAAGUAAGAAGACUUAAUUUUUAACUUUUUAAGUACAAGGAUUAAAUUUUAAAUGUUGUCAAAGUACAAGCACUAACAAAAUAUUUUGAUCUAAUAAAUGUAAAAAACUUUUUAAACAAAAUAAGGUUUGAAAUAAUCUAUUUGUCCUUGUAAUUUUAUAAAUUUGAGAUUUAAUCUUUAUACUUAAAAGGUUAAAAAUUAAGUCUUCUUGUUUUUAUUUAAAAAUCUUAGUCCUAUUGUUAAUAUUAUUUUUUUUUUGCCAAAAUUUGUCAACUUUACAUAUUAAUUAGGUUUCCCUUAUAUGUCGUGGUAUAUGACUAACACAAAAUAAGCAAGUUGACAAAUUCUGACAAAAAAUAUCAAAGAUGAUAAUAAUUGGAUUAAAAUUUUUAAAUUGAAUUAAUAACCUUUAAUGUAUAAGGAAUGGAUAUCAAAUAUUUAUAGGAAUAAAGGGACUAACAACAUAUUUUAACCAGAAAAUAAUAUGAGUGAUUAGAAUGAAUCUAAAAUUUUAUAGAAAUAAAAGAGACUAACAACAUAUUGAUAACUUUCAAAUCUCCUUCGAUCAUCCUUUUUCUACGUAGAAAAAGAAAAUUAAUUAGCAUCUAAAGUGUCAAUUAAUGAAACCUUCAAAAGAAAAUGUGAAAGUGAUUUAUCAAACAAUAAUAUUCUAACUUAUAAUAUAUUUAAUUACAUUUAGUAAUUUAUCAAUCAAAACUUAUUUAACAUCCAUCAAUACUUCAUACAUAAAAAACGCAAGCAUAAAUUACCAUUUAACUCAGAUUUAACUUUGCAAGUAAACUUAAAAUUUUAUUUAAUUUUGUUACUAAAUUUGAUUUGUUCACUAUAGAGUUUGGUGACUUAAAAUAAAAGUAAUAAAAAGUUAUUCUUUCAGAUAUCUUUUUAAUGUUUAAUAAUAAAUUAAUUUAUAAAAUAUACUUUCAUUGGACACAGGCCUCCAAAGCGGUGAACCACUAAUCAAAUUAAUUUGGGGAUACCUAAAUUUGUUUUCAUCAAUUAAGAAAUUUAAAAAAUUGUUGAGACCUCAUGAUUAUCUUUUAUAAUUUCAGUCUUAUCACCAAAAACUAAAAAAUAAAAACGUCGACAUUAAAUUUGUUGGUAUGCAAUCAAUUUUAAGAUGGUUUUUGGGGUUAUAUAUCACUUUAGCAUUGACUUACUUUUCUACUCUUAGUCUUCUCCAACAAGUUAAAUAUUUGAAUUUUAACAACAUUGGCAGGUCUUUGGGGUAGGGUCGACCAAAACUUAAUAGAAACAGAUGAUAUAGGUUGAGUUGGCUCGGCCAAGUCGAGUCGACUUGUUCAAAUUAUUUAAAUUAGUAAAUUUUAGGGUGCAGUUAGAAUUUUUUGUUUUGAGAUGCUAAGAUUAAAAAAUUUCAGUUGCUAAAACAAAAAAUUUGUAUUUAAAAAGGCAUAAAUUAAAUAAUUAAGUUUUUCAAGUUUCCAUUUAAUCAAAGGUUAAAAGGACUAAAUUGAAGCUUUUUAUUUUUAAGAAAGGCUGAAUGCCAAAUUGCCCAAAGCCCAUGCCCCUAGCUAUACAACUAACUUUUCUAUGAUUAGUCCUUGGUUUGCUUUGGGUGGAAUCUUCCAACUAGCCUCAUCCUUCGUUUUACUUUCCAACAAUUAGUUUAUCAUGAGUUUUGUUUUCUUUAAAAAAAUAUUUUUGUGGAUAUUAGGAGAUAAUGAAAAUUAAUUUAGUAUGAAAUUUUAAUAAAACUGGAAAAUAAGUAAUUUAUUUAAGAGAUCACAAUUAAACGUUAGAUUUCCAAUUUUUAAAUUUUAAAUUAUUUUGACAAUUGCAUAAUAUUUUGAGCAUUGUAGGAAUGCCAUAAUCUUCCCUACGCAUAAUCGACUCUUGAGCAUGAUGGAUCCUAGGCCUUCUCCUCUAUUCUCGUACCACAAACUGCUUCGAGUGUGGAUUCGAACAAUCACAAAUUAAACACAAAACCAGAAAUGAUUUAUUACUUUCAAUAGCAAAGUAAUUCUCUCUCAAUAGAAACCAAUAGAAUUGUAAUUCCUAAAAAAUAAAAUUUAUUUUUGGAAAAUAUAUUCCCACUACUUUCUAGCAGAAUAAUAAUAUGUGAAACUUAUGUCUUGUGUUAAUAGCUCUACCAGCACUAUCUAUUUAUAGGGAGAGACGAGAAUCCUGGUUGACUUAGUAAAACACGAAUAAUAUUUAUUUCAUUGAAAACAAUAUUCCACCCUAAGUAGAUCAAGUUUGUAUGACGCAUGGAUCGAAGCUCAAUCUAGGAGAAAAAAAAAAGGAAUUUUCUUUGUAAAGAAAAUCUGAGAUUGUACUAUUUUCAAAGUUAUAAAUAAAAUUAUAAGCUAAAUUUUCAAGUCAAUUUUCAACUCCAAUUUUGUAUGCACAAAUUUCUAAUACACUUGGUGGGACAUUCUUUGACUUUUAUCUAUUCUCUCAAAAAGUUAAAGUUCAAAGUUGCAUUAAACUCAAAGAAGAUAAUCAUUAGUAAACCAGCUCACAAGCCUGCUCAAGCUAAUCCUACAACUUGUUCCACUUCAUCAUCAAACACCAAUGUUCUUGCUUAUCCUUAUGGAAUUAAACAGUCUCAUUUUCUGCAUUUUGGAUACACACCUAGUUUUGUUUGAUGCUAAAACAGUCCCUGAGCACUCCAAAGCCUAUAAUUGAACAAAUAACACUAAUUUAAUCUUACAUAACGUGAUCCCAAAUUGAACUUGUAUCGAGGUUUUAACCCAUAAGUGACUAAACUUUACCUUCAACCGAUGAACAGUAAUUCCCACAUAAACUAAGACUCCGAUUGGCGAUUACGAGCCCUUGAAUCCUCCCCUAAUUGGCAUAAACAAAACACUUCAGAAGAAAGUUAACAAACAGAGACAAAUCACUUAUCUAAAACUUACUGAAUGAUCACAGACAAACGUGGAGCGACACAAGGCAGAGUGGGAAAAGAAAAAUCAAGAGGAUGAAGGGUGAAAGAGAGCAGAAAUUCGGUAGCAAUAAAGAGAAAACGGUAAGAGGGUGGAGGGAUUUUGGGGAAAGUAAAAAAAAAAGAUGAACAGAAUAUUUGAUAACUACCCCAAUCCCUUAUUUCUCUCCAUCAAACUCUCCACUAAAUCCACUACUCGAAUUUUUAGUCCAUCUCAAACUCUCCUGGACGCAUGAGCAAAAAAUAAUGCCCAUGCCAAAAUUUGAACACAUGACCUCCUUCACACCAACACUCCACUUAUCCACUAGACCAACAGGCUCAUUCUUUUAAUUAUUUGUCAACUUUUACUUAAAAGCCUACUGACCAAAAAAUACCAAAAUUUGCCCAAGUCCUAGAUUGAACUUGGGACCUCCCAAACACACCCAGAACACAUAGCCAAUUUUCAAGCAAUCUGACAUGAAUUCUCAAUCACAAUUAAUUGAAUUCAAGAUAUAUUUGGAUGAGAAGACAAAUAUUUCAAUUUUAACACAAACCAAUGCUUGGGAUGAUUUGGGAUAAGAACUCCAACAUUUUAAGAUCACAUUUUCUUUUAUAAUUUCAGGCUUAUCAACUAUUUUGAAAACAACAAAACGUCUUACACCAAAAACUAAAAAAUAAAAACUUCGACAUUAAAUUUGUUGGUAUGCAAUCAAUUUUAAGAUGGUUUUUGGAGUUAUAUCUCACUUUAGCAUUGACUUACUUUUCUACUCUUAGUCUUCUCCAACAAGUUAAAUAUUUCAAUUUUAACAACAUUGACAGGUCUUUGGCCGAAUAAUUUUAAACGUCUCAUCAUUGCAAAAAUGAAAUAAUAGAAAAGAAAGAGUAGCCAUUUUAUGAAAUCUAUAAUUCCAACUGUGAAUAAAAUAUAAAUUUUAUGAAUGUGGACAAGCCAUUUUAUUUAUAAUUUUCUGUGUUUUUCUGACUUUUUUUAAGUCAUUUUCUUUGUUUCCUAACCAAAAAAUUUGCCCAUCACUUUAAAUAUAAAUUUAAAUAUAAAUUUUCUUUUUAAAAUAUAAAUUACUUGUCACAAUUCAUAUUUCUAAGUCAAUUUGCCAUCACUUUAACAUACACUAACUGUUCUAUGAUUAGUCCUUGGUUUGCUUUGGGUGCAAUCUUCCAACUAGCCUCAUCCUUGGUUUUACUUUCCAACAAUUAGUGUAUUACGGGUUUUGUUUUCCUUAAUAAAUAUUUUUGUGGAUAUUAGGAGAUACUGAAAAUUAUUUCACUAUGAAAUUUUAAUAAAACUGGAAAAUAAGUAAUUUCUUUUAAGAGAUCACAAUUAAACAUUAGAUUUCCAAUUUUUAAUUUUAAAGUUUUUUGACAAUUGCAUAAUUAAUAAGGUACCAAUUUUGAGAGUUGUAGGAAUGCUAUAAUCUUCCCUACGCAUAAUUGACUCUUGAGCAUGAUGGAUCCUAGACCUUAUCCUCUAUUCUCGUACCAGAAAUUGUUUCGAGUGUGGUUCGAACAAUCACAAAUUAAACACAAAACCAGAAAUGAUUUAUUACUUUCAAUAGCAAAGUAAUUCUCUCUCAAUAGAAACCAAUAGAAUUGUAAUUCCAAGAAAAUAAAAUUUAUUUUUUGAAAAUAUAUUCUCACUACUUCCUAACAGAAUAACAAUAUGUAAUACUUAUGUCUUGUGUUAAUAGCUCUACCAGUACUAUCUAUUUAUAGGGAGACACACGAGAAUCCUGGUUGAAUUAGUAAAACACGAGUAAUAUUUAUUUCAUAGAAAACAAUAUUCUACCUUAAGUAGAUCAAGUUUGGAUGACGCAUGGAUCGAAGCUCAAUCUAGGAGAAAAAAAUAAAGUAAUUUUCUUUGUAAAGAAAACCUGAGAUUGUACUAUUUUCGAAGUUAUAAAUAAAAUUAUACGCCAAAUUUACAAGUCAAUUUUCAACUCGAAUUUUUUAUGUACAAAUUUCUAAUAGACUUGGUGGCACAUUUUUUGAAUUUUAUCUAUUCUCUCGAAAAGCUAAAGUUCAAAGCUGCAUUAAACUCAAAGAAGAUAAUCAUUAGUAAACCAGCUCACAAGCCUGCUCAAGCUAAUCCUACAACUCGUUCCACUUCAUCAUCAAGCACCAAUGUUCCUGCUUAUCCUUAUGGAAUUAAACAAAAGACAAAAGCUCUCUAAGAGUUAUUUGAACAGACAAAAUAUUCAGAUGUGUUGAGAUGGAAAGUGACAACGCAAAGUUGAUUGAAACUAUUUGUAACGGGUUGGCUACAAUAAGUAGUGUUGUGAAGUAAGAUAGAUUCACGAUUGGUGUUCCAAAAUUGAGUAGCUAGUUAUCUUGGAAGAUCCUCCACAUUAUGUGAGAUGCUGGCUUGAAGAAGAUAUUAGACAAUUGCUAGUGACUGAUGAUAAUUUUCAUUUGGACUGAUGCUUGCUUAAUUUUCUAAGCUUAUGUUCAACCAAAAAAAAAAAAAUUAAAUAUGUCUAAAUGAUCAUAGAGUUAACAUUUAGUGUAUAAAAAAUUAAUAUAUAAUUUGUUUUCAAUUGUAGUUUAGUUCUAGAAAUACCAACGAUGAACCUUAAAACGGAAAUGAAAAUUACAAAAAAAAAAACAAACCACAUCUAUUAUCAAACCAACAAUCCAUGUCUAAACUUAAAUUAACAAAAUUCGUUACGCAACUCGGUACACUAUUUUAUAUAAUCAAUAUAUUAGAUUUAUUCUUGAUGCACAUGUUUUAUUAUAGUUAAAAAUUAAAAUAUAUGAUUUACUAAGUUUUAAUUGAAUUAGUAUUGGUAUUAUAUCAGUGUAGGAAAAUGUGAGUUUAAUCGUACUUAAAUAUGUAUCCUCCAACUCAACAGUUGGGAAAAGGUUAUUGAUAAUUAAAUUAUACCAAUUUUUACAAUAUCUAAAAAGCAUUCAUAAACAUAUUCAUAUUGAUGGGCUCUUUCAUUAUUAAACUUUUUUUCUCUCACAAGUAAAAGUACUUGUGGUGAGGAUCAUGUAAAAUAAUAAACUGAAUAAUUUUAAACGUCUCAUCAUUGCGAAAAUGAAAUAAUAGAAAAGAAGCCAUUUUAUGAAAUUUACAAUUCCAACUGUGAAUAAAAUAUAAAUUUUAUGAAUGUGGACAAGCAAUUUUAUUUAACUUUUUUUAAAGUAAUUUUCUUUGUUUCCUAACCAACAUGAAAUUACUUGUCACAAUUCAUCUUUUUAAAUGAGAAACAUUUUCAACAAUUUGCCAUCACAUCAACAUACACUAACUUUUCUAUGAUUAGUCCUUGGUUUGCUUUGGGUGCAAUCUUCCAACUAGCCUUAUCCUUGGUUUUACUUUCCAACAAUUAUUGUAUCCUCCUCAUUACUUUUACUUACCGACGGAUGAAAAAUUCACUGAUCAAAUUAAUUCAAAGAUUUUUUUUUUCUAAAUCAAGUGAAUUCACGAGUUUUAUUUUCUUUAAAAAAUAUUUUUGUGGAUAUUAGGAGAUACUGAAAAUUAUUUUACUAUGAAAUUUUAAUAAAAUUGGAAAAUAAGUGAUUUAUUUAAAGGGAUCACAAUUAAACAUUAGAUUUUUAAUUUUUUAAUUUUAAAUUUUUUUGACAAUUGCGUAAUUAAUAAGGUACUAAUUUUGAGCAUUGUUGGAGUGCUAUAACCUUCCCUAUGCAUAAUCGACUCUUAAAUUCACUUUUUUCUCUAGAAUUUUAACAAACUUACAAAAUGAUUUAAUGAUAUUUAAUUAUUGAUGGGUAAAAAAAUUAUAUCAUAUAAAUUCCGAAUAAUUAAUUAUAUAUCUACAUAUUAUAACCAAUUCAUCUUUCAAAAUUAUUUCCUUAUAAUUAAAGCAAAAAUUAUAUUUAUAAAAUUCUAAAUAUAUUAUAAUUCUUGUAAAUAUAUAUAUUUACAUAUAUAAGUCCAAAUUGUAAUAGAGUUAACAUUUAUUGUAUAAAAAAUGUCUUGAAAUUUUUUUUUUCAAUUUCAAAAGAACUAUUCCAUUUAUAAAACCAUAAAACUUUAAAAAUAUAAACUCUAUUAAAUAAAAAUAAUAAUAUUUUUAAACAAUAAAUAUUGACUUUAUUUUAAAUUGACAUUAUCUAAUUCUUUUUAAUAUGUAUCGCUAAGCUUUACAUUAAUAUACAUGAUUUAUUUGUUCGUUAUUAUUAUUAUUAUUAUUAUUAUUAUUAUUAUUAUUAUUAUUUCUAUGAUUAUUAUAUUAUACUUAUCGGACUACAAUCAUAACCAUGUCUAUUAUCAUUCGAUAAAAAAAAAUUAAGUGUUGAGUAUAAUGACAAGGCACAUUACACUCUGAAGGGGAGAUUAAGGUUUGGACAAAGGAAGAAUAUGAUUCAAAUUUUGGAGACAACAUUCUUGAAAUGAGCAACCAUAAACCCCGAUUAUGAACCAUAAAACGAUCAUGAAAAGUACCCAAAAAAACACAUUUAUUACCAAAUAGUAAUCCAUCUAAGGAUUAAAUUAACAAAAUUCACCAUCCAACCGUGUAGACUAUUAUAAAUAUAUAUACUAUAUUUAUUCUUCAUGCAAAUGUUUAUUAUAUUUAAAAAUUAAAAUAUAUGGUUGAUUGAGUUUUAGUUGUGUUAAUAUUGAAAUUAUUGUCAGUGCAAAAGAACAUGAGUUCAAUCAUGUUUAAAUACGUUUUAUACUCCAAUUUAGGAGUUGGAGAGGAUUCUCAAUAGUUAAAUUAUAUUAGUUUUUGUCUAUUUAAAAAUGAUUUAUAAAUAAUAUAAGUAGAAAAUUUUAAAAAAAAUACAUAUUCAUAUUGAUCGGCUUUUUCAUUAUUAGACUUUUUUCCCCACAGUUAAAAGUAUUUAUCGAAUUCAAAUUUUGGGUUUUAAAUAAGGGUUUCGGAUUUUUUUUAAACAUUUGUGUGAGUUUUUGCCAAAUUUUAUAUUUUCGGAACGAAUAACUAAGUUGAUUUUUAAUUACUUUUUCAAACAAGUCGAUGUAAUUCCUCAAAAAUCUAGUCAAAGCGUCUAGGCUGGGUUUGGAGGUGUUACACUAACGUUACUAAAGUUAAUCUUAAUCUAUUUAGUCUAGAUCUAAACAUCAAUAUUCUCUUCCAAGAAAAAUCAAGAUUAUCAAAUUAUUACAACUGUGUAGCCAGACAAUCAUAUUAAAUAUGCAUAAAACAUAAUAAAUAAUUAGCGAAGAUUGAAACAAUCAAAGAAAAAAAUAAAUAAAUAAACUAAGAAAUAAGGAUCCAUUAUUGUUUCAAGAAAACAGAGUUUAGUUCAUAUUGAGUUGAGAAAACCAGAAAGGAGAUUCAAAACAAACUUGUGAUAAGGGGAACAAUGUCAAUAGAUCAUAUUCAAGUUGUUCGACUUCAGAUUUGACCUGAAAAGAAGAAACCAAACAUAUUUAGGAAAACAAGAAAAAACAAAGAAAAAAAACUAAAAUGAGAAAUUUAAGAAUAAAUAAUAAAUAUUAAAAAUAAAUAAAGAAAUUAUAGAAUAAAAAGUGGCAGAUGGAAUGAAGAAAUGAUGGAUAUAAAUAAAAGAUGGAUAUGACAUAUAGAUGAAUAAGUGUCUGAUAACUCUUGAAAAAAAGUUAUAUUUCAUGCCUUUAGACCUAGCUAAUUGCUUGUACUUAAGUAUAUUUUGUUGCUUUUUAAGACAUUUUAGUGAGCAUUUUUAAUAUUGUAUUAGGACUUAGACUGAGUUGGAAUUAGGUGCUUUUAAUCGCUUGUGGUGGAGUUUUUUGUGUGUUGGUAUGGCAGGAACAGGUUUUAGAUCGAGGAAAUAAAUGAGUGAAGUUUUGUUUGGGCAAAAGUGCAUAUAGUUUUCCAACAAGGAUGCCGUGGCAAUGCCGAGAAGACCAAGUUCAUAUUUUUUGUGCAACAGUCCUAGUUCAAAUUCAAACUUGUAUGAGAUAAAUCCCCCUAAAAGAGGAGAAGAUAAUUACAUUGAUGUUAGUUGACCCUAGCCUAAUCUAUCUAUUAAAUCCAAUGAAAGGGAUCUCACAAAUGGUAGAAAAAAGUGAGAGAGAUCUUUAGGGGUGAAUAAGGGUUUGGCUGUGCAAAGGAAAAGAAGUCAAGGGCAAUCAUUCUUAGCCUUCACAGGACGUUUUGUUGCCAAAGUGUGGACUGGGCAAGUGAAAGCUGUUUCCCAAAGUUCUUCUGUUAUUUCCAUCAGUGUUCCUUCGAAAGAUUGAAUUGAAGUAGUUGAACACAAUGUCAGAUAAUAUUUUGGUUUGAAAUUCUAUUUCCCAGUUUAUGAGCUAAAUCUCAUAAGGUUGGGAUUACUUUCGAUGAAACCUUUAAUUUUUUUUAUGGAUGCAAUAUAUAUCUAAUUUACAUUACAGUUUCAUUUGAUUGUUCUUAUUUCUUAAUUAAAAUGCAAAUGAUCUCUAGACAUAGAAGACUAUUCACAUACUUAUAAACUGAUUAUAAUUCUAAAAGGGUUGGAUUAAAAUUAAAUGAAAUGAGCAAGUAUUUGAUAGACACUUGUAGCCGACUCCAGACAUAGAGUCACGAUCAUACAGAAGGAACCCAUGCAAGAUAUCUGAAAAGCCUUUAGACACAGGCAAGGCAACUUGAGGUUAUUCUCUCACACGAGGCAGACCAUUUUAGAACUCUUCUGUGUUGUAAAGUAGAUACGAUUUUGCCAAGGCAUUAUUGACAAUAAGGGUUGAUUCUGGGUAAUCCCGACCUUCCAAAUCCACAUCGUAUAUCCUUCAUUAUUUUCCAUAGUAUCUUUUCCACAUCAUUAUUAAUUAUUUAUUUGUUCAUUUACAUAAUAUUCCCAUAGUAAUUCUCAUAAUUGCCAUUACAUUUCUACUCUCGAUUUGCCAUAGCAUUACCAAAUAUUCAUUAAUUCCACAUAUUGAUUACAUCAUUACUCUACUCAUUGCCAUUGCAUAUUUAUCAUUGACUUUGUCACAACAUUAAUUGUAUUUUAUGAUAAUAACUUGAUCGAUUUUGUGCCUCAAUCUGAUCAUCGUGGGAAUGAUACUCACUCAUCAUUUAUUACUUGAUUCAACGUGUAUACUUGCACAAAUCGCAUAUCAUUUCACAUGCGACAAUGUCCAAUUGAACCCUUUAAGAUAUAAACUCAAACAAACUCAAUUAAUGGCUUUAAUCAACCCACCAAGAAAUAAUCCUUGGCAAAUUGAAGGAUGAAUAAUGAAUUCCCAUGACUCCUUAAAGAAAAUUGAGAAGAAAACUGCUUCUAAAAAUUACAAGAAACAAUCUUGCACAAAGAAACUAACCUUGAGAGUUGGAAAUUUUAGUAACGAACAAAGACAAUUGUGUCUCUAAUGACCAUGAAAGAGCUUUACAUAGGCUAGAUAAGUACAUCCAAAUAAAAUUUCGAAGUAUCUUAAAACUUUAAUUAAUGUAAGCAAAAAGUAAUUUUCAACUAAAAUAGUCAUAAUUUCCGUAAUAAUCCCGUCUAGAAAUUCUACUCACAUAGUCAUCACUAAAAUAGUCAUCAUUUGAGCUCUUGAACUAGAAAUUGAGUGAAUAAAAGUGUGUUUGAUAGACCUUAGAACUCCAUCAAGACAUAUCAAUCGAAAAAUAUUUGGAUCCCAUCCAAAAAGUCAUUGCAAGUUAACUGAUUUUCCAAACUUGAAAAUUGGCAGCUUCAGUGAAUGAAAUUUAAUAAAGUUCACCCCAUCUGCUCAUGUAUAAACUUGCAGUGGUAAAAAGUAAAAAGAAAUAAUCUAUAGAGAAAAUAGUUGAAGAAUUUAUGACAAUUUAUUCAGACCUUUUUUUCUUCUAGCCUUUGCAAGCUUGAAGUUUCCGUUGGUGUGUGAGAGUUGUUCCUUACCCUUUAAGUUAUUUCUUUUCUUUUCCUUCUUUUUCUUUCUCUUCGAUCUCAUCACCUAAGGGUGCUCAAACAACUGAUUCAGUUAAUACCCGAACAAAGCUAUCAUUAAAUGAAAUUUUGAAACCCUUAAUCAUUAAUGAAACCAAUUUUUUGUUGAAACCUAUUAACCGGCCGGAUUGAUUUCGGUUAAUUUGUGCAGUUAACCAGAAUUUAUACAUUGUUUGUUUUUUAUCAAACAAUUUUAAAACAAAGAACAAUCCAUGACAACUUUUUCCUUGUUUUUUAUUCAAAAAUUAUUAAAAGAACUAAAAAAAAUAACAUAAUAACAACACUAAAUUAAAAACAUAAUAGCAUUCAUUACAGUACAAAUCUUUUUUCUUUUUUUUCUUUUUGUUGACUUUUUAGUUUAAUUUUAGUUUUUUUUCAAAUAUUUUAGUUUUCAUAUUCUUGUUAAGCUUAUUAUAAGAAAACUUAUAAAUCCAUUAGUUUUUAUAUAUUAGGUUUGUAUAAUGUAUUGGAGCUAUCUCUAUAAUAUAUUUUUAUUGAUUUCGGUUAAUCAAUUAAUUCGGUUAAUUAGUCGAUUUCAAACGAAACUAAUUGAUAAACAAAAUCUUCAAAAACAUUUAACCAACUCCCAACCAAAUUAGAUUCGUUGAUCGCCUGCUUAAUCAAGUUAAUCAUAUGGUAAAAUGGCAUAGUUUUGGAAUGGUUUUUUGGAAUUAUUGGUAUAGGUUUAAGUUAUGAUCUUGAGAUGUUGAGUUGAAUUAAGUUUGAUAUGUAUAUUGUGAUGCCUUCAUUGGCAUAUUGGUUAGAUAUUAAAGGAUGGUUGAUUUGGUAUGUUUUUAAAAUGGUUGUUGGUAUGUGUGAUCUAAAUUGAUUAAAUGAACUUGUAAUGUUGAAUGGUAUAAUAUUUGUUGGUACAUUAGUUAGUCUUAUAGGUUGAUGGAAUUGGUAUGUUUUAAAUGUGUUUAAAAUGUGUUUUGAUUGUUUAAAUGUUUGUGGAAAUGGUGUGUCUUGGUGUACAAGAUUUGAAAUUGAAAUGGCUUGAUUUAGAAGCAACUUAUGUUGUACACCACCUGGGACACUGGUUGUCACAUGGUUGUGUGUCAUUAUUGUUUUAGGUACAGGUUUCACACAAUCUGAGACUCGGCUCACGACAUAGCUGUGUAUCACAAGUCAGUAUGUAACACGGUUUGGUACAUGGCCUGCGACAUGACCGUGUGUCCAAACUUCGAAUGUCCACACGGUCUGGGCUAUGUCACACGGGUUGGCCACAUGGCCGUGUGACCCUUGUUUUCAAGUUUUCUAAAAUUUUCUAUUUUAUUUCAAAUUGAUCCUAGAAUAUUCUCAAACUGUUUUUAGGGCCCGUAGGUUCGAAUUAAGGCCCAUAAGUGUAUGUUUGCUAUAAUUAAGUUGUGUUAAUUAAUGUUAUUAAUUAAAUGGCAUGAAUAUUUUAUUGUAAGUUAAAUGUUUUAAUUUGAACUAUAAUGCUCCGUAACUCUAAUCUGGCGACGGAGACAGGUUUGGGGUGUUACAAUUUUGGACUUGAAAUUUGUUUUGGGGCUUUGUUCGAUGUUUGUUGGAUUUUAGUGUUUUAACAUUAAACUACAAAAUUGUAUGAUUUAACAAACUAAAAAUUAGGUUUUCAAAAUUAAAACUCUGGAAGUUUCUGUUUCAAAGAUUAAGUAAUCACUUAAGUGUUUUCCCAUAAAUAAUUAAAUGGUUUUUAACAAAUGUUUUCCUUAGUUUUGGAAAUGAUAUGCCAACAUUAGUACUUUUAAAACACAUGAUUUCAAAUUCAAAUUCUUGGUUUUAAGUAAGGGUUUUCAAACUUUGAUUUUUUUUAACAUUUGUGAGAGGUUUUUGCCAAAUUUUAUGUUUUCAGAACGUGUAACUAAGUUGAUUUUUAAUUAGUUUUUCAAACAAGUCAAUGUAAUUCCUCAAAAAUCCAAUCAUAGCGUCUAGGUCGGGUUUGGGUUGUUACACUGACGUUACUAAAGUUAAUCUUAAUCUAUUUAGUCUAGAUCUAAACAUUAAUAUUCUCUUCCAAGAAAAAUCAAGAUUAUCAAAUUAUUACAACUUGGUAGGCAGACAAUCAUAUUAAAUAUGCAUAAAAGUUAAUAAAUAAUUAGCGAAGAUUGAAACAAUCAAAUAAAAAAUAAAUUAAUUAACUAAGAAAUAAGUUCCAUUAUUGUUUCAUGAAAAUAGAGUUUAGUUCAUAUUGAGUUGAGAAAACCAAAAGCGAGAUUCAAAACAAACCUGUGAUAAGGGGAACAAUGUCAAUAGAUUAUAUUCAUGUUGUUUGACUCAAGAAAGAAAUAUUCGAAUCUAACUUGAAAAGAAGAAACCAAAUAGAUUUAGAAAAAUAAGAAAAAAAAACAAAGAAAAUAACUAAAAUGAGAAAUUUAAGAAUAAAUAAUAAAUAUUAAAAAUAAUAAAGAAAUAAAGAAAUUAUAGAAUAAAUAAUGGAAGAUGGAAAUGAAACGACGGAUAUGACAUAUAGAUGGAUAAGUGUCUGAUAAUUCUUGAAAAGAGUUAUAUUUCAUACCUUUAGACCUCACUAAUUGCUUGUACUUAAGUACAUUUUGUUGCAUAUUGAGACAUUUUUGUUCGUAUUUGUAAUAUUGCAUUAGGACUUAGAUUGUGUUAGAAUUAGGUGUUUUUGAUCACUUGUGGUGGAGUUUUUAGUGUGUUGGUAUGGUAGGAACAAUAUUUAGAACGAGGAAAUAAAUGAGUGAAGUUUAGUCAGCGCAAAAGUGCAGAUAGUUUGCCAACACGUAUGCCGUGGCAAUGUCGGGAAGACCAAGUCAACAAAUUUUUGCGCAACAGUCCUAGUUCAAAUUCAAACUUGUACUAGAUAAAUCUCCUUAAAAGAGGAAAAGAUAAUCACAAGUUGUUAACCGACCCUAGCCUAAUCUAUCUAUAAAAGCCAAUGAAGGGGAUCUCACAAAUGGCAGAAAAAAGUGGAAGAGAUCCUUAGGUGCGAAUAAUGGUUCAGCUGCGCAAAGGAAAGGAAGUUGAAGGCAAUCUUUUUUAGCCAUCACAAGACGUUGUGCUGUCGAAGUGUGGACUAGACAAGUGAAAGUUGUUUCCCAAAGUUCUUUCGUUAUUUCCGUCAGUGUUCCUUCAAAAUAUUAAAGUAGUUGAACAUAAUGUUGGAUAAUAUUUUGGUUUGGAAUUUUAAUUCCUAGCCCAUGAGCUAAAUCUCGUAGGGUUGGAAUUACUUUUGAUAAAACCUUAAACUAUUUUUAUGGAUGCAGUAUAUAUGUAAUUUACUUUACUGUUUCAUUUUAUUAUUCUUAUUUCUUAAUUAAAAUGCAAAUGAUCUCUAGACAUUGAAGCCUUUCACAUACUUAUAAACUGAUUUUAAUUCUGAAAGGGUUGGAUUGGUUGGAUUAAAAUUAAAUGAAAUGAGCAAGCAUUCGGUGGACACCUGUAGUAGACUUUAGACAUAGAGUCACGCUCAUACAGAAGGAACCCAUGCAAGAUAUCUAAAAAGCCUUUAGACAUAGGCAAGGUAACUUAAGGUUUUGCUCUCACGAGAGGCAGGCCAUUUUAGUACUCUUUUGUGCUUUAAAGUAGAUACGAUUUUGCCAAGGCAUUAUUGACAGUAAAGGUCGAUUAUGGGUAGUCCCAACCCUCCAAAUCCACAUCGUAUAUCCUUUACUCUUUGCCAUAGUAUAUUUGCCACAUCAUUAUAAGUUAUUUAUUUGUUCAUUUACAUAAUAUUUCCGUUGUAAUUCUCAUAAUUAUCAUUACUUUCUACUCUCGAUUUGCCACAACAUUACUAGUUAUUUAUUAAUUCCACGUAUGGCUUACAUCAUUGCUCUACUAAUUGCCACUGUAUAUUUACCAUUGACUUCGCCAUAGCAUUAAUCAUAUUUUAUUAUAAUAACUUGACCAAUUUUGUGCCUCAAUUCGAUCCUCAUGGAAAUGAUACUCACUCAUCACUUUAUUUGUAACACCCCAAACUCGGCCUAGACGUUAUGGCCGAAUCUGGUGAUGUCACAUGGAGAGGGAUUUGAAGACAAGAUUGUUGAGUUUAAAAACCGUUACAGUAAGUUAGCUUUUAUUUAGGGAAAAUCGUGUUUUGUAGAGUUGUAGUUUUUAGGAAAAAAAUCGUGUUUUGUAGAGUUGUAGUUUUUUUAAAAAACCCAAUAAAAAAUAGUAUAAAGUCCCAAAUUUAAAACCAAUCAGUCCAUAGUCCAGAAGAUACAUCAAAAACUCAAAAUAAGUAAUAAAUUCUAGGCAUUAACGGAAAACAAUCUAAAAUUUACGUGUGGCCACCAUUGAGUCCUCUGCUGCACCGAUUCGUCAAGUCUGAGGAUUACCUAUACAAAUUAAAUAGAGAAAGGGUGAGUUGUCGCAAACUUAGUGUGUAAUCCCCACAGAAAACAUGCAUAGAGAUAAUUAACAAAAUUUAGUUAGAUACAGUCUAGGGCCUGUGCCCAUCAUAGAAUCAGUUUGGGCCUUAGCCCAUUCAGAUAUAGUCUUAGAAAUACAUUAGGGCAUUGACCAGCCUCUACAAACCACCUCCAUCCAACCAUACACACCAUGUGGGGAUUAAAUCAACCAACCCAUCCCUACACACCAUGCUGUACCGAAAUGCGGCACAUAAUUAGAAGGUUGCAGCUGGGCUGCCAGAUAACAUAAGUCAUGCUCGGUAUAGAAAUCAGACAGACAGAUCACACAUAUAGGUGUCUAAGUAAAGCUUACUGACCCUACAGUAGGUCCACAGUUAACUUGGGCGACCCGUGCAAAAUUACAGAACUUUUUAGAAAAAUGGGCUUACACGCCUAUGUGGCCCACUCGGCCCAAAUUGGCCUUGACCACGUGAUCCAUUUUUAAUGUAACCAGUGCUAGUUAAUUAUUCAUAUAUGUUUUCACUAUUUACUUAUAUGUUAAUUUAAAGCUGUCUACUUGAGUCACUGUUACUAAAUUAUUUAUAUCUUGAGCUACAGAAUUUCAAAUUAAGAUCCGCUUAAUGUCUUUGAAACUAGACUCAAAUAUCUUUCUACUAUAAAAUUUUUAUAAUUUUUGGUUGAGCCAACAAGUACAGUAAAAUCUUCAAACCUUCCCCUAUUCUGCUGUCUGACAACUUCAACCCUUCUUUGCUAAGAAUUAAUUAUCUCUUAGUACAAGAUUUGGAUGAUGUUUACAUUUGUUUCUAUUGAAAAUAAACUCAUUAAUAAUUUAAAAAUGUAAAUUUUAAACCCCUAAUUAUUUUUCUCCAAUUUUUGAUGAUUUUCCAAAUUUAGAACAGGGGAACCUUAAUUCUUUCUGACCUUGUCUCACGAAGUUUAUUAUACCUCACAAUUUACAAUUCCAUUACUUACAUCGUUUAAGAUUUAAUUCCAUAUUUUUUUCAUCCUCUAAUUCAAUUUCCACAAUUUAUGGCAAUUUUUCAAAGUUAACCUACUGUUGUUGUCCAAACAGCAAGCAAUUUUGGCUUUUCGCCGAAUCCUUUUUUUUGCAUUUCGGGUACACACCUGGUUUUGUUUGAUGCUAAAACAAUCCCCGAACACUCUAAAGUCACCAAUGAUAACCAUCCAUUUAAAUAUUGUUAACACGAGAACACUGAAUUCACUAGUCCGAGUCUCCCCCUACGCCCAAAUCGCAGAGAAAAUACGUUACCACUUUAGUCGCUAAAAGAUUCAUGAUAGAAAAGAAGAGAAACACUUACCGAACUAAGCGAGCACUAACCGUGUGUGAAAAUGAAGGAAAAUAAAUGGAUUAGGGAAAAAUCAAGAACAAGAAAAAGAAGAAAAAGAAAAACUCAGAGAAUUUCAACAAGAGGAGAGGGAGAAGAAUAGACGGCGAAUAAAAUUCUGAUAACCCCCAAAAUCCCUUAAUCUUCUCCCCUAAUUCCCACUACACAUCCACUAUUCAUAACCCCCUAUUACAUAACUCUAUCCGAAAUCUGAUAAAAAAAAACAUAAUACCCUUGCCUGCAUAGGGGUUCAAACACAAAACCUCUACUAUAAUAACACAUCAUUUAACCACCAGACCAGCAGGCCCAUUCUGAUGUAAUUUACCCAAAAAUCAAAUAAAAGCCUACUCAACAAGAGUAAAGCCUAAUUCAUUCAAAAUACCAAAAUUUGCCCAAGCAAAAGCUUGAACUUGGGACCUCCCAAACACUCCCAGAACACAUAACUACUAAAGCUGACAAAUAUUUGUGUCAUAUUUUCACAAUAAUGAAAUUAGAAAUUUUGGGACAUUACAUUAUUACUUGAUUCAACUCUUGCACAAAUCGCAUAUCAUUUCACACACAACAGUGCUCAAUUGAACCCUUUAAGAUAUGAAAUCUAACAAACUCAAUUAAUGGCUUUAAUCAAUCCACCAAGAAAUAAUCAUUGGCAAAUUGAAGGAUGAAGAAUGAAUUCCCAUGACUCCUUAAAAAAAUUGAUAAGAAAACUACUUUUAAAAAUCACAAGAAACAAAUCUUGCAUAAAGAAACUAACUCUCAGAGUUGGUAAUUUUAGUAAUAAACAAAAACAAUUGCGUCUCUAAUGAACAUGAAGGGGCCUUUACAUAGGCUAGAUAAGUACAUCCAAAUAAAAUUGUCAAAUAUCUUGAAACUUUAAUUAAUGUAAGCAAGAAGUAAUUUUAAACUAAAAUAGUCAUAAUUUUCGUAAUAAUCCCGUCUAAAAAUUCUGCUCACAUAGUCAUCAUUAAAACAAUCAUAAUUUGAGCUCUUGAACUCAAAAUUGAGUGAAUAAAAGUGCGUUUCGAAGUUAAGUGAUAGAUCCUAGAACUCUAUGAAGACAUAUCAAUCAAAAAAAUAUCUGGAUCCCAUCCAAAAAGUCACCGCAAGUUAACUAAUUUUUCAAACUUAAAAUUUGGCAGCUUCGGUGAAUGGAAUUUAAUAAAGUUCACUCCAUCCAUUCAUGUAUCAACUUGCAUUGGUAACAAGUAAAAGAAAAAAAUCUAUAGAGAAAAUAGUUGAAGAAUUUAUGACAAUUUAUUCAAAUCUCUUUUUCUUCUAGUCUUUGCAAGCUUGAAGUUUCCCUUGGUGUGAGAGAGUUGUUCCUUACCCUCUAAGUGAUUUUUUUCUUUUUCUUUCUCUUCGAUCUCGUCACCUAUUGGUGUUCAAACAAUUGAUUCAGUUAAUACCCGAACAAAACUAUCAUUAACUGAAAUUUUGAAACCCUUAAUCGUUAAUCAAACCAAUUUUUUUAAAAAAAACCUAUUAACUAGCUGGAUUGAUUUCGAUUAAUUUUAGCGGUUAACCAGAAUUUAUACAUGGUUUUUUUUUGUUCAAAAAAUUUUAAAACAAAGAACAAUCCAUGACAAUUUUUUCCUUGUUUUUUAUUGAAAAAAUUAAAAGAACUAAAAAAAUAACAUAAUAACAACAAUAAAUUAAAAACAUAAUAGCAUUCAUUACAUUACAAGGCAUAUAUAUAUAUUUUUACUUUUUCUUCACUUUUUAGUUUAAUUUUAUAUUUUUUAAAAUAUUUUUAGUUUUCAUAUUUUUGUUAAGCUUAUUAUAAGAAAACUUAUAAAUCCAUUAAUUUUUCUAUAUUGGUUUUGUAUAAUGUAUUGGACUUAUCUCUAAUAUAUUUGGCCUAUAAUAUAUUUUUAUUGAUUUCGGUUAAUCAAUUAAUUCGGUUAAUUAGUCGAUUUCAAACUAAACUAAUUGGUAAACAAAAUCUUCAAAAACCUUUAACCAACUCCCAACCAAAUUAGAUUUGAUUGCUUAAUCAAAUUAAUUAGGUUUGAUAAAUUAAUUCGUUAAAACCAAAAAAUCCACACCCCUAUCAUCACCUUUAUUUUUAGGGAUUUUAAUCAUGUUGCUGCACCUGAUGCAGAAGUUGAGGUGGAACGAACUGCUUGCUACCACAAUUUAUGAAUUAUAGAGCAUGCUCCACCGUAGUGAAUCAAAUUCGGUGGAGUAGAAGACUUUUCUUCACUACUUUAUGCUCUAUGCUCCAAGUCUUCUAUUCUUCUUCUGAGACCUACAAUGGGAAAAUAAAAACUAAGAAACAAGUCUAAACUAACUUUGAAAAUUAGAAAUUUUCAACAAAAUUGAAAUAAAAUAUAAUUAAUCCAUAAAAAACUAUAAAAUGCAAUAAAAACAAACCUAAAUACUAAAAUUACCUCCUAAAAUGCUGUGGAAACUAUACUAAAAUAACUCUAAAUAUGAUAGUUAUCAGAAGCGACUUGAAUAAGCCAAUCGAGUAGAUGAUUUCAACUAUUGCAAAUAGCAUCAGUCGAUUAACCAUCCUCUUGAGAAGAUCAUAGAGUUGAAAGAAAAAAUCAUACAACUCCAUGAAGAAGAAAAAAUCAUGUUUGAAAAAGAAGUGGCAUUAUCAAACUUGACAUCAAUGCUUUGGUUUCUCAAUACAAUAUUAAGGAGAAAUUCAUCAAAUUUGGCUCUUUCACUCCUAUUACACUAGCUCUAAGUAGAAGUAAGAUGGUGAAUUUCGAAGGGAUUGGGGACAAUCAUCUAUUUUUGGAAUAUCAGAAUGGUCAUGAUUGGACUCAAAGAAGCCAAUGAAAUGCAUCUCUCCUAGGUAUAAGCUUAUAUUGUCACAUUGCUCCUAAGCACGAGCAUAAAUUGUUCAUCCAAAAUGAUGAUGCUCCUAAGCAUGAGCUUAAACUGUUCAUCUAAUGCUCCUAAGAAGGAGCCUAAACUAUUCAUAAAAAAUAAAUGAUGAUCCAGUGAAGCACGAGAUUAAACUAUUCAUACGAAAUAAAUGAUUACCUCCUAAGCAUGAAUUUAAAUUGUUCAUACAUAAUAAAUGAUGAUACUCCUAAGCAUGAGCUUAAAUAGCAGUCCAAAAAAAAUUGAACAACAUUAUAACUUUAUCUUUUAAAAAUGAAGGUACGUAGAUAGCCUGGUUUCAUUGCCAAGUUCAGUCAGUGAAACAAAUUCUUGAAAGUAGGAAGCAAAUAAAAUUUCAAGACUUGUACCCUUUCUACGCCCAACAAAAUUCAGAAUUCAGCAUUUGUUAUUACUGUUUAUCUCUAACUAAAUUAAUGAAAAGAUAAAUCAAGAAAUUAAAUCCUUUUAGAACUGUCUUAUAAAGAAACCAUAUUCUUUAAGGAUUACUUUAUCUAUAAUUAAUUAAAUUAAUAAGAUAUGAAUAAUAAUAAUAGAGUUUAAAUUCUUAUAGAACACUCAAAUGAAAAAGCUAAAUUCUACAACAACUCUCUUAUAUCAAAGUGAUUGGGCACUAUAAAAAUGGGUCACCUCCAAGUCAUUCUACACAUUCACAAGUUCAAGAAGUUCAAAAAUUCUUUACGAAAAUAUGAAGAAACUAAAGAAGUAGAAGAAAUUCUGAUGAACAUCAUAUCAGUUCUAAAGAAAAACUGCCUCCUAUCCAAUUCAAUUGAGAGGAGGAUGUCAACAGAAGAGAAGAAUCGAAGAAGUUUUGUUUGUAAAUAAAUUCAAAACUAUACACUCUUCGAAAUAAUAAAUAAAAUUUGACGCAAAAUUUUCAAGUCAAUUCUCAACUUAAAAUUUGCGUGUACAAUAUAUAUAGGAAAGAAUCCAUUUACAUUAUAUAAAACUAGUGUAUGUAUAAUACAGAAAUAUUUAGUACAUUAUCAAUAAAGUUUUUAAACUAUGCACUGUGAUUAAAACCAAAAUAAUAAUAAUAAUAACAACCAAUCACUUUAUUUGACUAACUUUUCCCUACAAGUCUUUAGUAUGGAGACAAAUCAGUUUAAUCAGCCUUUGGAGCUAUUAACUGACAUUUCCACCAUUGAUUUGAAAAUCCUAACCCAUCAAUUCACUUUAAAUGAAACGAGAUCCACUAGUGUUUGGUGUUAUAUUUUUAAAAUGUAUUUAGAUUAUUGUUUAUUAAUUUUAUUUGUUUAUAUUUAAAUCAAAUGUAAUAAAUUGUUGAAUUUAUAUACUUCAUAUUAUAACAAUAUAUUUUAACUUGCUACUUCUCUUUUUAAUUUAAUUUUUUGUAACUCUUCACAAUUUAUUUUGAAAAAAAUUGAAAAAACUAAAUGAUUAAAUUAAGGCUCAACUUUUCACUAACCUUAGUUUAUUUAGUCUAACUUUUCACAAAUUAAUAUACUCAUUUCAUGUUUCAUACCAACAACUUUUCUUUUUGGUAAAAAGAAAAAACAACUAUACGUUUUUUUUAAUCCCAAAAUUAAGGCUUUAUGAAUGAAAAUAAUAUUAUAUUAACUAUGAUAAUUAAGUCUUUAUUUUUAAUAUGAUUAAUAUUAUAUAUAAUAACUUUAAAUAUGCUUCCACUAAUCAGAUAUACUAAAGGAAAGAGUAACUUUCUUUUUAUGGUAACUAAUUUUCAAUUAUGUAUUUUAAUCUAUCACUAAAUAAUUAAUUAUAAUCAAGAUGUUAAUUUUCCAUAAAAUGUACAUAAUUUUGGUUGGUAUAUUAAUAAAUUUAGCCCUAAAAAUUUACACAUGCAAUUUGGUCUUAAUUUAACAAAAUUUUCCCGCAACAUUUGUGUAAAUAUGUAAAUGUUGAGGUUAAAUUUCUUGAAUUUUUUUUAAAAAAUUAAGGUCAAAAUGACAAAAAUAUAAAUAUUGAAAACUAAAUUUAUUACUGUACCAAUCAAAAUGACAAAAUAUAGCUAGGGACAUGGGCUUGACCGAGCCAACUCAACCUAUUUCAUCUGUUUCUAUUGACUUUUGCUCGACCCUACCCCAAAGACCUGUCAAUUUUGUUAAAAUUGAAAUAUUUAACUUGUUGGAGAAGACUAACUGUAGAAAAGUAAGUCAAUGCUAAAGUGAUAUGUCGACGUUUUGUUGUUUUCAAAAUAGUUGAUAAGCCUGAAAUUAUAAAAGAUAAUCAUGAGGUCUUAAAUGCAAUUAUGAUAUUUCUAAAAAGAUAUUUCUCAACAAUUUUUUUAAUUUCUUGAUUGAUGAAAACAAAUUUAGGUAUUUCCCAAUUUGUAAAAACAUGAUUUUUCUUUGAAUUUCUAGGUUUUUCUUAGCUUUUUUUUAUAUUAUUUUGGAAUUUUUGUAAUCUUCUUAUAAUUUCUUAAAAAAUAAUAUAUUUGUAAAAAUUUUUAAACCAUAAAUACCAAUUAAGAAGAAUGUGAUAAAAUUAGGGGUAAAUGUGUAUUUAAGCCAAAGAAAAUAAAAGAAUAAUAAUGAAAUUCACCUAAAAACAAUUACAAGGACUAGAUGAACAAUUUGACCUAAAACUUUGUUUGAAAUGAUGUCAUUAAUGUGUUACAUCAGCUUUCUUAGAGAGAUAAAAAUUAAAUGAAUAUGAGAUACAUGAAACUUGUAUCUCUUUCCAAUAAUUUAACAUUAUUUCAAUAUUUUCAUCUUGAAUUCACGAGUGAAGCGUACAUCAUAUACCAACUCAAUUGGAAAAAAGUCUUUAAAUUAUUUUUAAAUUGUAACAAAUAUUAUUAUUAAGAUGUUUUUCUUUUUAUAUUUUUUAUAAAAUAUAUUAAAAAACAAUUAAAAUAAUUUUAAGAGAAAAAAACUCAUACAAGGUAGAAUUUAAUCUAAAGAUGUCAAAGUUUUAAAGCCUCAACUUUAACAUUUCAACCGAAAUUCCAUUAGUAUAUAAAUAUUUAUAAAUAUAGAUUUUAUAUAAAAAAUUUUAUGUAAACUUUUUUUUAACCCGCAUCACAAGUACACCAUAUUUAGAGAUAUUCAUAGUUAGGCAGUCCACUUUGAGUCAAGCUUGAGCUUAGGUUUUCAAUCUCAAGUUGGCCCAAUUCAACUUAUUUUACUACUUAAAAAUAUAAAUAUAUGUUAUAUUGAUAUUUAUAUAUGUCUAUAGUUAAAAAAUUAUUAAAAAUAAAUUCAACUUAUUUAUUAAUUAAAAAUAUAAAUAUAUGUCUAUAAUUAAAUUUUAAAGAAAUUUAUUGUUAUUUUCUAAACAUAAAACAAAGAAAACUUUCACCCAAAUUAUAAGUUUGUGGUCAGGCAGCCCACUUUGGGACUGGAAUCAGCUUACUUUUUUAAUCUUGGGCUUUAAAAAUAAUAAAAAUAUAAAAAUAAUGUUCUAUUAAUAUUUAUAAAUUUUAUAAAUUUAAAUUUAAUUAUAUUUUUUAAACAGUAAAAUCAACCAUUUAUAUGGGCUAAAUUGAGUUAAGUUCGGUUUGCAUCAAGCCUUAACUUUGACCAAAUCCAACUAAAAACACCUCUAACCAUAAUCUAGUAUUGUUUUUAUGAAUUCAAUUUUAACUUGUAAUUUUCAAUUCUAUUACAAAAUUUCUUUGCCUACGAUAAGAAAAUAACAUAUUUGUAACUAAGUAAUUAAUUAAGUUAAUGUCACGAGUGAAUCAUACAUUAUAUGCCAACUCAAUUGGAAAAAGUUUUUAAAUUAUUUUUAAAUUGUAACAAAUAUUAUUAUUAAGAUGUUUUUCUUUUUAUAUUUUUUAUAAAAUAUAUUAAAAAACAAUUAGAAUAAUUUUAAGAGAAAAAAACUCAUACACGGUAGAAUUUAAUCUAAAGAUAUCAAAGUUUUAAAGCCUCAACUUUAACAUUUCAACUAAAAUUCCAUUAGUACAUAAAUAUUUUAUAAAUAUAGAUUUUAUAUUAAAAAAAUUAUGUAAACUUACAUAUAUGGUUCGUCAUGCAAAUGUUUAUUAUAUUUAAAAAUUAACAUAUAUGGUUAUUGAAUUUUAAUACUGGCUUGAGGAGUCGACUCUAUUGUAGAUUCUAGAUUAAUCUAAUAUUUCACCCUCUUUUAAUUUUCUUUAUUGGAAGAGUCUUUAAGAGAUAAGUUAAGUAGUAUAGCAGUUUCAUCUAAAACAACAUCUCUGCUAAUCACAACUUUUCUAUUUUUAGGACACCAUAACUUAUACCCUUUUACAUCAGCUUUAUAACCAAUAAAAACACAUUUAAUGAAUCUCGGUUCCAAUUUUUCAUUAUCAACAUGAGCUUACGAAGGACACCCAAAGAAUUUAAUCUAAAGAUAUCAAAGUUUUAAAGCCUCAACUUUAACAUUUCAACCGAAAUUCCAUUAGUAUAUAAAUAUUUUAUAAAUAUAGAUUUUAUAUAAAAAAAUUUUAUGUAAACUUUUUUUUAACCCGCAUCUCAAGUGUACCAUAUUUAAAGAUAUUCAUAGUUAGACGUCCACUUUGGGUCAAGCUUGAGCUUAUGUUUCCAAUCUCAAGUUGGCCCAAUUCAACUUCUUUUACUUUUUAAAAAUAUAAAUAUAUGUCUAUAAUUAAAUUUUAAAGAAAUUUAUUGUUAUUUUCUAAACAUAAAACAAAGAAAACUUUCAUCCAAAUUAUAAGUUUGUGGUUAGGCAGCCCACUUUGGGACAGGAUUCAGCUUACGUUUUUAAUCUUGGGCUUUAAAAAUAAUGUUCUAUUAAUAUUUACAAAUUUUAUAAAUUUAAAUUUAAUUAUAUUUUUUAAACAGUAAAAUCAACCAUUUAUAUGGGCUAAAUUGAGUUAAGUUCGGUUUGCAUCAAGCCUUAACUUUGACCAAAUCCAACUAAAAACACCUCUAACCAUAAUCUAGUAUUGUUUUUAUGAAUUGAAUUUUAACAUGUAAUUUUCAAUUUUAUUACAAAAUUUCUUUACCUACAAUAAGAAAAUAACAUAUUUGUAACUUCUCCAAUUCGACGUAAAUGUUCAGUCUGAAUUCAGAAGAUUACAUCAGCCAUAAAGAUGGCCUAGCAAGGUUAUUAGAGUUUUCAAAAACAGGCAUCUUUAAAAUGCUUGUUUAAUUUAUACAAAAACUUAUUUAAUUUCCAAAUUAUUUAUUACUUGAAAUCUUAAUUAUACUUUGAAAGCAAGAAGUGGUAACUAUUUAUUUUUAAUAAAAAUCAGGGUUCAUGUAUAAUUGAUUAAUAACUGUUAGAAUUAAGCGACCCGAAUCUUUAUUUAAAUGAAAUACAGUGGUAAAAUAAAAUAAAAUUAAAAUCCCUAUAGAACUACACUUAUUUUAUUUUAUUUUAGAAUAAGGAUUUUUAAACCUUAUUAAACUCCAUCCAUUUGAUAUUGAUUAGAAUAAGGUGUUUCAAUCUUACUACACUCCUAUUAGAAUAUGGUUUUACAAGCCUAUAAAUAGACAUAGUCUACUCCUCUUGUAAUUAUUCGAAUUCGACAUAGGGAUUUAUCUUCUCCUCUACCAAUAGCUUUUUCCCUGAAAGGGUUUCCACGUAAAAUCUGUGUGUUUUUUUUAUUUUUCUCCCUUUUAUUCUUUGCAAUACAUUGUCAUUACCAACAUUCUAUUUUUAGCAAAUUGGUAUCCAAGCUUCCAAUUUGUUCAUCUCAAUCAUGGUAAUGGCGUCUUUGAAGUAUGAAAUUCUGCUAUUGGAUCGCAACACCAGAUCCGCAUUGUGGCAGAUAAAGAUGCAGGCAGUUCUUACACAGAUAGACUUAGAGGAAGCCUUGCUAGGGGUAGAUAAAAUGUAUUCAACAUUAACAGAGGAAGAGAAGAAGCACAAGGAUCGAUAGGCGUUAACACAAUUACAUCUUCAUUUGUCCAACGAAAUUUCACAGUAUGGAGAAGACCGUCGCUGGAUUAUGGAAGAGGUUGGAACAAAUAUGUACGUCGAAUACUCUAACUAGCAAGUUGCAUAUGAAGCAGCUUCUUUAUGCUCAUCGUUUGGAGGAAGGUGUCUCUAUGCACGAACACUUAAUAGUGUUUAAAGGAAUUCUCUCGAACUUAGAGGUCAUGAAGGUUCAGUAUGAUAAUGAAGAUCUACGAUUGAUUCUACUUUGUUCGUUGCCUCUAUCUUAUUCAACCAUUAGAGAUGGGAUUUUAUAUAGCCGCGAGUCUCUCACAGUUGAUGAGGUUUAUGAUUCUUUAACCUCGUAUGAUAAGAUGAAGCAUCUUUUUCGUAAAACUGACUCUUAGGGAAUGGGUCUCAUUGUUCAUAGUAGAUAAGAUCAGAAUGCUGAUGAUGAUCGUGAAAGGACACAGGAAUAGAAUUCUCGCGAUAAAUCUAAGGAUAGAUCAAAGAUUUCAAGCAGAGGUAAAACUUGUAACUUCUGCAAGAAGAAAGGGCACAUUAAAUCUGACUGUUAUAAGCUACAAAUCAAUAUCAAAAGGGAGGUUGUGAAACAAAAUGGAAAACAACUAGAAUAUGUUGGUAAAGCUGAUGUUGUAGAAGACUAUAGCGAUGGUGAACUUCUAGUCACUUCUAUCAACAAUUCUAAAAUAAGCGAGGAGUGGAUCCUUGAUUUGGGCUGCACCUUUCACAUGAGUCCCAAUGGAUAUUGGUUUAUAACUUACGAAAUAGUGUUUGAAGGUGUUGUUUUGAUGGGAAAUAAUGCUUUAUGUAGAAUUGCAGGUGUUGGGACAAUAAAAGUUAAGAUGUUUGAUGGAGUUCUCAGAACACUUAAUGACGUACGACAUGUUCUAGAAUUGAAGAGAAAUUUAAUUUCAUUGAGUACUCUUAUUCAAAAGGUUAAAAAUACAUAGCUAAAAGUGGGGUUUUUAAUAUUUCCAAAGGUUCUCUCGUUGUGAUGAAAGGGCAGAGAAAGACUGCCAAGUUAUAUGUUUUGUAGGGUUUAGGAGUUCUUUGGCAUAUACGCCUAGGGCAUAUAAGUGAGAAUGACAUGGCAGAAUUGAGCAAAAGAGGACUUCUUGAUGGGCAAGGAAUUUGCAAACUGAAGUUCUGUGAUCACUGUAUUUUUGAGAAGUAAAAGAGAGUUCGAUUCAUCAGAGGAAUCUAUAACACGAAGGGAACAUUGGAGUAUAUUCAUUCUGAUCUGUCGGGGACACCCAGAGUGCAUUCAAGAGGUGGAGCUAAUUAUAUGCUAACUUUUAUUGAUGAUUUUUCUAGAAAAGUUUGGGCGUUCUUCCUAAAGCAGAAAAUCGAUGUGUUUUUCGCAUAUAAGUCUUGGAAAACUAUGAUUGAAAAACAUAUGGAAAAACAAAUAAAAUAUCUCCACAUAGAUAAUGGCUCAAAGUUCUGUUCUAAUCACUUUAAUAAACUGUGCAAGUCAGAAGGGAUCGUGAGACACUUGACAGUUUGCCACACUCCACAACAAAACGGUGUUGCAGAACGAAUGAACAGAAUGAUCGUGGAGAAGGUUUAAUGUAUGUUUUCAAAUGCCAACUUAACAAAGUUGUUUUGGGCCGAAGUAGCCUCUACUAUAUAUUUUUUGAUCAACCGAUCUCUAUCUAUUGCCAUUGAGAAAAAGACUCCACAAGAGGUAUGGUCUGGUAAUCCUGCUAACUGUUCUGAUUUAAAGAUCUUUGGGUGUCCUGUGAAUGCUCAUGUUGAUAAUGGAAAAUUGGAACUGAGAUCCAUUAAGUGUGUUUUUCUUGGUUAUAAAGCUGGUGCAAAAGGGUAUAAGUUAUGGUGCCCUAAAAAUAGAAAAGUUGUGAUUAGCAGAGAUGUUGUUUUUGAUGAAACUGCUAUGCUACCUAACUCAUCUCUUAAAUACUAUUCCAAUAAAGAAAAUAAAAAGCAGGUGGAGUAUCAGAGUAAUCCAAAAUCUACAACAGAGUCGACUCCUCAAGCCAAUACAAAAAUUCAAAAUAGAGUUGCUUCUUUACCACAAUACUCUAUCGUAAAAAAUAAAACUAGAAGAGAUAUUAAACCCUCAAAGAAAUAUGCCGAGGCUGAUCUAGUUGCUUAUGCUUUAAAUAUUGCUAAAGAUAUAGAUGCAAACCAAGAGCCAUCUAAUUAUUUUGAUCCGGUUAGCUAUAAAGACUCAGAAAAAUGGAUGUUUGCUAUGUAAGAGAAGAUGGAAUCACUCUACAAAAACAAAACAUGGGAUCUUGUAAAACUUCCUAAAGGUAAAAAGGUUGUUCGUUGUAAAUGGGUGUUUAAAAAGAAAAAGGGGACUCUGGGAGUUGAAGAACCCAGAUUUAAAGCAAGGCUUGUUGUAAAGGGUUACAGUCAAAUUCCAAGAGUGGACUUCACAGAUGUGUUCUCCCCAGUUGUGAAGCAUAGUUCGAUUUGAGCUUUGCUUGGUAUUGUGGCCAUGCAUGAUUUGGAGCUAACUGUAAAAACUACAUUUUUGCAUGAAGAACUUGAGGAUGAUACUUACACGCAACAACCAUAGGGUUUUAUAGUCUCAGAAAAAGAGGACUAUGUUUGCCUGUUGAAAAAGUCCUUUUACGGUUUGAAACAGUCACUAAGAAAGUGGUACAAGAGGUUUGUUUCCUUUAUGACUUCUUAUGAUUUUAAAAAAAGUAGCUUUGACAGUUGUGUUUACUUUAAGAAAAAUAGUGAUGAUUCUUUUGUGUAUCUACUUCUUUAUGUUGAUGACAUGUUGAUAGCAACAAAAGAUAAAUGAGAGAUAAGAAAGGUUAAAGCCCGACUAAGUGAAGAUUUUGAGAUGAAAGAUUUGGGACCAGUAAAGAAGAUACUUGAUAUAGAGAUUCUCAGAGAUAGAAAAGUAAGUAAAUUGUACCUAAGUCAGAAGGGGUACAUUGAGAAAGUUCUUUGCAAAUUCAAUAUGCAGAAUGCUAAGCCUGUUAGUACUCCUUUAGCAGCCUAUUUCAGACUUUCAUUGGCUUUGUCUCUACAAUCAAAUGAUGAGAUUGAGUACAUGUCAUAUUUUUCAUACUCUAGUACAAUGGGAUCUCUCAUGUAUGCUAUAUUUUGUUCACGUCCAAAUUUAUUAUAUGCAGUCAAUACAGUUAGUAGAUAUGUGGCAAAUCCUGGUAAAGAACAUUGGAAAAUACUGUUUCCAAAAAUUUAUGGAUUUCUGGUGAGUGAACUUCUAGUGAAAUUAUUGUGCUAAGUCCAUUGGGGCAGUCUGUUUGAGUAAGUACACUUUAUAGGAAUGUACCUUUGGAAGUACAAGGGAUUGUGUUUUCGGCAGAUCUGGUGAGGUUACUUCUAGUGAAAUUAUUGUACUAAGUCUGUUGGGGUAGUCUAUUCGAGUAAGUAGACUUUAUAGGAAUGUACCUUUGGAAGUACAAGGGAUUGUGUUUUCGGCGUUUUAUUCACAUAAAAGCAGCAAAAUUUAGCGACAUUGUCUACAGCGGCAUUUUUUACGGCGCUUGUGAAAGCGCCGCUAUAGGCCUAAAAAACACCGCUAAAAGCCUAUUUUGCUGCAGUGAAUUAAUAUUAUUAUAAGUAUAUUUUCACCUUUUCAUUCUUUUAUAUAAUCUUCAAGUAAAAUGAUUGAAAAAUAUUAUUUGAGAAUCAAACACAAGACUAACAAUAUUCAUAUAGAAAACGCUUAUCACUCCACUAAUAAUCAUUUGUUGAUGUAUUUUUGGUAAAAAGAGCCCUCCAAUCCCUCUUAAUUUCACAACUUCUCAAAUUAGUCCCUCUCAAAAAAAUUGGAGCAAUUUAAUCCCUAUCAAUUUUGAAAGUGAGUAACUAAGGACAAUUAAUUAUGGUGUUAAAUUCUUCAAUCAAUUGUACAUAAUUUUGAUUGGUAUAAUAAUAAAUUUAGCCUUUAAUGUUUAUGUAUUUUGUCAUUUUGGCCUUAAUUUUUUUAAAAAAAAUUCAAGAAAUUGAACCUCAACGUUUACAUAUUUGCACAAAUGUUGCAGGAAAAUUUUGUUAAAUUAAGACCAAAAUGCAAGUGUAAAUUUUGUUAAAUUAAGACCAUAUUUUCCCCCUUUAUUUUUUCAGUGCCGACCGGAAAAAAAAAUUUCAGUCUCAUCUAAAUAAGACAUACUUCAGCAGACCAAUAGACUGCAGAUCAGACCCAAUUCAAGGGUAAUGCAGUCCAAAGUUCCUUGAACUCCCUCCUCCAAAGUGAAAAACAAAUCUAUAUAUUUCUGCAUGAUUCAAACAGAAAGGACUGUUGGACAUGUAACUCAGAAAGAAUGCAAAUACAUUGAAAGUACCAUAGACUUUAUAAAUUAGUUUCAUGUUGUUAAAUUUCAACACUAUAAACCUAAAAAUUCCCAGAACGAAAUGCGGGAAUCAUGCCUUAAACUCCAAUACUCAAAUAAGAGACAGAUAAAUUGCACAUUUUUUAAUAUAAUAUUUACAGACUAGAGAUAAAAAUAUAGAAAAAUAUAAACAUGGACAUCGACAAAAAGACUAAUUGACUGUGCAUGUGUGCUAGAGAGUGGCAAUUAAACAUUAUCCAAACACAAUCAUUUCUCAACAUUUGUAAAACAAAAAGAAGAUUAAGAUUAGCAGUAAACUAAAUAAAACCAAAGAAGUGAGAACCACAAGUAAAUGAGAAAGAAAACAAAAUAGAGAUCCUAGUAGCUUUCCCAUUGAACUUCGUAUAAGAGAAAUAACAACAUUUGAACUUUAAGCAAAUAAAAAUGUAAAAUAUUCAGAAUCAAAACAAUCUUUUAUCAAAAUUCAAGCCAAAAACAAUGAGCUUCACUCUAUACAAGAAGCAUGUUAAAGUCAUAGGCUUUCUCGUUUCUGGAAACCAAAUCCAGAAACGUCUCCCACCAAAAAUCAAGAAAAUAACUUCUGUUUUUGAAAAUCACAUUCAAAUCGUGAAAUAGGAGCAAGGUCCUUCAAAUUCAAGCAAAGUUGGUAGUAAAAGCUUAACUUUCAAAGGUCAAACAACACAGCAUUAAGUAUAAAACUAACCCAAUCUCCACCAAUUCAAAAACAAGAAACCAAACACGAACCCGAAGAUCCAAACACGAUUUCGAAAAAAAAAAAUAGAUAUUCCUGAAAAUCGGAUAAAAAACUAGCAUAUACUUAAUGAAAAGAGAAAUUGACGAAAAAUCACAAGAGAUCUGCAUGCAAAUAUAGGCACACUUUUGCUUGAUUAUUCGCUUAAAAAAGUAACAAUGGAAAACAAGAUGCAAGUGUCACGGGCCGCAGUUCAAAGCCCGUGACCAGCGCACCAAAUGCAUCCAAUAGAGAUCUAUUGCUCAGAUAGGGAUCAUUUGGCCCACAAGAACUGGCUCGAUUCAAGGAGCUAUUGGACAAGCCUGUCAGAUUGAAGCCUGGUUGGCCCGAAAACGAAGAGAUGGCAACUUAGGCUAAUAUGGUAACUAAUCUUAGAAGAUAGAGGGAAUCUUAUCUUGUAAAGAUUAGAUUAGAUUAGAUAAGGCUUAUCUUGUAAAUCCCUAAAAUUAAGGGAUAUGGGUUAAUCUCAUCCGUCGAUGUAAAUGUAUAUUGACCGUCGAUUUUGGGGGAGAUCAACUAUAAAUAGAGAGCCUCCCCCUCAUUUGUACUCACUCUUGUAAUUAUUUCAUUAUUCUUUGUGAAUAAGAGAAUUGAGAGCAUUUACUCAAACACUUUACGAGCGUCCUUUCUGUUGUUCUUUUGUUUAGCUUCUUUUGGCACAAUCGCUUCCGCUAUACAAAUUGGUGCCUUGGAGGAGUUCUAAAAGAAUCCUCACUUGAGUUAAGCCUGACUUGGGCGAGUUUGGAUGAACAAAUUGUCUAAGGCUGCACGAAUUACGAGACGAAAGGUCUAGCCCUGUGACAAGUGGUAUCAGAGCCAAGUUUUGAACCAAGUGACAUUCGAGUUGGUUUGAAGGCACCGUUGGGAUGUCAAGAGAAGAGUUCGAACAAAGGUGGGAGAAGAAGUAUUUGAGGGAGACAUUAUCGGUAGUAGAGAAACGUGUGGGUAAACUCGAGGGAUCCAUGGAGGAUGUAAAGGAGGCACUCGAUGGGGUCGAGGAUCACAUUGCAAACUGGAAGGAGCAGUCUAGAGACUAUGUAAAGAUGUCUCUUAGUUCCAUCAUGGAUAUGGUAAACGAGUUGUUUAAUUCACACAGGGAUAAGCUGUCGGAAAGGAAUGAUGCUCUCGAGGCCAAAAUGAUGGCUUUGAAAGAGGAAACAAUGGCCACGACGAGGGCUUUGAGCACAAGAAUAGAGGAGCUCGAGGGAGAGCUGGCCUUGUGUUGAGCAGCCGUGAGGAAAGGAGUGGCAAAUGUAGCACUCAGUAACGAGGAUGUCCCAAAGCUGAAAGAGUUUGUGGGGACAAGGUCUGCGUGCGAUGUGGAUAAUUUCUUAUGGAGGAUGGAAAACUACUUCCGUGCCAAAGGCGUCAUGGAUGAUACGGUUAAGGUAAACACUACUUCAAUGUUUCUUACUGCCAUUGCACUUUUAUGGUGGAGAGGUAGGACCACAAAUAAAAGGCAAGGUGAGAUUGGGACGUAGCAAGAGUUCCAAUGCGAAUUGAAGGGACAGUUUUACCCAGAGUUUACCGAGGAAGAAGCUCGGGCAAAGUUGCAAGGGAUAACGUAACAGGGCACAGUGGGGGAGUAUGUUCGAGAGUUCAAGGAACUCAUGCUCCAAGUUUUAAAGGUGACCGAAAGAGAGGCAUUGCUUGCUUUUCAAAAUGGAUUGAAGCCGUGGGUCAGACAGGAGGUGGAACAAAGAGGUGUCCAAAAGCUAUCGGAAGCCAUGACGGUAGUUGAGUCUGUGGUUAAGCUUAGUCUAGGGAAAGACAAGCUUGGAUCUUCCAAGUCCGAUGGAAGGGGUAUAUGUGAAAUGGAUCAAAAGGAAGAUAGUGUUGAUGGCAAUGGCAACGGCAACAAUGGUGGUAAUGGGAAACCAUGAGUUGGGAAGAAGAAACCCAAGAGGAAAAGGGACAAGCUAAAAUGCUUUCUCUGCGACGGUCCACACAUGCUGAAGAAAUGUCUGAAAAAUUUGAGCUCAAGGAGAAGCCGGUGGGUAAGGCCUUGGUACUUGGUUCGAGCGCAAGGGGUGUCGAAGCCAAGAAGGCCAAAAGUAAGAAGAAGCCAGUGGAGUGGUUCUUGUGUCAUGGUCCGCAUAGGUUACGAAAGUGUCCGAGGAAGUCUAUCAUCGAGGGGAAUGAUGGAGCAGACAAGGAGCCCAAGAAGCUUGGUUCGAGCAAGGGAAAAGCCGAAGCCAAAGGGGCAAAAGGGAGCAAAAAGAAGCGAGUAAAGUGCUUCUUGUGCCGUGGUCCGCAUGAGUUACGGAACUGUCCAAAGCAAGCCGGAGUCAUAAGAAAGGCAACGUCUGAGCUUGGUGAGUCAUCGGAGGGGCUUCCACCCAAGGAAGAGGUGAGUUUGUCAUCGAACUUAAAGGAAAUAGUUGCGAUGAAAACAGUGAAGCUGGGACCAAUGAGGCUCAAGUUGAGUGAAGCGUCGGAGUUGGCCGAGUCAUCGAUAAGGCUUCCACCUAUGGGAGAGGUGGGUGGUGCAUCAGACUUCAAGGGAAAAGAAGGGAUGCAUGUGGGACAGUUGACCAGAGUAAAUGCGACGAGUAGGACGGUUUGAGUUAAGAAGCGACGUAAGCCGAGGCAAAAAUCCCGAAGGAAGGGAAAGGCUAAGGCAUUGAGACAAGACCGAGGUGAAUCGAGUCAGUGCCAUUCAAAAGUCACAACGAGGACGGUGCAAGAAUGUGUGGGGGAGAAUGUCACGGGCCGCAGUUCAAAGCCCAUGACCAGCGCACCAAAUGCAUCCAAUGGAGGUUUGUUGCUCAGAUGUGGAUCAUUUGGCCCACAAGAACUGGCUCGAUUUAAGGAGCUAUUGGACAAGCCUGUCAGAUUGAAGCUUGGUUGGCCCGAUAACGGAGAGAUGGAAACUUAGGCUAAUAUGGUAACUAAUCUUAGAAGAUAGAGGGAAUCUUAUAUUGUAAAGAUUAGAUUAGAUUAGAUAAGGCUUAUCUUGUAAAUCCUAAAAUUAAAGGAUAUGGGUUAAUCUCAUCCGUCGAUGUAAAUGUAUCUUGACCGUCGGUUUUGGGGGAGCUCAACUAUAAAUAGAGAGCCUCCCCCUCAUUUGUACUCACUCCUGUAAUUGUUUCAUUAUUCUUUGUGAAUAAGAGAAUUGAGAUCAUUUACUCAAACACUUUGUGAGCGUCCUUUCUAAUGUUCUUUUGUUUAGCUUCUUUUGGCACAAUCGCUUCCGCUAUACAAAUUGGUACCUUGGAGGAGUUCUAAAAGAAUCCUCACUUGAGUUAAGGCUAACUUGGGUGAGUUUGAACGAACGGAUCGCCUAAGGCCUCACAGAUUGUGAGACGAAAGGUCUAGCCCCGUGACACAAGUGCUAGGUAAAACCAUCAUGUCUGCUUACUCACCACAAACAAAGGCCCUCUAGGACCUUCAUGAAUUUUUGUCUUAUAAGUGCUUCCAUUGUGAGCCUGAACAGCUUGAUAGCCCACAAGAUAAGGAUAUCGAUCUUUACCCUACAGAUUAACAAGGUUAAAUCCACUUAAAUGAAGCACCAUUAGUCUAUAACAAUUUACUUCAAUUUUCUGCUGUUAGUUCAAAUAUUUAUUUUUUUAAUUUGCCAAAACUUGCUAGGAUCGAAGAUUUGGAAUUCCUAAAUUUCAAUUACAAAUUUACACCGUACUUGCAGAAAAAUAUAUUACUAUUAGAGACACCAGCAAUCAACCAGAGUUCUUUAGUUUUCAAUCAAGUUAUUCGACAGGUAUCUAUAUUGAUUACACAAAAAAAAUCAUACACCGUGAGAAUGUCGAGUAAAUUACAAAUACAAAAGCAAACGAACCCUAAAGGAGCUCCAAUACUUCUUCUCCCAGGGGCCUUUGUAUAGAGAUCCAAUGGAAACGAUCUCUAGAUCCUCUAAUUUCGUUGUUUGUUCUCCUUUUUUUGUUUUCGCCAUUCAAAGAAAUGAGAAGAAAGCAAGAUUUCCAAACAACUAACAAUAAGAGAGUAGAGAGGAUUUUCAAGAUAGACGAAGACAUGGCAUUUUAAAAUAGGGGAACUAAAAUCUUAAAAUGCAUGAUUUCCCUUGAAAUUCUAAAUAAAAACUUUAUUUGAUUAGGAAAAAUGUGAAUUGAUUUUGGGAAAAAGAAGGGAAAAAAAAGAAAAGAUUUCAUUUGAAAUAUUGGGAUAAAAAAAUAUAAUUACAAAACGACGCCGUUUUGAAAAAAACAUAUUCGUGGCGUUUGGAAAAAAAAGUCACUAUUGCUCGACUUUUAGCGACAUUUGGACCAAAAACGCUACUAUUGUUCAACUUUUUUCUGCAUUUACAACAAAAAAGCCGCUAUUGCUUACCUUUUGCGGCGUUUUUUUUAUAAAUGCCGCUAACACUUGACUUUUUUACAAUUUUUAUAUUGAAUUAUUGUAUCUUUCAUAUAAAUUUUAAAUGAAUAAUUUUUAGUUUUUGUAUUUCAUUUUUAUUUUUGUAUUUCAUUUUUAUUUGUUAUAAUUUUGUCCUAUCCAAAAUAGAUAGUUACCUAUCCAUAUCAAUCUGUUACUUUUUUUUAUUUAUUUAUCAAUAUUUUUUUAAAUUUAAUAGUUAAAUAUAUUAAAUGGUUUAGAUUUAAUAUUUUUAAAUAUAAAAGCAUUAAUUGAUUGUAUAAAAUUUUAUCAUUUAACAAAUCUCAAGUAAACCUUAAAUCCUAAACCAUUUAAUAUAUAUAAAGUUUAUCUAUUAUCUCUUAAAUAAUUUAAACUAUAAUCAUAAUUUUAAUAUAUUAAAAUUAAAAUUAAAAUGAUCUCUUUUACAAUUAUAUAAGAAAUUAUUUAAUAUAUAAAUUAAAAAACACUAAUUAACCUAAACCCUAAACCCUAAACCCCUAUCCCCUAAACCUUGAAUUAUAAAACAUAAAACAUAAACCCUAAAUCCCUGAAUCCCUAACCCUUAACCCCUAACCCCUAACCCCUAAACCUUAAACCCCAACCCUUAAACCAUAAUCCCUAAACCCAUAAUCCAUAAUCCAUAAACCUUAAAAUAGUAACUCUUAAACCUUAAACCCUAAACCAUAAACCCUAAACUAUAAUGAUAAUUAAUUCAAUAUUUUAAAAUUAAUACUAUCUCUUUUACGAUUAUAUAAGAAAUUAUUUAAUAUAUAAAUUAAAAACAAUCAGUCAUGUACCCAAGAAACUUUAAAAUUAUUUUAAAUAAUAUAUUUUAAUUUUUUCAUUUUUAACAAAUAUUUUCUAUGUUUUUACUUUCAAAAUUUCUCUACGUGUCAUUAUUUUUUUCUGAAGAAUUUAAAUAUUCAAUUAAAAAUAAAUUUAUUUUAAUUAAUAUAAAUAAAGCGGUUAAAUAAUAAAUAGACAGAUAAAAUACUUUUUGCGGUGAUUUUCAUAAAGUGCCGCUAAAGCUCGAUCUACAGCGGCGUUUUACGAAAAAGAGUCUUACUGAAUUUUUUGGGGCAUUUUUCAAAAAGCGCCACUAAUUCUCGAUCUAUAGUGGCGUUUUUCAAGAAGCGCCGCUAAUGCCACUAAAGCUCAACAUAAAACACCAGCAUUGAGCUUAAUUUUUUUGCGGCGUUUUUCAAAAAGAGCCGCUAAUGGUAGACCUAUAGCGGCGUUUUUCAAAAAGCGCCACUAAAGCUCAACAUAAAACACCGGCGUUGUGCUUAAUUUUUUUACGGCAUUUUUCAAAAAGCGCCGCUAAUGGUCGACUUAUAGCAGUGGUUUUAAAAAAGACCCACUAAUGCUCGAUCUAUAGCGGCAUUUUUCAAAAAGCGCCGCUAAUGCUCGAUCUAUAGUAGCGUUUUUUAUCCAAACGCCGCUAAAAAUGCCACUAAAAACCUAUUUUGCUGUAGUGAUUUGUGGGGUAAGUGGUUGAACAUUUUAAUAUAGACUGACUUUUCUAUAAUUAGUCCUUGCUUUAAUUACUUUGGGUGGAUUCUUCCAACUAGUCCAAGCAUUAUUGUACAAUUACAAUUAAUCUUUUUAAAUGAGACAAACAUUUCAAAUUUGUCAUUACUAUUUGUGAGUGAUUUGGGGGUAAGAAGUUUAACUCUUCUGGAUGUCUUAUAGAAUUGUGAUUAUACUUUUUGAGUAUUGACUCAGUUUUCCACAAUUGUGGGUCUCUAUUUGAGCAAAACAAUUUCAACAUUUCUUCAUCUCGUUUAAUCCAAAUGCAUUUAUGCAUUUCUUAUAUCAUUGAAUUUGCUGCUUCAUAUUCAAUUUUUGGACAAGUAGAAUUUUCUAACCUAUUUUCCAUCAACUUCACUUGAAUUUUCAAUCACAAUCAAUUGCAUUCAAGAGCACCACAUCUUUUUGGAUGAAACAAAAAUUUCAAUUUUAAGAUAAACGGGUCUUUAGGGUUAUAAUUUCAAUUUUUAAAAGUUUAAAAUAAAUUUGUAUUUUUAUUAACAAAAUGUAUAUAAAAAAAAACUUGUUUAGACAAGCCAAGAGACCUUUGGGAUCAUACGGGUGAUUUUGAUGAUGUUAAUGGUUAUUUUGGUGGAGAGAGUGAAAAAGAAACAAAUGAUUCAUUAUAUAUAUUAUAAUUAUGAAAUUCAAGCCAUAUAUUGUAUGUUUCAUACAUAAAAAAAAUUGGAGCAAUUUAAUCCCUAUCAAUUUUGAAAGUGAGUAACUAAGGACAAUUAAUUAUGGUGUUAAAUUCUUCCAUCAAUUGUACAUAAUUUUGAUUGGUAUAGUAAUAAAUUUAGCCUUCAAUAUUUAUAUAUUUUUUCAUUUUGGCCUUAAUUUUUUUUAAAAAAUUCAAGAAAUUCAACCUCAACAUUUACAUAUUUACACAAACAUUGCGGGAAAAUUUUGUUAAAUUAAGACCAAAUUGCAAGUGUAAAUUUUGAGGGCUAAAUUUAUUAUUAUACCAACCAAAAUCAUGUACAUUUUAUGGAAAAUUAACAUCUUGAUUAAUUAUUCUUAGUUGUUCACUUUCAAAAUUAAUAGGGACUAAAUUACUUUGAUUUUUUUAGGGUGACCAAUUUCCUCAAAGUGGAAAUUGAGAGAGACUAUUGAGAUCUUUUGCAUAUUUCUUUUAUAAAUAUAUUUUUUAAAUAUAAAAUAUAUUUGUUCACACACAUCGUGAGUAUGAUCUCAAUAGUCCACAUAAUCCAUUAAAAAAACUUAAAAAAUAUAUUUUAUUUUUUAACACCUAAGUGAUUCUCCAGCUAACGACCACCCAAGACACACCCCGACUUUAUAACACCCCAAUCUUAUUUAAUUAUUAGUUAUUUAUUAAUGCAGAAGUAAAUUAUGAGCCAAUUUUAAUCUUUUCCUCGGUAAUUUAACCUAAGGCCAAUUUCAUCAUUUUACCACCUAUUGUAAAACUAACCCGAUUUUAGAUAUAACAACAUGUUUGGUUUGGUGUAAUAGAUUAGCCAUUACACCCCUAUUUCGUGGGCCCCACUAAUCCCCACUUAUUCUUGUGUUUGGUUUGAUGUAUUGCCUAUUACAGGCCUAUUACAACACGAAUGUAUUCCUCAUUUUCUCUGCUUCAACAAUGAUUAGCCAUUCCGUUCCAAAAGUAAGGAUUAGCUAAUCGUCUCUGUUUUACCCUCCUCAGCCAAAAUCUACUGCUCCACCCCACCCUCUCCCUCCCAACAUCAACAGCAGUUUUCUUCGAACCAAAUCUCCACCGUCUCAGAUCGCCUGUGAGUAAUCUCAACAGCAGUUGCCAGUGAAAAUUGCCCUUUCUUCAAAAACCCAGCCCUAAACCCUUCUUCUCUUUCAAUACUCCAUUCGAACAGGUUGCGGUGUCUCCCUCCUCUGAGGUAUGGCUCUGUUUCUUUAACUUUAGCAUUGAGCGACUCUUUUCAAUUCCAAAAUUAGUCUACUCUGCUAAGGGUUCUUGCUUUUCAAACCAUUUUUUCACCAUUUUUCUUGUAAUUCUUUUUCUUGUUAGAGUUCAGAUUUUAGAUUUUUUUUAAAAAAAAACGAUUAGAUUGUGAGGUUCAGUUAAUUAUUAGGGUUUUCUGUUUUGGGUUUCCCUGUUGCGUGGUAAUUUUGAAGUGCAUAUAAAAUGGAUGCUUUUGAGGAUCUUAAGCAAUUCGGCGAUACUGAUAAAGGUUGAUAUUCGAUUCAUUUUGCUUUAAUUUACUUGGUUUAUGCAUUUUGGGGAUAAAAUUAGCUUUGUUUUCUUCUCUUUUGGUUGGCUUUAAGCUGAGAGUAAAAUUUGAAACCUUUGUGGUGGAGGAGUUACCGUUCUUCUGAGAUCAAAUGUAUAACAGGUUAGAAGGAAAUGAAAUUAGAUCCUUAAAUAUUGUGUUUUCAAUGUUAAGGGCAGGCUUUUGUUGCUAAAACAAUUGUGGUAACACUGUUUGAUUCAGUUAGAAGUCAAAUGUCGUUUCCAUGUGUGAACAAUUUCUGGUUUUUAAGUAGCGACUUUGUUUCAUGUUGGCCUGGACAUUUUCCAAAUUAGUAAUUAUAAGUUUGAAUUUGGCUACUAAAUCACGCCAAUUAAUGAUUUCAGUGUGCUGGUGUUUCAGACUUUCAGUUGAAUUGACUUUGGUUUCGAAUAUUUUUAGUGAUGGAAAUAAGCACGAUUUAUUUAAAUUAUGAUUGAAUUGGAGAAACUGCUUUUUGUACAUUUUGAGAAAUAUCAGGCCCUUGGAUACACAAAGGGUGUUAACUUGCGCCUAUCUCAAUUACCCCAUUCCUGCCCAUUGAAUUGGAGAAAGUUCUUUUUUUUAAUGAUUCUGCGUUGCUACUGAUUUUUAGUGAAAUGGUAUUUUUCUUAUGAUGUGUUUUCUUCUUUAUGAAGAGCUCAUUUCAGUAAAGUUAACCUUUCUAUUAUGCAGAAGGUGCAGUAUUUGAUGCAUCACAAUAUGCAUUUUUUGGAAACAAUGUUCUCGAGGAAGUUGAAUUGGGGGGGCUAGAUGAUGAGGAUGAGGAUUUACCUGCAGCUGGACUUGAUGAAGAGGAGUUUUUGUUUGAUCAAGAGGAGGUUAAUAUUCUUGUUUCUUUCAGUUUUAUUUUUCCUGUUUCGAUUGUUCUUGCAAGUUUCUGCAGCAUAGCACAACCAGUGACUAUUCGAUCGAAAAAUAAAUGUAUCCCUUCCAGGCGUCAUGCUAAAAAAUAGCCUUUUGGAUUAGUGUUGGAUUUUUUCUCCAUGUUCUUUAACAGAUAGAUUCCACUGCAUUCAAUUAGUGGUUGGCAUGCGAGUUUUAUUUGUGGAAUAAAGCUCUGUGGGAGUUCAUAUUAUAUAUUGUUCUAUUUGUCUGUGCAAAACAUUGUGAACCUUGUUCUCUGUAUUUAUAAGUUGACAAUGUAGCCAUCUUGGUUGGCUGCUUUCCGAAGUCAAUUUAUUUGAUUCGUUCUCUUUGCUCUUCACAAUGAGAGGUAGCUCUUUUGUACUUUUUUAAUAAGAUCAUAUUAUACAUGCUCUUUUGCAGUGGUCUAGUGGUUUAGUAUCUUGUUAAUAAAACCAUAUUGUAUAUUUGAAUAGUUUGGAGAUUGUGUUAACUGUAUUUGGUGCAUCUUGAAGUAAUGUUUGUUGUAUCUUAUAUGCUUCCUGAAUCAAAUAUGGAGAGAAGGUAGUAUAUGGAGUUUAUAUUUUCAAGUAUUUUUCACACAAUUGAUUUAUCUGUUCCCUUCAUUGAGGGGAAAACAUGGAAUGAAUUGACUUACACCUCACUUCUUCCUCAAACAUCUUUUGUACCACUUAUUUUCAUAAAAUGAUAAGAAUCUUUUUAGAUUACAACUUCCAGAGGUCUAUGUCACCUUCUUGACAAUCAGGUUUUUAGGAAUAUUUUUACCCAUCAUGCAGAAGUUUUAGACAAAAUCUUGUUCGUGGUUGCUGCUAGAUGCAUGAUACUGCCUCAUUUCCUUUGUGGUGGUUCUUCGCUCUCCCCCUUCUUAGUAUUUUUGGUUGUUGAGUCUUGGAGGCAGUUGUAUUCAGUAAUGGCUGGCUUGCUUUGAUGCAUUGCUUCUGUAUAUCUUUGUAGAAAACGAAUCUGUAUCUAUUAUUAACACAAAUUUGAUUAGUUCAUGCCAAUGGAUUUGUAAAGUUAAAUUAGUUAUUGGCGUUAGAAAUUUACUCUUAUGCCUGGAAGGAGAUCUGGCUUACAGAUCAACUACUGGAGUUAAUUGUGGAAAUUUGUUUGAUUUGGUUUCUUAUAAAAUUGUUACCCUGUUCUAUUUAUGUUGGAGUAGCUGAAAUCUGAGGUUGCAUUUGUCAUUAACAAAUAGAAAUCCAAAAAGAGAGGAAAGUGAUAUCAUCCCCUCCACUUUUUCCUUGGAAUUGCGUACUUCAAACUUUUUUAAUUGUAUAAAUUCAUAUAAGAAAAUUUAUUAUGAUGUUGUAAAACUAUAAAACAUAUGGAUUAUGAUGUAGAAUUUCAUUUUCAUCUAACCUUUUCUUAAUAUAAGUUAAUUAUGUUUAUGCAGAAUAUAAUCUCAAGUUAUAAUUUGAUUUUAGUAAAUUCAUAUAAGAACAUUUUAUUAUUAAAUUAUAUUUAAUAUUAAUUAUUUUAAAUUGUAUAAAUUCAUAUAAGAAAAUUUAUUAUCAAGAAUUUUAUGAAAUUAUAUAUCAUUAUUAAAUUAUAUUUAAUAUUAAUUAUUUUAAAUUAUAUAAAUUCAUAUAAGAAAAUUUAUUAUCACGAAUUUUAUGAAAUUAUAUAUUAUUAUUAAUUAUAUUUAAUAAUAAUUAUUUUAAAUUAUACAAAUUCAUAUAAGAAAAUUUAUUAGUUAUAAUUAUUUUAAAUUUUAUUAAAUCAUAUAUUUUAAUUAAAAUAUUUUUAAUAUUAAUUACUUCAAAUUAUAUUUUAUAGUAUCAUAUAUUAUGAUUUUAGUAAAUUCAUAUAAGAAUUUUGAUUAUUAAGAAUUUUAUUAAAUUAUAUAUUUUAAUUAAAAUAUAUUUAAUAAUAAUAAUGUUAAAUUAUCUUUUAUCGUAUCAUAUAUUAUGAUUUGAGUAAAUUCAUAUAAGAAUAUUAAUUUUUAAGAAUUUUACUAAAUUAUAUAUUUUAAUUAUAAUAUAUUUAAUAAUAAUUAUGUUAAAUUAUAUUUUAUAGUAUCAUAUAUUAUGAUUUGAGUAAAUUCAUAUAAGAUAUUGAUUAUUAAGAAUUUUAUUAAAUUAUAUAUUUUAAUUUAAUAUAUUUAAUAAUUAUUAUGUUAAAUUAUCUUUUAUAGUAUCAUAUAUUAUGAUUUGAGCAAAUUCAUAUAAGAAUAUUAAUUAUUAAUAAUUUUAUUAAAUUAUAUAUUUUAAUUAUAAUAUAUUUAAUAAUAAUUAUGUUUAAAUAUGAUUAAAUUAUUUAUUAUUGAUAUUAUUAAUCUUAUUAAAAUUUAAAUAACAAUAACAAUAAUCAUUUACCCAAACAAAUUUAUGCUAAUGGUAUUCUAGUCAUUUUAGUUUUUUUCCAUUAUGCUAUUACACCUCUAUUCCAUUCAACCAAACACAAGAAUACUAUUACGCCUCUAUUCCAUUACGCCUCUAUUCCAUUCAACCAAACAAUUGAUUUGCUAUUACGCCUCUAUUCCAUUACACCUCUAUUCCAUUACGCCUCUAUUCCAAUACAGCGAACCAAACGUGCUGUAAGUGUUUACCAACCUUCUUUUAGUUAAAUUAUGCAAGCCUAAAAUUUUCAGCUUUAUUUGAGUACGUUUUCUAUGUCUAAUUCAAGUUUUAUUAUUAAGGACUAAAUUGUAACUUAAACAAAUUAGAAUACCAAUUUAAAGAGACAAAAUUCAAAACCCCAAAACCCACACGGGCAUGUGGGUAAGUGGCACGGGCCAGUGGAGACUGGAGCUAUCACAUAAGGCGAGUGAGAUUGAAACAUAUGAAAUAAAUUAAUCCACUUAAUUUUCCAACAACCAUGCUAUACUACCAAACCAAAUAACGAGUGAAGCUUUGAAUAGGGGCGAAUCUAAAAAAAAAAUUAGAAGAAUUAGAAUUAAAUUAUAAAAUUUUGAGAAGUUAUCAUGUAUUAAUUUAUUAUUUUUUUAAAGGGUCCUAAUAGAAUUUUUUUCCCAUUCUGGUUGGGCCAAUACCUUUGACUGCCUCUUUAAAUUUGCUUCAACCCUAAACCCAAUAUUCGAUUUGGAUUAACAACAAUAUAUAGGUUUGUAUUUGUGGGAGUUUGACGAAUAAAAAUUUCUAUUUAAAAGGUUUAAAUUAUAAAUUUUUGAAAGUUUAAAAUAAAUUUGUAUUUUUUAUUAACAAAAUAUAAAAGAAAAAAAACAUGUUUAGACAAGACAAGAAACCUUGGGAUCAUACGGGUGAUUUUGAUGAUGUUAAUGGUUAUUUUGGUGGAGAGGGUAAACACGAAACAAAUGAUUCAUUAUAUAUAAUAUAAUUAUGAAAUUCAAGCCAUAUAUUGUACUUUUGGUUUUUCUGCAAUAUGAUACAUGUAUUUGGUAAAAAGUUAUAUAUUUUGAUACUUAAAAGUAACAUUGUUAAUUUUUUUAGUGCUUAAUCUGAAUUUUAGAGUUUAUUUAAUGAACAUUAAUUGUUAAUAUUGUUAUGUUUAUUUUUUUAUGAUUUUGUUAAUAAAAUAAAUUUUAUGUUUAUCUUGUUAUCUUUUUUAUUUUAGAAUUGAUUACAUGAAAGUUAAUUGCUAAUAUUAUUAGUUAACUAUUAGUUUUCUUCAAAUCAAAUUAAAACCCGAAAGAUCCCACUUUUUUUUUAUAUUAGUUUUAGUUAUCCAUUAAAUUUGUUUCUUUGUAAUAAAAUUAAAUUAUAGAAAUAACAUUAAAAUUUUAAAUAAAAUUAAUUCACAAUAAUUAUACAGAAUUUAAUUUUCUUUCAAAUACUGCAGUUAAUAAGGAAAGUGAAUAUAGUAAAAAGAAAUAUUGUUUAAUUAGUUAAUUUAAAAAUCAAUAGCGUCUAAAAACUGUCAGAAUGGAAUAUUAGAUUUUAUAAGAUUUCAUUAUUCUAAAAAAUAAAAUAUGACAAUGCUUAAAAAUUUUAUCAAAAAAGUUUUAAAUUUUAUAUAAAAUUUUAAAAAAUAAAAAAACAGUAUUAAAAAUUUUUAUAAGCAAAUUAAAUAUUAAUUAGUAAAUUAUUUUUGUAAUAUUUAUAUGUAUUUUCAUUUUUAUAAAUACUAUUAAAACUUUUUUUAAAAAAAUUGAAUGCUAUGUAAAAACAUUAUUAAAAAUAAAAUAUUAUAUGAAAGUUAAAAUGAUGUAAAAACAUAUUUUCAGUGUUGGCGUUGCUCGUUCGUAAAUGGGUUAGUUUCCGUUUUGAUGUGUUUUUACGUGGAUAGUAAAAGAAAUGUGUUAAUUUUUGGAUUAUGGAGUUGAUCGUUUUUAAUCAAUUCUCCAGUAAGUUGACUCGUUUGUUGUUGUUAUGUGCUAGGAUAAGAGAUUAAUUCUGAUUUGGGCCUGUGUGGUUGUGUAGAUUUUCCAUGUGAAAUCGUUUGGUAUUUUUAGGAUAAAUCAUUCUUUAAAUCGUAUUGCUACCAUCGCGAAUGUGAUGUUUUAAUUUAUGCAUUUAGGAUCUGGUAGUCUUAUAGGUGUUUUCGCAUAAAAAAUUGAACCAUGUGUGUAACGAAAGCUAAAAAAUUGCACUGUUGACGCCACACGGCCAUGUGACAAGUCGUGUGCUGGAUCAUGUGUAACACACGAUUUGAGCUAGUUGAGCCAUGUGGAAAACAAAGGUGUGUGUGAAGGCGUGUGCCACACCAUGUGGGCCACACAGGCUGGCCAUUUAGGCCGUAUGGGACCAAAAUUCUAAUUUUUUUCCUAGGGUUAUACACAGUGUGUAUACUUGUCUUUGAAUUGAAAAAUUCUAAACAACUCUAAAUAAAUGGAAAGCAGCAAAUUACCUGACGAGGCAAGCUAGGUCAAUUACGACCAUUGUGUUAUUCUUGUCUCUGAAUUGAAAAUUUUAGAAGAAACUAAAGAGAAAGUGUUAGAAAAUAAUUGAAAACAGAUAAAACUUAUGUCUCAUUGAUUGGAUAAACUACGAUCACCCAUAAUAGACCUUGUACUUGACUUUUUGUUUAGGGAGAUUGACUCUUUUAGGAGAAGUCUUUUGAGUGUUGUUUGCUAGGCAAUCGGUGCUGCCCUCAACAACUAAUGGUAGUGUCCCCAUGUUGGGAUUUUAUCCCCAGCCUCUGCGGAAUAAUCAUUGAGGAUAUGUGCGUAGGGAUUCAAACUACCAAUCAAUGCAUGUGUAGCCUUUACCUUGCAACCAUCUCCAUGAACCCAUAGGGUUCUUAGCGGGAUCAAGAGACGAAACCCUAAUGUGGGAACAAUACCAUUUGUUGAAGGCUUUGUUAAUAGGGUCACACCUAGGGGAGUUGGCAGGGGUCCCAACCCCCCUUAAAAUGAAAAAUUUUCCAUUUAGGCCCUUUAAAAUUUUUAAAAUUUUAAAUUAAUAAAAGUAAAAUUGUACUUUGGCCCCCCAAAAAGUGAUAAAACUUCGAUUUAGUCCUCUAAAAAUUAUAAAAUAUAGGCUAUUAAAAUGGUGAAAUUGCAUUUUUACUAUCAUAAAAAUUAUAAUUUAAUUUCACCCCCUAAAAAGAUUUUCUGGCUUCGCCCCAAAUAAAAUCUUUGCCAAAAGAUUAAAAUAAAAUUAUACCGUAAAUGAAAAAAUAAACUAAGAAAAUCCAAUCUAACAAAGAAAAUAACUUGAUGUCCAAAAGCUACCAUGAACCGUAAUUCAUGGGAAGUCUUGUUGCUCAUUUUAUUGGUUUCCAUUUUGAUUUUGCAAAAUAAGUUUGAAUUUUGAAGAGAGCCUACUACGUGAGAGCAAAAGAAAAAAAUUCUAUAAAGAUUUUGAAUUUUGAAUUUUGAAUUUUGAAUUUUGAAUUUUGAAUUUUGAAGCAGAUUUUCAUUAAGAUUGAAGAUUCCUAAUUGAUUUCUUAGGAGAUUAUCAUGAGUUCCUUAUUUCUUUCAGUUAUAUUGCCCUUUGGAUUUUUUAUUUUUAAUCAUGAACUACUUUUCUAAAUACGUAAGAGAGAUGAACCCUAUGAUAGAUUGUGACACCCCAAAGCUGACCGGGAUAGACCGGCCUGAAUUCAAAGCAUUACAUUAGCCACCUAAGGACCACUCAAGACACACCCCGACCUUAUAACACCUCAAUCUUAUCUAAUUACUAGUUAUUUAUUAAUGCCGAAGUAAAUUAUGAGCCAAUUUUAAAGUUUUCCUAGGUAAUUUAACCUAAGGGCAUUUACAUCAUUUUAUGACCUAUGGUAAAACUAACCUAGAAAUACCGAAAACAUUCCAAAAUAAUAUAAAAAAAAAGCUAAGAAAAACCUAGAAAUACAAAAAAAAAUUCAUGUUUUUACAAAUUGGGAAAUACCUAAAUUUGUUUUUAUCAAUUAAGAAAUUAAAAAAAUUGUUGAGAAAUAUCUUUUUAGUGAUUGUUAGCUUUGACAAGUUCUCUCCACCACUUCUCUUACGCUCCUUCCAGGAUCUUGCUUUUUGUGUGUUGAAAACUCAAAUGAACAAAAUAAAGUGAAUUUACGAGUUUUGUUUUCUUUUAAAAAUAUUUUUAAUAUUUUUGUGGAUACCAAGAGAUACCAAAAAUUAUUUCACUAAGAAGUUUUAAUUCACUCGAAAAGUUAGUGUUUUAUUUCAAGGGGUCAUAAUUAAUCAUUAGAUUUCUCAAUUUUAAAUUUUGAAUUUUUGACAAUUGUGUAAUUAAUAAGUACCAAUUUUGAGUGGUGUAGGGCUAGUACAAUCUCCCUUACACAUAACCGACUCUUGAUCUAAUAAAUAUUUAUCCUUAUACUUUGAUCUAAAUAUUUUGAUGUAAUCAAUGUAAAAAACCUUUUAAACAAAAUAAGGUUGAAAUAAUCUAUUUGUCUUUAUACUUUGAUAAAAUUUGGGAUUUAGUCCUCAUACCUAAUGUUGACACCAUUUUUUUGUGAAAACGGGGUUGACUUGGAUUUUGUAAACGAAAACGAAAACGGGGGUCGCCACCAAUUCUUUUUGAUAAGGUGUGAUCGGGCCACCUUGAAAAGUGGUUGUUUUUAAUAAACAAUUUAAUUUUAUGAAAACAACGAUUUUGGUCCACGAAAUUCAGAAAAACAGGUUCGGGAGUCGGUUACGUACGAGGAAGGAUUAGCACCCUCAUAACGCCCAAAAUUGGUACCUAGUUGAUUAAUUAAUGUCUUAGUGUAGAAGAUUGAAAACUCUAAAGAGAUUUAAAACACGAUCCUUUACUGAAAUGAUAAAAAUUUUCGGCAAAAAGGGCAUAUUUCACAUUAAUCGAGAAAGAGAAUUAUAUCCAAUAAGUUAGAACACAAUGUCUUGAAUUCCGAUGCGCGAAUGAAUACCAAAAAUUUACUUAUUUAAAAGAUAUUUAACUAUCUCGGAUUUAAAAAAGGGAUCAUGCCCAGUAAGUUAGGACACGAUCUUUUCUUAAUUCCCGAGAUCGUUUAAAACUUGAGAAAAAAGGGAUCAUGCCCAGUAAGUUAGGACAUGAUCUCUUCUUAAUUCCCGAGAUCGUUUUAAACUUGAGUUUGAAAAGAUUCGUGUAUUUAAAUUUAUUGUGAAAAUUGAAACCCCGUAAGUUAGGGUACGACCUUCUCGAAUCUAAACAUGAGAUUUUGCUUAUUCAAAAAAUCAUAAUUUAUGCAUUGAAUAAAAUUAAUCUAACACGAAAUAGUAGAAAUGCAACACGGUGUCAAUAUGUGUAACAAGACAAAAAUGAAUAUGAUAAUGUAAGCAUAAAUAGUACGAACGACAUCGUAAAUGAGAUAAAUAAUAGGAGAGACAAAUCCAUCAUAUCACAACAAAUAAAUAAAUGCAAUAUUAAGACAUUCUUUUCAAAUGAUAAUGAACAUAUACGCAAAUAAACAAAUUAACAUCGAGUGAAACAAAAAUGCAAUAACGAAAUUAAUAAAACUAUAAAAAGUAUAAAAAUAUGUGUGUAUGUACGUGUAGGUAUGCAUUAUAAAAAUAUAUGUGCAUAUAUAUAUAUAUAUAUUUGAAAUUACAAAAUAUAAAAGAUAUAUAUAGGUAUGUAUAUGUAUGAGUUAUAAAAUAUAUGUAUGUAUAUGUGUACAUAACUAAAUUUGAAAUAAAUAGAUAUAGAUAAACAUAAUAAUAAUAUAGUAAGACAGAUAUAUUUAAUAUUUAAAUAAGUGAACAUAAUAAAUGGGAGUAUAAUAAAUAAUAAUAAUAAUGCAAAGCUAGUAAUAUGAUAUAAUGAUAUAAUAUUAAUGACUAAGUAAAUAUAAGAAGAAAAUAUUAAUAGAUAAUGUAACAACCCGGUUUUGACCCUAAUCGGAAUAGUGGUUUCGGGACCACAAAUCCGAACUAGAAAAAUAUUAUUAAUAUUAUUUAGUGUGUUUAUAUUGUGUGCAUUUGAAUGUGUGAAAUUUUCGUGUUUUAAUUUCAUCGUUUAAGUGUCCGAUUUAAUAAAAGGGUUUAAUCGCGUAAAAUGAAAAAUUAGGGGUUAAUUAUAAAAGCACCUAAUUGUUGUUGGCUUUAUAAUUUAGAGGUUUUACUAUGAAAUUAGUCCACUAUAUAAGUUAGUGGGUGGCAAAAGACUAAUGUAACCUUAUUAUAUAUGUUUUAUAUAUAUAUUAGUAAAGGUUAAAAUAGUAAAUUAAUUAUAAAGUUAAUAUAUGUUUAAUAUAACAAAUUAAAUGGCUAUGUUCUUCAUCUUUUGGCCGAAUGGGUGAGAAAAUAAAAGGGGUUUAAAGCUUUUUGUAUUUCGGCAGAUUCAAGCUUUGAUUUAGGUAUGUUUUUGCUUCGGUUUUUGAUGAUUUUUACGUUUUUGAGAUCGUUGCUUUGAAUACUUCAAAACCCAUGUCUUAAUUUUGUGAAUUGAUGAAUAUUUUGAAUUAUGUCAUUGAUGAAUAUUUGUGUUUUGGGAUGUUUGAUGAUGAAUAAUGGAAGAUAUGUCUUAGAUUAACAUGUUUUGUAUUGGUAUUUUUGAUGAAUUUGAGUAUUUAGGGCUAAAUUGUGAAAAUAAAUUUUUGAGGGAUUAAAAUGUGAAAUAAAUGCAAUGUGUGGACUUGUAUGAGAACCAUGAAUAUUCGGCCCUUGUGUGGUAUGGGCAAAUUUUGUGUAUUUUGUGUUUUGUGCAAAAAGGACUAAAUUGCAAAAAGUGCAAAAUGUUAGGGGCAAAAUGGUAAUUUUCACAUUUAUGUAUUGAUGGACUCAAAUGAAUGUUUUGAUGAAUAAGAAGGUUAAAUUUGACUAUGUUUAGAUCAAGGAACGAAGAAAACGAAUUUGGAUCGGGGGAAGUCGAAAGUAAUCGAAUAGUCGAUCGUGUUUGCUGAUAUCCGAGGUAAGUCUAUUAGCAACUAAAAGUUAUUAAGUUAAUAUUUAUACAUGCAUACUAAUUUUAUCUUAUGAUUGAGCUAUAAUUUAAAGUAUAAAAGUUGAAUAAACUUUGGACUAUAGAUAUUGUAUAUAACAUGUUCGAAUAUACAAGUAUGAUCUUGUAUAAAUUAUUGGAUUAAUCAAAGAUAUGUAUAAGAUAUAUGUAUAUACAUAUAAGGUUUGAAUGAUUAUAUGAGUAUGUAUAUAUAUGUAUAAACUCUUGGAUUUGAUUUGUGAUAUGUAAUUUAUAAUUGUAUAUAUAUAUAUAUAAAGUCGAAUAAGCAUGCAAUUAUACAUGUAUGUGUUGUGUAUUGAAUUUAGAUAUGUCAUUAUAUAAGUAUAUGAGGAUUGAUUGUGAAUUUAUAUAUGUAUAAGUUUUUGUUUUGAAAUUAAGUAUGAAAUUAUACAUUCAUAUGGUAGAUUCGAAUAUGUAUAAAUGCACAUGUAUAAUUUCUUGAAUUGAAAUUAGGUAUGGAAUUAUAUAUGUAUGUGAAAGUUUCGAUUUGUAUGUAUAUUCACGUAAAAUUUUUUGAAUGGAAGUGAAGAUAUGAAAUUAUUAGUUUGGAUCAUUAUAAAGUGAUUGAAUGUAAUACAGACGUUACGUCUAGCAGGCUUGAUGCCGGUGAAGUAAUUCAGACUUUAAGUCUAGCAGGCUUAAUGCCGGUGAUACAUUUCAGACUAUAUGUCCAGCAGGCUAAGUGCCGGUGUACUGAAUCAGGCUUUAAGCCUAGCAGGCAAAAUGCUAGUGAAUCUUUUUAAAUUAUGUGAGAAUAUGCAAUUGAUAUAUCUAUGAUUUUGAUUAUACGAAAUAGAUGAAUACAUGAACAUUCGGUUUUUUUUUAUAUGCCUGGUGAGCUUACACCUACAUUCGGGUUUUAUAUUGGUUAAACAUAAUUGUAUGGAUUCGGUAUAUACAAUUAAUAAAGGCAUAUGUACAUUAGGUAUAUGCGAUUGCUGAAAUUAUAAAUGCAUAUGGUGAUAUGUGAUUGUUAAAUAUACACGUUGAGCCUAUGUGUUCGAUAAUUAAUUAUGUAUGCAAUUGAGAUAUGUAUAUAUAUACAUGUACUCAUUUAUAGGUAUAUAUAUUCGAAUGUAUAUACUAGCUAUGUAUUCAGGUAUAAAUCCAUAAUGAGUAUAUAUAUAUACAAACGAAUAUAAAAUGUGAUUGAUACAUAUGUGUUAGAUUCGAAUUGAUUUAAAGUUUACCAUGAGUAUACAUACACAUUCGGUUAAGAUAUGUGUAUAAUAUAUAUAUAUGCUCGAUUGUAUACAUUGGGUUGUAAUGUUGUUUUGUAUAAUAUAUAUUCAAUUGAUUUCAUUCGACAGGUAUACAUAUCUGACUAUAAAUAAAAUGGUCUGAGUACAAUAAUGUAUGAAUGUUAGUUGGUCGUGUUAGUUGAAAUUUCAGUAAAAUAGAUUAAAAGGUUAUAUUAAUUAUGUGUUUAUAUAUACAUUUAGUUAUGCUGUAGACUUACUAAGCUAUAAAAGCUUACUUCAUUUGUUUUCGUUCAUUUGUUUUUAUAGAUUUUGGAGACGCGUUACGAGCUCGGGGAUCAUCAGCAUAGUCCAUCACACUAUCGACUUCUUUUGGUAUUUUGUUAAAUAUUUGAACUCGAUCUUAUGGCAUGUAUAGGCUUGAUAAUGUUUUGGUUAGUUUUGGAUCCUAAUAUGUAAAUAGUCAUGCGAAAAGGGUUUAAUUUCCAUGCUUGAAUUUGACUACAUAUGAUCAUGAUUUGGGCUUGCAUUUGAAUGAGAUAUUCAAGUUACAUGUAUGUUAUAAAUUUUGGAUUAUGUUAGGUAUUAAAGUCAUGUUUAUGUGUGCUUUGUUUCGUAAUGCCUCGUAACCCUAAUUCGGCGACGGAGACGGGUUAGGGGUGUUACAGAUAAUAGCUAGGUUAAUAAAAAAAACAAAAUGGACUAAUUCAUGAUAAAAAUUAAAUUUAAAGGUUCAAUCUAUAAUAAAAUAAAUAAAGUGGGUCCAAAAUGAAAAGGCACGAAAGGGCGGAGGGCCAAAUGAGCAAUAAACCCAAAUUCCAGGCCACGCCCAGGGGUCCAACGAAUUGAGGAACGAAUUGAAAACCGCAACAAACCUACGGUCCAAAUUACAAAACGAGGGAAAAAAGAAAAGGAACUAAAUCAAAACAAAUCGAUAAUGCGGAGGGGCCAAAGGAGCAAAUAACCCAACACUUAACAAUGCACGGAUCCUCUGGUCGGGUCGAGUCGACGAGUGGAUCUGGGGGGCAAAACGACGCCGUUUUGGUACCUGGGAGGCCUGCCCAAAACGACGUCGUUUUAGGGCCUAUAUAAGUAAAAAAACAUAAACAAAAAAAUCAUUUUAAAUCCAUUUCAGAAAAAAAAAACUUUCCCUUUUUUAUUUUCUCUCUAGCCCCACUCCCUUCGAUCCAGACUCCGACCGAUGGCCGUCGCACCGCCCACCGACCACCGGCGACGGUGCCGCCCACUGACCACCGAUGACGGCGCCGUCGUGCACAGUUGUCGGAAAGUUCAAAACCCCUUUUUCUCUUCUCUUUUCGAGUAAAGUACCUAUUUGGGUUUAAGACAUCCCAAAAGUCCUUCAAAAUAAAAAAAGAAAGAGAGAAAAAUCUAGAGACCUUUCGGUUUCUCAUCACCGCCGAUGGAGUUUUUGGCGAACCCGUUGGUUUGACCACCCCAAGACCGGAGGUACCUCCGUCCGCGGCAAUAAAGGUAAUAGAUUUCUCUUUUUAUUUACUAUUAUAUUUAUUUUCGAAAUAAAUAAAUAAAUAAAAAUAUAAAAGAGGCACCUUUGUUUUUUCCAAAUCUGUUUCAAACUUUUUUAUUUUCGAAAAAAUCCCAAAAAUCCCCAUGAUUACAUUGAAUUUGUGGCUUUUAUAGCCCAAUGCAUAUUUUCUUUUUUCUUUUUGUUUAUCACUGCUUCUCUGCUAUUUGUGCUGUUGUUGCGUGUUUUUUUCAUGUUUUGCAGGUCUUGACGGAGCAGGUGGGCAGGUGGCAGAGCAAGUGGCGGUGGGUGGUGUCAGAGGUGGCAGAGGCAGAAGGUGACGCCAGAAGAUAGGAACCCCUAGGUGUGGCGCACCUAGGGUUUGACAUUGUUGUUUUUUAUUUGAUUUUUUGGGCUAGGUUUAGACAGUUGGGCCUGUGCAUUUUGCUUCGGGUUUGGGUUUAAUCUCGUUGGGCCGGGUGUAAUUGUGUUAGUUAGGCCGGGGCAUAAAUUGGUUAUUACACCUAAAAGGUUAAAAAUUAAGUCUUCUUAUUUUUUUUUAAAUCUUAGUCCUACCGUUAAUUUUUUUUUGUCAAAAUUUGUUAACUUGACAUAUUAAUUAGGUUUUCCUUAUAUGUCGUGGUAUAUGACCAACACAAAAUUAAACAAGUUGACAAGUUCUGACAAAAAAUAUCAAAGAUGAUAAUAAUUUAAUUAAAAUUUUUAAAUUGAAAAAGUAAGGGAUUAAAUUUAUAACUUUUGAAGUGUAAAGAAUGAACUUAUUGAAAUACAAGAACUAACAACACAUUUUAAAAUAUUACUAGUAAAUUAUAUAUCUACAACGUAAGCUCUUAUAUUAUAUUCUUGUAUCUAUUUUGUAUCUUUCAUUAUAAUAUGAUUUAUUAAUUUUAAUAUUUUUAUAGAAUAAUAUGCUUUAAACUAUUUUUUGUAUAAUUUAUAAAAAUUAUAAUAAACUUGCAAAAUGAUUUAAUGAUAUUUAAUUAUUAAUGGAAAAAAAAAUGAUAACAUAUAUAUUCUGUAUAUAUUAAGAUUUUGAGUCAUUAAUUAUAUAUCUACACAUUAUAAUAAAUUCAUCUUUCAAAAUGUUCCUUAUAAUUAAAGCAUAAAUUAUAUUUAUAAUAUUAUAAAUAUAUUAUAUCAUAAAUAUUCUUUCAAAUAUUUUUUAAUGUUUAAUAAUAAGUUAAUUUAUAAAAUAUUCUUUCAAUAAAUUAACGUGAUGCGAUCGUUAGGUGCUUGGAUUUGGUGAUGGGGGAUGAAGAGAAAAGGGAUGGAAGUGAAGAAAAAUGUUGAGAAAUGGAAAGGGUUAGCAAGGGAAGCUGCCAUGAAAGUUGGUUCUAUGGAUAUGAACCUUCAAGCUUUUGUGGAUGAUGUUACUCAAGGUUGUUGGAAGUAAAUUUUAAAAAAAUUGAGGUAAAAUUAAAAAAAUGUUAGAGCUAAAUUUGUCAUUAUGACUAAAAUGUAAAACCAAAAUUUUUUGAAAAUAAAAAAAAAUGGAAAAUAACAAAUUCUGUCACUCAUGUUUGCUUAAAAUAUAGUUUUGGUCACCAAUCUUUUGAAGUAAAUAUAUGGUCACCAAUAUUAUCCAUUUGUUACUCUGCAAUAACUCACCUCUAUGAAAUUUGGCAGGCCGUGUCAAUUUUGUAGAUUUGCGCUCUGAACUGUGAAAAAAAUGCAAAUUUUAGGUUAUUCAAGCAUUUUAAUACGUAUAUAUGAAAAAAAGAAGAAGAUAGGAGAGAACCUUCCUAGAAUAUUUAAGAAAAUAGCUCCAAAGACACUAUUGAAGUCAACUUUGAAGCAAAUUUUCAUCAAGAUUGAAGAUUCCCAGUUGAUUUCUAAAGAGAUUAUCAUGAGUUUCUUUAUUUCUUUCGGUUAUACUGCCCUUUGGAUGUUUUUAUUUUUAAGCAUGAACUAAUUUUCUAAAUACCUAAGAGAGAUGAAUCCUAUGGUAGAUUGUGGCACCCCAAACCCAAUCGGGAUAGACCGGCCCGAAUUCGAAGCAUUACACUAGCCACCUAAGUGACUCUCCAGCUAACGACCACCCAAGACACACCCUGACCUUAUAACACCUCAAUCUUGUUUAAUUAUUAGUUAUUUAUUAUUGCAUAAAUAAAUUAUGAGCCAAUUUUAAACUUUUCCUAUGUAAUUUAACCUAAGGGCAAUUUUGUCAUUUUACCACCUAUUGUAAAACUAACUCGAUUUUAGAAGUUUUUACCAACCUUAUUUUAGUCAAAUUAUACAAGCCUAAAUUUUUUAGCUUAAUUUGAGUUUGUUUACUAUGUCUAAUUCAAGUUUUAUUAUUAAGGACUAAAUUGUAACUUAAACAAAUUAGAAUAUCAAUUUAAAGAGAAAAAAUUCAAAACCCAAAAACCCACACGGGCAUGUGGGUAAGUGACACGGGCGUGUGGAGACUGGAGCUAUCACACACGGGUGAGUGGGAUUGAAAAAUAUGAAAUAAAUUAAUCCACUUAAUUUUCCAACAACCAUGCUAUACUACCAAACCAAAUAACGCUUGAAGCUUUGAAUAGGGGUGAAUCUUAAAAAAAUUAAAAGAAUUAGAAUUAAAUUAUAAAAUUUGAGAAGUUAUCAUGUAUUAAUUUAUAAUUUUCUAAAGGGUCUUAAUAGAAUUUUUUUUUUCCCAUUUUGGUUGGGCCAAUACCCCUACCUCUUUAAAUUUGCUUCAAUCCUAAACCCAAUAUUCGAUUUGUUGUGGAAGUUUGAUGCAUAAAAUUUCUUUUUUUAGAGGUUUAAAUUAUAUAUUAUUGAAAGUUUAAAAUAAAUUUGUAUUUUUUAUUAACAAAAUAUAAAACAAAAAAACAUUUUUAGACAAACCAAGGAACCUUUGGGAUCAUACGGAUGAUUUGGUGAUGUUAAUGGUUAUUUUGGUGGAGACAAGCCAAGAAAAGAAACAAAUGAUUCAUUAUAUACAAUAUAAUUAUCAAAAUUCAAGCCAUAUAUUGUCUGUUUCAUCCAUAAAAAUUUCAUGGGAGGUCCAAAGGUAAUUAAAUGACUUGUAGGCUUGCUGAAUUUCUUUGAAAGGCCCAAAGGCAAUUUAACACUCACAAAAUAAUCUCUAAAUACUGUAAAGACAAAUCAAAUCCACAGCAGCAUUAGAGUUGAUUAAGCUAAGCAUUGGCAAAUAUUACUUUGAUUUUGCAUGCAAUAUCGGCAAAACCCCCCUCUUACAUUAGAAAAAACAACAUAAUCCAUGUAACAUUGAUAGCCCAAUACAAAUUUCAUCAAGAAAAAAGUCUCUUUGUUUUGUAGAACAUGAUAGUAAAGAUGUGGAGUUUCAUUCUUCUUAUUGGCCUCCUUUAGUUUUCCUUGAUCAACAACCACUAGCCAAAAACACAAUUAGAUUAGAUUAUGAAUGAUACUUUCAACUAUGACAAUAUUAAAUACAAAACACUCCAAAUAACUCUAAAUAAAUGGAAAGCAGCAAAUUACCUGACGAGGCAAGCUAGCUUAAUUAAGACCAUUGUAUUAUACUUGUCUCUGAAUUGAAAAAUUUAGAAGAAAAUAGAGAAAAAGACUUAGAAAAUACUUGAAAACAGAUAAAACUUAUAUGUCAUUUAAAAUAAAAAAAAAUUAUUUAAGCUGUUUAAAAUUUUUAAGAUUUUUAAAAUUUUAAAAUGAUAAAGGUAAAUUGUACUUUGGCACCCCUAGAAAUGAUAAAACUUUGAUUUAAUCCUUUAAAAAUUAUAAAAAUAUAGGCUAUUAAAAUGAUGAAAUUAUAUUUUUACUAUAGUAAAAAUUACAAUUUAAUUUCACCCCCUAAAAAGAUUUUCUGGCUUCGCCCCUAAUAAAAUAUUUGGCAAAAGAUUAAAAUAAAAUUAUACCGUAAUUGAAAAAAGAAACUAAAAAAAUCCAAUCUAACAAAGAAAAUAACUUGAUGUCCAAAAGCUACCAUAAAUCGUAAUUCAUGGGAAGGCUUGUUGCUCAUUUUAUUGGUUUCCAUUUUGAUUUUGCAAAAGAAGUUUGAAUUUUGACGAAUACCGACAUAUUAUAUAUAUGACUAAAAUUCCAGAAUAGGUUAAAAAUGUUGAAUUAAAGAUGAAAUUAAGUGUGAAUUAAUAACCACAAGUGUACUCAUUACUCACCAUCUCUGUUAAAAAUGUUGGAUGUUGUUUAGCAACCUUUGUUUGAUUUUCUUCAGCUCAACCACAACAUCUUUCAUAUCUUUUCUUUCUUCUGGUAACUCAGCUGAACAAUUCAAAGCCAACUCCAUGAUAGAUGAAAUACAAUUUGCUUUAACAACAAUGUACUCAUCCUCUCUUCUUAGUAAAUCAACAUCUGCAAUUUCUAUCGCUCCUUUAGGCAAUGAACUUUCCAUCCAAUGCCUUAUAGUCUCUUCUUCAACAAAAACAUUAUCAGAUGGCUUUUUCUUUGUGAAAGUUUCUAUAAGGACGAUCCCAUAACUAUAGACGUCAGAUUUUAUAGAAACAAUUCCUGCUGAUCCAAAUUCUGCAUUUCAAGUAUAAUUAGAACAUCAUUCAUCCUCAAUUAUUUCUAAAAUGCUUAUUCUAAUAUCUAUCCAUAUACACAUGAAACAAAAAUAUAAAAUUCAAAUUAGGAAAAUAAUCAUACAAAAAUAAAAAAGAAUUCACCUGGUGCCAUAUACCCGAUAGUUGCAAGAGUCAUGGUUUGCUUCAUUACUUCACCUUCUCCCAACAAUUUGGCAACGCCAAAAUCUCCAACAUGUGCAACCAUGUCUUCAUCUAGUAAAAUAUUGCUUGGCUUUAUGUCACAAUGAAUUAUAGGUGUUGGAUGUCCAUUGUGGAGGUGUUCUAUAGCUAACGCAACAUCUAUCAUUAUGUCGACCCUUUGUAUGAUAUCAAGGAAACAAUUUUCAGAAUGUAACCAUUUCUCAAGGUUUCCAUUAGACAUGUAAUCAAGCACCAAGGCUUUGAAGUCAACACUUGAGCAGCAAGUAAUGACCUUCACAAUAUUACGAUGAACUAUAUUAAGCAUAGCAUCACAUUCAAUGUCAAAACUCCUAAAUGCUCCCUCUGUUUGCAAAUUGAAAACUUUUAUUGCAACUUCCAUUCCAUCUGAAAGCCUCCCUUUAUAUACAUAUCCAAAACUCCCUGAACCAAGCAUAUUGCUUUCCUCAAAUCCAUUAGUUGCUCGUGAAAGUUCAGCAUGUGAAAUUCUUCUCGGUGUUUUCAAAGACAACAAAUCAUCUUUAAUUGAUAGAGUUGUACUCCUUCUUUGGCAUCUUCUAUACAUAAUAGUUAAGACUAUUAGUACUACGACAAUGCCAAUUGUUGGUAAACCAUACCUAAAAGCAUGCAAUAUAAUCAUUUGGGAGUUUUUGUGGAUGUCGUUUUUGCAAGGUGGGACUUGCAAUCUAGGUGGACCACAAAGUGCAUAAUUCUUCAUGAAUGAUGUGCUAGAAAAGUUUGAAAAACAUCCUUUGCUGGGAAUUUCCCCUUCAAGUCUAUUGAAAGACACAUUAAAAUACCUUAGAUAUAUAAG